UGUUUAAAAUGAGUAAUUUGAGGAUGUUGGAAUUAUGAUUAGGACUUGAUUAUAUCUUAUGAGAGUUAUAUUAAUGAUUUUUAGUUCGAUGAUAUCAAUACGCAUUUGUUACAUGUGGAUGCCAAGAGGUAAGUAAACUAGACUUCUAAAUAGAUCACAAUAAACAAUACGUAUAUGUUUGACAUGUUUGAAAAACCUAUUUUUGAUAUGUACGGAUAUGAUUUAUAUGUUUCUGCCAUGUGUUUAUGUGAUGUGUUGUUAUGUGUUGAGCGUGAUUAUAUACAUGGGCAUAUGUAUGUGUGAAAGUUCAUUAGCAUAAGCAUGAUGAAUAUGCAAAGCUUUUAUAAAAGUAUGUUCAGUACUAUUGCAUUCUAUAAGUCUAUGAUUUGUACAUGAACUUUGCUAUUAUAUUAAUGGUGCGUUUACUUCUUGGAUUAGGGAAUCAAAAUCCGAAAUUGGAAUCAUUGACAACGUUUUCUCCACAAAUAGAGUCGGGAAUCGAAAUCGAAAUUGUGGGGCCCACCACAAUGUAAAUGAGGAAUGGGAGACUCAUUCCCAAGGAAGAGGGUGGGAAUCAGUCUCCCAGUCCCGGGGCUAACCAUUUUGCCCUCCCUCAAAAUAAAAAAUGCCGCUUUGUCCUCAUUUAUAAUUAAUCAAUAUAUUGUUAUAAUUUAUUUAUUUUUUAUAAUAAUUAUUAAUAUAAUUAUUAUAAUUAAUUAAUAUAAUUAAUAUAAUUAUUACUAUUAAUUAAUAUAUUUUAUUAUAAUUAAUUAAUAUACUAUUAUUAUAAUUAUUAAUAUAAUUAAUUCAUGUAUUAUUAUUAAUUAAUUAAUAUAAUUAUUACUACUAAUUAAUAUAUUAUUGUUAAUAAUAUAUUAAUAAUUAUAAUUUUUGAAUAAAUAAUCACCAUAAUUAAUAUAUUAUUAUAAUUAAAUAAUUAAUAUUAUUAGUUCAUAUAUUUUUAUAAUAAUUAUUAAUAUAAUUAUUAUACUUAAUUAGCAUAUUAUUAUAAUUAAUUAAUUAAAAUUUUUUAUAAUAUAUUAAUAUAUUAUUGACAAUAAUUGUUAAUAAUAAUUUUUGAAUAAAUAAUCACUAUAAUUAAAAUAUGAAAUAAUAAUUAUGACAAUAAUUUAUUAAGUACUUUUUAGUAAUUUGUUACAAUUUAAUUCAUUUUGAUUCCGAUUCCAAGACAAAAUAAACACAUUAAUGGCAAUCCAACUCAUUCUGAUUUCGAUUCUUAUAGUUCAAGUAAACAACUUAUUUUCUAUUCCUUAUUCCUAUUUCAUCCCAUUCUUAUUCAUAUUCAUUUCGAUUCCUGCCCAUUUCAAUUUUAAUUUUGCAAAUGCACCAUAAGUUUCAUGAUAGUUUGCAUUGGGGCCACCUCUUAAAGCUGUAUAGGGGGCCACCUGUCAUGACCCAACUCAGACCUAGUAUGAUAUUGUCCGCUUUAGGCUUUAACAAGGCCUGCACGAUUUUGUUUCUAAGGUGCCAGUACACCACAAAACACGUCUUGCCAAUUAGGAUGUGGAUCGUCUCUUAUAAAUCCAACAUCUCUCCCGUGCUUUGUCAAUGUGGGGUUUGUGAAAUACUAACUAGGCAACCCAGGAGGGGGGGGGGUGAAUUGGGAUAUUAAAAGUUAUUUAAUCCUAAAACAAAACUCAAUGCAAAUCCAAAACAAAUUUAAAGCAAUAACAAAUAAAUCAAUCACAAUAUAAAAAGAUAAGGGAAGAGAGAGCAAACACAAUGAUUUUUACGUGGUUCGGCAAUCCCCGCCUACGUCCACGCCUCCAAGCUCACCGGGCUUGAGGAUUUCACUAAGCUAGCCUCCCAAGGCUUUAAACGCUUACAAUUGACUUCCAAGGUGUCAAUGGACCUUUACAACAAGAGAUUAUCCCCAAUCUCUUAACCCAAGUGUAUCCAACACUUACAAUUACUCAAAGUAAAAGAUUACAAGUUGUUCUUCUCUCACACAAUAUUUAAGAUUACAAAUCAAUGCCCAAUGUGUGAAUAGAUGAAGAGAGAAUGUGUUUUUAAAGCUCUAUGAAGAUUGUAUUCUCGGAUAUAGGCUCAAUGGUCGUGUUGUGAUCAACCUCCUUUGAUUUUGAAUGAGCUUAUUUAUAUCUGGAGCUGAAAAACUAACCGUUACAAACUGUCAGUCCGAAAACGAUUCGCCGUUAAUGAUUAACGGUUAACCGUUUAGGUUGGUUAAAAGUUACCAUUGAGCCAAAAUUCAAAUAAACGGUGUGUCGUUAAGGGUUACCCUCUCACCGUUAGUUUCUAGAGACUAGCAAUAUGAACAUCAGUUAUCCGUUUAAAGUAAACGGUUAAGGAUUUGCAUGAAGUGACUCCUCUGGAUAUUAUCGGUUGACCGUUUGUAAUAAACGGUUCACCGUUUGUUUCCAGUAACCUGCAAAACAAUUUAGCCUUAUCCGGUUUUGUUAAUCAAUUCCAGAGGAGGACAACCUUCAAUUCUGGAUGUUAUCGGUUAACCGUUUAAAUAAACGGUUCACCGUUAAGUUCAAGUAGCCUUCCCAUCUUUUGUGUUUUUCCAUUUUUCACAAACAGUUAGAGCUUUAGGCAAUAUGUUGCUAUCUGGAUGUUAUCGGUUAACCGUUUAAAUAAACGGUUCACCGUUAAGUUCUAGUAGCCUUCCCAUAUUUUGUGUUUUUUCGUUUUUCAUAAACGGUUAGAGCUUUAGGCAAUAUGUUGCUCUCUGGAUGUUAUCGGUUGACCAUUUAAAUAAACGGUACACCAUUUAUAUCCAGAAUUACAUUUUAAACCAUAUUUUACAGAGAAUCUUUUUCUAAUUUGAAAGUCCAUCUUUUAUGAAAAAUGAAUGGAAUGAUUAUUAAUGCUUUCGUUUAUUAAGGAAUAGGUCCAAUAUUUUUAUCAAAAAACCAUUUAAAAUUUGUUAUCGUCAAAAUCAAUAUUAUUAACAUAUUCAUGUUAACAAUCUCCCCCUUUUUGAUGAUGACAAAUUUCAAUCAAUGUUUAACUCCCCCUUAAUAUGUGCUCCCCCUAAAUGUAUGGCCAAAUUAAGAAAUGUUCAAUAAAAGGAUUUUUGCUCAAGAAAACAUUUUUAAAUUCAUUCUUAAUCUCCCCAUUUUAAAUCCAUUUUAAAUACCAUAAUUAUCUCCCCCUUCAUCAUCAAAAAGAAAAGAGAGAAUAGGAAAAACGUAAAUCCGUUAAAGAAAUUAUCCGGUGUUGGCAAGUGAAAAUUUUGGCAGAGUUUCCCCUUAAAAAGGAGCAAAACCACUAAUACAAAAUGAGAUUAAAACACUUCCAAAAUAGAUUAACACCAACUUCAUCUUUCAACAAACCAACAACUCCAUGAACAAACAAACCAACACUUCAAUAUCCAAUAAACCACAAAUUGCAUCAACCAAUCACCAAGUCAUCCAAUCAGCAAGAACAUCACAAACAUAUGUCAUCAAAAUUCAGAAAGAACAUAUAGAGGGAACAAUGUAUAUAAAAAUAUAAAUGCAAACAACCAAAAUGUAUGUGCGAAAACAGAACUCAGAAACUAUGGUGGUGGAGAAGAUGUGCUCCUCGGAUCAUAGCCGAAAUAGCGGAGAAGAGUGCGCUGUCCAGCGAUAAGCUCAAGCUGCUGGAAGGUCUGAAAUUCAGAACGUAGCUACUGGUGGUCACGGGAAAUAGUGUCCAACCGAUCAAGAAUCAGCUGCUGGCGCUCUGAAAUCGGGUGAACAUCAACAAUCAAUUGCUGCACAAUGUCUGAAGCAGGGGGCUGAACUGGAGUUGGAGGCGGCAUAGAGGCAGAUUGUUGCUCAGGAACAGCAGAUGGCUGCUUAGGAAUAGCAGAUGGCUCAGGAGCAGGAGGCGGCUCGGAAGAGGAGGGAAUGACAGCAUCCAUCGCACGCUCCUCAGAGUCAGAGUCAGUUGGAGGCCGAAGGACAAAACGGUGACGCGGAGGAUGAGUAUGAGCUCCUAAUCUAAAGUCCGGAAGCUGAUCGAGAGGAUAGAUAUCAUUGAGCAUCCGAUCGUCCUCUGGAGCAAUCAAGGUAUCCCGGUUUUUGGAGUUGCUUGUCUUUAUCCACUCUCCAUUCUUCCUAGAAAAACCAAUACUAGUCAUGGCCUUGGGACCAAUCCGUCUAGUCUCCAUAUAUCCAGUAUCAAGAAGAGGCACCUCAAAGCGUCGCAGUAUCUUAGUAAUGAUACUGCCAUAAGGAAGCAAGCGGUGAUUGACCGUGGGAAUACUCAACAUAUGCCGCACAAUAACAUACCCGAGGUUAAUGGGACAGUCUGUAAGUAGGCUAUCUAGUAGGCCAACGUCCAACCUCGUAACCUCAUCCGAGUGACCCUUUCUAGGUGUCACUAUGUGCUGUAAAAUAGUGUGAAGAAUGCAAACUUGGAGGGGUAAAAGUUGAGACAAAAAAGGAAGCAAACAAAUCUCUUCAGACAAGUCUCGACGACGACAUAUAUUGCGGAUGCCAUCAGUAUGACAAAAACUGUCAAAGAAAAGAGCUUUCCUAGAGGUGUAUAUAUCAUGCCUCUCACUAGAGAUACCAAGAAAGUCAGCUAGGUCCGCAUCAUUAAACUCUAUUGACACGACCGACUUGAGUAAUUAUCCUAUUUGGGCAAGUAUCAGAGAUUUCCAUGUUUGAAUAAAAGACUCGUACUAAAUUUGGAUAAACUCGGUCAUCAAGGUUAAUGGCAGGCUCCCAAGGCUGAAGCAUAUCCCGAAUGCUUCUACCAUAUACAACUAAGUUACGGAAAUCAUCAAUGUUAAUAAAGAAUGAGUCAAGUACCUUUCGACCGUUGAAGCGAUCUUCGAACCACUUGGCCAAGGAAGGUGUAGGGAAGUGAAUGCGUGCAAAUUCAGAGACUUCCCGUGGUGGUAUAGGAUUCCUUGGAGGCACAAAUUUACGCCUGAGAUUUCUCCGAGGGGGUUCAGCCAUGGAGAAACACAAUGGAGUGUGGAAAAUGCAGGAGAGAUGUGAUGAGAAGAAAAAGAAUCGAUGAUUGGCUUAUGAAUGAAUAGAGGAUGUGAGUUGGAUGCUUAAUUUGGUUGAAGAAGGGGAAGAAUCAGAUUAAAAACGAAGAAACUCGACCCGCGAUAGUUAGGGUUUCAAUUUGGGAUUUUUAAAUUUUGGGCUUGAUUUGAAGUUUUGAAUCGGUGAAAUUGUUCUAAAGGUGAUAAGAAAUGAUGUUGGAGGUUUGAUUUGGCAAGAAAAGAAAGAAAAAUAAGGGUUUGAAGGUAGAGAAACCUUCGGCUGUGCAACAAUGGCCGAAACAGUGAAAGGUUAACUGGAGAAGGAGAAGAAAAGACCUUUGAACAGUUUUUAUAAUCGCGAAAACGGUUAACCGUUUAUUGAAACGGUUAAGGGGUAACUUCCAGAAGCUAAAGAAUAGGCAACGGUGAAAGCUUAAGCGCUUAACAGCUAAGGAGCAACUGUUAGAGGACUCUCUGUUUUCAAAUGAUUCACCGAUUGUAGCAAACGGUGAAAGAGCAAACGGAUAGACACAUAAUCUCGUUUCUGGAAUUAAACGGUGAACCGUUUAUUGGAAACGGUUAACCGUUUAUUUUUAUCAGUAAUUUCGCACAUUUGAUUUAAUUUUUGGCCAGCAAAUUAUAUUCCAAGAUUAUUUAAUUGAUCUGAAAAUAUUUUAUGAGCCAUUUUAAUGGAUGAUUCAUGAACAUGUUUUCAACCAAUUAAUUCAUAUAAUCAAGAAUUAUCAAGGCAAAUUCAUCAUUUGACUAUCAAGCUCAAGCAUUUCACAAAUAUUAGAUCACAACUAAGUCAAUCAAUUCAGUACACUCAAUAACAUGAAUCGAGACGUUAAUGCAAAAAUUUCAUCAUCCCAAGUUCAUGCCGAAUUUUUUAAAAUUGUUCUUCGCAAAGUGGUUUUGUGGAAAUAUCGGCAAGUUGUUUUUCCGUAGAAAUAAACUCUAAUGCAAUAUCUCCCUUUUGAACAUGAUCUCUCAAGAAAUGAUGUCUUAUUUCUAUAUGCUUGGUUCAAGAGUGUUGAAUGAGAUUCUUUGAAAGAUUUAUAGCACUAGUAUUAUCACACUUAAUAGGAAUUUGUUCAAGAUUAAUGCCAUAAUCUCUAAGAGUUUGUUUCAUCCAAAGUGCUUGUGCACAACAACUUCCAGCAGCUAUAUAUUCGGCCUCGGUAGUUGAAAGUGUGACCGAAUUUUGUUUCUUGCUAAACAAUGAAAUAAGAGAGUGUCCUAGAAUAUAGCAAGUACCACUAGUGCUCUUCCUAUCCACUUUAUAACCGGCAAAGUCCGCAUCCGAAUAACAUGUUAAAUCUAUAUGAGUUCCUCUAGGAUACAAAAGGCCAAUAUCUAUGGUUCCACUCAAAUAACGGAAAAUUCUUUUAACAGCAAGCAAAUGGGAUUCCUUGGGACAUGACUGAAAUCUUGCACACAAACAUACACUAAACAUGAUAUCGGGUCUAUUUGCAGUCAAAUAAAGUAGGGAUCCAUCUCGAUACAUUUUGACAUCCACUUCUUUGCCUUUUUCAUCUUUGUCCAGCUUGGUUGUUAUGCUUAUUGGUGUAUUCUUGGUCUUUGAGUUAUCAAUGCCGAAUUGUUUGAGUAGAUCUUUUACGUAAUUGAGUAGAUUUAUGAAAAUUCCUUCCUCGUUUUGUUUGAUUUGAAGUUCAAGGAAGUACUUCAACUCUCCCAUCAUACUCAUCUCAAAUUCUUUGCUCAUACACGAUGAAAAUUCUUUACACAAUAACUCAUUAGUAGAACAAAAAAUAAUAUUAUCAACAUAAAUUUAAACAAUAAGUAUGUCUUAGUUCUUGUGCUUAACAAAUAGAGUAGUAUCCGCUUUAGCCAUAGAAAAAUCAUUUUCUAGCAAGAAAUUUUUAAGUCUAUUAUACCAUGCUCUAGGUGCUUGUUUUAAUCCAUACAAGGCUUUAAGCAACUUAUAAACAUGAUUUGGAAAUUUUUCAUUUUCAAAACCAAGGAGUUGUUUUAGAAACACUUCUUCCAUGAUAUAUCCAUUUAAGAAAGCACUUUUCACAUUCAUUUGAAACAAGAUGAAAUCUCUAUGACAUGCAAAUGCCAACAACAUUCUAAUUGAUUCUAGUCUAGCAACGGGUGCAAAAGUUUCAUCAAAAUCAAUUCCUUCUUCUUGGUUGUAACCUUGAGCCACUAAUCUAGCUUUAUUUCUUACAACCACACCGGAUUCAUCCAUCUUAUUUCUAAAGAUCCAUUUUGUACCUAUGACGGAUUGAUGUUCCGGUUUAGGAACUAAUUCCCACACAUUGUUUCUUUCAAAUUGAUUUAACUCCUCUUGCAUUGCCAUAAUUCAAGAUUCAUCAUUUUCCGCAUCCGCAAAGGAUUUGGGUUCAAUUUGAAAAAUGUAUGCAUUAUGCUCACAAGUAUUUCUAAGUGAUGAUCUAGUUGUAACACCUCGUAAGGGAUCACCUAAAAUUAUAUCUAUAGGAUGAGAAGAGACAUACCUCCACUCCUUGAGGAGUGUUUGGGAAAUACCUUCUUGUUGCUCCAUCUCCGUAUUUGUUUGCUCUUCUUGUCUAUCCUCUUGAUUUUCUUGUGAUGCAUUUUCUUGAAUCUCUUUCGAUGAUUCUUCUUGUAAAUCUCCAUCUGCAUCAUCAUUAGCAACUCCUUUCUCCGUAGAGCAGGGGUUAGACUCAUCAAACGUAACAUGCAUGGAUUCUUCCACAACUAAAGUUCUUUUAUUAUAAACUCUAUAAGCUUUACUUGAGUUUGAAUACCCAAGAAAGAUGCCAACAUCAGAUUUUGGAUCAAAUUUACCAAGAUUAUCUUUUGUGUUUAAAAUAAAACAUUUGCAUCCAAAAACUUUGAAAUAACCAAUGUUGGGUUUUCUAUCUUUCCAAAGCUCAUAGGGAGUUUUGUUGAGAUGAGGUCUAAUCAAUACUCGAUUUAAAACAUAGCAAGCGGUGCUGACGGCUUCGACCUAAAAAUAUUUAGGUAAAGCAUUUUCAUUUAACAUGGUACUAGCCAUUUCUUGAAUAGACCUAUUCUUUCUCUCAACAACUCUAUUUUGUUGUGGAGUCCUAGGUGAUGAAAAUUGAUGCUCAAUGUAAAAUUAUUGCAAAAGUUCUCAAAUGCAUGAUUUUCAAAUUCUCCUCCAUGAUCACUCCUAAUGCAUAUAAUAUCAUGCUCUUUUUCAUUUUGUAAUUUCUUAUAAAGCACUUUAGAAGCAUCAAGUGCAUCAUCCUUAUUGGCUAAGAAUAAUACCCAUGUAUAUCUAGAAAAAUCAUCCACUAUCACAAAUGCAUAAUACUUGCCAUUUAGACUAGCAUAUAUAGAUGGCCCAAAUAGAUCUAUGUGAAGGAGUUGAAGUGGUUUUGAAGUAGAGAUAUGGUUUUUAUUUUUGAAAGAGGUUUUGAUUUGUUUUCCAAAUUGACAAGCUUCACAAAUCUUAUUCUUUUGAAAACCAAUUUUCGGAAGACCUUUAACUAAAUCAUUUUUUGAAAUUUUCGAAAUCAAAUCCAUACUUGCAUGUCCUAAUCUUCUAUGCCAUAGCCAACUAUCAUCAUGUAAUGCGGAAAAAACAUUUAUCAAGAGUAGAUGCACAUUCUAUGUCAAUGAUAUAAACAUUACCACAUCUAUUACCAACAAACAAGAUUUUGCUAUCACAUGAGUUCUCAAUAACACAACUAAAUUUGUCAAAGAUAACUUUAUAACCUUUGUCACAUAAUUGACUAAUGCUAAUUAAGUUGUGUUUCAAGUUCUCAACCAAACAUACAUUCUCAAUUAGAGUUGAGGAGACUUUACCAACAUUUCCAAUUUCAAGAAUUUUUCCUUUUGAGUUGUCUCCAAAAGAUAUAUCUCCACUAUUUUCAAUUUUGGUGAAGUUUGAGAACCAUGCAUAGUUUCCGGUCAUGUACCUUGAACAACUGCUGUCCAAGUACCAUUUAUUUUUCUUCUUCUUUAAGCCCUACAAAGAAAAUCUCAAGUUUUAGGUACCCAAAACUUUUUGGGUCCUUGAGAGUUAGCAAUGGUUCCUUUUGGAACCCAAAUACAUUUGACACCAUAAUAUACAUUCCUUUUCACGGGACAUCCAUAUUUCAUGUGACCAUUUUGAUUACAAUAAUGACAGACAAUCUUAUGAUCAUUUGUGGAGGUAGCUUUAACAAAAUAAUUCUUAUAAUACUUUUGCUUCAAGUUAGGCUUGUAACCAAGUCCUCCUUUAUCAAAAACACAUUUUUGUGAAUUAAGCAUAUUAUCCAACAUCUUUUGACCAUUUGUAAAUUUCAAAACAAUUUCAUUCAAAUCAUUGCUCUUUUUCUUGAGCAUUUCAUUUUCAUUUUUCAAAUCAUCUAUGUGUGAUUCUAAAUGCUCAUGUGAGGUACUAUGCUUCUCAUUUGAUAAUGCAAGUUUAUCAUGCAAUGUUUUGUUCUCUACUUCUAGGCAUGCAAUUUUUGCAUUUAAAGAUUCAUUUUCAUUUUUAACUUUUGUCAUUUCCUUUUUAAGACAUACAUUCUUUUUACCAAUCUUUAUCAACUCAUUAUGCAAUUCUUCAAAAGCAUCAUACAAUUCAUCAUAGGUGGGAUCACUUACCUCAUUGAGAUUAUCAUCCUUUCCUAUUGCCAUAAGCGCUAGGUUUGAUUCCUCUUACAAUCCUUCUUCAUCACUUGAAUCUUCCUCGCUAUCAUCCCAUGUUGCAACCAUGGCUUUCUUCUUGAGUUUGAUGAUAAGUGGACACUCCGAUCUUAUAUGGCCAGGCUUCUUGCACUUACAGCAUGUGAUCACCUCUUUCUUCUCCCUUUGGUUCUUAAAGUUUCUGAAUUUUCUUUGCUCUCCAAUUUUCUUGAAAAACUUUCUGAACCUCUUUGCUAGCAUGGCUAACUCUUCAUCAUCCGGUUCACUACCUCCAUCACUCUCAUAUUUUGAAUCUUUGCGAGCGAUGCUUUUCUUCUUCUCCUCGUCUCUUUUUUUUACUGCCAAGUCUUCUUCAUAUGAAAUGAGAGAACCAAUUAAAUCAUCAAGAGGUAAAGUAUUUAAGUUUUUAGCCUCUUCAAUGGCAGUUCUUUUAGGUCUCCAUUCUUUUGGAAGUGACCUAAUGAUUUUCUUAACUUUCUCACUAUUUGAGAAGGUCUUCCCUAAGGCACCUAGAGUGUUCACUAUGUCCGUGAAUCUAGUAUACAUAGAAUACACAUUUUCAUUUUGUUCCAUUUGGAACAGCUCAUAUUGACGAGUGUAUCUACUGAUUUUAAACUCUUUAACUUGAUUUGUCCCUUUAUAGACAACUUCAAGUUUAUUCUAUAUUUCUCUUGCACUUUCACAACUAGAUACUCUAUGAAAUUCUUACUUAUCAAGGGCACAAAACAAAGCAUUCAUAGCCUUGGAGUUUAGAGAUAUCUUUCUCUUUUUUAACUCACUCCAUUGACUCGAUGGUUUAGGAAUAUCAUCUCCUACUUCAUUUUUAAACGUAGGCAUGAAUGGACCAUCAUAAACAACUUCUCAAAUUUCAUAAUCUAAGGCUUGCAAAUAGAUUCUCAUUCUAGUUUUCCAAUAAGCAUAGUCAUUACCAUAAAAAAAUGGUGGUCUAGUUGUAGAUUGCCCUUCUCUAAAGGUUGAGUCAUUUAGGGAUGCCAUGGAUCUUUUACUCUUAGACGAUUAAGUCCUAACAAGAGAACAAGGCUCUGAUACCAAUUGAAAUACUAACUAGGCAACCCAAGAGGGGGGGUGAAUUGAGAUAUUAAAAAUUAUUUAAUCCUAAACCAAAACUCAAUGCAAAUCCAAAACAAAUUUAAAGUAAUAACAAAUAAAUCAAUCACAAUAUAAAAAGAUAAAGAAAGAGAGAGCAAACACAAUGUUUUUACGUGGUUUGGCAAUCCCCGCCUACGUCCACGCCUCCAAGCUCACCGAGCUUGAGGAUUUCACUAAGCUAGCCUCCCAAGGCUUUAAACGCUUACAAUUGACUUCCAAGGUGUCAAUGGACCUUUACAACAAGAGAUUAUCCCCAAUCUCUUAACCCAAGUGUAUCCCAACACUUACAAUCACUCAAAGUAAAAGAUUACAAGUUGUUCUUCUCUCACACAAUAUUUAAGAUUACAAAUCAAUGCCCAAUGUGUGAAUAAAUGAAGAGAGAAUGUGUUUUUAAAGCUCUAUGAAGAUUGUAUUCUCGGAUAUAGGCUCAAUGGUUGUGUUGUGAUUAACCUCCUUUGAUUUUGAAUGAGCUUAUUUAUAUCUGGAGAUGAAAAACUAACCGUUACAAACUGUCGGUCCGAAAACGGUUCGCCGUUAAUGAUUAACGGUUAACUGUUUAGGUUGGUCAAAAGUUACCGUUGGGCCAAAAUUCAAAUAAAUGGUAUGCCGUUAAGGGUUACCCUCUCACCGUUAGUUUCCAGAGACCUACAAUAUGAACAUCAGUUAUCUGUUUAAAGUAAACGGUUAAGGAUUUGCAUGAAGUGACUCCUCUGGAUAUUAUCGGUUGACCGUUUGUAAUAAACGGUUCGCCGUUUGUUUCCAGUAACCUGCAAAAUAAUUUAGCCUUAUCCAGUUUUGUUAAUCAGUGCCAGAGGAGGACAACCUUCAAUUCUGGAUGUUAUCGGUUAACCGUUUAAAUAAACGGUUCACUGUUAAGUUCCAGUAGCCUUCCCAUCUUUUGUGUUUUUCCGUUUUUUAUAAACGGUUAGAGCUUUAGGUAAUAUGUUGCUCUAUGGAUGUUAUCGGUUAACCGUUUAAAUAAACGGUCCACCGUUAAGUUCCUGUAGCCUUCCCAUCUUUUGUGUUUUUCAUUUUUCAUAAACGGUUAGAGCAUUAGGCAAUAUGUUGCUCUCUGGAUGUUAUCGGUUCACCGUUUAAAUAAACGGUUCACCGUUUAUAUCCAGAAUUACAUUUUAAACCAGAUUUUGUAAAGAAUCUUUUUCUAAUUUGAAAGUCCAUAUUUUAUGAAAAAUGAAUGGAAUGAUUAUUAAGGCUUUCGUUUAUUAAGGAAUAGCUCUAAUAUUUUUAUCAAAAAACCAUUUAAAAUUUGUUAUCAUCAAAAUUAAUAUUAUUAACAUAUUCAUGUUAACAGUUUGCUUAGGGUGCUACAUACACCCUUCCUUAGGGACUCAGAGUCCUCACUGAGGUUUGCCACACCAUCGUUCAAUAUGACACAAGGACUCGCUCUGAUACCAUCUAUUGCGACCCAGUCUAGACCUGGCAAGAUAUUGUCUGCUUUGGGCUAUACAGUUUUGUUUCUGAGGUGCCUAUGCACCAUAAAACGUGUCUUGCCAAUUAGGGUGUGGAUCACCCCUUAUAAACCCAGCAUCUCUCCCGUGCUUUGUUGAUGUGAGAUUUGCCUAGGGUGUUACACAGUACCCUAUUUCAAAAUGAGUUGUUAGUUUAAUAAACUUGUGGGUUCCUCUAAUUACAUACCUUGUUUCGAAGAAAUUACAAUAUUCUCAAUAGUUUAAUUUUUCUUUAGUUACCUUUAAGUGAAUCCUUUAAAAUUUAUGUGAAGCUGAAAUGAUUUGUUCAAAAACAUGUAUUGUUGGAAUAUGUAGCAGUUGGUUACUUGUCUGUUGCUGCCUUUGACAAUUUUUAUUAGAGGAAUUUCAUCAAACAGAUCGUGCAUGUCUACGAAAAGUAACUAAAAAAUAAAAAAUGCAAUAAAAACAGUGACUAAAAGCAAAUAAAUCACGCAUGACCCAACAUCUAUUAAUUUAUUCUAAGUAAAAGCCCCAACACAUUGUGAACAAAGGAAGAAAAUGAAAAAUUACAUGUAACAGAGUAAAGAAAAACUCAAAAAAAUAAACAAUGCAUAAAGGAAAAUGUCGCCGUUCUUGGAUAUUUUAAACACAAAGAUAGAAGAAUAGACGUGUAUGAAAAUGGCUGGUGUUAGAAUCGUGUCGAUGAAAAUUACGGAUGUUGGAAUCACAUCAAUGAGAACCGCCAGUGUUGGAAUCGUGCUAAUGGGAACAACAUUUAGAGUUUGUUUUAUGGAAAAAUUGAUUUGAAAUUAAGUUUAAAAAUGAGGAGAAUAAAAUUGAAAUUAAAUAAUAUGUAAGGGUAAUUUAGUAAUUUAAUAUACAGGUGGGAAAAAAUCUACUGAGGUGUCAAAGUCCAGCUACAAGGUGUUACUAUUGAAAAUGAGGGGAUGAUAUAUGGAAAAAAGAAGCUUCAUUUUAAAUUAAUGAACAAAAUUAUUCUUUCACAAAGUAUUAAAAACAAUAAAAUACUAUUACAUAGCUCGGAAAGUUUGUAUUAAGUUAUAGAAUUAGGUGUCUCUUAUAUAUAUGUCUUCCCAUGAAUAAAAGCAUGUGUAUUAAGUUAUGAAAUUGUGGAUUAUUAUACCAGUCUAAUGGCUCUUUCCCUUUCAACAUUAUUGUACGUAUUUUGCAAGGAAACAUCCUCUAUCUUUCUUUCAAUUAAUGUCCAAUUAAGACUUCCGCGUGCCCAAUUAAUGUCAAUCACUCAAUUGUUUUUGAACGUGUACAGGAUAACAACUUAAAGACUUUAGAGGGCCAGCGUUAAUUCAAAGUCAAAACUAGGUUAUUACCCUACAUGAUUCUUGAUAGUGAGGUGAAAAAAAGGUUGAAAAGGAUUCGGAUUUAAUCUUGAGUUUAGUUUUUAUUGAGCACUGAAUUAAUAAUUAAUAUUUAUUUUGUAUUUUUAUUUAUUUAUCUUACUUAACAACCAUUUACUUAAAUCCUUGUCCGGUUGAAGGAUACUAGAUAAAUGAUUUUUAAAACUUUAGUUAUUUUUGUGUAUAAAACAAAAACUUUAAAUUAUUUAGUUUCAAAAGAGAGAAAAAAAAUCUAGACUUUGACCUGCUUGGGAAUAAAUUAUAUUUGUUAUUUAAAAAAAAAUCAUACUAUGAGAAAGAGAAAAUAUAAGUGGGGUUAAUUCUAUUUGUAUGUCCUUAAAUAUAAUUGUAUAGAAGAGGGAUUUUAUAAUAUUAAUGAAGGGGUGCCAAUACUCCAACCUUUUCUCAAUUUUUUUUUUAAUUUUUAUUCAUCUACCCAAUGGCUGAAUUUAUUUUCAUUAUUAUGUAGGUGUGGUGUUACUAGAAAUCAAAGAAUAGGAUCCUCUCCUGAUCUGAGCCCUACUGAGAUUUUAAAGAUCUUCUGUCAUGUGUCAUUUAGUGGUAGUGUAGGGAUAAGAUUUAACUUCUUUUACUUUUUUAUUUAUUAACUACCAAUCAACAAUUGAAUUAUUUGCUCAGGACAUAAUCAGAUCAAGAGAGAAUCUUGAUCCAGAAAUCAAAUGCUGCCUUUUUUUUUUUCCCCUCCUCUCCUCACUUGUGGUGGAAUAAGGAGAAUUGAACCAAACCAAUAUCCUAAUUACUAACAGAUUUGAGACAAAAUUAACAUUUUAAAAUAUUGCAAACUGGUAAAAAGUCAAACUUUUAUUUGCUACAUAAAUAUAAUCUACUUUACAUAUUAAUAUCAAAUUCGUUAGGUUAAAUUCUAGGUUCAAAUCCUAGCAGCGAAAUUAAUUUCUUUAUAGCUGGCAAACAUAUAUGCACUUUUUUUUCUUAAUUUACGCAGAAGUUUGAGUUAAACUAGUAAAGGAAUUAUUUUCUAAUUAACUUCUUCUUUUUGAUUUUGGAAAAAAAAAAUUGAAAGAAAGAUAGGAAGCUGAAAUUGAAGCCGAAUCAACUGGAGCUGCAUCAAGCAUCUUUUGAAAUUCUUCUUCUUCUUCUUUUUUUUAAAAUUUUUUAAAUGUUAUUGAGGGCAAAUAAAGUCUAUAUGCUUAAUAUUGAACAUAAUUUUUAACAAAUAAAAACUAACACUGACAUUGUGCGAAAUAAAUUGUUUAUAGCUUAACUGGCCCAUUUAGGAUAGCUGCGCCGCCAAACAGGGCUUUGAUUUUAUUGCUAUAAGUAUGCAUUAGAUAUUUUUAAUAGAUUUUCUUGGGUGGGCUGAAUGGUUAAAUAAAUUAAUUUAAAUGAUUUAAAUAAGAUUUUUUUUAUAUUUUAAAAAUUUAUAUAUUAAAAUUUAAUAUAUAAAUAUAUAAAAUAAUAAAGUGUUUAGAAUAAUUUUUAGAGCGCAAACAGUCUUACUCAUUUUAUUUCAUUUUAUUGUUAAUCAAGACUUAAAAGAGUCACUAAACUAAAUCUCCAUUUUCCAAAUCUUUAGGAAGAACGAGAAAAGGUAGCAAAUGCAAGCGAUCCACUGUUCAUCAAUAUUAUCUGGUGUUGUUGCAGAUCAUUUUGUUAUUCUGGUCCAUCAAAGCAUCAAAACAAUUUGCUUGUAAAAAUGAUUGUGGAAAUGUGCAGAUCAUAUUCCCCUUUGGAAUUGGAGAAGUGUGCCACUUUGGUAAGAGUUAUCAAGUAAUAUUCACUCUUCUGGCUCUCCCAAAGCUUUUCAUCCUAGUAUCAAGACGGAAUAUCGUACCGUUACUCCGAAACUAAAACUAGAGUCAACAUUCCUGUAAUUUCUUUGCACACAGUGCUAUACUGCUAUUGCCACAAGCAAUAAUAUUGCUAGAAGAGUCAAUCUAUCUGGUGGUCCUUUCACCUUUCCCUAGGGGCUCAGUAAUUUACAGCUCAAUUUGUUUUAGGUUCAAAAUUGAUGAACCCGCACUUAAUAACUGUACAAAUUGAUAACUUCUUGAUUUAUGAGGACAUAGAAAUUUUGGAACACUAAAUGCAUUUUUCUAAAUUAUGAGAGCUAUUACUGGUUAGGCAUUUCUAUUGUUUGAAGGACAAACCUGUUAGGAACCAGAUCUAGAUUCCUCAUGCUUUGGUCAAACCAUUGUGUAAUUGUGGGACUGGCAAUUCCUUUUCUUUUGUCCCAGUGUCAGUGGUCAUCAAUGAAGAAAAAAUUAUGAAGCUUGUUCGCAGCCUGCUGAAUCUUAGGUUGAAAUAGAGUUGCCUUCUACAUUACUGGAAAAUCUGAUUUUUGUAACUUAAUGAUAUUCUAGUAGUCUGCCUAGAGACCAAUGCAUACUGAUUAAACAACUGGUUUAAAUCAUUAGGGCAUGAUCAGCCCGUUAUCUGGCACUCUUAAACACAAUAGGCAGGGAGGCUUUGGGCAAAUCAUAUUCAAUGAUUAGAAAUGUUCAAAAAUUUCAAGAUAACAAAUACGCAAGCGUUUCAAUUGGACAUAAGUAUUUGGGUUUCUAGUUCUAAUAGAAGUUUCUCAAAGCUAUAUUCUAGUCACUUUACUAUUCUGAAUCAGAAUCAGAACCAGAAUCAGCGGAUGUUUUUCAUUGUAAACUUUUAAUAGAUCUCUUACUUAUUAUGAUUUUAAUCCAAUGAUUGAACUGGAUAAGAGAAAAGGGCUAUGGUCAAUAGGUUCAAUUGGGCUCCAAAUGGCAAUCAACUCAUGACAUUGCAUGAAAUAUACAGCAUGCUUCUUUUGAAAUAUUAUAUAUUCAAAAAUUUAGUGCAUAUAUGCUUAUAUUUGUAUAUUUACAAUGCAAUGCAUAUUAAUAUCAAGGAGGCAGAAAUUGAACAUAUACAUUCAUAAUGCAAUUUUUGAUAAUGGUACGGAUUUUCUUUUCUGGGUAAUAACAUUCAGGGAAAAGAAAAAUAAAUACAAGGUUAAGACAAUCUAAGACAUGAAGCCAGUGAAGCAUGGCUUAGGACAUGGUCAAGUUGUAAAAACUAUGGCUAGGACUAUCUAAUACAUGAACUUGUACUGCAAACAAAUUUAACUGUGGAUGUCAUUGCUUAGGAAUUGGAACUUCAAACAAUGUUCUAAAAACAAUUCUUUCUCCACUAGUUUUUCUCACCCUUUUAAUAUCGAAAGGCAUGGAAAUGGUAUAAAGAUGAUUCUGUUUGUGGUAAGAUUCCUUUCAGGCUAAUUACUAUUUGUGACGUGGGGUGCAGGAAUAUCUAGAAGAAUAUGUUGGAUCUUCUACUAGAAGAGCAAUUUUAUAUCAAGUAAGAACUCUUGUUUUCUAGAUGAUCAUAUAAUUUUAACAAACCUGCUUCCCUUGAAUUUGGAGUAAGAUGCUGUUAGUCUUUAUAUCUCUGGACUUUUCAGCUUGGGUCUGUUCAAAAUUGAGCAUCCAAUAAAUCAAGGCUGACAAAGUUAUCUAAGUCAAGUGAAAUGGUCAAUUAUUCAGUUUUUGGUCUGUUGCCUACAAAAUUAAGUUUUAGUUUUGCUUGCUAUCUGGCUUUUGGUAUGUAGCGUCAAGAGGCUGUAGUUAGAUAACCAAGUAUUUGGUUGACUAUUUCGAGAUUUUUCUUUUUCAAGGUUUGCUUUUUCAUUGGCACCCUCGAUGGAAUCGAUAUCAGUUGAGUGAUUCAGUUGGGCCUGACAAUCUUAGGCUUUCUUUUGGUAAUGGAUAUUUAUUUUAAGAUAAUCAUUGUAGUUUCCUUAACUCGUUACAACAUUGACAAUAUUUAAAGUUCUUAUUUUAUAUAUACCUAUUUUCAAGGAAAAUGCCGAUAGCUUGACCUCAAAUAUGUUACUCACAGGAAAAUGUAAAAGGUAUAUCAGUAACUGGGAUGCAGUCUAAUUAUGGUUUUGAUGGUCAAAUCCACGCCUGCUGGAUGCAUAAAAUGACACAAAAGACAUUCAAACCAUUCGUUCAGCUGGAUUUCUUGUGUCACUGAUUCAUGGCAGGUACAUGAGCAACCAUAAUGCACAUGAACAUAGCUGUAUAAUUGUGUCUAAAUUUAUAUUAGUAAAGUGACAUGCUUUAUGAUUUUAUUAUUUUAAGAUACUUGUAAAGGAAUAUGCAUAGGGCAUACAGGAAUGACAAUUGUUACAAAAUUAAACUUCAUUUUUCAAAUGUCAUUUAGAUGAGUUGAAGUCUGCAAAAUGUUUCUUUAAUAUCAUCAAACUGUUUCACGAAUUAAUAAACUAUAUAAUGUCAAUUAUCAUAAAAGAAAACAAUAUGCUUAUAUAUUCUUGGAUUCUGUAGAUAUAAUGUUAUGAGAUAGGCUCCAAAUACUGAUGGGAAAUUAAAACUGGGUUCUUCGUGAAAAAUAAAAAUAAAAUAAAAUAAAUUGGGAAAAAUUACCUGAAAUGGAAGUCCGUGCUGUGCUUUAUAGUAAAUUGUCAAAGUUUGCAAUCAACCUACAUUUAAUAAGGAGAUGACAGGAUUUGGCAAGAAUUUGGUAUUUUCGGAGUGAAGAGUAUUAGUUUUGUGUCAAUGCUUUUCUUAAUCUCAGACGAUCAAGAGAAUCGUUAUUUCAUUCAUGCACAGACCAGCACAAAGAGAAAACAAAUGUAUACACAUGCAAACUUGAAAAUAGGUUAAUAUACAUCGAACUUAGAAGGUCGUGCAGGAGCCUGGUCAAUAUUUUGGGCAUUUCUAGUAGUGAUACAUGGAUAACUGAAUGUUACAUAACUGAAUUUGAGCAAAAAUGCUAAUUCGCUCCACUGAAUGUAUAGGCAUGAUAUCAUUGCACAAAUCUGUUAUGCAAGGAGACUAGCAGAGAAGCUGAGCCCUGUUGCUAGAAUGAUAGAUCUUCCUGGAGGACAUCUUGUAAGUCAUGAGAGGACAGAAGAGGUAUUUCCUUUGCCCAACAGAUCAGACAAAUAUGCAAGUAGUCCAAUUGGUUGUGUGAGACAUUUACAAUUAAUGAAUUAUUAAAUGGAGUACAGUUGUGCAAACUAAUUGGGAAAGUUUUCUUAUCAAAGUCAGUAAAAAAUUGUCAUAAUCGAAUUUGAUUGAGACAAAAGGGUCCUUACAUUUGUAUUAUGGACAAAAAUCUUCCAAAUAUUGAGGAUUGACCUUGAGUGACUCAAGAUUUUUGAACAACUGGGAUUGAAUUAGAUCUUCACGCGUAAAAUAAUGUUAUGAAUUUAUUGGUAGAAAGAUGUCACAAUGCUUCUUGAAGUUUUACUUUCCUAAAUUACUAAUAUUUGUUUAAUUUUACUUGGCUACAAAUUAAGCAUAUAGACGUUAAACUCUUUCUUGAAAUUUCAGGUCAAUCAAACUCUCAUCGACUUGAUCAAGGCAUCUGAAAAGAAGAUAAGCCCACAAGAUUUGACUAAUCUGCCCCAGACAAGUUCUGGUAAGCACGCCACAAUCAAGAUAGUCUUUCUCUUUUCCAUGUUAUGUGUGGGCAAUAAUGUUAGAGCAUACUUACCUAACAUGGGUUGAAGCUUUUCAUACUGAGUUGUCUAUGAAGAUAAACUCGUGGUUAAUCCAUAGAGUUCCCAUUUUUCCAAUAAUAUGUUCAUGGAUUUGGAAACCUAAGAGUUCCAGAAGGACACAUGAUAACUACUUAAGAGAGCUCAAAUCAACACUGAAACUUUUUCCAGACACAAAAAUCAUCAGUGGUCAACUGAUUUUCAGCUAGGUUAUCUUCCUCUCUGUCUGGUCAGGAUUGAGAGGGAGACAAUUAGCAAUUUUGAUAUUUCUACUUCAGAACUCAGUUUUCAGUCUUUGACAUUUUCUGCUGAUAUUUUCAGUUCUUUGUCAGGGGAUUUGGCGAAAGGGAUGUCAUUUGUAAGAACAAGUUGGGGACCAAGAAGCUAUGUUUCAGGCCCACUAGAGAAGCUACGUCUUUAUCUAUUAUACCUCUGUGGUCUCUUCAUGUUAGCAUUUGAGUAUGCUAGAAGGCUUCUACAGAGUCUGUUGAUUUUCUAAAUAGAUCAUGCUAUUUAUUUUGUUCAACUAAAUCCAUACCUUAUUGGUUGAUGUGGAAACAAAUUGUCACAAAUCUGUAAGAAUAAAAAUAAGCUCCCUCUAAUCUCCCAAAAAUCAGGAACUAACACAAGCAAAUCGCAACGAACAGGAAUCGAUUGCUAGGAACUGGAACCUUCACGAGCAAAUCUCCUUCACGAACGGAUCGUCACAAGUUUAUGCCAUUGAUGAUCGGAUGAUAAUCACGUAUCUGGAAAAUCCCCUCAAUUCACGAAGCAAGAACCCAUUGCCUUUUUUCCUUUUCUCUAACUCUCUUUUGAUGUUGCUUUGAUUCUUGUGAUUAUUAUUUUACGUGCUAUCACUCACCCUUGUAGUAUUUAUAUAGUACAAUAAGUGUAGUUUAAUUCAAAUCAACUUACUAGAGUUAUUUAAUAAGCUACAUCUUAUGUGAUUAGGAUUAAAAUAAAAUACUAAUUUUAUCUCAUAAGAAUCCUAGACAAACUCUAAGUUUAUCUUAUCACUUACGUUUGAUUAAUCCAUCCCAUCAUGGACGUUAAAUCUAACAUCUCCCACUCGCACGUGAUGGGAUGAUUGAGUAAUCAUAGCAACGAGAGUAGAGUUUUGGGCAUAAAGCCACAACCGCAGUAUCAUACGGGCAAAUGCAACGUGUGACCCAUGAACAACAUAAAUUGGAGCUUGUGGAGCAAAAAAAAUGUCAAUUGCACUUUUUGCAAGAGGUUUAAAUAACUUAUUCAUUAUAUUUCCUAGAUUUCAUUAUCCUUUACAUCGGUACAAACAUAUUUAAUCCCUCAACAAAAAUUAUGUUUGACGUUGGGAACUCUAUGCAUUCACAAUUGUAUUCAUCCUUAGGCAGAUUAUAUAACUGGUAGACCAGUGAAUGCAUAAGUUAGAUGUAAGGAGAAUAAAUCUUCGCACUCUACUUAUAUCUUUUACUUCUAGGCUGGCUGGUUUCUUAGACAUGUUUCAUAGACUGAAUAACAUUAUAGUCGUAGAAAAAACAUGCUAAAGUAGCUAUCACCAAUCUUUCCUUUUAAGAUAUAGUCGAUGGUAACUAAGGAAACUGUUGACGUCUUUCUUAUACCUCGAAGGAACUUAUACAAUGAGGAAUUAGGGAUUCAUUCACUCAUUUUCCUUUUGGUCACAAAAGCACGUAUGGUAUGAAUCACGCGUUACAGUGAAUUCUCUUUGUAUAAGAGCAUAUGUCUAGCUAUCCACUGUACAAAUCUUAAAUUAGUCGCUUAUUCGAGUGCCUAAUUUGAGUCUCAAUAAGCUUGCCUUCAUAAGGCACCAAAUGAACUCAUAUCUGGCUUAAUCAGGUUCUUUAUCUUGACCCAGUCAAGUCGACAUUUUCAAGAUAUAAGCUUCAUGAGAACAUAUCCAGUACUUUCUCUUAAUAUUGUGUCUCAUCCCAGCUUGCUUUCAUUAACAACUGAAGUGACCGCUUGUGUAAGAAAGCCGGUCAUAACCUGACAACAUAUCUUUUAAUAAUCAUAUAUAUAUGUGUAAUCAUGCCAAUUAGUAUCUUAUGAGAAUAAAUCAAAAUAAUUUUAUUGCAUAAAGAAUUUAUUAAGUAUAACUUUUAUAAUAUGCACAAUCUUAAUGAUUGCGUAUGUGCGAUAAAAACAUCUCGUGUCCUGGCUUUAGUUAAUGGAUCUACAACCAUGAAGUGUGUAGAUAUGUGUUGCAUCAACACUUCCUUUUUCACCACAAUAUCUUUCACAAAAUUGUACCUUGUCUCUAUGUGUUUAGACUUGCUGUGGUAUUUUGCAUCCUUGGUAAAAGAUAUGGCUACUUGGUUAUCACAAUAUAUGGUUACUGGCCGAGGAUGACUAGUAACAAUCUCAAGAUCAUUUAAGAAGCGCCUAAGCCAAACAACCUCUUGUAUUGUGACUGAACAUGCUACAUAUUCUGCUUCCAUAGUCGACAGAGCCGUGCAUGUUUGCUUCUUGCUACUCUACGAGAUCGCACCACGACUAAGUAGAAAUACGUAUCUUGAGGUUGAUUUGCACUCAUCAAGAUCGCCUCCCCAAUCGGCGUCUGUGUAUCCAAUUUAGCGUAAAUCACCUCCUUGAUGACAUAAAGAAUAGUCGGCAGUGCUUUUUAGAUAUGCUAAAAUCCUUUUGACAACAUUCCACUGUUUGCGCCCAUGAUUUGAUUGGUAUAUGCUUACCAACCCCAUAGCAUAACAAAUAUAUGGCCUUGUACACAUCAUAGCGUACAUGAUACUUCCAACAGCAUUAGAGUAUGAAACUCGUGUCAUUUCAUUUCGUUCAUUUGAAGUCUUUGGGCACAUUUCAAGGCUAAGAGUUUGUCCUUUAGAGAUGGGAGUAUCCAUAAGUUUACACUUAUCCAUUUAAAAUUUUUCAAGAAUUCUUCUAAUAUAAAACUCUUGUGACAGAGCUAGAAGUUUUCUAGAACGAUCCCUAUGGAUUUUAACUCCCAAGAUAUAAGAUGCUUCACCAAUAUCUUUCAUUUCAAAGUUUAAAAAUAACCAUUCCUUGAUGGUUUGAACAAACUCUAUAUUAUUUCCAGCCAACAAUCUAUCAUCCACAUAUAACGAUAAGAUGACGAAGUUACCCCCUAACCUUUUAACAUAUACACAAUGAUCUUCUUCAGUCAUUGAGAAUCCAUAAGUCAUCACAGAUUCAUGAAACCUAAGAUACCAUUGCUUGGAGGAUUGUUUUAACCCAUAUAUAGACUUUUUGAGCUUGCAAACUUUGUGCUCUUGAUCAUUGGUUAUAUAACCAUCUGGUUGUUCCAUAUAAAUUUCCUCCUCUAGCUCUCUAUUCAGAAAAACUGUUUUAACAUCCAUUUGAUGUAAUUCAAGAUUCAUAUGUGCAAUGAUGGCUAAAAUUAAUCUUAUAGAGGCAAACCUUACCACUGGGGAAAACGCUUCCUCAUAGUCUAUACCCUCUUGUUGUUUAUAUCCUUUCACUAACAAGCAUGCCUUGUAUCUUUCAAUUGUGUUAUUUGCCUUUCGUUUAACAUGUAAAACCCAUUUGUUUCCAAUGGCCUUACGGUAGGGCGGUAGAUCAACCAAGUUCCAGACGUGGUUUGAUCUCAUUGACUUUAUUUCUUCAUCUAUUGCUUUAAUCCACAAUUCCUUAGCUGAUGAUGUGAUAGCCUCACUAUAAGUUCUUGGCUCAUCACCAUCAUGUGAAGCAACCAUAAACACCUCCCCCUUAAUCUCAAAAUGAUGACGUGGGAUGGUUGUACGAUUACUUCUUCAAAUUGAGUUGUCAAGUGGAGUAAACUCAUUUUGUGGUUGACUCCCAUUAGAAUCAGAAUUCCCAGACAUAUAUAAGUUUCUCUCAAUUUGUAAAUCAGAAGUGUCAUUCAUCUCUGAAUCAUUCAACUCAUAUAGAUAAACGUCUUUGUCGACCUCUGAAAUGCUAAGGAAUUCAUUUUCCAAAAAUGUGACAUCUCGUGAUUUUAUCUUAGUUAUAGUUCUAUCAUCAUGUUCACCUAUGAACACAUACCCUUUAGAGUGUUUUUGGUAUCUUAUAAAGAUACAUGUCUUUCCUCUCGGACCUAAUUUCCCAUGUUUAUGAGAUGGGUUAUGAACAUACGUUGCAGACCCCCAGUGACGCAAAUGAGUAAGAUUAGGUUUUCUAUGUGUCCAUAGCUCAUAUGGAGUGGAACUUACUGACUUACUCAGAACUCGAUUAAGUACAAAAGUGGUAGUCAACAAAGCAUCCCCUCAGUAAGAAACUGGAACUAGCACGAGUAGAUUGUAACAAAUAGGAAUCGAUUGCUAGGAACUGGAACCUUCACGACCAAAUCUCCUUUACGAGCGGAUCAUCAUGAGUUAGGAACUGGAACCUUCAUGAGCAAAUCUCCUUCACGAACGGAUCGUCACGAGUUUAUGUCACUGACGAUCGGAGAAUAAUCACGUAUUUGGAAAAUCCCCUCAAUUCACGAAGCAAGAACCCACUGCCUUUUUCCCUUUUCUCUCACUCUCUUUUGAUGUUGCUCUGAUUCUUGUGAUUAUUAUUUUAUGUGCUAUCACUCACCCAUGUAGUGUUUAUAUAGUAUAAUAAGUGUAGUUUUAUUCAAAUCAACUUGCUAGAGUUAUUUGAUAAGUUACAUCUUAUGUGAUUAGGAUUAAGAUAAAAUACUAAUUUUAUCUCAUAAGAAUCCUAGACAAAUUCUAAGUUUAUCUUAUCACUUACGUUAGAUUAAUCUGUCUUAUCAUGGGCGUUAAAUCUAACAGUGUCUAAAACCGGUUAGAGUGCGAGCCUCUCCCACUUAAGCCAGCAUGUAGUGAACCCUCUUUUUUACUAGUAAUUUUCAGUUUGCUUCCCAAUCUUUCUUCUAGAACAAAGACAACUAGCUAGAAAACAAUACAUAAUAUCCUCACUGUUUCUAUCCCUUCUUUUUGCAGGGUUUCACUAAUUUGUCACGCUAAUGGCGCGGCUCUUUGCAUUUAAGCAGUUUGCUUACAGGAUUCUUGAGUAAAUCUACUAAAAGUUAUACAAAAGAUCAUAAAUAAACCGGAAUCUGCUUUGGGAGAGAUCAGAACAACCGAUACAACAAAGCAUAUUAAUCAUAUGCAUAUGGAAGGGAAAGAAUAAACUGGAGAUAGCCUUUGUUUUUUCACUAUCAAAAAAUUAUGCUAACUGAUACCACUAUAUCUAUCUCUCUCGCAGCACAAACAAAAUGAAAAUAACUCGCAAGGAGGGGAAUACUGUUUUUUGUAUCUAAGGCAGUAAAUAUUGCUGCUUAUAUUAGAGUAACAGCAAGAGCUCAAGAUUUUAUUAAUAUUAUUAUUAUUUUCAACACUUGUCAGUUAUAUAUUAUCAAAGAUUAGAAACUCGACUUACAACAGCAAGGGAAGAUGUUAGUAAAAUAGUGGAAUUUGAGCUAGAUUGCAGUACAGGCUGUGAUCUAAAUGUUAAAAGCCAACAAAGAAAUGGCUAUUAAGGACAAGAUUGGUUGACAUUUGAUGUGGCUUCUAAAAUAAUCGACUUCAGCUUUUCUGGAUACAUUAUUAUUUAUGAGAUAAUGAAUGUAACAUCAAACCACUUUUAAAAGAUUUUAUCAAUCACUUAAGAGAGUCUUUGGUGUAGUGGUUGGUUUGUUGUUUUGAUAAAGUUGAGGACAUGUUUAUGGUUUUAUGAGGACUCAAAAUAUUUUUUUUCCCCAUAAAUGUGAAAAUAGUAGGAUUUGAUUUCCAAUUUGAAUUUCUCACAGCCAAAUUCACGGAUGAAAGUCGAACAUUAAAUCUCAUUUAACACCAUCUGUCAAUUUGGUUUGGGAUUGUUAUUUCAAAAUGACUAUAGGUUCAAANNNNNNNNNNNNNNNNNNNNNNNNNNNNNNNNNNNNNNNNNNNNNNNNNNNNNNNNNNNNNNNNNNNNNNNNNNNNNNNNNNNNNNNNNNNNNNNNNNNNNNNNNNNNNNNNNNNNNNNNNNNNNNNNNNNNNNNNNNNNNNNNNNNNNNNNNNNNNNNNNNNNNNNNNNNNNNNNNNNNNNNNNNNNNNNNNNNNNNNNNNNNNNNNNNNNNNNNNNNNNNNNNNNNNNNNNNNNNNNNNNNNNNNNNNNNNNNNNNNNNNNNNNNNNNNNNNNNNNNNNNNNNNNNNNNNNNNNNNNNNNNNNNNNNNNNNNNNNNNNNNNNNNNNNNNNNNNNNNNNNNNNNNNNNNNNNNNNNNNNNNNNNNNNNNNNNNNNNNNNNNNNNNNNNNNNNNNNNNNNNNNNNNNNNNNNNNNNNNNNNNNNNNNNNNNNNNNNNNNNNNNNNNNNNNNNNNNNNNNNNNNNNNNNNNNNNNNNNNNNNNNNNNNNNNNNNNNNNNNNNNNNNNNNNNNNNNNNNNNNNNNNNNNNNNNNNNNNNNNNNNNNNNNNNNNNNNNNNNNNNNNNNNNNNNNNNNNNNNNNNNNNNNNNNNNNNNNNNNNNNNNNNNNNNNNNNNNNNNNNNNNNNNNNNNNNNNNNNNNNNNNNNNNNNNNNNNNNNNNNNNNNNNNNNNNNNNNNNNNNNNNNNNNNNNNNNNNNNNNNNNNNNNNNNNNNNNNNNNNNNNNNNNNNNNNNNNNNNNNNNNNNNNNNNNNNNNNNNNNNNNNNNNNNNNNNNNNNNNNNNNNNNNNNNNNNNNNNNNNNNNNNNNNNNNNNNNNNNNNNNNNNNNNNNNNNNNNNNNNNNNNNNNNNNNNNNNNNNNNNNNNNNNNNNNNNNNNNNNNNNNNNNNNNNNNNNNNNNNNNNNNNNNNNNNNNNNNNNNNNNNNNNNNNNNNNNNNNNNNNNNNNNNNNNNNNNNNNNNNNNNNNNNNNNNNNNNNNNNNNNNNNNNNNNNNNNNNNNNNNNNNNNNNNNNNNNNNNNNNNNNNNNNNNNNNNNNNNNNNNNNNNNNNNNNNNNNNNNNNNNNNNNNNNNNNNNNNNNNNNNNNNNNNNNNNNNNNNNNNNNNNNNNNNNNNNNNNNNNNUCGAUUAGAAUCCGCUUCUACAUAGUAAUAAUUAUUUGUGCAUUACAAAAGUAUAUGUUAUGUUAGAUUAAAUGAACUUGCUUCCACAUAAUACAAUUACACAAUAAGAGAAAAUUAUUAAACAGAAUGUAAACAUUUAGAGAUUUUUAAGAUGACUUUGCAUAUUUCUAACAAUGGUACAUAGAUAAUAGAUAUAUUGGAUUUGACAUGCUCCAUUAGUAAAUUAUUAAUACAGUGUAUAUUUUACCUCUAUAUCUUUGUAAUAAAGAUAACUCAAUUAAAAAAAUAAUUUUUGUAAUUAUACCUCUAUUAAAUUAUAAUCCCCUCACGGCAACAAAUUAAUAUGGUCUCAAUAUUACAAAUAUAGAGAGGUUUCGCUGUAAUAUUUUUUAAAUGUAAGGGGAAAAAAGAGUAAUAAUAAAAGUUGAGCUAGUUUGUUUUGAAAUAUAUAUAUAUGUUUUAAGAAAACAGCUUAAAACAAUAAAAAGGUGUUUCUCACCUCAAGAAAUAAGUUUUUUAGAAAUAGCUAAACCGAAUGUUCUAUAAUUUUUGAAAAUAGAAAACAGAAACUGUGGUAACAUUUAUAUUAUAUAAAAUAGGUCAUUAUUCUUUCAAAAUCCAUAGUGAUCCUGCACACACCGUAAUGUAAGUUGAUACUUGAUCAUCAUCACUUUUCACCUUCACAUGAUCAAUUCUAGAAACCCUAAAAAAUAAACACUUGUAAUUAUUAAACAAAACAACAAAAAGAACAAGAAGAAGAAACGAAAAAUGUAAAGAACGUACCUGGAUUUGCUUGGGGGCUACAGAAGUUAGCUUUUGCUGUGAUUGGGAAGGCGAGUGAAUGAAUGAUUGAUUGAUUGAUGAAAGCAAAAAGCAAAGCAAAAAGAUCGAAAUGGAAAUUGUAAGUUGAAAUGUUUUUCUAAAGAGAGAUUCUAAAAUAACUAAUUGCGUUGGUGCCAGGUAAUAUUCCAAAUUAACCAAUCAAAGAUUCGAAAUGAAUGAUGCCAAUGCAGUUACCAAAUAUACCCCUUAGGAACAUCCCAAUAUGAUCCUCUAGUAUGCCGAUGCAGAAGCAAACAAACAAGUUACCUUGCCUCUCUAGUCUUUACUUACAAGUCUCUCAAUGGAUGACUCGACUUUCUGAUGAACAUAAUUUAUAUAUAUAUUUUAUUUUUUAUUAUAUAUUUAUUAGUUAUUUUUAUUUUUUAUUUUUAAUUAAUUAAUUUUUUUAUUGAAUAGAAAAUUAAUUUGAGAUUAUGAACAAAAAGUGCAUAAAAAAUCUAUAAGAGGAAAGAAUUGAAGAAUUAAAGAUUAUGUUCCAAAGCUUCCGCAUGGGCUUAAGAUAAUUAAAGAAAGAUUUUAUUUAGCAAUUUGGAAUGCAUGUGCCGGGCAUUAAAGGAAGAAAUCAUUAAUUGGCCUUUUGCUUUGGAAGUCAAACGUGUGGCUAGCUUUCCAAUUUUAAAAGGAAAUAAUAUACAAAGGAUUUGGCGUGUGCGAGUGAAUAUGGGCUUAAAGGAGGCGGUUUCCUAGCAAUUAUAAUUGGAGAAGAAUUCGGUCAACUAGCAUUAUAAAAGGGGGGAGCCGCCAAAGAGGAGGAAGAAGCAGAGUAUUCGGCAGAGGAGAGAAGAAAAAUAGCAGCAGCAGUUUAAUUCUUUAUGGCUGGAUUUUUUUUAUUUGUUACUCUCAAUUUAAGUAUGUCUAGUUAAUUCUUUUCAAAAACAAAAGUAUGUCUAGUUAAUUUUUUUAUACUGAGAUUAAGGAUGAAGCCUUAUUCAAUGAAAUAAUUAUCUUUUUAUUUAAUUAAUUCCCUACAUGCGUGCUUUGAUGAUUAUGGUUUUUGUUUCACAUAAUUAGUUGAAUGUUAUUAAAAUCUUUUCAGCAAUUCUGUCAUGCACUAUUGAUUGUUAAGAUUAAUAUUCAAUUAAAUCUAUGCUUGAAUUUAUAAAGUUUGUACAUGAUUAUCUUUAAUUCUGUCUUUCAUUAAAGAGUUGGAUUAUUGGCUCACCUCUAACUUUCUUUUUAAACCCCUUUUCUCUACAUAUUCUUUUUAAUUCCUAAAAUAACCCUAAUUUGUUGUACUUUCUUAAUAAACCCCUGCAUUGAUACUUUAAAAAAAAAAUUGUUAGGCGCUCUCUCUCACCCUUCUCUCAUUCCAAACCACUUUCAAUCUCUUCUUAAUUAUAGCAUUUAUGAAUUUAUGAUUUUUAUCGAUAUUUGUUUUAUUUUUCCUAGUAGGUAAUAACCUUAGUAGAUACAUAAAGACAUGUGUGCGAAUCUUUAAAAAAAAAAUGGCCCAAGUAAACGAACUUCACAAAAUUAUCUUUCCUACAAAAACUCUGUUUAUAUUUAGAUCAAAUUCUCAUUCUAUGACAAAUCAUUGUUUUUUCAAAUUUUAUAGAUUUAAUGAGUUUAUAAUGGAGAAAAAAUAAGAAAACAUAGGUGGGUUUAAUUAGAUAAGUGUUAUUUUUAAUAUAAUUUAAAUAUAAAGGACAUAUUUGUAAAUAAAGAACAAGAGGGGUUUCAUAAGAGAUAUAGAGGGGUGCCAAUAGCGUCACUCUUCAUUAAAUUGUUUAUACAGAGUGCUUAUGAAAAAUUUAACUCUUUAUUAUUCAAUAUAUUUACAUGUGAUUCUUAGAUAUCAUACUAUUAAGUAGAAAAAGAACUUACAUUAAAUUUAAUUAUUUAGGCUUAAUUGUUGUAUCCAUGAGAUGACAUAGAUUGAUUUCGAGUUGUCACUUUAAAAUUGGAGAUUAAUUAAUAUUUAGAUAAUUUCUAAUUGAAUAGUGGUGGAUUCUGAAACCUUGGUAAUUUUUGUCUUAUUGAAUUCUCCUUUACUUUAAUUGUUUUCUUAGUUUAAUUAGUUUAAUUUCUCUUAAAAAUUCAAAUUGCUCAACUAGGUUAGGAUUAAUAUUAAAUUUAGAUUUAAAUUAGACUUUUCAAUUUAUAACAAUCCAUGUGGGUUCGACCUCAUUACCACUAUUCUAUUUCUAGAUUCGUGCGCUUGCGAGUAUAUUAAAAAUUUUCACAACACUUCCUACCAAAUACUUCAGUCCAUACGUCAAUUUGUCUUUGAGAAAUACCUUUUUAACUUGGAAAUAUAUUUCAUAUUGAUAAGAAAUAUGUAAUAUCAUUUUACUCAAUAUUUUUACUUAUAAAUUUUCAUUUUACUUACCAAUAAUACAUUAAUCUAUCAGUUUUAUGCUAAAUCUAUUUAUUUUACUUUUUAUUUAUAUGUUAUUAUGUUUCAUUUCUAAAAUUUAUAUUUUAUAUUGCACUUAAUGUUGAUUUAUUAGUUUUACGUUGUAUUUGUAGGUUUUAUUUUAGUUAUUAGUGAUACAUUAAUUUAUCAAUUUUAUAUUAGUUUACUUUUUUUAUCCUUCAUUUACAAAUCUUAUGUUUUAUUUCCAAAGUUUAUCUUUUAUUUUAUAGUUUACGAUAAUUUACUAGUUUUUAUACUAUAUUUACUAACAUUCCUUUUAUUUACCAACAAUACAUCAAUUUACUAUAUUUAUGUUCAUUUACUAAUUUUACCUUUUAUUUACAAGUUUUAUGUUCCAUUCCCAAAAUUUAUGCUUUAGUGUCCACUUAAAUUGAUUUACUAGCUUUAUACUAUAUUUGUAAGUUUUUGUUUUCUUUACCAAUAAUACAUUAAUCUACUAAUUUUGUAUUAAUUUACUUAUUUCAUCUUUCAUUUAUAUUUUAUUUCUGAAUUUUAUGUAUAUUGAUUUAAAAAUUUUAUGUUAAAUUUACGAGUUUUAUGUUUUAUUUAUAUAAUUUAUAUUUAAUUACAAUAUCGAUAGUAUGACUUUAAUCACAACAUUAUAAAAUGACCUGAUAAGAAAAUAACUAAUAUCAUCUUUCUCAAAAUUUUUACUUAUAAAUUUUGGAUUUACGAUAAGCUUUAAAUGUUAAAAAUCUUUUUUAAAAAGUUACUUAAAAAUCUAUAUAUUAUCUAAAAGAGUUUAGAGUUGUACUAAAAUGUGAAAACUCAGCUCGUGCUGGUUCAACUCAAAAUGAAAAAAUAUAUAUGUGUGUGUGUGUAUGAUGGGAGCUGCUCCACCUUCUGAUGCAUCACAAUGGGAAUUCAGCUGGUUUUAAUUCUCUCUCUUGGCUACUUAUGCUUCUUUAAUUUAACAUUUUGAUAUGUAUUUAUUAUGCUAGAGUUUCAACUAAGUAUCCAUUUACUGGGAUUUUCCACUUUUGAAAAAUGUUAAUUUUGCCUUAUUUAUUCAAUAUUAUUAUCUUCCUCUGUGAAAUUCGCAAAAAUUUUAUGCUUUAGUUGGUUAUUCAAUGGGGGUUUGUUCCAUUUUGUUCUUAUACUGUUUGUAUAUAUGAGAGGUUUGGUUUCUGAAGAUGGGUUUCAGUCAAUUGUCUUCAAAGCUUUAUUUCCUAAAAGAGGAAAAAAAAUACCAAAAUGUUUAAUUCUACUGUUACAUGUUUGUGUUCUUAGGUUCUGCUAUGCUUUGUAUAUUUCUUAAUGCUAGAAAGAUGUGUGCUCUUCUAAUAUGAUUGUUUAGGAUGAAUAUGAGUUGGUUAUCGAGUUGCAAUAUAUCAAAUAAAUUGAAGACAACUUGCUUCAUAGGUUUUGAUUCUAUUAAUUGUUUUUAUUUCAAGUAUGACACGAUUGCAUGGGUGUUUGAUGAGGCUAAUAGUGACUUCUUAGGGUUGAUGCUAUAGGUUUCUUUUAUUGUUGUCUAGUAUCGAAACUUGAAAACAAAAUUUAAAGAUAAUGCUUAUGAUAUGAACACAAAUGUUUGUAACAGUAGCUUGAACAAAAUGGAAGGAAAUCUGUUGACUGGAAUGAUUCAUGAAGCUAAAUCGGUUUUUUUGUUGCUAUUUUUAAGGACUAUGACCACUUCUUCAUGCUAUUUUUCUGCACUUAUUUAUUAUGCUCAAAUGUAGCAGAUUUUUCUGCACUUUAGUUUUCAUUAUGUUGUAUAAAUAGAUGAUUUUGUUGCUCAAUAAAAUAUAACUCAGCAGUCUACAAACUAGCCUUCUCUCAUUAUCUUUAUAUCCAACAUAAUGGUAUCAGAGCUAUAAUCUUUAGGGACCUGUGAGAUUGAGAAAGUUUCAACACAAUUCCUAAACAAUUAUCACCUAUCUUCCCAAAAACAAAAAACCUUUCCAGAAUGAAUUUAGAAAGUCCAUUAACUGCAAUUGCACCUCCAGUGUUUGAUGGAAAAAAUUACCAAGCGUGUGCUGUUAGAAUGGAGGCUUAUCUUGAUGCUAAUGAUCUGUGGGAAGCUGUUGAACAAAUAUAUGAAGUUCCACCCCAGCCAGACAAUCCAACUCUUGCACAAAUCAGAAAUCAAAAAGAGAUGAAGUAAAGAAAAUCAAAAGCAAAAGCAACCUUGUUUGCAGCAGUCCCAUCCACCAUUUUUUCCAGAAUAAUGACGCUCAAAACAGCCAAGGAAAUUUGAGAUUUUUUGAAGCAAGAAUACGAAGGAAAUGAAAGGGUCAAAGGGAUGCAAGUGCUGAAUUUGAUCCUAGAAUUAGAGAUGAAAAAGAUGAAAGAAUCAGAAACAAUUCAGGAAUAUUCUGACAGACUUUUUAAGAUUCAACAAGGUAAGACUCCUUGGCACUGAUUUUUCUGAUUCUAAAGUUGUUUAAAAAAUCCUAGUCACAGUUCCUGAAAAGUUUGAGGCUACAAUUUCAUCUUUGGAAAACUCAAGAGAUAUGUCAAGUAUUACCUUGACAGAAUUGUUGAAUGCACUGCAGGCACUGGAGCAAAGAAGGCUUAUGAGACAAGAAGGAUCUCUGGAGGGUGCUUUUCAAGCCAAAUCACAAAACAACAAAGGUGGCAAAAAUAAGAAAAAACAGAACAAAGACAACAAGCUUGGAGGUUCUGCAAGCAGUAACAAAAAUAGCCAAAGUAGUAACACUCAAGUCUUUCCACCUUGCCCUUACUGCAAAAAAACCAAUCAUCCACAAAAUAAGUGUUGGUGGAGAGUAGAUGUAAAAUGUCACAAGUGUGGUCAGUUAGGGCACGUGGAAAGGAUAUGCAAGACUCAACAACAACAAAGAGAAGCCAAGGCUAUUGAGGAUCAACCCCAAGAGGAACAGCUGUUUGUGGUAUCGUGCUUUGCCACCAACAGCUCCACAGAGAGUUGGCUUAUAAAUAGUGGUUGUACAAACCACAUGACUUAUGAUCCAGAGCUCUUCAGAGAGCUUGACGCGCCUAGUAUUUCCAAAGUCAGAAUUGGAAAUAGGCCACACAUUGCAGUAAAAGGCAAAGGAACAAUAGCGAUUGAAGGCCAUACAGGUCUGAAAUUGAUUCAUGAUGUUUUAUAUGUUCCUGAAAUUAAUCAAAAUCUUUUGAGUGUUACUCAGUUGUUAGAAAAAGGCUAUAAGGUGUUGUUUGAAGACAAGAACUGUGUGAUCAAAGAUGCAAAAGACAGAGAAGUAUUCAAAGUUCAAAUGAAAGGCAAAAGCUUUGCCUUGGAUUUGAUGAAAGAAGAGCAGGCUUAUGUACACAGAGAACAUAGCAAUACAUUGAUUUGGCACAAGAGGUUAGGGCAUUUUCAUCAUAUUACUCUACUCUACAUGAAAAAGAACAAUCUAGUCAAAGGCUUGCCUGAAUUAGAGGAGAAGUCUCCUAGAUGUGCUGCCUGUCAGUAUGGAAAGCAAACCAGGAUUCUGUUUCAACAAAAUAAGGCCUGGAGGGCUAUACAGAGGUUGCAAUUAAUACACACAGAUGUGGGAGGACCAAUAAAAACACCAUCUUUGAAUAAUAGUAAGUAUUAUAUUGUUUUCAUUGAUGAUUACUCAAGAAUGUGCUGGAUUUAUUUUAUGAAGCUUAAAUCUAAGGUUGCUGACAUCAUUGUGACGUUUAAAGCUUGUGUUGAAACUCAAAGCAGAUGCAAGAUGCAGGUGAUUAGGUCCGAUAAUGGAACAGAAUAUAUCUUUGAAAAAUUUAACAAGUUUUGUGAAGAUUCAGGCAUUGAACAUUAACUGACAGCACCUUACACUCCUCAGUAAAAUGGUGUUGUGGAGAGGAAAAACCAGACAAUAAUGGAGAUGGCAAGAUGCUUACUUCAUGACAAAGGGCUACCGAAGAAAUUUUGGUCUAAGGCCGUAAACACUGCAGUUUUUUUAUUGAACAGAUUGCCAACAAAAGCUUUACAGAAAAAACUCCAUUUGAAGCAUGGUAUGGCUACAAACUAAAGCUGCUUAAUCUGAAGAUAUUUGGUUGUCUAUGUUUCUCUUACAUCCCUCAAGUUAAGAGAGACAAAUUAGACAAAAGAGCAGAACCUGGAAUUUUUGUAGGCUCUAGCUCAACCUCAAAAGCCUAUAGGAUUUACUUACUGCAAAACAACAAAGUAAUCGUCAGUAGGGAUGUUCAAUUCUUUGAGUUAGAUAAUUAGAGUUGGGAGAAUGACAAGAAGCUUAAGGUCGAGGAAGAGAAUAAUGAUACGGACGAUGAAAAUGUUAGAGAAACCAGAUCACUCUUUGACAUCUAUCAGAGGUGUAAUAUUGUUGUAAUGGAGCCUGUAUGAUAUGAAGAAGCUAUAAAUGAUCAGAAGUGGAUAGUUGCAAUGAAGGAUGAGCUAAAGAUAAUUGAAAAGAAUCAGACAUGGGAGUUGGUAGACAGACCUGAACACAAGAAAGCUAUAUGAGUCAAGUGGGUUUAUAGGACCAAGCUCAAUCCUGAUGGUUCUAUAAACAAGCACAAGGCAAGACUGAUUUUUAAGGGAUAUGCCCAGAUGUUUAGGGUAGAUUUUUCUGAAACUUUUGCCAUUGUUGCCAGGUUGGAUACCAUAAGGAUGUUGCUAGCUCUUGCUGUACAGCAAGGUUGGGUUAUACACCAAAUGGAUGUCAAAUCAGCCUUUUUGAAUGGAUACUUGGAGGAAGAAAUUUUUGUGGAGCAACCUAAAGGGUUUGCUUUUCCAGGACAAGAUGAGAAGGUAUAUCGACUGAAGAAAACCCUGUAUGAUUUAAAAUAGGCACCAAGGUCCUGAUAUAGCAAAAUUGACACACACUUAGCAAACUUAGGCUUCGAAAAAAGUAUGAGUAAAUCUACUUUAUAUAUCAAGAAGGCUGAUAAUGAAAUACUUGUGGUAUCUCUGUAUGUUGAUGAUCUACUUGUUACAGGAAGUAGCAAGGAGUUGAUUGACAAGUUUAAAGAAGAAAUGAAAGAUGUCUUUGAAAUGACAGACCUUGGUAUGCAGGUACAUCAAAAGGAAAAUGAAAUAUUUCUAUGCCAGCAAAAAUAUGAAAAGGAAGUUCUCAAGAAAUUUAACAUGGAAGAGUGCAAGCCAAUUGCAACUCCAAUGAAUCAAAAGGAGAAGUUUUGCAAAGAAGAUGGAGCUGAAAAGGUGGAUGAAAGAUUGUACAGGAGCCUAAUAGGCUGCCUAAUGUAUUUAACUAAACCAGACUAGAUAUCAUGCAUGCAGUGAAAUUCAUUUUCAGGCAGCAAAAAGAAUUCUUAGAUAUGUUAAGGGCACAAUUGAUUACGGAAUAAGGUUUAAUCAAGUUAAAAACUUCAAUCUUCAUGGAUAUUCUAAUAGUGAUUGGGCUAGAUGUGUUGAUGACAUGAGAAGCACCUCAGGUUACUGUUUUAGCUUUGGUUUUGGAAUAUUUUCAUGGUAUUCUAAGAAGCAAGAAGUUGUAGCUCAUUCUAUAGCAGAAGCAGAAUAUGUAGCUACUGCUGUGAAUCAAGCUCUUUGGAUCAGGAAACUUAUGACAGAUUUGCAUAUGGAACAACAAGAAGGCACACAAAUAUUUGUGGACAACCAAGCUGCAAUUUCAAUUGCUAAUAAUCCAAUGUUCCAUGGCAAAACAAAACACUUUAAGAUAAAACUUUAUUUUCUAAGAGAGGUACAAAGAGAAGGAGAAGUGCAGUUGAUCUACUGCAAAAUAGAAAAUAAAAGUGCUGACAUCUUAACAAAAGCACUUCCAAAGAUUAGAUAUGAAUUCUUGAGGCAAACGUUUGGUGUAUGCAGCUCCAGAGUCAAGGAGGAGAAUAUUGACUGGAAUGACUCAUGAAGCUAAAUUAGUUUUUUUGUUGCUAUUUUUUUAGGACUAUGACCACUUCUUCAUGUUAUUUUCCUGCGCUUAGUUAUUAUGCUCAAAUGUAGCAGAUUUUUCUGCACUUUAGUUUUCAUUGUGUUGUAUAAAUAGAUGAUUUUGUUGCUCAAAAAAAUAUAACUCAACAGUCUACAAACUAGCCUUCUCUCAUUAUCUUUAUAUCCAACAAAAUCGAUAAGAAUAGGUUAAUUCUUGGAAAUCUAGACCUCCAAAAUAGUAUUGGUUAUUUGAGAAACCAAUAAACUCCCAAAAGACAACUUACAACUCGCGAGAACAGUAAUACUCAAGACACUCUUUUAUUCAAUAACAUCAAGUUUUAAAUAAAACUUUAGUUCAAAACAAGCAUAAAAAUAGCAAGCAUUAAGCAUGUUCUCCAUCAUGCUCCAUGAAUCCACAAAAUAAGGAACCAACUAACAACUUAAUUUUGACUUAUUAAAAACCAACUACUGUCAAAAUAUAAAGUAAAUAAUUAAAAGAAAAUUAUAAUGGAAAGAUUGUAACAUUUUUUCUAAUUUUUUGUUAUUAUGCUUACUCUAAUGGAUGGGUGGUGGCUCAUAUUGUUAAAUUUUGGAUUGGACAAUUUACUGGCAUGUGAACUAAUUUGUAAUUUAGUUAUAAGUUGUGUGAACAAUAAAAAAACAAAGGGUAAAGUCAGUGGUAAUAUUAUCAGAAUAUUGGAAUUGUUCUAAAAGAUUUUGAAUAAACUGGCAACGAGGAAACUAUAAUAUUGGAACUUGAGUGGGUGAAUUGUUCUCAGUUUUGUUUGUUGAGGAACACAACAGAGCAUCAGUAAUUCCUCCGUUGUUUACGAUUGAUCUAUUUCUUUUUUUCCCUUUACGGUGUAGUGCUCUUUGUCCACCUUUCAGAAGCUUUUUUAGAGGAACUGUACCUGAAAUGUUUUGUUGUUUCUUAGAAAAGGGUUUUUCCCAUGCAGUGACUUUGAAGUGGAUUAUGAGUCUAAUGAGAAUGCAUCAAUUGUGUAUGCGGCAUUAGCUGUUGAUAAGGAGGUGAUGCAUCAUGAUCCUAAGAUCAUACCUUGCUCCUUUAACUUUGUUGCUUCUUCAAUAAAUUCUUACUUGGAUUCAAUUUCCCAAUGCAGUUGCAACCAGACAAAGUGAAAAGGCAGAUAUCUGUCGUUAAUGGGAAACUUUUAGUGUAAGUUUCUGUUCUUUGAUCAUUCAUGGUUAGAAGACUCAUUACAUAACUGAUUUUUCAUUCUUGUCCAAUAUUCAUUCAAUUUGCACCUACUAGUUUAUCCUAUGAGACAAUAUUCAUUUGGAAAUUUUGUGUGGCCUGUUUAAUAAUCAUUUUUUUUUAUGAAACUACGUCUUGAAUAUGAUUCAGCCCGCUCCAAUCUGAUGAAUCGUGAUCCUUCUCCUUCUUUGGAUGUGUGCUUUAAAGAAUUACUUCGUGAAGAGCAACGUCUUGCAACACAAACUAUUCUCCAGUAAAAUAAAAUGCAUGAUAAUGCAAUUGCUUAUGCUGCAGCUCAUGGGAAAAGCAAAAGGAGAGACAUGCGACAAGUUCAAUACUUUAGCUGUAAGGAAUACAGACAUAUUGCUGUUAAUUAUGCAAAGAAAUUUUGCAACUAUUGUAAGAAGCCUAGGCAUAUUAUCAAAGAAUGUCCUAUUCGUCCCCAAAAUCGUUAAGCUAGUUAGGUCGUUGUUGCUAGUUAGGCCGCUGUUGCUAAUCAGGCUAUUGAUGGUUCAACAACUGUUGAUAAAUUAGUUCUUACUCUAGAAAUGGUUAAGUAGAUGAUAAAAGCCUUUUCAGCCUUAAGGCUUCAAGGUAAACACACUAUACCAUCUUUCUUUUGGCUUGUUGAUUUUGGCUCAUCCAAUCAUAUGACUAAUUCCAGCGACACUCUUAGCAAUGUUCAAAAAUAUUAUGGAAACAUUCAUAUUGCUAAUGGUAGUAAGCUACCUAUUCAUGCUAUUGGGGACAUUAAUUUUUCCAUUAAAGAUGUUCUUGUAUCUCCCUAGCUUUCUACUAAUCUUAUUUCAGUAGGAAAAUUGGUUGAUAAUAAUUGUGAUGUUCGAUUUUCCCGUGAUAGUUGUAUUGUGCAGGAUCAGUUGUCGGGGAAGAUACUAGCGAAGGGGCCUAAAGUUGGACACUUGUUUCCUUUGCACUUUUCUGUUUCUAAUUUCGUUUCUUUGGUUAGUAUUGCUGUAAACCAAAAGAGUGAAAUAUGGCACAAAUGUUUAGGCCAUCCUAAUUCUGUUGUCCUGUCUCAUUUAAUAAAUUCAGGUUUAUCGGGCAAUAAAGAUCAGUUUCCUCUCAAUUUUCUUUUGAUUGCUCUGCUUGUAAAUUAGGAAAAAGCAAGUCUUUUUCUUUUCCUUCUCAUGGUAGUUGUGCAGAAAAUUGUUUUGAUAAUUCAUAGUGACGUGUGGGGCAUUACUCCUGUUAUAUCUCAUGCCAAUUAUAAGUACUUUGUCACAUUCAUUGACGAUUACAAUAAGUAUACUUGGAUUUAUUUUCUUCGUUCUAAAUCUGAGGUAUUUUCUGUCUUCAAAACAUUUGUAGCCUAUAUUGAGACUCAAUUUUCUUCAAAUAUUAAAGUGCUCAGAUCAGAUUCUGGUGGCGAAUAUAUGUCCCAUGAGUUUCAUGAUUUUCUUCAGCAAAAGGGAAUUGUUUCCCAACGCUCAUGUCCUUAUACACCUCAGCAAAAUGGUGUUACUGAACGUAAGAACCGUCAUUUAUUAGAUGUUGUUCGAACUUUAUUACUUGAAUCUUUUGUUCCAUCUAAAUUCUGGGUUGAAGCCUUAAGUACACCAGUUUAUCUAAUUAAUCGCUUGCCUUCAAGCGUCUUGAACUUUGAAUCUCCCUAUUAUCAUCUUUAUCAUAAGCAUCCCAACUAUCUUGACAUGCAUACUUUUGGCUGUGUUUGUUUUGUUCAUGUGCCACCUCAUGAAAGUUGUAAGCUUUCUGCUCAAUCUGUUAAAUGUGCUUUUAUGGGCUAUAGUGCUUCACACAAAGGUUAUGUUUGCUACGAUCCAUGUUCUAACAGAUUUCGUAUUUCUCGUCAUGUUAUUUUCUUUGAAAAUCAAUUCUUCUUUUUUAUACAUGUUGAGUCUUCACUAAAGUCACUUGUUCUUCCUAGUUUUGAUGAGGUAAAUACUACUAUUGAGAGAUUCAAGCCUGGAUUUGUUUAUACACGACAACGCCCAACUUUCCAGCCUCCUGAGCUUGAUCCGACAUCUAAGCCUGUUCAAGCUAUUUCUUCCAUGGACAAUCAGCCCUCAAACACUAUUGUUCGCCGCUCUUCCAGAAUCAUUCGACCACCUAAUCGGUAUGGAUUUCACACAUCUCUUCAUACUACUUUGACCAGUGUUUCUAUUCCUUUAUGUUAUUCAGAAGUUGCGAAAUAUGAUUGUUGGUGAGGCUAUGGAAGAAGAACUUCAAGCUCUUGAGGACAAUCACACAUGGGAUAUUGUUCAUUGUCGGACUAAUGUUAAACCUAUUGGUUGUAAAUGGGUCUACUCAAUCAAGCUUCGUUCAGAUGGUUCUCUAGAUCGCUAUAAGGCACGACUAGUUGCCCUUGGUAACAAACAUGAGUAUGGGGUCAAUUAUGAAGAGACUUUUGCUUCGGUUGCCAAAAUGACUACAGUUCGUACAAUUAUUUCAAUUGCUGCCUCAUAAGGUUGGCCACUUCAUCAAAUGGAUGUUAAAAACGCUUUUCUUCAUGGUGAUCUCAAAGAGGAGAUUUACAUGGUUCUACCACAUGACUUGCCUUCCUCCUCUUCUUUAGAUGUCUGUAAGUUGAAGCGAUCGUCUAUGGGUUGAAGCAAGCUCCCUGGGCUUGGUUUGAUAAAUUCCAAUCCACCUUGCUUCAAUUCUCAUUUAAGCAAAGCCAAUAUGACUCAUCAUUGUUUCUUUGCAAGACAUCUACUGGUAUUGUUCUUCUCCUAGUUUAUGUUGAUGAUAUUGUUAUUACUGGGACAGAUUCUGCCUUAAUUGCUCGGUUGCAACAACAUCUUCAAGCCUAAUUUCAUAUGAAGGAUCUUGGUCCUCUUACUUAUUUCUUGGGUUUGGAAGUUCAUUAUGAUUCUUCAGGGAUUUCUUUGAAUUAACAUAAAUACACACAAGAUUUGCUUAAAUUAGCUGGUCUUCAUAAUGCCUCUCCUGUGGAUACUUUGCUAGAAGUCAACACAAAGUAUAGUAGUGAGGAAGGUAAACUCAUUUAUAAUCCUACUAUCUAUCGAUAAUUGGUAGGAAGCUUGAAUUAUUUGACUAUUACGAGGCCGAAUAUUUCCUUUGUUGUCCAGCAAGUAAGUCAAUUCAUGCAACAUCCCGUCAUUUACAUUUAGCUGUUGUUCAUCGUAUCCUUCGAUACCUUCGCAGGACUCCUAGCCGUAGAUUGUUCUCUCCGGCCUGUUCUCCUCCUCAUCUUGUUGCCUAUAGUGAUGCUGAUUGGGCUGGCUGUCCGGACACUCGACGAUCUGUCACAGGCUGGUGUAUGUUUCUUGGGAAUUUCUUGAUUUCUUGGAAGAGUAAGAAGCAAGAUCGUGUUUCUAAAUCUUCAACUGAAUAUGAAUACCGUGCUAUGUCUGCUGCUUGUUCAAAGAUUGUUUGACUUCGUGGACUUCUAGCCGAGCUUGGUUUCUCUCAAUCUAAUCCCACUCCACUCUAUGCUGAUAACACUAGUGCUAUUCAUAUUGCUGCAAACCCGGUUUUCCAUGAGCGUACUAAGCAUAUAUAUUGAGGUGGAUUGUCAUUAUAUUCGUGAAGCUUUGGACACUCGUAUUAUUUCUCUUCCUCAUAUUUCCACUACUCUCCAGAGAGCCGAUGUAUUUACCAAGGCUAUGACACGAAAGCGUCAUCAAUUUCUUGUGAGUAAAUUGAUGCUCCUUGAUCGAUCAGCAUCAAUUUGAGGGGGGAUGACAGCAUAUAUGAAGGUAUAAAUUAUGUAUCCUGGCUGUAUAUAUAUUGUAAUUAGGAGGAUCUGUAAUUUCCUUAUUUAGAUAGAUCUAAUUACUAGAAAUUAGCCUCGAUUUGGUUGAUGUAAUAGCUGAAAAUCAGCCUUGUAAAUCUCUACAGUUUCUAUAUAAUGAGAGGAAUUCUCACAAGGAGAGAUAUUCAAUCCAAUUGAUAAAAAGAAUGCUCGGUUAUGUAAGAAAAUGAAAACAAUUUAUAGUUGCAAUACACUCAUCAAUAAUCUCAGGAAUCUCUGAUGAUUGAAUUACAAUUUUUUAAAAUCCAUUCUAGAAUUCAAGCAUACCUGUUCAUGCAAGAUACUCGAUGCUCUGGAUCCGAAACUUCAUCGGCCUUUGCAUCUAAGGGAUCAUUAACCUUACAAGUCACAGAACCCAAAUGGUCCACAAUAUUGACAGAGCGUUGAUGGCAUAAUCUUUCAAUGUUUCCACCACUCUGCAUAAAUGUGAAGAUGGUUUAUUUUCUCAAUAGAAAAUUGAAAUUAUCAGCUGUAAUUAGAGCAACUCACAUUUGUUUUUGGUCAUCACUGGUGUACCAUAGUUCAAGAUAUUCGGCCUCUGAGUAUAACAUUGUUCUCAGUUUUUUCAAAUCCUGAAAGUAAAGUCGCUUGAGUUAAAAAAAGACCAAAGUAAAUAUUUCCAUAAGAACUCAAAUCUAUUGCAAAUUGGUGCUUUUGUAUUUCCAUAAAUGGCUAUCUACCCCAAGGCUUGUUGAAAACUGAGUAUAAUUUGGAAAUUGACACACGAUCCACCGUUUGAAUCAUAUAAACAAGUAUCGCAUGAUUAAACAAGAAUUGGCUUUGAAGACAUAUGUCCCUAUUUGCCAAAAUCAUUUAUUUUUCUCUUUCUCUUUUCUUAAAAGUGAAUGCUGAAGUGGGUGCAACUUUUAGUAAUAGCUAUUAGUAGCAAAAACAAAGAUUGCACGCUGUAAAACAACUGUAAUAGGGAGACUGGUAUAGGCAUCUAAUCCAACAGAUUAAAACAAAAUAGAGAAACAGUAGUACCUUGAGACUAUCAGAGAACAGCAAGCUCUGCGGCCUUUUCUUAAAAGUGAUUGAUUAUGAUGAAACAUUUAACCUUGUAAUUAAGCCUGCUCCGGUUUGCUUUGUGUUUGGCAUUAUUACAAGACGGUAUUUGCGACAACUUGAUGUGAGCAAUGCCUUUUUACACGGGCAUCUAUCAAAGGAGGUAUUUAUGUCUCAGCUACCUGGUUUUAUUGAUCCCACAUAUCCUACUCAUGUUUGCAAACUUGAAAAGGAACUCUCUGCCCUUAAGCAAGCCCACGUUCUUGGAACAACACUGAGCUUCGAAACUUUCUUCUAUUGACGGGGAUUUUUCACUUGUAUCUAAUCUCAUGCUGGUGUGCAUGAGAUUAUCUUUGUGGGUAAAUAAACUUUCAUCCGUCGCCACAAUGUAGGGGCAUAUUAAAGAUACUCUCAAAGUCACGGUGUAAUUGUGCAAUCUUUUUAUCAUUUGUAUAUUUGACUUUCAUAACUUUAAACUAUAAUUGUGCACUUACUAUAAUUAACUAGCUUUAGUUGUGUAUAUAUUGAAAUCAUAUCAAUAGAAACAGUAAGCUGCGUUGUUAUUUCCUUUCUCUAUAUUAUUUAUUGUAUAAACCUAACAACUUUCAGCCCUUUUUUUCCCCAAAUCUGACACUUUUUUUUUUAUAAAUUUUAUUUACCCACACCUGUGUCGUUUGUCUCACUUUUUCUUUUUAUUUUCACUUAUUUCGUUACCCAGGCCACACUUUCAUAAACUUUGUCCCGGCCCCGCACUCUACUUUUGUUAGUUUUAUCAAAUGAGCAGCAUUAGCAGCACCAUGUAAUUAUACCCCCUUCUGGUAUAUCAGGGAAGCCGAAUAACAAAUACAUCCGCAAAAUAUCUACCAAAGAUAUUUCAACAAGCUGGUCGAGCACUGGACAGGGAAUUCAUCCGCAAUUUCUAUUUGUAUGAAUUGACGAUCUGUCCGGUGUCCCCUUGCCUACUCAUCAUACAUAUAAAAAUUGAAAUUAGGCUAUUUAGGAUUAAAGAUAACAGGGAAUGGAAAUAUGGAAUCGUUAAUUGUUAUACCCAUGACCCAUCUAAUUUGCAAAUGGUUCUUUCUCUUUCAAUAUUGUUUUCAACUGAUUUUGGGGUAGGAAAAUCCAAAAUCAAUCUUCAACAAUGAAUUUAUAUUUUUGGGGGAGAUGGGGUACCUCACUAGUUUAUUGUGUGCGGUGCGGUGUAUCUGAAAUGCGGGGGAGGUGAGAAGGGGAGAGAGAGUGGUAACAAUGGUGGAAGGCCAGAAAUAAGUGAGGUGUCCCUCAAAAUGAGCUUCACGCUUGCAAAACAGUAAAAUAGAGGUUAGAGGUGAAGCCGGGGUACCCCGGCGUUCACACUCCGACGCUCAAGUUAGCAAACUCAAGCUUUAAUGGUAAAGAGAGCUGGCCAGCCCUCUGUAAAUUUAGGGUUUAAGGUUGAAGAAAACCUAUUUUUUGGAGUGUGAGUGUUAAUGGUGAGUGAGAGCAUGAUGGAGAAUGAAACCUAGGCACCUUUAUAUAUGGAGUACCUCAGCUGCCACGUGGCAUACCCUUUUUGGCUAACGUCCUUUUACCUCUUUAUAAUUGUUUUUGGGCCGUUAUUUGCAUGUUCGCGGCGUAUCUCAUCUUUUGGAAACGUAGCGCGCGCUGGAGAGUGGUCCAGGGUACCUCUGCAGUAGCUGUCGGGUAGGCAGCUAGGGACCACUGUCCUUGGGACAGUGUCCUUCACUUUUGGCAGAGGUAGCAGGCGGCUGUCCCUCCUUUUAGCACGUCGCUUUUGAUUCCUAAUUCUGACUAAAUCAAAUGAUAUCUUUUAGGAGGCGGAGACGUUUCUCAUGGCGGGUAUUUUCGGUGGAUUCUCUUGCAUCCGCUUUGCCGGGUACCUUGAAUUACAUGGGGUACCCCCUAUUACGCGGGGUACCCCUAUCUGUAUGGGGUACCUCUAUUUGUAUGGAGUACCUCAUAUCAUAUGGGGUACCUCUAUUUGUGUGGGAUACCUCUAAUUGUGCAGGGUACCUCUAUUUAUACGGGGUACCUCAAGUCAUGCCGAGCACCUCGGAUUAUGCAGGGUACUUCGGAUUGCACUGAAGUUAUUUCAUUCUUCGACACAUGGCGUUCUACUAUCUUUCUUAUUUUUACCCCAAACAACAUCCCCCUAGUUUCUUUUGGCGAGAAGUAUUGGAGGCAAAAGAAACUUACAUAAAAAGUAUGAGCGACACGUGGCGAUAUGACGUUUAGCUCGAUGGACAGCUGAAUAGAGGACGCCUCUAGGGGUACCCUUAAGCUUGGAUAUCCCCUGAGCUAUCUGUUACUUCAUGGCGGGAUAACCCAAUUUUAUCAAACAUAUGGCGAUUCCUUCAAAUAUGCUUGCUGCUUAUCUCAGGCUCUCUUAGUGUAUUUGAGGAGUGACUUUCUGGCGUGGGGUACCUUGGACGUACCCUUAAUUAGUGUAUGGCGAUUUUUAGAAAAAUGCUUACCACAAAUCUUCACAAAACUUGUGGCGAUUCUUUUUGAGAGAUGAUGGAAAACCUCAUGAUCCACCAUUCACUCUACAUCAAAUAUGCAAGACAAAUAGUAAUAAAGGUGGGCUGCUCGCCUACCCUUAUGCAAGAUGGUCAAAAAUCUCAUGAUCUGCCAUUCGCGUAGAAUCAAAUAGACAACAUAGAUUGAGAUAAAGGUGGCUGCUCGCCUACCCUUAUGCGAGAUGGUCGAAAAGCUCAUGAUCCACCAUUCGUAUGGAAUCAAAUAGACAAUAUAGAUUGAGAUAAAGGCGGCUGCUCGCCUACCCUUAUGCGAUAUGGUCGAAAACCUCAUGAUCCACCAGUCGUUGGAAUUAAAUAAACAAUAUAGAUUGAGAUAAAGGUGGCUGCUCGCCUACCCUUAUGCGAUAUCGUCGAAAACCUCAUGAUCCACCAUUCGCUGGAAUCAAAUAGACAACAUAGAUUGAGAUGAAGGUGGCUGCUCGCCUAUCCUUAUGCGAGAUGGUCGAAAACCUCAUGAUCCACCAUUCGCAUGGAAUCAAAUAGACAAUAUAGAUUGAGAUAAAGGUGGCUGCUCACCUACCCUUAUGCGAGAUGGUCGAAAACCUCAUGAUCCACCAUUCGCUGGAAUCAAAUAGACAACAUAGAUUGAGAUGAAAGUGGCUGCUCGCCUACCCUUAUGCGAGAUGGUCGAAAACCUCAUGAUCCACCAUUCGCAUGGAAUCAAAUAGACAAUAUAGAUUGAGAUAAAGGUGGCUGCUCACCUACCCUUAUGCGAGAUGGUCGAAAACCUCAUGAUCCACCAUUCGCUGGAAUCAAAUAGACAACAUAGAUUGAGAUGAAAGUGGCUGCUCGCCUACCCUUAUGCGAAAUGAUUGAAACCUCAUGAUCGACCAUUCGCUCAGAAUCAAAUAUGGUGAACAAAUAAUGAUAAAGGCGGCUCUGAUGUUGAGUAGAUUAUUAUAAUUGGCGAUAGGUAGGGUACCUCGGGUACCCUGGAGUAAGGUGAUCCCUGGAUACCCUCUUGCAUCAUAAUAAACAAUACUUUUACUAGUAGUAUGACUUUUCUUUGUUAGAUUAGUGGCCCAAAUCGAGACUGAAACCGAGUCUUCAACCGAGGUACCCCGUUUUUCAUCUUUGGGUAUUCGAGGAUCCAAAGGUGCCUCCAAUUCACAUUUGAGCUUAAUUUGUUCCCCGUGGGGUAUCCCCGCAUAACUCUAGAGUAACUAGUUAUGGGAUACCCUACCACCGAGGCCUCGAUGGUGGCUCUUGCUGCUCUGGUGGUGGCGAUCUUGGAGGUUGGGGUACCCGUGAGAUACCCUAAGUGUUAAACACUCGUCCCCGCGGGGCAACCCGUGGAGGGCUCCGCAUUUGGGGUACCCCUGGUAUUGGGGCUUCCGUCCUCUUCAGCUUCUUCUUAUUCUUUGUGACCUCGACCUUAUCUUCUUGGCGCUUCAAAUGACAUUUCUCAUCCAUGUCCACUUGCUGCAAUGCCCGGGAACGGGCUUAAUCUGGUCCCCGUGGGGUACCCCGCAUAACUCUAGAGUAACUAGUUAUGGGGUACCCUACCACUGAGGCCUCGGUGGUGGCUCUUGCUGCUCUGGUGGUGGCGAUCUUGGAGGUUCGGGUACCCGUGAGAUACUCUGAGUGUUAAACACUCGUCCCCGCGGGGCAACCCAUGGAGGGCUCCGCAUUCGGGGUACCCUUGGUAUUGGGGCUUCCGUCCUCUUCGGCUUCUCCUUAUUCUUUGUGACCUCGACCUUAUCUUCUUGGAGCUUCCAAUGACAUUUCUCAUCCAUCUCCACUUGCUGCAACUCCUGGGAAUGGGCUUAAUCUGGUCCCCGUGGGGUACCCCGCAUAACUCUAGAGUAACUAGUUAUGGGGUACCCUACCACCGAGGCCUUGGUGGUGGCUCUUGCUGCUCUGGUGGUGGCGAUCUUGGAGGUUUGGGUACCCGUGAGAUGCUCUGAGUGUUAAACACUCGUCCCCACGGGGCAACCCGUGGAGGGUUCCGCAUCUGGGGUACCCUCGGUGUACCCGAUGAUGUCGCCGCCAUUUGAGAAGCCCUUUUGGCGUUUAACUUCUCACGGAGAUCCUCGUGGGUACGCUUUGCACGCCUCGUACCCUGGCUACUGCAGGAAUUGCAAGAGGCGGUAGAACGCUCGUCGCGGGAGCCCAUGGUUUGAAACUUAGAACGGGUACCCGAUGGCCUAGGCUUUGGCUUGCUGGCCUCGGGUACCCCUCUUCUGACCAUAGCUUGGUCGUCCGUUUGAGGUGGUGGAGCUUCUAGCGUCACUGGUGGAAGUGAACUUUUGGGUGCCCGAGAUCCGACCGCCCUAAGUAUUGCGUGAGUAAGAUCCUCAAAACGCUUGUGCGAAAUAGGUUCUUCUUCUUGGCGAACACCCGUCGACUGCUUGACACCCUUGCCCUUACUGAUGCGGGCUACCCUUCUCGCGGGAUCACUGCCUUCACUGCUGCUGUCCUCUCUCAUCCUUGUAGGAUCCCCCAUUAAACCUUCGGGAGGUACGUCGGGUGCCAUGUAUUGGAGUACACACAACAACUAGUUUGGUAACCGUGGAGGAGGCUUUUUGUGCGUUUCCCCACAGACGGCGCCAAUUGUUUUCAACUGAUUUUGGGGUAGGAAAAUCCAAAAUCAAUCUUCAACAAUGAAUUUAUAUUUUUGGGGGAGAUGGGGUACCUCACUAGUUUAUUGUGUGCGGUGCGGUGUAUCUGAAAUGCGGGGGAGGUGAGAAGGGGAGAGAGAGUGGUAACAAUGGUGGAAGGCCAGAAACAAGUGAGGUGUCCCUCAAAAUGAGCUUCACGCCUGCAAAACAGUGAAAUAGAGGUUAGAGGUGAAGCCGGGGUACCCCGGCGUUCACACUCCGACGCUCAAGUUAGCAAACUCAAGCUUUAAUGGUAAAGAGAGCUGGCCAGCCCUCUGUAAAUUUAGGGUUUAAGGUUGAAGAAAACCUAUUUUUUGGAGUGUGAGUGUUAAUGGUGAGUGAGAGCAUAAUGGAGAAUGAAACCUAGGCACCUUUAUAUAUGGAGUACCUCAGCUGCCACGUGGUAUACCCUUUUUGGCUAACGUCCUUUUACCUCUUUAUAAUUGUUUUUGGGCCGUUAUUUGCAUGUUCGCGGCGUAUCUCAUCUUUUGGAAACGUGGCGCGCGCUGGAGAGUGGUCCAGGGUACCUCUGCAGUAGCUGUCGGGUAGGCAGCUAGGGACCACUGUCCUUGGGACAGUGUCCUUCACUUUUGGCAGAGGUAGCAGGCGGCUGUCCCUCCUUUUAGCACGUCGCUUUUGAUUCCUAAUUCUGAAUAAAUCAAAUGAUAUCUUUUAGGAGGCGGAGACGUUUCUCAUGGCGGGUAUUUUCGGUAGAUUCUCUUGCAUCCGCUUUGCCGGGUACCUUGAAUUACAUGGGGUACCCCCUAUUACGCGGGGUACCCCUAUCUGUAUGGGGUACCUCUAUUUGUAUAGAGUACCUCAUAUCAUAUGGGGUACCUCUAUUUGUGUGGGAUACCUCUAAUUGUGCAGGGUACCUCUAUUUAUACGGGGUACCUCAAGUCAUGCCGAGCACCUCGGAUUAUGCAGGGUACUUCGGAUUGCACUGAAGUUAUUUCAUUCUUCGACACAUGGCGUUCUACUAUCUUUCUUAUUUUUACCCCAAACAAAUAUUAUUGUACGUAUUUGCAAGGAAACCUCCUCUAUCUUUCUUGCAAUUAAGCCUUUUGCGUAUCCAAUUGCUGUCAACUGUUUUUGAACGUGUGGAAAAAAACAACUUGAAGACUUAAGAGAGGGCCAGCGUUAAUUCAAAAUCAAGACCAACUUAUUAGCUUGCAGGACUCCUGAUGGUGAGAAAAAAGAGGGUUGACAGAUGCUGGGUAUAAGGUCUAUAAAACUUUAAUUAUUUCAUAAAAUUGAUUUAAUUUUUAUUCCUUAUCACGUUGGGGAUUGCCCCCCAAUGGCCCAUUUUAUUUUCAUGUUUAUGUAGGUCUGUAAUGUUAUUGGAAAUCAACUAUUGCCUCUUUUUUCUCGCUUAUUGAGGACUAUGGAGAAUUAAACAAAACUGACCCAAAAAAUAUAUAAUGAAUAUUUAUUAUAAGAUUUUAGACAAAUUAAUUUUUGAACCGAUUGAAACUUCCAAAAACCCAAAUUUCGAAUUUGUUAUAUAAAUAUAAUCUACUUUAAGUAUCAUUAUCAAAUCCUCCUCUAUAGCACAUGAGCAAAUUUGCAACCUUUCUAGCUUAAAAUCUAGGUUUCAAAUUCUGGCAGCGGAGUUAAUUUUUGUUAUAUAAUUUAGAUCAUAGAUAAUUUUAAAAAUAUAACGAGUAAUUGUGUAAUUCAAUCAAAUCUUAGAGACUAAAGGAAUAUUUACCAAAGAUUAAAAUAUAUAUAUAUAUAUAUAUAUAUAUAUAUAUAUAUAUAUAUAUAUAUAUAUAUAUAUAUAUAUAUUUUAAAGCUACAUUUUGUUUCAUCCAAAUGAAGCUACUGAAUCUAUAUUUUAUUCCAAUAAGACUAUGGCUUCAUUUCAUGUCUUAAUUAAAUUAUAUAAUGAUGAAAUAUUAUAUUCUGAACUUAACUGAAUCCAAUAUCAUUUCACCAAUCCGUCAUAUGAGAUGAAGGGAAAAAAAAUCUGUUGAAAUUAAUUUUAAAUUAAAGUUGAAGAAUGGUGAUGUGAUGCAUACACAUACAUGACUCUGAAUUUGUUAAAUUGAAGAUGUACUCAUCGUCUUGUCGAUGUGACCAAAUACUGGAAUGCGAGAAUGGUCUUUGGACUUUGGAGAAGACUUGAGAGGGCCCAGAGUAAUUAAAAGUCAAGAUUGGCAAUCUGAAGUUAAUCUCUGGCUUUAAAAUGCAGGACUCUCUUGUCGGUGGGAAAAGUUUCUGAAUUAAUAUAGGAGCUAAUACAUGCACUUUCCGAACUAAAGAAAACUGAGUUUAAGCGGCGAAUGGCUGUGCAUCUUUGUCUGGUGUUGUUGCAGAUUAUUGUUUUGCAUCUCAGGCCGAUCAAAGCCUCAGAAAGACUCCCCUGUCCAACUGAAUGUGGAAAUGUCAGCAUCAGCUACCCCUUCGGAAUCGGAGAAGGGUGCUACUUUGACAAGGGUUACGAAGUUAUCUGCGAUCACUCUUCUGGCUCUCCCAAAGCUUUUCUUCCUGGCGUCAACAGGCUAGAAUUAUUGGAUACUCUUUCUUAUGAUUCAAGGCCCGCGGUUAGAGUCAACGUUCCUACAAUUUCUUUAAACAGCAGUAGUAAGCGAACAAGCAAUAUUCUUAAAGGCGUCAACUUAUCAGGUACCCCUUUCGCCUUUUCGUCUGACAAUAAAUUCGCCGCCAUAGGCUGCAACAUGAGAUAUCACCAAGGGAACGGUUCAUCUGUGUUUGAUGCGUGUCUGUCGAUUUGUACUUGUGAUCCUACUCUCUACCCUGCUUGCUAUGAUUUCCUAUGCCCCCUUCCUCGAAAUAUUACUCAUCUUUUGAAUGUAAAUACAUCAUACUUGUUUUCUCAAAGUAUUCCUCAAAAGUGUCAGUCUGUUUUCCUGGUUGAUGAACAUUGGGUCAACAGCAAGUACCUUGAAGAUCCUCAUGAUUUGGAAGAUCAACGAGAAGUUCCUGCAGUGUUGAAGUGGGGAGAAAAGAUAGGCAGUUGUUUUGAAGGGAAUAACUCAUAUUCUAUUUUUUGUAAUUCGGAUAAAAAAGGUUGUUUAACACAAUUAAGCUCAGGCCAUUUAUGUCUUUGCUCUUCUGGCUACGACCUAGAGAAAGGAUACUGCUCAGGUACAGAUUGGAUUAUGAGUUAAAGAGUAAUUUUAUUUUUUUCAAAGAAAAUAUCCGGACGACAAGAAGAAAAGGGAAAAUUCUUGGUGCUCCACGAGCAUUAUGAAUAGAUGCUAUUUCCGUAUAAAUAUUAGCAAUAAGCGUGAAUGAGAAACGGAAAAUGCUAUUGGAGCGCCUAGACUUUAGUAGCAAGAGUUAAAUGUCAAAUGAUGUAACAUUCCUCUAUUGGAUGGUAAGAUGAUCAGAAAAGUGUUGUAAAAUUUAUCAUCCAAUAGAUGAUUGAAAUUACUGAUUUUUAAAAUAUCCAUCGGAUUACUUGCAAACGAGUAAAGUCUUCCAAUUACUGUAACUGUCUAUGUAAACAGAAAAUUAAAGACAAAAAUGGUGGAGUUUAUUUUAUUUAUUAUUUUCUGGACAGGCGACUUGAUCUGUAAUAUCUCGAGCGGCUACAAUUGCUCCAAUUGUCCUGACGGUUAUAAUCGUCUCUCAUAUGGUUGCAUUAAAGUUUUCAACAAAUCUCGGGUUAAAUUCAUUAUUAUAGGUAUGCAUGUCGAUCCUUUAUUUUACAUCAUAACAAAUUAAUAAUGUUUUUUAACAUAUAUUUCAAAUGAAAAUACUAACUGUUCAUUCGUUCGUUUGAUGAUAUCUUUCAUUAUUGUCCUCGAGAGCCACAGGCUGCGGUGGUGGGCUUGCGUUAUUCUUUCUACUCAUUGGAAUAUGGUGGUUGUACAAGUUUGUAAAAAGAAGAAGGGAAAUCAAGUUUAAGCGUAAGUUCUUUAAAAAAAAUGGUGGUUUAUUAUUGCAACAAGAAUUGUCUUCCAAUGAAGGUAACAUUGAGAAAAUGAAGUUAUUUACUUCAAAUGAUUUGGAGAAGGCCACCGACAACUACAAUGCCAAUCGAAUCCUUGGUCAAGGAGGCCAAGGCAUUGUAUACAAAGGAAUGUUAGCAGAUGGAGGAAUUGUGGCUGUAAAAAAAUCUAAAAUAUUGGAUGAGAGUAAUCUCGAGCAAUUCAUCAAUGAGGUAGUAAUUUUGUCUCAAAUUAAUCACAGAAAUGUUGUUAAGUUGUUGGGAUGUUGCUUGGAGACAGAAGUUCCUCUUUUGGUGUAUGAAUUUAUUCCCAAUGGAAGCCUCGAUCAAUACAUACACUACCAAUCUGAAGAGUUUCCAAUCACAUGGGAAAUGCGUUUACGCAUUGCUGUUGAAGUUUCAGGUGCUCUAUCUUAUCUGCAUUCAGCAGCAUCUAUUCCUAUUUAUCAUCGAGACAUCAAGUCUGCAAACAUACUUUUGGACGAUAAAUAUCAAGCUAAAGUUUCAGAUUUUGGGGCUUCUAGAUCUAUCACAAUUGAUCAAACUCACUUGACCACUCAAGUACAAGGAAGUUUUGGAUAUCUAGAUCCAGAAUACUUUCGGUCAAGUCAUUUUACUGAGAAAAGUGAUGUUUAUAGUUUUGGAGUAGUUCUUGUUGAGCUUCUAACUGGACAAAAACCUAUCCGUUCAACUGAAGCUGAAGAAGAUAAAAGUUUAGCAAGAUAUUUUAACCAAGCAAUGAAAGAGAACUGUUUGUUUGAAGUCCUUGAUGAUCGAGUUCUCAAGGAAGCUGAGAAAGUAGAAAUUAUUACUGUUGCUACACUCGCAAAAAGAUGCUUGAACUUGAAUGGGAAGAAAAGACCUACGAUGAAAGAAGUGGCAUUUGAAUUACGGGGUAUAAGAGAAUCGAUUGGAGCUUCCAUUUUGCAGCAAAAUUGUGAAGAGACUGAUUUUGUGGAUGGUGACAUUACUGGACAUGAUUUCGAAAGAGAUUCAUCUUCUAGUGGGUCAACUUUAAAUAGUGUCUCAGUUUCUGUGGAUGCCGACCCUUUAAUUUCAAACAAAUGGUGACAGAGAAGAAUGGCCUUGAAACUGUUUGUAUUUCAUAAAUAAGAUUGUUAGACUUUUCCGAUAUUAUCAUUCUUGAAUCGUUGCGCACCAUCAUUUGUAGUUAAACACUUCCAAGUCAUUUCAAACAAAUUUUCCACUUUUUCAUUGAAUGCGCGGAGGGGGCGCAAAUGGAGGAGAUGAAGGAAAAAUCUGUUGAAAUUAAUUUCGUAGUUGAAGUUUAUAAAUGCAAGAUGAUAUGAUCUCUCAGUCUAUUAAAUACUGAUGUGCAAGAACUUUAGCACUAUGUGACCUAAUAUCUCAAGUAAAUAGGAGAGAACAACUUGAGCACUUAAGAGGGCCAACGUUAAAUAAACUCCAGAGUGGCAUGUUGUAAUUGUUGGCUUAUUGUUAUGCAGAACUUUCCCGGUAGUGAAAUAAAAUCGAGAGGAAGAUGGGAGGAAAUAAAGAUCAAUGCGCUUUCUUGUAUUUCAUGGGUUAAAAAUCUUUUUAUCUGAUUACAAACUGAUAGAUAAAAUACCCUUAUAUCAUUUGUGAUUGAAUCUCUUAGGUCAAAUAUAUAAAGUUAGAACAAUCCUCAACUCAUUAGUUAGAUUUUGAGUAUGGGUUAAACCCAUGAACUUUUAUAUUUUACUAGAGAUAAACUCACCCACGAUUAUGCCCGCACUACCUCCCACAGUACCUUACCACUAGACGCCCUUCACAUGGAGGCUUGGGUACCACUUGAAAAGUCAUUCGAAAGAAAAGUCUGUUUAAAAUUACGUUCCAAUUCUGUAUUGUCAACUCUCCAAGUUAUAAAUUGAUAUUCAACUCUUAUGUUAUAAAAAAAGUAAUGCUGGAGCAUUCCAACUUGAGUACCAAUGGAUGUGGCAUUCAUUCAGUGGAUAGUAGAAUAUUUAUUUUAUCAACUAUAAAAUUUAUUAUUCAAUAGAUAAAUGAUAUAUGAUAGUUGGGACUCAAAUUGGGACUUAAUUGGUGGGUCACAAUCAUUAUUGGUUAAAAACGAUAUACAAAGAUAGCUAUCGUAAGAGGUAAAUCAAAAACUCUUUCUCUCUGCUAAGACCCUUUCUGCCACCAGCUGAAAUUCAAACACUAGUUUUGAUCCAUCAACGUGCCUGAAUUACACAGCCACCACAUUUUCAAACAUCUAAACUUUCAAAUCUAAACUUUCAAAUCUAUUUUUCAACUCCGUUUUUCCAACCACUGCAGUCUCGAACCAACCGGAACUCCACGCUGCUACUUGUAGCUGCCACGUCGCCAAUUUCCCAUUACCACAGCCAAUAAAAUAAAAUAAAAUAUAUAUAUAUAUAUACGGAGGAGAGAACAACUUGUAGACUUGAGAGGGCCAGGGUUAAUUAAAAGUCAAGUUGACUUGCAGGACUUUCAUUGUAUUGGGAUAAAAGCUAAAAGGAACCUAGAAGGAAUUUAAUUAAAGAUCAACGCAUGCAAUUGCUCCGUUAAAUCUUCAUUCUUCCGAGUAAAAAUAUUGAGAAUGGUUGUUCAUCAUUAUCUGGUGUUGCUGCAAUUGCUGAUUUUGCUAGUAUGGCCAAUCAAAGCAUCAAAAGAUUUAUGCCAAUAUGAUUGUGGCAAUGUCACUAUCAUUUACCCCUUCGGAAUCGGAGACGGUUGCUACUUUGAUAAGAGUUUUGAAGUAUUCUGCGAUUACUCCUCUCGCUCCCCAAAAGCUUUUCUUGCGAGCAUCAACAACCUGCAAGUAUUGGACAGUCAUGUUUAUACUGUUUAUGAUUCAUCUACUUCUUUUUAUGUAUACAUGAUUAGGGUAUACAUUCCUGUAAUUUCUUUGAAGAUCAGUAACCUGACAAGCAGUGAUAAAGGGGUCAGUCUAUCAGGUAGCCCUUUUACAUUUUCCCGGUCGCGCAAUAGAUUCACUGCCAUAGGUUGCAACAACUAUUCUACGAUUAUUAAGCGACAGAAUGAUUCAUCCGUUUUUGGUGGGUGCCUUUCGAUUAUCACUUGUGAUCCUGCUCUUAACCCUGGUUGCUACGAUUUCCUAUGCGCCUUUCCUCAAAAUAUUACUGAGGUUUUCAAUGCACAAAUAUCUAAUUUUUAUUCUAAAAGUAUUCCUCAGGAAUGUCACUCUGUUUCCAUUGUUGAAGAUUAUUGGAUCACCUCAGGGUACCUGAAGAAUCCUCACGUUUUGAAAGAUCAUGAACAAGUUCCUGCACUGUUGGAGUGGCUUGAGUAUAAAGGAUAUUGUUAUGAAGAAUAUAAUUCGAAAACUACUUGUAACAAGGACAAUAGAUGUUUAAUACAAUUAAGCUCAGGCUACCUUUGCCUUUGCUUUAGGGAAACAAGCUUUGACCGACACCACCAUGGAUAUUGCUCAGGUACAAUUUCGAAUACUAAUUAAAUUAAUUUCAUAUAUGAAGUGUAUACUACAUUUCCUUGAACCAACUACGUAUCUAACACAAAAUUAGUGAAAGUAAUUGCAGAAUUCGCAUAUGUAAAAAAUGAAAGAUUUAUAUAUAGCCAUAAUUUAUUUUGAUAUUCUAUUUCAUCUUUUGGGUUUGUUUAGGUUUCUUGUUCUAUAAUAUCACAAGCCCCUACAAUUACUCCUCAGGAUGUCCCAAAGGUUACUUUUCAGAUCCCAACUCAAGUAUCUGCGCCCAAAAUCGUAGGACAAGUUCAUAUGAACUUCUUCAAAUUAUGCACAAAAAUUCUCAUGUCAAAUUCAUUAUUAUAGGUAUGCAUUGGAAUUUGCAGAUUUUGUCGACAGAAUUAACUGAUUUUUAAUUACCGUAUAUAUAUGGGCUCACAAACGCAAAAACGUUCUGCACCUGAAAUUUGCAAUAGCAUAUACAUUUAUGAUCUCCUACUCUUAACAGACUAAACAGUUCCUUGCCAUAAAUCGCCGAACGCGUAUUAAAUAUUCUUGUCCUGGAGCGUUGCAGGUUGCAAUAGUGGGCUUGGAAUGUUGUUCCUACUAAUCGGAAUAUGGUGGUUGUGCAAGUUCGUUAAAAGAAGAAGAGAAACCAAGCUCAAACAGAAGUUCUUUAAAAGAAAUGGUGGUUUAUUAUUGCAACAACAAUCGUCAUCAAAUGAAGGUAAUACCGAGAAAACAAAAUUGUUUACUUCAAUGGAAUUGGAAAUGGCUACUGACAACUUCAAUACCAAUCGAAUCCUUGCAUUCAACUACUUGUAUUCCAAUUUAUCAUCGAGACAUCAAGUCUGCAAAUAUACUUUUGGAUGAUAAAUUUCGAGCAAAAGUUUCGGACUUUGGGGCGUCUAGAUCUGUCACGAUUGAUCAAACUCACUUGACCACACGAGUACAAGGAACUUUUGGAUAUCUAGAUCCAGAGUACUUUGGGUCAAGUCAAUUUACAGAGAAAAGUGAUGUUUAUAGUUUUGGAGUUGUCCUUGUUGAGCUUUUAACUGGACAAAAACCUAUCCUUUCAACCGACGCGGAAGAAGAUAAAAGUUUAGCAGGGUAUUUUCUCCGAGCAAUGAAAGAGAACCAUUUGUUUGAUGUGCUUGAUGCUCAAGUUCUUAAGGAAGCCAAGGAAGAAGAGAUUAUUACCGUUGCUAUGCUUGCAAAAAGAUGCUUGAACUUGAAUGGGAGGAAGAGACCUACUAUGAAAGAAGUAACAUUUGAAUUAGGGGGGAUUAGAGCUCAAAAGUGUGAAGACAUUCAUCUUGUGGGUGGAAAUUUUGAAACUGGUUCAUCUUCAACUGGAGCAUUUUAAAUACUGUUGCUUUUUCUGUAGAUGCUAAUCCUUUGCUUUCAAACAAGUGGUGAUUAAAGGGAAAAAUUUUCCUUUAAAAUCUAAGUAUUUCAUUUCAUAAAUAAAUUAAGCUGUGGAUUUUUGCAUUAUGCUUCUCUUAUGGUUAAAAUUUUUCAUCUCUAGAAUAAAAUAUACAGAGUUUAAUGUUCGGUUUGUAAGCGGAGAAAUAAAUUUAGAAGGUAGAUUCCAACAAAGCAUCUGUGGCAAACAUAUUUAAAUGUCUAAGAAGCAAGCUUCUAAUGCUACCAAUAUUUAGGGGCCCUGUGCUUGAAGAAACAGAACUUUGAAGCUGACAGAGUGAGGCAUCUCAGCAUCUGAAUCUGCAUACAAGUGGAACAGGAGAUGCUGACAUGACAUCCUAGGUGGAACUUAUGUGACACAUACAAUGUAUCCAGUUCGUUCCUAAUUCAUACGCUUACAUUGUAACCCCGUUCUGUGUGUUUCGAGUACCAUUGGUGAACCAUCACUUCGUGCCAUUGUAUUGCUAAUAGCACCUUUGCCUUGAUUGAUUUUGCUGACAAUGUAUAGGUUGUGUUUGAAAGUGAAGUACUAUAACUUUUAUGUUACGUUUACUUCCCGGAUUAGGGAAUCGGAAUCAUUAACAACGUUUACCUCGCAAAAUAGAUUUAGGAAUUGGAAUCGGAUUCGUGAGACCCACCACAAUUUGGGAAUGAGCAAUGGGAGACUCACUCCUAGGGGAGGUGGGAAUGAGUCUCCCAUUUUCGGGAUUGACUGUUUUACCCUCCCCCAAAAUUAAAAAUGUUUAUAUUGUCCUCAUUUAUAAUUAAUUAAUAUAUUAUUAUAAUUAAUUAAUAUAUUGUUAACAAUAAUUAUUAAUAAUUUUAGUAUUUAAUAAAUAAUGACAAUAAUUAAUAUAUUAUUAUUAUAAUUAAUUAAUUAUUAUAAUUGUUACUAUUAAUUAAUAUAUUAAUAUAUUAUUAACAACAAUUAUUAAUAAUUUAAUUUUUGAUAAAUAAUCACAAUAAUUAAUAUACUUUUAUUAUAAUUAAUUAAUUAGUAUACUAUUAUAAUAAUUACUAAUAUAAUUAUUUUAAUUAAUUCAUAUAUAUUAUUAAUUUAUUUAUAUAACUAUUACUAUUAAUUAAUAUGUUAGUAUAUUAUUAACAAUGAUAUAUUAAUAAUUAUAGUUUUGAAUAAAUAAUUACAAUAAUUAAUAUAUUUUUAUAAUAAUAGUUAAUAUAAUUAUUAUAAUUAGUUAAAAAAAUUACAAUUAAUUAAUAUAUUAAUAUAUUCUUGACAAUAAUUAAUAAUAAUAAUAAUAAUUUUUGAAUAAAUAAUCACUAUAAUUAAAAAAUAAAAUAAUAAUUAUGACAAUAAUUCAUUAAGUACUUUUUAGUAAUUUGUUACAAUCUAACUCAUUCUGAUUCCAAUUCCAAGAUAAAAUAAACACAUCAGUGGGAUUCUAGUCCAUUCUUAUUCUGAUUCAUGUAGGUCAACUAAACAAUUUAUUCUAAUUUUUAUUCCUCAUUUUGAUUCCAGCCCAUUCCAAUUACUAACAAGUAAACGCAGCAUUAAGAUACAUAUGUUGUGGAGUAAAAGUCAUAGUUGUGGGAUAAAAGCUGCUAGUGUUUAGCAAAUUUUAAUAGUUGUAGAGUAGAAGCUGAUGGUGUUUGGUAAAUUUUAAUAGUUGUAUAGUGAAAGUUGAUGAAUAUUUGUAAUAAUUAAUUUUAAAUAACAUUAUUUUUAAUUAUUAAUUAGUCAAAUUAUUUUUCAUAUUUUGAAUUAUCAUGUUAACUUAUGAUUAUGUUUAUUACUUUGACAAAUCAAAUUAAUAUUUAAUUAAUCAAAGUUAUUUUUCUUCACAAGUUGUAAUAAAUAUUUUUUAAAACAAAAUAAUUUAAAAAUUGAAAAUAAAUAAAUUCUAAUUUUACACAAUGAUUGAAGAAAUAAAUUAUACCAAAUAUGUCUAAUAAAGAUCAUACAACAUAACAUUAUCUAUACAACUUAAAAGUGAUUUUUAACCCGCAAGUAUAAGAGUGUCUUGUUGUAUUAUAGCUCGGUGAGUCCAAGGUCGAUUUACAGAGAAAAUAUUUAAUUUGUUUAUUUUAUUUUAUCUAAAAAUGAAAAUAAAAUUUAAAUAUAAACAACUUAAUUUAAAUCAAAUUAUGAAAUUGAAUUAGUUAGGGUUAUGGAUCCACUCUUAGUAGUAAAUAAAAUUUAAUAAAUUCUUUUUACUAUUUUUUUAGAUUUAUUACCCAAAAGAUUAAUUAUAUAAAUUAUUAUUAUUUUCCUAUUAAUUUUAUUAUGGAUUAAGUAUUUAUUGUGCCAAAAUUUAUUUUUUCUACAAUAAAUCAAAAUACCAUUUUAUCAUACCUUAUAUUAAGAUAUUAAGAAUUUAUUGUGCCAAACUCCCUUUUUUGUCUACAAUAAAUCAAAAUUUCAAAAUAUAAAAUAUGUAUAAAAUUAAAUAGAAAAUAAUUUAAUUUAUUAAAUUAAAAAUAAAUUUUGAUUAAAUUAUAUUUAUUUCCUAAGAGUUUCACCUUACCCUAACUAUUAUUAUUUAGUUAAGUAUAAUUGAAAUAAAAGUAAUUACUAAAAUUAAAUUGAACAUAAUUAAAAUGAAUAAAAAACUAAAAUUGAAAAUAAAACUAAAUUUAUUUAUAAAAAUAAUUAAGCAAAAUAUUAAAAACACACCUGAAAAACAAGAUUACAAGGAGAUUGAGAGAAAUUGAGAAGACGAGAGAUGAUAAAAAACAUAAAAAAUGAGGCUCUAUUUAUAAAAAAAUAAAUUCAUGAUCCAGUGUCUUGCGGUCCAUCAUAAGCUUUAUGCAUGCGCUCUUCACAACCAUUAGAUCAAAGAUCCAACAGCUGCUCAAACUUCAAAAGUCAACAUCACACAUAGCAUCAUGUGAAACGUCCGAUUCGGUCAAAGAACGGUUGAGAUUUGGCGGGUUAAUGAGUUGAUCUGAUUGACCCGAAUACAAAGGUUCGGAUCCUACAAUUUACUUCACCAACCAUUGCCACGUGGCACAAUCGCAGCCAUUGAAUCAUGAACGGUUAAGAUUUAGUUAAAAUUGCUAGUUAUGUCAUGCACUCAUAUAUAUUGUAAGCUCAUUUUAUCAUCCAAUCAGUGCUCAGUCAACUGAAAACGUCAACCUUUUUUUACAACAGCUCAAUUUUAAGCCGAUGUGGACCAAUCUUAAGGUUUUCGAAUCUCCGAAAUCCAAAUUUGACAUCCGUUUAUCUGUUUGGAGCCUCAAACUACGUGAAAUUAAUAUUUUACCUAAUAAACACACAAAAAUAUACAAAAUUAAAUAUAAUUAAGACAUAAUUAAUAAUUCCUAAUAUAUUGGAUAAACACAAAUAUAAAUUAUAAUAUAAACACAAAAUAACAUUUUUAUCGCUUGAUAAUUAAACAACUUUUAAUACUAAUCAAUUAUAAAAUUAAAAUGUAACUAAUUAUAAAAUUCUUAUAAACAUUUCCAUUGUCAUGCCUCCAUUAAACUUGCAACAAUGCCAUCUCUCAAGAUUAUUAUAUUUUGAGCUAUGUUAUCAGUUGUGUUAUAACUUUCUUUAGGAGACGCAAUCUUGCUUAUAUGUUCGCUCUUAGUAUGACUUGGUUCAUCCAUUGUUUCAUAAAAAUGAUCAUGAUUUUGUGAAUAUCUUCUUAUGUAAUUAUGUAAGGCCAUGGUAGUAAUAACACUCGCUUCUUGAAUGUAUCGCUUGGCAUAUUUCGUAAAAUCUUCCACGUGUUCUUUCAAACCCCAAAAGUACCCAUUAGAGUUAGCAGUACUCUAAACACUAAGAGAUUCAGAUGCCUCAUUACUCUCGAAAGGAAAACCAAAUGAGGGAAGCCAAACAUGCUCACUCAUAACCACUGUGUUUGAACAUUAAAUUUAGGUUUUUCUCUAACUCUGGAUCAAUAACAUUUUUUCGAAAUCUACUCAAUUGCAAAUUUUCCUUUAUUUUCUUUUCCCACCAGUCUUCACUUGCAUCAACUAUCCAGGGGCAAAGCUAUGAGGGGGCUAACCCGGGUUGUAGCCAGGGUUAGUAUCUUGAAAGAAAAAAGUUAAUUAUAAAUUUAUUUAAAAAAAACUUAUAGUAAAAUAUAAAAUAUAACGAAUAAUUAUUGUCAAUAUCUAUUUUCUCUAAAUCGAAAAACUCACCUUCCUUGACUAAUUAAUCCAAUUAUCCAAAAUCUAAAUUCCCCAAGACUCAAUUGUUCAAGUCAUUAACUUGCUGCUUUAUGAGUGACAACCAGCCUCUACCGCACCCACAUAAUCAUACUGUCUUUGAAUUAGUUAUUAGCUUAUACUUUUGUCAAAUUUUUUGAUAAAAUAAUUAAUAAUUCUCUAAUAUAUUAUUAUCGCAGACAAUAUCAAUUCAGAUACGAUAAUACAUGAGCUUUCUUUUUUGAAGAAUCACAAGACAAAACUUCUUUGACAGUGUUUUUUUAUUUACAAUGUACCUUUACAGUUUUAUUAUUAGUUUUUUGCUUGUCUAGUGUAUUUUAAUAAUUUCAUUUGUAUAGAAUAAAUUUUUUUGAGAAAUAAAAUUGAAUUAAAAAAAAAAUCUAGCCCACCCCAAAAAAUAUUGCUAGCUUCGCCACUGCAACUAUCCAUAACUUAUGAUUCCACCCUAGACUAGCUUCCUAGCUAAUCAAAUUCUUCCACAGUUUCCAAUCAGUUCUAAUAGAAUCCCAUUUUUUUUUCAUCUGAAUUCUAUUGUAAUCCAAUCCAGUUUCUUUAGUGGAUUCCUUAAUUAAAUUUUCAUAUCCUUUGGAAGUCACAUGAGUCCUAGGACGAUGUUUGGCAUCCACUGCCUUAAUACAUAACUCACAAAAUACAUUUGAAGUCUAGGAGUUCCAGGUCGCCUUACUAGUUGAGCUAUUAGACAUAAUUGCGUACACUUAAACCUAGAAAAUAGAAUAAUAUUUCGUCAUCAAACAACAAUAUAGGAAAGAGAUUAAUUAAGAGCAAUACCCAAUUUUCUUUUUAAAACAAAUAACAUUAAUUAAGGAUGAAUUAUGUCUAGCAACAAGGAUGAAUUAUGUCUAACAUUACAUAUCCUGUUUCAAAAUGAGUUGUUAGAUUAAUAAACCUGGGGUUUCCUCUAAUUACAUACCCUGUUUCGAAGAAAUUAAAAUAAUUUUUCUCAAUAGUUUAAUUUUUUUUAGUUACCUUUAAGUGAAUCCUUUAAAAUUUAUGAGAAGCUGAAAUGAUUUGUUCAAAAACAUGUAUUGUUGGAAUAUAUAGGAAUUGGUUACUUGUUUGUUGCUGCCUUUAAUGAUUUUUAUUAGGGAAAUUUCAUCAAACAAGGAUUGUGCAUGUCUAUAAAAAGCAACUAAAAAAAAUUAAAAAUGCAAUAAAAAUAGUGACUUCAAAGCAAAUAAAUCACACGUGACCAAUCACCUAUUAAUUUAUUCUAAGCAAAAGCUCCGGUACAUUUUGAACAAAAAGGAAGAAAAUAAAAAAUUACAUGUAACAAAGUAAAGGAAAACUCAAAAAAUGAACAACGGGUAAAGGAAAAUGCACAUUUCUUAGAUAUUUUAAAAACAAAGAUAGAAGAACAUAUUUGUAUGAAAAUGACUGGUGUUAGAAUCGCGUCAAUGAGAAUUACCAAUGUUGGAAUUGUAUCGAUGAGAACUGUCGAUGUUGGAAUCAUGCUAAUAAGAACAAUGUUUAGAGUUUGUUUUAUGGAAAAAUCAAUUUGAGUUUAAGUUUAAAAAUGAGGAGGAUAAAAUCAAAAUUAAAUAAUAUGUAACGGUAAUUUAGUAAUUUAAUAUACAGCUAAGAAAAAAUUUUGCUGAGCUGCUAAAGCCCGACUCCAAAGUGUUACUACUGAAAAUGAGGGGAUGAUAUAUGGAAAAAAGAAGCUUCAUUUUAAAUUAAUGAACAAAAACAAUUUAAAGAUUUAAGAGAUCUAAUUUGUCGUUUUAUUUCACUAAAAUGUAUUGAUAGAUAAAAUUAGCCAUUAGGUGUGUCUUAUCCUAAAAUUAAUCUUUCACGAAGUCCUUAGAAACAAUAAAAUACUAUUACAUAGCCCGGAAAGCGUUUGUAUUAAGUUAUAGAAUUAGGUGUCUCUUACACAUAUGUCUUCCCAUGAAUAAAAGCGUUCGUAUUAAGUUAUGAAAUGGUGGAUUAUUAUGCCAAACAAACGGCUCUUUCCCAUUCAAAUUUAUUAAGUUAUGAAAUGGUGGAUUAUUAUACCAAACAAACGGCUCUAUCCCUUUCAAAAUUAUUGGACGUAUUUUUCAAGGAAACCUCCUCUAUCUUUCUUCCAAUUAAUGUCCAGUUAAGACUUCCGUGUGUCCAAUUAAUGUCAAUCGUUUUUGAAUGUGUACAGGAUAACAACUUGAAGACGUGAGAGGGCCAGCGUUAAUUCAAAGUCAAGACUAGGCUAUUACCCUGCAGGAUUCUUGAUAGUAAGGUGAAAAAAAAAAGGGUUGAAAGAGAUUAGGAUUUAACACUGAGUUUAGUUUUUAUUGACCACUAAGUUAAUUAUUAAAAUUUAUUUUGUGCUUUUUCUUUCGUUUAUCUUACAUAACAAUUAUUUAUUGAGAUUCUUGUCCAAUUGAAAGAUAUUAGAUAAAAGGUUAUUAAAACUUUAGUUAUUUUUGUGUAUAAAACAAAAACUUUGGAUUGUUUAGUUUCAAAAGAAAAAAAAUCGAGACUUUGAGCUGGUUUGGAACAAAUUAUAUUUGAAAUUGAAAAGAAGAAAAAAAAACCAUACAACGAGAAAGAGAAAAUAUAAAUGGGGUUAAUUCUAAUAAUAUGUCCUUAAAUAUAAUUGUAUAUAAUAGGGGUUUUAUAAGAUUAAUGAAGAGGUGCCAAUAAUCCAACAUUUUCACAAUUUUUUUUUUAAUUUUUAUUCAUCACCCCGAUGGCCCAAUUUAUUUUCGUUAUUAUGUAGGUGUGGUGUUACUAGAAAUCAAAUGCUGCCUUUUUUUCUUUUUUCUUUUCUUUUCCUCUCCUCUCCUCACUUAUAGUGGAAUAUGGAGAAUUAAACAAAACCAAUUCCUAAUCAACGUUAACAUACGUUAUAUAAUAUAUUACACAUUACAACUAUUUGUAUUUGAACUAAACUAAAAAAUCCAAACUCGAAACAAAAAUUGGGCUGCCGUUUGCUGGAUUUUGUAUGGAACUUAGAGGAGAAACUUGGUGAUGAAGUGUGUGGAGGUGCAAAGCCAACAAUCAGUAGGAGGUAGCAUCAGAUCUGGUCGCGGUCCUCGCAGAACAGUAGAUCGGCUGGCGGUUGGCAUCGGCGGUGAUUGUGGCGAGCCUGUGUUGGCUGCGGCUGUGUGUAUGUGUGUGUGUGUUUCUACUUGUGUUGAGUGUUGACUUGAGGGUGGGGCAGUGACCCAUGAGGCGUGAAGGAGGGGAGCAGAGGCUGGAGUGCGCUGUGUGGUCUCUUGUCGAGGUUUGAGGGGGAGGUAGUGAGGCGUGAGGGAGGGGAGUGAGGCUGCUGGGUACGGCUGGGUGCGCUGAGUGUGUAGUCUACUGGUUUUGUGCCUCCAUCUCUACUCGUUUUGUGUGUCGUAUACGUGUGUGGUGCGUGAGGCUAUGUAGUGUGUGGUCUGUGCUCUGCGGCGUCACUGGUGCUUGACUGCUUGUUGUUGGAUGCAUGUGUGCUGUAUCAGUAUGGGUUGUUCACUUUCUUCUUUAAGCCAACCCAUUCAGGUUAUCGGAUUGGAUCAGAUUUCACCCGAUCCGAUCACGAUCCGAUCGGGUUGGCAACAUUUGAUCCGAUCGGAUAUUAUGGUCAAUCCGAUCCAAUCUGAACCCAAUUUUUUUCGGAUCAAAUCGGGUCGGAUCAGUUAUUUUGCCCACCCCUAUUGCCCAGUGUCCCCCCUUGCCUCCUCACCAUACAAAUAACAAUUGAAAAUUAGGCCAAUUAAAUUAAAGGCAAGACGGGAUGGAAAUAUGGAAUCGUUAAUUAUUAUACCCAUGACCCCUCUAAUUAAUGGUUAUUUCCCUUUCGAUAUUAUUGUACGUGUUUGCAAGGAAAACUCAUCUAUCUUCCUUCCAAUUAAGACUAUUGUAUGUCCAAUUAAUGUAAAUUUUUUUUGAACGUGUAGAGUAUAACAUGACAAUGCAGAGACAUUUAAAGUUGAUUGAUAGAAGGAACAAAAUUUCCUAAAUAAUGAAGUUAAUUGAAAAAAUUUUAAAUUAACAAAACUAGAGUUUUAGAUCUUUUUAUAUAAUAACUUUAACUAUAAUAAAAUUCUCCUAAUCUAAAUAAAAAAUCCAAAAUAAACAGUGCUCAAAUAUGUUAUUUAGGAAAAAAAAGAUAAAAAUUUUAGAAGAAAUAAGAAAAAAUAGAAGAAUAUCUUAAAAACGAAAAAUGACAAGGAAAGAAACAAAUUUUUAGGCUCAAGUAAGGCCCAAAAUGGCAUAAGCUUUAUUAGCUUGAUUUGUCUUCUCGUAAACUUUAAAACAAUAUAUUAUACACUCAAAACGGAUACAUGUAGCCUAAGUUACGCCCUUUGGAAAGUACCAUUCUCAUCCCACACACCCAUCAUACAUUAGUCCCUCUCACUUGGAAAAGAACUCUCCAUCGAGUUUGACUCGUACAACGCCUCAUCAUCUAAAUGAUAUUUAAACAGAUAAGCCAUAUUGAAUGUGUAAAAGAUCUUUUAGUUGUCCGGUAGUGCGAGAACAUAAGCAUUAUUAUUAAUCUUCCUUGCCACACGAAAUGGUCCAUACUUGAUGUGGACAUGCAUCACUUUCCUGUGUCGACGCCUGUUCGCACCGAACUUGUACAUAGCAUUUGUAACCUCCAAAUGAGCUCGUACCUUGGCGUGAAUCUAUAGAGCCCUUUAUUUUCUACCACAUUAUUCACUAUUUUUUAUACGAACCCCAUCAAGCACUAACACGACCCUAAUCAAUUUAGUUCCCAAGAUCGAAUCUAAACCAGGAAUUGAAUAGAACCUCAACCCAAUGCUUAAUGAAAGCACGAACCUUGGUAUGUGAAGACGCCACAAUCAGCUAUGGAUGGUCUGAUUGAUAAGUCAAGAGUUUGAACGCCACGGAAAUCCGAUAAGUUCAAAGAGUUUGUAAAGAACCAAAAAGAAUUAACUCUCUCACCAAUUGCAUCAAAAUUUAUCUCUGUUUAUUGGAUAUGAAUACAUUAUAUAGGGCUGGUUACAAGAAUUUUUGGAAAUAAAUCAUAAGCCAAAAAUCAAAUCUGAAUAUGAAUCUAAACAAAUAGGAAAGAAUAUAAAUCAAAUCAGAAUCCUAAUCUAAGUAAAUAGGAAAGAAUAUAAAUCAAAUCAGGAUCCUAAUUGGCUUAAAUGUCUUACAUCAAUUAAAAUGGAAACUAGUCGAUUAAAAUAGAAAUAAUUGAUUUGUUUCCUUAAUAGCCUCCUCAAGAAACAAGAAAGUAUCUGAAAAAAAAAAAAUAUAUUUUCCCGCCAUAAUGUGCAAGCCAACUCCUUAUUUCAUGGAAAUAAUUAUUUGGAAACUUCAAGAGCCUAAAUCAUGCAUUUAUCAUGUGCGAUUCCUUCAACGGACCUCCACGAAUUUGAUUGAGCCCAAGUUGCUUGAAUCAAUCCAUUACGCGCUUCUUUGAAUUUCUUUGCUCGAGCUCUUGUAACAGGUCCGACGGGAACUUGAGUAGGAUCUGAAUAUGCCUCAUCCCAUGUGCUUGUGAUAGUUUUAUCCUUAAUCUCAUCAUUCCCCUCCUUUUGAAGAGGAUUUGUCCUCAAAUCAUCACCAACAUCAAAAGAACUCAAAUCAGAAACAUUAAAAGUAGCACUUAGAUUGUACUCACCGGGCAAAUCCAGUUUCUAGGCAUUUUCAUUGAUCCGUUCCAAAACUUGGAAUGGGCCAUCCCCUCAAGGUAAUGACAUAGAUUUCCUCCGUUCAAGAAAUCGUUCUUUGUGCAUGUGUAACCACACCUAAUUGUCGGGUUCAAAGACUAGUUUAUGUCGCCCUUUGUUAGCUUGUUUAGCAUAUUGCUCAGUUCUCCGCUCAAUGUUGAACUUCGCCUUCUCAUGUAUUUGUUUAACAAUUUCAGCCUUUUUCUUGCCAUCUAAGUUAACACGAUCAGAAAUAGGUAAUAGAGUUAAAUCCAAUGGGGUUAAAUGAUUAAAACCAUAAACAAUUUCAAAUGGUGAAUACUUAGUAGAAGAAUGAACGGAACGAUUAUAAGCAAACUCAACAUGUGGUAAACAAUCUUCCCAAGUUUUGAUGUUCUUUUUAAUGAUAGCUCGUAACAGAGUAGAUAAAGUUCUAUUCACAACUUCUGUUUGACCAUCAGUUUGAGGAUGACAAGUAGUUGAAAACAACAACUAAGUUCCUAACUUAGCCCAUAAUGUUUUCCAAAAGUAACUUAAAAACUUAACAUCCCUAUCAGAAACAAUUGUCCUAAGCAUACCAUGCAACCUUACAAUCUCCCUAAAGAAUAGGUCAGCGACAUUAUAAGCACCAUCCGUUUUGUGACAUGGAAUAAAAUGUGUCAUAUUUGAAAAUCUAUCUACAAUCACAAAAAUUGAGUCUUUCCCUUGUUUAGACCUAGGUAAACCUAGUACAAAAUCCAUCGAAACAUCAGUCCAAGGUGCACUAGGUAUUGGCAAAGGGGUGUAUAAGCCAUAAGGUUGCACUUUUAAUUUGGCUUGCCUAUAAGUGACACAUUUACCACAAAGUUUUUCAACAUCUCGUUUUAUAUGUGGCCAAUAGAAGUGUUCCUAUAAAACUGCUAGAGUCUUUACAACUCCAAAAUGCCUUAUUAACCCUCCUCCAUGGGAUUCUCUCACUAACAAAUCUCUCAAAGAACAGUUAGGCACACAUAGUUUAUUCUCCUGAAAUAAAUAGUCAUCAUGCCUAAAGUAUUUACUGACUGUGGUCUUUUCACAAGCUUGGUAUUCAACAUUAAAAUCAUGGUCAUUGGCAUACAAUUCCUUAAUAUGUUCAAAACUAAGUAGUUUAGCAUUAAGUGUUGAGAUUAAGACAUAUCUGUUGGAAAGCACAUAUGCAACAACGUUUUUUUUACCUUGCUUGUAACGAAUGACAUAUGGAAAUGUCUCUAUGAAUUUUACCCAUCGAACAUGCCUCUUGUUCAGCUUGUGUUGGCCUUUAAGGUGUUUUGAGGACUUAUGAUCGGUGUGAAUCAUGAACUCCUUAGGCUAUAACUAGUGCUGCGACAUUUCUAAUGCUCGAACCAACGCAUACAACUCCUUAUCAUAAGUAGGGUAGUUUAAGUUUGCCCCACUCAGGUUUCCACUAACGUAAGCAAUUGGUCGUCCCUCUUACAUUAGGACUGCGAAUACCAAUCCUGAGGCAUCACAUUCAAUUUCAAAUGUUUUAUUAAAGUUAGGCAAAGACAAUAAUAGAGCAUUUGUUAGCUUUUGCUUGAUCAUUUGAAAUGUCUCCUCUUGUGCUUCUCCCCACUUGAAUCCAACAUUUUUUUUAUUACUUUAGUAAGCAAUGCGACUAAUGUGCUAAAGUCUUUCACAAAUCAUUGGUAGAAACUAGCGAGCACAUGAAAGCUUCUCACAUUACUUACACUUAUGGGACUCGACCACUCUUGGAUUGCACAUACCUUUUCCUCAUCAACCUGUAUACCAUGUGCACUGACAAUAAAUUCUAGAAACACACAUUUAUUUUCUAAGCAUAUCUAAAAUAGAUUUCAAAUGUAUUACGUGAUCGUUUAUGUUUUUGCUAUAAAUGAGGAUAUCAUCAAAAUAAACAACAACAAACUUGUCAAUAAAAGAUCGCAAGACAUGAUUCAUAAGUCUCAUAAAAGUGCUCGGGCCAUUAGUUAGACCAAAAGGCAUGACUAACCAUUCAUAUAAACCAUAUUUUGUUUUAAAGGCAGUUUUCUAUUUAUCUUCUUCUUUCAUUCUAAUAUGAUGAUAUCCACUUUUUAAAUCAAUUUUGGAAAAUACACAAGACCCAUGUAAUUCAUCAAGCAUAUCAUCUAACCUAGUAAUGAGAUGUCCAUACUUUACCGUUGUGUUGUUGAUGGCUCGACAAUCAACACACAUCCUCCACAUCUCAUCCUUAUUAGGAACUAAUAAAACGGGAACUGCACAUGGACUCACACUUUCUUUCAUGUACCCUUUUUUCCAUCAAUUCAUUAACCUGCCUUCGAAGUUCAUUGGUCUCCUCCAAGUUGCUCUUAUAGGCUGGUCUAUUUGGAAUGGCUGUACCGGGCAUAAAAUCAAUCUGAUGCUUAAUCCCUCAGAUUGGAAGUAAACGAUGUGGUGCUUCCUCAGGAAAGAUAUCCUCAUACUCCUACAAAAGAGAAGUAAUAGAACUAGGCAAGGUAUGGUCAAAUUCGUUAGUGCUUAAAAAUGUCCCUUUGUAUAAAAGUACAAUAAUCGGCUGAUGUAAAAACAAUGUUUUUUUAAUCUCAUUGGCUCUCGCGUAGAAAUUCUUUUGUUUUCCAUAUGAUUUUUGCUUAAUGGGCACAUUUUUCUUUGGUUUUUCUCUCACAUUUUACUCUACCUCUUUUUUAAUUUCACUAUCUUUUUCUCUCAUUUUCUUUUGCUCACUUUCUCUCUGUAAGCUCACUUGGUCUCUAUAAACCUACUUUGGUGUCAAUGGAACAAGAGUGAUGUUGCAUUAAUUAAAUACAAAUGAAUAUUUAUUGGUGAAGCCAUCAUGCUUCACACGCCUGUCGAAUUGCCAAGGCCACCCAAGUAAUAAGUGUCUAGCCUGCAUUGGCACUAUAUCACAAAGCACCUUAUCUUUAUACUUCCCAGUCCAAAAGUCACUAGUACCUACUUGUUCACUUUCACCUCACCAUUGUCAUUUAACCACUAUAAUUUAUAUGAUUGUGGGUGUUUAAGUGUCAGAAGCCCUAACUUCUCUACCAUGAUAGUACUAGCAACAUUAGUACAACUUCCUCCAUCAAUAAUCAUACUACAUACUUUGUCUUGAACAUAGCACCUAGUUCCCGUUGCACUGCUUUGUCUUCCUUUACUUGUACACUCAAACCUCUCCUCACUACUAAAGUCAAUUCCCUAAGGGCUAUUGUUGUGAAAAUUUUAAUAUAUUCGCAAGUGCACGAAUCUAGAAAUAGAAUAGUGGUAACGAGGUCGAUCCCACAGAGAAUGUUAUAAAUUAAAAAGUCUAAUUUAAAUCUAAAAUUAAUAUUAAUCCUAACAUAGUUGAGCAAAUUGAGUUUUAAAAGAAAUUAAACUAAUUAAACUAAGAAAACAAUUAAAGUAAAUGAGAUUUCAAUAAGACAAAAAUUACAAAGGUUUCAGAAUCCAGAUAAUUAUUUCAUUGAAUAAGGUUUCAUCCUUAACCUCAGUAUAAAAAAAUUAGCUAGACAUACUUGAAUUGGGAGCAACAAAAAAAAUAAAAUCAGCCAUGGGAAAAGUAAAUUGCUGCAGCUCUUCCUUUUCCUCUCUGCCGAAUCGCAUUUGCUUCCUUUUUCUUCCUCUAGCGGCUACCCUUCUCCAAAAGCCAAAAGCUUGCUUUUAUAUUUCUCUUUAAAAUGAGCCCCACCGACCUUGUUAUUUCUUAAGCCAAAAGGCUUGGUCUUUUAAUUUUCUUUGCUCUCACUCACGUGCUCACCAAUUAAGCUUGCACUAGGAUUCCUUUUUCCACUUAUGAAAGCCAAGUGUGGGUCCCUUUAAGUUGCUUUCCAUGCAUUACAAUGCCAUGCACAUCCAGCUCACUUGAAAAAUUGAAAUUUUUUUUGAGUGCAAAUUACUCUUGGCUUCACAUGCUAUAAACUCUUAAUUGUGUCACGACUUUGAUUGAUGCUUUCCCAAACUUGUUAUUCUUUAUGCACUUUUCAUUCUUAAUCUCCAAUUAAUUCCCUAUUCAAUAAAACAAUUCAAUAAAUUAAAAAUAACAAAUAAAAAUAACUAGCAAUUAUAUAGUUAAGGGUAAAAUAUGUAUAUAACUUAUGCUCAUCAGCUAUAUACUCUUCGUCUUUAACGUCCUCUAAUGGUGGCAUCUCAUUUUCUUCCGUUUCAUCUUCAGUUACAAUCUUACUAUUGUCUCACAACACUAUAACUCUCUUAUUCACACAUUCACUUGCGAUAUGCCCCUUGUCUUGACAUUUAAAACAAUUAAUGUCACAAUUCCUAAUAGUAAGAGGCACGGUGUUACCUUGUGAAUUGUGCUUGGAGGGCUCAGAUCUUAGCUUAGGUGCAAUAGAUGCUUGUAGCCUCUUGUCUCGUUUCACACAUAGCUGAGCUUCCAAUGAGUGGAACUCAAGCUUGGGGCUGCACGGGCGUUACCCCUCCUCUUGAGUUGCUGCUCAAUCUUGAUGGCUUUGUGUACAAUUUCAUCAAUUUUCACAUAAUGUUGCAACUUAACCUUAUCUGCUCUAUCAUCCUCCACAUUUGCUCUAAUCAUGACAAUCUCCAUUUCAUUAUAAUAAUCCUUCAUGCUUCAGCUACCAUGUGUAAGACUUUGUAAUUUUUUGUACAAGUCUCAAUAAUAGUGGUUAGGUACAAAACGUCUUCUCAUCAAUGAUUUCAUUUCAUCCCAUAUCUCAACUGGACGUUCUCUAUUUUGCCUCCUACUUAUAACAAGCUUAUCCCACUAAGUAAUAACAUAGUAAGAAAACUCAAUCACAACCAAUUUUACCUUUUUUUCCUCUGAAUAAUUAUGGCAAUCAAAUAUGAACUCUUUUUUCUUCUUCCAUUCAAGGUAUGCUUCUGGGUCAGAUUUUCUUUGAAAAGAUGGGAUCUUCAUCAUUAUGCCACUCAAUCCAUCAUCUCUAUUCAUAACUCUCCUACCUCGUCCAUUUCUCCUAUAGCUACCCACUGGGUCAUUCCAUUCAUCAUACUUAUCCCUAUAAUAGUCAUCAAUCUUUCCUCUAGCUGGAGAUCUUUCUCUUCUACGUGCUUGGGGAACAUAUUGUGGCUGCCCCGCACAUGUGUUCUCAACUUGAUCCAAACACUCAUGUAUGAGCUCUAAUUCAGCUCUCAUCAUCCUUCUUAUCAAAUGAUGGGAACCUCGUGUGUUCUCCACUUGGUUGCCCUGCACAUGUGUUCUCCACUUGGUUGCCCUGCACGUAUGUUCUCUACUUGGUGCCUAGGCUUUAAUACUAAAUGAUAGGAACCCAGUCAAGAACUAACGCGGCCUUAAUCAAUUUAGUCUCCAAGAUCGAAUCUAAACCAGGAUUGAAUGGAACCUCGACCCAAUGCUUAAUGAAAGCACGAACCUUGGUAUGUGAAGACGCCACAAUCAGAUGGAUGGUCUGAUUGAUAAGUCAAGAGUUUGAACACCACAGAAAUCCGAUAAGUUCAAAGAGUUUGUAAAGAAUCAAAGAGAAUUAACUCUCUCACCAAUUGCAUCAAAACUUAUCUUUAUUUAUUGGAUAUGAGUACAUUAUAUAGGGUUGGUUACAAGAAUUUUUGAAAAUAAAUCCUAAACCAAAAAUCAAAUCUGAAUCUGAAUCUAAACAAAUAGGAAAAAAUCUAAAUCAAAUCAGAUUCCUAAUCUAAGCGAAUAGGAAAGAAUUUAAAUCAAAUCAUAAUCAUAAUCUAAGUAAAUAGGAAAAUAUCUAAAUCAAAUCAGGAUCCUAAUUGGCUUAAAUGUCUUACAUUAAUUAAAAUAGAAACUAGAUUAUUAACAUAGAUAUAACUGAUUUGUUUCCCUAAUAGCCUCCUCAAGAAAACGGGAAAGUAUCUGAAAAAAAGGAAAAUAAUAUAUUUUCCUGCCAUAAUGUGCAAGCCAACUCCCUAUUUCAUGGAAGUGAUUAUUUGGAACUUUUAAGAGCUUGAAUCAUGCAUUUAUCAUGUGCGAUUCCUUCAACGGACCUCCACGAAUUUGAUUGAGCCCAAGUUACUUGAAUCAAUCUAUUAAGCGCUUCUUUGAAUUUCUUUGCUUGAGCUCUUGUAACGGGUCCGCCGGAACUUGAGUAGGAUCUGAAUAUGCCUCAUCCCAUGUGCUUAUGAUAGUUUUAUCCUUAAUCUCAUCAAUUUUACUCCCUCCAACUACUAUGGGCAUGAUAGCCAUAUCAUAAACAUGGCGUGGGGAACAAGUGUAGACAAUCUCAUAAAAGGUCUUAGCGCCAUGUUAUUGCAAGCAAACUUGACUUGAGGCAAGAUAGCUUCCCAAUUCUGUUGCUUGUCACUAUAAACACAGCACAACAUAUUGAGCAGAGUGCGAUUGACCGCCUCUAUUUGACCAUUUGUUUGCAAAUGAAAAGCACUACUAAACUGUACUGAACUUAUCCUAUAGAUGAUGCCAAAACUUGUUGAUAAACUUCACAUCCAUGUCAGAAGUAAUAGUCUUUAGCAUACCAUGCAAACUUACUACUUCUUCAGAGAACAAAUGUGCAACUGAAGCAGCAUCUUCAGUAUUCUUACAAGCAAUAAAAUGCACAAUCUCUGAAAACAUGUUGAUCACAACCUAUCAAUAUGUUCCCUUUAAAACUUUGAGGCAUAUAUAACUAAUUAGAUUUGAACAGAUAUCCAUCUUGAAUAAGGAAAUCUUUUGCAUUUUGAUGAUUAAUGCACCGAUCUUAAAUAUGCGCAAAGUCUUCAUCCUUAGCGUACAACUCCCUCAAGCAUUCAAAACCAGUAACUUCAAUGAAGAGAACAGUAAAGUUGCUUGCCUACUAAGUGCAUCUGCUAUCUUAUUCUAUUGCCCAGAUUUAUACUUCACAAUAAAAGUGAACUUUUACGUAUAGCUCACCCAUCUUGCAUGCAUCUUGCUCAGAUGUUGCUGGUGUUAAAGUACUUGAUUGCUUGAUGGUCACUAUAAGGUACGAACUCUUUGUAAAUCAAGUAAUGUUCUUAUGACUUCAACACUUUGAGGAUUGCAUAAAAUUAUUAGUCGUAAGUAAACCAUUUCUGUCAUGUUUUAUUUAACUUCUCACUCAUAUACAUAAGUGGUCAUCUCUCUUGAGAAAGAACAACCCCAAUACCAUUACCAUAAGCAUCACAUUCAACCUCAAACAACUUGAUGAAGUUUGGUAAGGCUAACAUAGGAGUAGUAAAAAAAUUCUCUUUUAAUAAAGGAAAACUUGCACUCCGCAAUAAGUGGGGCUAUGGUACUAAACUACAAAUAAAUAUCUUAUAAAACAUCGUCAACCCAUGAAAACUCCUAACUUCACCCACUGUCUUCGGCAUAGGCUAUUCUUUAAUGGCUUGUAUCCUCGACUCAAUAGCUCAAAUCAUAUCUACAUCAGUUAUAAAACCAAAAAUUCCACAUUACUCUACAGAAAGCUACAUCUUUAGAUUAAUGUAAAGUUUAUUUUUUUGCAACAUCUUCAUAAUCAUUCUUAAAUGUUCUAGGUGUGCCACCACAUCAACAGAAUAAACUAAGAUACUUUCAAAAUUCACUACAAUAAAUUUACAGGAAAAAGGCUUAAAACUUAAUUUAUUUAGUGCAUAAAAGUGCUUGACACAUUAGACAAUUGGAAUGGCAUAAAAAAACCACUCAUACAACCCUUUGUUUAUUUUAAAUGUUGUCUUCCACUCACCAUCAGGCCUAAUUCUGAUAUUGUGAUAUCCAUUACGCAAAUAUAUCUUUGAGAAAACUCGAGCAUCAUUUAGUUGGUCUAAUAACUCUUGAAACGUAGAAUAAGAAAUCGAUACUUCACUAUAAUAUGGUUAAUUAGCCUACUGUCUGUACAUAUAUGCCAACUCUCAUCCUUUUUCGGUACCAACAAAGUUAGUAUAGUACAUGAACUCAUGCUCUCAUGAAUGAAACCUUUCCCUAACAAUUCAUCAACCUGCCCUUGUAAGAUCACAUGCUCGUGAGGGCUCAUACGAUAAUGGGGCAAGUUAGGUAAAAUUGCACCAUAUCUCAUAAAGAUGGCAGCUUGUCUAACAACUUUAGUGAUCUAAUAUCAACAAACUCAAUUAAUAAUGGCCGUACUUUUUUCAAAAACAAUCUCAACCUUUAAUCCUUCUUUUUUCUUUAGCUUCUAGCAAUCAUCGCAAUCAUCCUCUUGAUGAUUUUUAACAACCUUAGUAUUCCUCUUUUUGUUCGUUAAAGGCAUCAACGAACCUUUUUGUUAUUCCACCAAAACUCAUACACAUUAUCCUCUCUUCUAUAUUGUAUCAACAUCAAAUUGCUAAAGUCUGCCAAAUAAUAUAUGGCACGCAUCCAUAUUCUUUACAUUACAUAACACAUCACUCUUAUAAAUCUUCCUAAUGGAAAAAAGAACACGACAUACCUUUAUUACUUGCAUUUCUGUCUUUUUAUUUAUCAAUCGUAUUCUGUCAGAUACUGGAUUUUUUUGGUUAAAAGUCCUAUCAUGUCAAAUAGCACCUUUGAAAAUAUGUUCUCGCUACUGCCACUAUUAAUUAUAAUGUUGCACACUUUGUCAUUGAUAAUGCCACAUGUUUUAAAAAUCUUAUUGCGCUGAUUAUCCUCUUUAAAUUUCAAUGCUAAUAAAAUCUUCUAUAUAAUACAAUUUAGUCUCUCCUUCAUUUGCUUCCAACUUUAAAGCUUCUUCGUCAUCCCCAUUCUCAACGUCGUUCAACUCUGUCUUGCUGACUUUAGCCUUUACUAAAUUCAAAUUUUUAAGAUGAUUGUCACUUGAUCGAUGGCCUGGUUCCCUACACUUCAAACACUUGUUCAGCAUAGGCUUCACUAUAAGUGAUUGUAUCUACUAUCUCAUCUUAUAUCUCUUGUUUUAAUCUACCAAUAUAUUUCGUAACUAUUCAAAAUUCUGGCUCAUCCAUAUUAUUUUUAGUGUGUAGACGAUAAAAUUCCUUUAUGUAUUCAUUGACACUGUGAUUUCCUUACCUGCAGUUUUGAUAUUUAAAAUACAGUUGCUACCAGUAAUCUACUGGCAAGAAAUACUCUCUCAUCAUCCUCUGCAUUCUAGGCCACAAUUUGAUUUUUUUUUUUUGCAACUUUUCUUUAGUUUUGUAUGUAUUGCCAUCAUGUAGAAGCUGCGAAAGCUUAACUCACUUCUCUUGAGGAAUCUCUAUAUACUCGAAAAAAUUAUCCACUUGUGAUAUCCAGUCUAAAAAUUUUUCAACAUGCAUCCCACAAAAAAAAAUCCAGAAUAUUAACAUUAAUCUUGUAAUCUGAACUCUUUUUGCGCCCCUAUCAUCCUCCACAUAUUCUUCUUCUUCUUAAUCGUUUCUUAGCUCCUUACGCACGCGUAUUGGUUUUCAUCACGCAGGGCCUAAAUUUUGAGGUACUACUUCACCAUUGAUGCCUUGAGGUUUUAUUUCAUGACCGAUCGCUUGAGGUAUCUCCAUGUAGUUGUAAUCUUCAGGUUGUACACCACGAUUGACUCUUUGAAGUUCUUCCUCGUGAUUAAAUUUUUGAUGUUGACCUCUCUUUCUGUUUUUGUUCAAGCAAAACUUAAGACUCAUGAUUGUCUCGCUCUAUCGCCACCAAUCUCGAGUUAUAAGCUUCCUUAAUUGCUUUCAAGGUUGCUUCUCUAGCUGCCCGUCUGACAGCCUUCACAGUCCUUGCCUGCAUCCCUUUGUUAACAUGUAUGUGUCUAUAAUGAUGAUUUUGAUGAUAACAAAUAAGAUUAAGAAUGAUUAAGUUUUUAAAAACUCAAAUUAUUUUUCAUACAUUUUAAAUAAAUCAUUAUUUUCAUAUAAUAAAGGUUUUAUAUUCAAAGGUAAAGUGAUUUCAUGAAAUUGGUUGUUUUUCAAGUUCAUGGUCUAAUUGAAAAUUUUUUUAGAACUUUGAAAUCAACAAGUAUUGCUUAAAAUUCUAGAAAUGGACUUGUUUGAAAAGUAUCAGAAAGUUUUGGGCCAUAGUAUAAGUACAGAAAGUUUUGGGGCAAAAAUAUAAUUUUAAAAAAUAGUUUCAUUGUAGUAGUCACUAUAGCAAACAGCUAACCGACAAAAAAAAAAGAAUUGAAGAUUAGCCUCUGGACACUAACGGCAAACCGACUUCUUGAAAACGGUAAACCGACAUCUUCUUUGCAAGUCAAUGGACGAUAACGGCGAUCCGACAUUUCAAUAACGGUGAUCCAACAAUUUGAAAUUCUGUUCAAUGGUAACUUGCUCAAGUUAAAACGGAAAUCUGACUUCUAUAUAACGGCGAUCCGACUUAGAGUAAAUUAUCUGUAACGGCUAUUUUUUAGCUCAAACUAUAAAAAAGCUCACUUACACACAAACAAUGGGGAUUCCACCUAUCAUUGAGCAAACUAUUGAGCAUACAAUUUUCAUUGAGCUUUAAAUUCUUGUAUUCAUCUCAAUUAUUCACAUAUUAGGAUUUCAUUUGUAAUCAAACACAUUGUGUGAGAAAGAUUUAUUUGUAAUCCUUUUUGUAAAAUCAAGUUGAGAGGUUGUAAGUGUUGGGAUACACUUGGGUUAAGAGAUUAGGGAUAAUCUCUUAUUGUAAAGGUCUAUUGGUAUCUUGGAAGUCAAUUGUAAGAAGUUGUUGAAGCCUUGGAGGCUUACUUAGUGAAAUCUUCAAGCCCGAUAAGCUUGGAGGCGUGGAUGUAGGCACGAUUGGCGGAACCACAUAAAAAUCAUGUGUUUGCUCUCUCUUACCCUAUCUCCUUAUUUUUUAUUGCACGUUAAUUUUUUUAUUUCAAAUUUGAUUGCCUUGUUUAAAUUGCAUUUAGUUUCUUAGUUGCUUAAAUUUUUUAGAAACUCAAUUCACCCUCCCUUUUGGGUUAAUUAGUAUUUCAUCAUUGAUUGUCGUCUUCGGGACAAUUGCUCCUAUGAUUGUGUGGUCGUACCAUAAUGAUAAGCGAACUUGCUUUGAUACUAUUUAACAAUGCGAAAAUGUUUAAAUUUGAUGGAUAGAAGAAACAAAAGUUUCUAAAUAAUGAAGUUUAUAAAAAUGUCUGAAAUUAAUAAAACUAGGGUUUUGGGCCCCUUUAUAUAAUAAUCAUAAAUAUUUUGAAUUUACCAAAAUAGGUAAAUCUAAAAAAUUAUUUUAUAAUAAAAUUCUCAUAAUCUGAAUAAACAAAUGGUGCCUAAAUCUAAGAUCUUAAAAAAAGAUAAAAAAUCAUAAAAGAAAUAAAAAAAUAAGAAAAUAUCUUAAAACCAAAAAAACGACAAGGAAAGAAAUGGAUUUUUACGCUCAAACACUGCCCAAAACUAUGCAACAAUUCUAGUUUUGAUUCGUCUCGUCACAAGCUUCAAAAUAGUAUAUAAUAGGCCUAAAAUAGACACACAUAACCUAAGUUAUACCUUUCGAAAAGUAUCGCAUUCGUCUUGCGCAUCCAUCCUACAUCAUAACAACUUGAAGACUUAGGAGGGCUAGCUUAAUUCAAAAUCAAGACUAGCUUAUUAACUUGCAGGAUUUUUAAUUGUCAGGGAAAAAAUUGUUGAAAGAUGCUGGUUAUAAAGUUUAUAAAACUUUAAUUAUUUCAUAAAAUUGUUUUAUUGUUUAUUCAUCAUCACGUUUGGAUUAUCCCCAAUGGCCAAUUUUAUUUUCAUUUUUGUAUAGGUCAAAUAAAUGUUACUAGAAAUUGAUUAUUACCACUUUUUUCUCAUUUAUUGAGGACUAUGAAGAAUUAGACAAAACUCAUAAAUGACCUAAAAUAUAUAAUGAAUAUUUAGAUAUUUUUUCAUAUCCAUACGAUAUCUUGGAGUACGACAUAGUCUCCAAAAAUAGCCAAACAUUUCACAUCUAUCACAAGUGCUUUCUUGAAUAUUAUGUUGGGGCAGGUGUUUCGUCGUCAUUUUUUUCUUUUUCUAUGGUUAUUAUACCCAGCACGAGGUUGACAAUAAUUUUUUUCAAGACCUCAAUCUUAAUAAUAGCCAUGACCACAACCAUGACUACAUCUACGGGCAUGGUUAUACCCAUUUUCAUUAUGAUCACAUAGAGAACAUUUGCUCCAAGACCUUGUUUUGUACCAAUAUGAUGAACUUAAUAAUUCACUAUUCUUUUCUACAAAAAGAAGGCAUGCAAUCAAGUACCGACAGAUAGGGGUGGGCGUUCGGGUCGGGUGAACCAAACCAAACCAAUUUCGGGUUUUGGUUCGGUUCGGGUCGAACCUAAAACUCGAACAGAUUGAAAGAGUGAAACAGAACAGAUUUGCUAUUUGGUUCGGGUUAGCCCGAACCAAAUAGCAAAAUUGUUCGGUUUCAUAUUAAAAAAAUAAAAAAUAUAUAUAACUAUCCCAUGAAUCUCGAAAUGCCCAAAUCGCCCCCACUGCUCGCAAAUCCCUAACCUCUCUUAACUCUCACCACUCUCCCAAGUCCUCGACGAGCAUGCCGCGAGCCCCUCGCGCACGAGAGGGAAAAAAACAUAGAAAAAGAUAAAGGAAAAAAAUUAAACACACUGCUUUGCUCGCAGGACCCUGUUCAGCUACAAUAAAGAUCAUGCCUCUACUUAUACCCGUAAGUUUUUCCAACAAUUGGUUAUGUGCAUACUUAAUCCCCAAAUAAACUCUUAUGAUCUUACCAAACUUCCUAGCUGGUUAAUAACGCCACUUACCUGCAUACAUUAAAAAAAAAGAAUCAUUAAAGUUUUUACGCAUUAAAAUGAAAAAUAGAAGUUUACUUCACAAGUUUAUAAUUUGUAUACAAAUUUCUAUCUGUAAAAUGAAAACCAAUGUCAAAAUAAUAACAUACAAUAUCAAUUAGGGGUGGGCACGGGUCGGGUUGAUAGUCAACCCGACCCAACCCGCAUAUAGAACGGGUUGAAAAAAUUCAACCCAACCCAACCCAUUACAUUUUUCAACCCAACCCGCAGAGUUGCGGGUUGGGUUGAUUGGGUUGGGCUUUUGAAAAAGCCCAUUUUUAUGAUCUAAAUAAAAAUAAAAAAUUAAUUAAAAAAAUUAAAAAAAUACAAAUACUAAAAUUCUUACAACAAAUCCAAUAUUUCAAAAUUUAGCAAUCAAAUUAUUAGUACAUAACUAAUGAAAAAAAGUACAUAAAUUUAAAAUCUUGUUUAAUACAAAACAUUAAAGUCCAAAGAGUGAAAUUUUAUAAGUCUUCCAUACAUAGGAAGAGAGUUUCCCGAAACCAUUGCUCAACACCAACCAAUAGGAGUGUAGUGAAGAUCAGUCCAAUGACAUCAAAAUCUAGAUCAAUCCAAAUUAAUGACAUCAAAAAAUUAUUAACUCCUGGAUUACUGGAUGAAUUUGCUUCCAUCUACAAGGAAAAAAUUCCAGGCCAUGAAUAUUUUUUUUAUCCUAUUAAUAAUUAAAAAAUAAUAAAAAAAAUAACAAAUAGUGGUCACAACAAGCUUAAAGCUCUUUUAUUAAUACAUUUAACCAUGUUUUGUCAGUUUUAAUACUACAAUAAAUAAAUAUGAUUAAAAUAAUUUUAUGAAAAAAAAAUCCAUCGGAGAUAGAAUACAUAUGUGAAUUUGAGAGCAUGACUAGUUAAUAGUAAUACUGAAUAUAUUUCUGCAGAACAAUGCCCAGGAGAUGUUUGUCGAAAAGCCUUUUCCCUAAGAUUGUAAUAAUAACAAUUAUUUUAUUUAUGUUAAUCCGAUUGUUGAUUAAGCUUGACACCAUCAUAACAACCAAAAAUUGACCAACUUUUAUCAAUAAAAAAAUAUUAUAAAGCACCAAAUCAUGAAAUCAAAUGACCAACUUGUUUCAAAAUAAUAAUAAAUUAGUAAAAUAGAAAGAAGAAAGAACCUAAGCUUGUGACGAAUCUGACGAUGUGUAGUUUGAGCAGCUUUUCAAGAAACGUUGAGUUGUGAUGUUGUUGUGUUCUAUGCGCGAGCAGAUGAACAGCUGAUCUUUAAACAAGGGAAUUUGAGUUUAGGGUUCAGAGAAGUUGUUAAAUACAUUUUUAUAUAUACGGGUUGACGGGUCGGGUUGGGUUAAAAAUUUGCAACCCAACCCAACCCGCAAAAAUUCAUACGGGUUGGGCGGGUUGGUGCCCACCCCUAAUAUCAAUUGGAAUAGAACAUGCCAUUCCACAGAAUGCACUACUUCUAGAAAUAAUAGAUGUAUUUACUCCAGUCAAACUUCAUGAACAAUCAAAAUCAUACUUUCAGGGUGGCUGAUUACAUGGACUUUCUCACAUAGUUAUUGGUCUUAUUCGUGUUUUGGUGCAUUAAUAUGCUAGUAGUGCUACACAUUCUAAAUUUUUUAUCUCAAAAAACUACUUCAAAUGAUAUAACAUUCAUCAGUUUGUUGGUGAGACAAAAUAGUCAAUUCACUUAAAUCUUAUAAAAAAUUAUCAACCAUUCAAUAAACGACAUAUUAUUUUACGAUGAAAUUUGAGAUAAAAAAUUAGAGAUAUCUAUCAUUAGUCUUAAUAUGCAACAUUGCCAAAGUCUUUGUCUUGAUCAUAACAAACAAGUUAAUUUUGCAUAUAAGGUUGAUUGGUCAAAAUAGUGACCCUAUAAAAAUAAUUUGUUGUUUGAAGUAUUUUAUAGAAUAAAUAAAAAAAAAAUUAUUCCAUGGCGUUAGCCUACCAUCAAUUGUCAGCAGUUAUUUGUCAACUCCACCGCCCUCCAGCAGCAAACAAUUUUGUGUCCCACCAGCAAAUAUCGCCUGAUUUCGAGUCCCACCGGUAAAUGCUGCUGGAUUUUGAGGCUUCCAUAUCCUCGGUCGUCGGCAUUGCAGUAUCCAAGGGUUCAUCUUCGACAUCGUAGGCUCACAGCUCUCUACUUGAUGUUGAUGGUAAUCGGUAAGCAUGUUCUUUUUUUUUUCUUUGUUUCACUAAAUCAAUAAAAUACUGUUAUUACAAGAUUAAUUUUAAAAAAUAUAUGUUUAAUUGCACGUUGUAGCAAUGGAGCUGAUUAUGAGUGAUGAUGCCAGUAGAGCAAACUUGUAUAUUUUGAAGCAAGCUAGCUACCAAAUAAAAAGAUGAAAGAUGGACAAGAAAAAGGAAUCAAAUUUAGUGGAGUAUGAUCAAAUUUCCGUGCAUCAAUUAAUUAAUUUUUUAUGCUCUGCUGUUUAGAAAAAAGGUUUUGGAUUUAUUUGUUGGGGCUUUCUUGUUUUGUCUAUAAUUUGCGUUGUAGUCUCGUUAAAAAAUGUUUAUUUUUAGUUUUUGUAACAAAUUAUGGUUGGAUAGUGCUAAUGCUUGAUUCGCUGUAAUCAGGGGCAUAUUUUACCAAUUGAUUUAAGCUAUUAUGAAUUUUUUGACCCGAAAUUACAACCCCAAACCAUAAUUGGACCCGAAAUAUGAAACUGAACCUGAAUCAAAAUAUGAAACCGAAACCGAACCAAAAUAUGAAACCGAACCAAACCGAACCGAAUUUGAAAUUGAACCAUACCGAACCGAAAUAAUCUUUCAAACCGUUUGGGUUGAAUUCUCAAACCCGAACGGGUUACAACUCGAACUGAAAACCGUAAAAACUGAAUCUCCGACCCCUACCGACAGGCUCUAUAUUGUUGUUGUAGAACCAUAUUGGAAGCAUGAAAUUUUAUAAAUAUUUUUUUUUCAACAUUCCCCAUCAGUAAUAUUUUCCCCCACACAGUUUUAAUUAUUAAGUAAUUUUGUACAAUGCAGAAUUAUAUGUUGGAUCAUAAACUUGAUCCAUACAACUUUGAAACCCAAAUGAUUCUUUAUCUAGUUCAUGGAAGCUUCUUUAGGUAGUUAAGAUUUGUGGUGUUAAAUGUGGUAAUAUGGUAAGUAGAAUUUGUGUUGUCGAGUAUGUUGUUAGGUUUGGUGUGUGGUUAUGAUUUGUGUGGUAGUUAUGUCAAUAUAUGGUUGUGAUUAAAUUGUAACAAGUAUAAAUAUAUGCUCUCUCAGUUGGUUUAAGUAACAAGAAGUAGUAAAGCUUAUUAAUUCUAAAAGAGGCGUAAUUAAGGAGUUGUAUUGAGUUCAUAAGAAAAAGAGUGUUUUGAGUGUUUGAUUAUUCAAAUUCUCCAAUAUUAUAUUUAUGAACUAACUUAAAAUUCACUAAAAGCAUUUGAAAGAAUUACUGACCUUAAAUGACCAUGUUUCUCAUCAAGCUACUUCAAAUGACAUAUGUGUCCUAUAUAGGAAGAUGUCUUGUUUUGAGUGGUAGAUAGAGAUGGAGACAUAGAUAAAUCAUGGUCUUCUCUUGAUCUUGAAGGGAUGAGUCAUUUUUAUUUUUCAUUGUAUCACUAAGCGUCAAGAUGAAUUUCAGCAACAUCAAGCAUUUUUGGAAAAUAAAGUAUAUAUGCUUAACAUUGAAUAUAUUUUUAUAAAUAAAAGCUAACACAAAUGUUGUGCCAAAGAAUCUGUUUAUAUGUUAACUAGACCCAUUUAGGACAGCAGCGUUGCCGACCGGGGCUUUGAUUUGAUUGCUAUAAGUAUAUACUAAAUACUUUUAAUAGAACUUUCGGUUGGGAUGAAUGGUUGAGUAAAAUAAUUCAAAUGAUUUAAGUAAGGAUUUUUUUUAAUAUUUUAAAGAGUGCACAUGUUAAAAUUUAAUAGAUUAGUAUACAAAAUAAUAGAAGAUGGAACUAUCAUACUCUUACUCCGAAACUGCAAUUAGAGUCAAAAUUCUUGUAAUUUCUUUAUGCAACACUAUAUUUCAACAAGCAAUAAUAGAGCAAUAAUAUAGUUAUAAAUUCUUGUACAAAUAUUUUUAUGUACAAAUUGAUUUGGCAUGAUUUAAUUGGUUGGAUUAAAUAUCUCUUAGUUCAAAUGAUUUGUUUUUAUUAUUUUCUAUUUUCACUUAACCAAUGAGUUAAUGUCAAAUUAAUUUAUGCAAAAUAAAUUUGUAUAAAAGUUUUUGCAUGUAUCAUCACUCACAAUAAUAUUACUAGAGGAGUCGAGCUAUAACUUUUCCCUGGGGGCAUAAUAAGUUUACAGCCAUAUGUUGUGACAAUUACACAAUUACCCUAGAGAUUUUUAAUGAUUCAACUGUGCCUAUGUUUGCACGUUAUUUUAUUUUUUAAAAUAUUUUGUGGAAACUACUUCGAAAAAUGAUAUUUUCACGCAUUUAAAAAAUAAUAAUUUAUUACUAUAUUAUUUAGAAUUUAAAAAAAAGUAAUAAAAUUUGAGUUUAUAAGACUUAAAAUGUAUUCAAGUGAACAUUAAAAAAAAUCUAAGUUCAAUAAAAUUUUUUGAACUAAGUCCCCCCCUCAUUUUAGUUUUUGGGUCCUCUGAUUGUUACGAUUUCUUGUGCUCUAUUCCUCCAAAUAUUAGUAAGAUUUUAAAUGCAAAAUAUGAAUAUUCAACUAAAAUUUAGAGUGUAAAUAAUUCCACCCAAAAUUUGAUUAUCUGACAAAUUGUAUGAAUUUCUAUGAGGAAUCCGUUGGCAUUUCACAGAAGCCCAAUAAAAAAUACAUCCGCAAAAUAUCCAUCAAAGAUAUUUCAACAAGCUAGUCAAGUACUGGGACAGGAAAUGGCUCUGUUCCUCAUAAUGAAUUGACGUCCUGUCCAGUGUCCCUCCUUGGCUUCUCAUCACAGAAAUGAAAAUUGAAAUUAGGCCAAUUAGAUUAAAGGCAAGACGGAAUGGAAAUAUGGAACCGUUAAUUAUUAUACCCAUGACCCCUCUAAUUAAAGGCGCUUUCCCUUUCAAUAUUAUUGUACGUAUUUGCAAGGAAACCUCCUCUCUCUUUCUUCCAAUUAAGACUUCUUCUGUCCAUAACAUGUGCGGCCUCGCGCAUUAGAUUAUUUUUCUAACUUUAUACAAGUAAAGUAUCUCUUUUAUACAAGUAAAGUAAAUCUCUUAUUCCUUGCAAAAAAAAAAAAAGUUUUUUUUUUUUGAGUCUUAAUUACGAGAUAUCUUGGGGAGGGCCCCAACUAUGGGAGGCACCUUUAAACCCGUACCACAACUCAGAUUAGAAGUCCCCGCUCGAACCGGAAGACACAGGUUCUCCCAACAAAAGUGCCUUCCUUGCAACGCGAACUGGGAAGCAAAUGUUGGGAAAAUAUGCUCUUUAAAAGCAUAUGUGUUUAUUUAAUUGUAAUAAACUAUUUUUCUGAUUAAUAAAAUAAAUGAGAUAUUUUAUUCAAAUAUCUUAAUUGCAUUAAUACUUGUAUUAAAGUCCAUUUAAUCAUAUUAUAUGUAUUUAUGUGAUCACCAUGUGGAUUCACAGAAGACAUAAAUACAAGUUAUCUUAUGAUUAAAUAAAUUUAGUUCGCAGUUGAUAAAUAAAGUUGGGCACUUUAUUUAGGUAUAGACUGUAAUAAAUUCAUUGAAUGAUUUGUCUUAAUCAUGUAUGAAUUUAUUGAUGUAGUACGACUACAUUGAACAGGAUCACAUAUGAGAUUUAAUUAACUUUGUAAUAACUGUCAGACUUAUUAAAUCUCAUAGGCGUUGAUUUUACUGUAAUCUUAAUCUUGAGUUAAUUAUGAUUUCAUGAUUGUAAUUGUUAUUCCAUUUGAGUUACCAAUGGGCACGACACAUCCUUGUGGUCAAGAUUACCCGGUAUCUUGGUGGGAGCAAUUAUGAGUAUUGGAGUUAUGGAUUAACAAUAUAGAAUUUGUACAACACAUCUCUUGAUGGGUUUUCGGCACUUGAUCAUAGAAUUCUCUGGCCAGAGUGUGUCAACAUAUUUAGUAUGUUGAAAAUGAUCAUUAGAGAAAACCAGUAAAGAUCAAGGAAUAAGAUGUUAUUAAAUUGAUUGGACAGUUGAGAUAUCAAUUUAAUUAACGAUGUGGUACAAAGGAUUGUGCAGUAAAGAAAUCAAUGUGGCUUGGGAUGAAUUAUUAUUCGAGCAUACAAUUAUGGAAGUCAGUUCCAAUCUUUUAGUGGAGUAGAUUUGGAAUUAAAUAAUUGGGCUAGUUUAAUUACAAGCCUAAUUAUUGUAGCCACUAUUGUAUGUUCCCAAAUGAUCCUCGGGUUAGCUCAUUUAAUUGACUGCACCACUACUGGACUAAUAAGUAAGAUAACUAGCUAUUUGGGUCAAAAGCCUAAAUACAUCAUUUAGUGGGAGGCUCCAUUUAAUUAACUUUUGUAUAAGGGGCCUUAUGUUAUUUUACAAGGUGGGUCCCCUAUUGAAAAAGCAAAUUACGUGAGUUUUGUUUUUUGAUAUUUGGAGCCUAGGGUUUUCACUAAAGGGUGAUAUAAAAAAGACUUAUUUUUCUCUAAAGAAUAAAAUAGAAGCCACUUUAUACAGAUCAGAGAAUAAGAUUUUUCUCUCCAUUGUUGAGAGAAAAAUUUUCUCGUGCUAGUUACUUUGGUAGUGAUAAAGGCGCCCACACGUCAAGUGCAGAUCGAACCUGAGUCAUAACCUGGAAGAUCAUUGGUGACAGUUCGUGAUCUAGCAAGCGUGGUGGUGACGGAUCGUGAUCUAACAGGAGUGGUGGUGGCGGAUCGUGAUCUAGGAGCCUAAAUCAUUUCAACGGAAAAAGCCAAAUCGGAUUUUCAAGGUACGAUUUCUAGAAUACAAAUUCUUAUAUAUUAUAUGAGAGCGAUUUUCAAAAGGUUUUAUAAAAAUUUAAAAACCUGAUUUUUCCCCAACAGCAAAUCCAGUCAAGCCACUUAAAGGGGACUCCAUUGUUAGUGGAGCCAACACUUUGUUGGUUAAAGUAUCUCUCUUAUUGUACAAAUAUAAUUUGAUUCGACGUGGCGCACUGGUCGCACUAGAUGAGUGCUCUAACUUUGUUCAAGUAAAACUGUCUCCCUUAUCGUGCAAACAUAAUUUGUCGUGGUUCGGCACCAAAAUGGCAAAAUUUGUCACUCUAUUUCCUGAAAUUUUAAAAUCCGCAACUAUUGGGCUGUGUGGCGGGCUCGCCAAGGUCACAACCCAACCUUUAUCAUGGGCCCUUUCCAAACCUAACUUGCACUCUCCAUAUUCUUCCUCUAUUAAAUAAAACUGAAUAUGACGCAUAUUAACAGAUUCUCACCAUUCACGUAUUUUAUAAUGAAUCUCGCACUAAUUCUAAGUUUUCAUUUUUGUCCUACAAAGAAGAAACUUUGGAGUCUUAAUGUCUGCCUUUUUUUUUUCUUAUCUCGAGGAAAAAAAAAUCUAUAUAAACCUAUCAAAUUAUCCAUUAAACCUAUUUAUUAAAUAAAUCACCAAUUAAAAUUUAAAUAUUUAAAUUUUCAUCUAAAUUUACGUAUUUUAUUUCAUCAAUAAAUGAAAUUAUGGACUUUUGCCUCUAGUGUCUUAUAUGGUUACAAUUUUUGACUCUAAAACCAAGCAUACAGAGUUUGAUGUUCAUUUUAUAAGGGAUAAAGUAGUCAAUGGAGAAAUGGAAAUGGUAAAGCUUAUUUAAGUAGAGCUUUUAUUAGUAGUUUUUUUAUAAAUAGAACUUUUACUAAAAAAAUUUAGUUGUUUGGUUGUUAAUAAGAGCUUUUAUUAAAUAUUUUUAAAAUUACUUUAAUAGACAAGUUUUUUAAAGUUAUAUUAUGAAAAGAAUAAAAUAAAAUUUCAAAUAAAUAGAAGAUAUUUUAGAUUUUUUAACAUUUAAAAAAAGUUUUUCAAUCUCUAUUACCAAAAGCCCAAAAUUUAAGCUUUUACUAGUAGAGGCAAAAUAACUUAUUUAAGUUUCAAAAAUCCUAGUAGAAAAACAACCAAACAAUAACAAAAAUUAUAAUAAGAACUUAUGAGAUUAAAUAAACACUUAUACCCAUUAAAUAAGUCAUAUCAAACAAACAUGUAUACCAACAAAGCAUGAUAAGAUGGCAAACACAUAUAUUAAGUCCUUAGCAAUUGAAAGUUUCAAAGAUCUCACAAGCAAUCUCGUAAUCCUACCAACGAUCGCGCGCUUGAGGGGGUUGAAAUUGAAGAAACACAGGACCUGUAUUACCACUUAGAAGCAGACAGAGUUUUACAUCUCAGGACUCAGCAUCUGAGGAGCUGAUGACAUGAAAAUAAAAUCCAUCCUUUAUGUACGGAACUCUGUAACGCAUGCAAUGACAGGUAACUACGAUUUCUUCUCAUUUUAUUCUCUCAGUCGAUCCGCGCUCUUCUAUUUCAUGUCUUAUUUUAAUUAGAAGGCGUAACGCCCCAUGGGUGCUGCUCAGUUGGCUAUGAAUAUGCUUUGUGCCAGCAGUCACUCAAGUUCAAGUUAAAAUAAGAGAGUAAGAUUGGUGAUUAAUGCUUAUUGAGGUUCCUCGUCCCUAUUCAAAUCUCUAUUUAAAGCCAAAGAGUAAAUACCCAACUCCCAUGUAUGCCAGUGAGGAGUAGCACUUACAUCGUCUAUUAAAGAACAGAGCAAAUACGACCAACCAGUGGAAAGUCUACCAAUGAGGAUGAUGUUAAUGGAAUUCUGAGAAUAGAGGCAAAUGGGUUAAUGAAGACAGACUCUGAAUGUAAGUUUAUAUGUUUCAUAUGUAAGCAAAACGGCAUAAGACGCAUGGGCUUAUUUAGAUGUUUAUUAUUAUUAUUAUUAUUAUUUUAUUGCAGAUACUGUUUCAUAAAUACAUCUUACUUGAAUGUACAUUUAGCUAGUUGUGAAGAGUACUCGGUAAGAAGGGAUAUUUUUCAAAGCUUUUUCACUUGGAAGACACAUCAAGACUUGAUUAUAAUGAGAUUGAGCUACUGGAUUCGUAUGAGUUUACAGGAUAAAGCUUUAUUUCAUGUUAAAAAAAUUAAACAUAAAAUUGACUUAAAACUUGAAGCAUUUCAAGCUUGCGAUGCAUGAUCUAUUAAUUUUGUUUCAUAUUUACAUGUUAUAUACACUCAUUCCACAAUGAACUUGAUACCAUGUUUGGCUAUACAUAUAUCGUGUGUGUUUUUCAGAGUUUGCAACAAAUUCUAGGUUAAAAUUUAAUUGAUUUUAAAUUUCGAUUUUAUUUUAGAAUUAACUACAACAGUUACAAGCUUUUAAUUCAAAUGUUUAAGGCAGUCAUUACAACUCCUUAAUCCAAUUUAUUAGGACCAAAGUGUCCGUCUCACUGUUUAUAAAUUGGAUGCUCCUUUCAUUUAAAAAAUAUAACCAUUGCACAAAAACAGUGCAUAGAGUUUUCCUUCCUCUCCUUUUGACAUUUAUUCGUGUCCAAGAUUCAACCAUGCUGAAAGUUUGCUGAGGAACUAUUCAGAUGUGUACUGAAAUUGUUUCGUUCCGAUUGUAUCCUGAGAAAUAGUUGCUAUUCAAACCUACAGUUCCUGAUAGUAGGUGGCAAAUCUAUUUUAAGAAAACUAUCUAGUGCAAGCCUCGUGUUAUUUCUAUGACUUUAUCUUGUUUACAGUUUCUGUUUAGUUAUUGUAUUUGCUGCAAUCUAAUUUUACUGUUCAGCUAUAAUGUUGGUUGUUGUUUACAAUUUUGUUGCACUUAUAAAAUAUAAAGUUGCAUAUGUUUCUAAUAGACAUAUGUUCGUUAGUUAACUUUUUAUGCUUUCAGUAAUUAGAUACGUUCACAACACCGAUGAAUAUAUGACAUAUCAAGAGCUAUGGAUCAGUUGGGAACAAAUACAAUUAGCUAUGGUAAAAGGAAAGAAAAUAAUCACUUAAUUUUAGGAUAUUUGGUCUGCUAGCCAUUAGAGUCAAUCUUGUAGCCGUAAAUGACUAGUCAUUGUGAUUCACUUUCCGUUGUGGUGUUUAAAUUUCCAUCCAAUGUUAUGGUGGCUGAUCUGCUGCCAAGCUUGGUUAUAACCUUAUCAAUUUACCUAUAUUAAACAGUUUUGCAUCUUCUAUAAUUUUUCCCUUUAAUGUGUUUAUAUUUUGUUGUUGUUUUUACAUUCUUUUUUCUUGCUAAGCAAUCAAUCUACAGCCUCAGUUGCUUUUUAUGUGUGGUGACAGGUUCUUGAGAACAUGAGGGGUUGUACAAGGUUUUUCUGGCGUUGAACCUAAUGUUCUUCAUUGGAAUUUAUUUGGGAAUAGGGAUUUCUCUUUGACAUCGGCAUAGGAGCUUGUUCGUAGGUCUAGAUCUAGGAGUGAGUUUAUUUUUCCUUUUUUUGAUAGUGAAAUAUUCCUUCUUGAAUUUUUUUUCCUGUUGUGAUUAUUACAUGGUUUUUGGUCAGGAAUGAUUCCUUGUGCCCGAGUUGUUUCCGUAUUAUUUCUUGGUGUUUCUAUGUUGGGUGGUUGAGACGGUUAUGCAUUUAUUUUUUGAUUGCGCCCAAAGGUUAGACAGGUUUAACAGUUUUUUUUUUUUUUUUUGUACAAUGAGUUUGCAGUACCUGUAUCUUUUAUCUGCUCAUGCUUUAAUUUGCCUUUUGGUGAUGAUGCACGUAUUCUUUGCGGCGUUUUUGGGUUCUUCUUCCAAGCUUAUCCUAUGGUAUGUUUGGAAGGCUUAAAAUGCUUUUAGGUUUGAUUCCGUUGCUUUUGUUGUAAAUGUUGUUUGUAGGGUGGUUUCUGACCUUAAGCUCUGUAGUUUUGUUUUCGAUUUUAAACCAUCGUAGUUAAAAGGGUGUCUUUGAUACUCAACUUCGGAGGGUUCGUGGAUUAUCCUCCUCCCUAUAGGCUAAAUCGUUUGGUUUCAUAGUUGAGGCUGCUGGCUGAGGUGGUGAAGCUUAAUAUGAAUAGUUGCUCUUGGGGCAAUCCUAGUUUGCAUUUCAUGGGCAGUGUUUGCGUGAUCAUCAAGGUGUGGUUCUGGUUGCUAGCUUUUGGCUAUUUUCUUGGGCACCAGCCUAUUCUUUCUGCUGAGCUAAUGGCUGUUUGCGAGGGCUUGGAUCUUGCUACUAAGCCUGUUUAUUCUGUUCUUGAGGUGGAAUUCGAUCUUGAGACAGUGGUUUCAUGGAUUACUUUUUGGCCAAGUCCGUACUUUAUCUUCUAAUCCUUCAGUCUCUAUUAGACAUGUUUGUAGGCAGGCUACUUCUGCUACUAAUUUCAUGGGCACUUGGGCUUGUUCUCAUUAGACUCAUUAGCAGCUUUUGAGUUAUUGCGAUCUUUCAACUAGUUUGAUUAGCAUUCUUCAUUUGGAUGCUCAUGAGACUCUGCAUGUUAGGAGAUGACGUUUCUCUUUUGAGUUCUUUGCUUGUUUCCUGUGGGCUUUUUGCUUUUGUUUUGUAUUGUGCUUUUUAUUGGAGGUUUUAAGGUCAUGUACUCCUUUUGUUCAUCUUCUUAUAAUUUAUAUUAUAGGUAGAGGUUCGGUCUAAACCCCCACUUUCUUGGUAAUCUUAAAAACAAAAGCCAUUAUUACUUGGCGAACAUAUUCUCAAAAAAGCUAAAGAAAAUUCAUGUGUAUAAGAUAAAUAAAUAAUUACCAUCCCUUUAGCUAAAAAAUUAAAAAAAAAAAUUACCAUCCCCUUAGCUAAAAAAUUAAAAAAAAAAACGAAGAAAGAUGCUAGUACCUCCGCUCUAUGUGAUUAGGUUUUUCAAAGGGAUGAAUGAGAUUAUUAUUGUUUGACACUUAAUUAUAUAUAGUACCACAUACUAGUUUCAAUUUUCAAUUAUAAUUCCUCUAAGAACUAUUUUUGAAAAUGGAGAUAAAAGUAAAACCUCUUUAUAUUUAUAUUCUAUAAAGAAAUAACUUUUUUUUAGUCAUGAAAAAUUAUGGUUCCAAUUUAAGGCAAUUAUAAAUAAGAAUAAACUCCAUAUUAUAAUAAGGUAUAUUUUUCUAGAUUGUGUCUUAAAGAACUUGUCUCUACAUAGUAGUAAUUAUUUAUAUAUUACGAAAAUAUAUGUUAUGUUACAUUAAAGGAACUUACUUCCACAUAAUACAAUUAGACAAUAAGAAAAAAAUUAUUAAAGAGAAUACAAACAUUUAGAGAUUUUUGAGAUGACUUUGCAUAUUCCUAACAGUAGUACAUAGAUAAUGGAUAUAUUGGAUUUGACGUGCUCCAUUAGUAAAUUAUUAAUAUAAUGCAUACUUUAUCACUUUUUUCUUGCAUUAAAGAUAAUUAAGUCAAAAUAAUAAUUUUUGUAACUAUCCCUCUAUUAAGUUAUAACACCCUCAUAGUAAUAAAUUUGUAUGGUCGUAACAUGAGGUUUUACUGUCUUAUUUUUUAAAUGGUGUUUUAAGAAUGAAAAACUAUAUUUGGGAUUUUUUCUUUUUAUUUAUUUAUUUAAAGAAAAUAUGCAAUUUAGCUUCAAAAGAAAAAUAAUAAUAAAAGUGGUAAUAGAUUGUUUUUGAAAAAUAAUUUUUAAAAAAUAGUUGAACAAUAAAAACAUGUUUCUCACUUCAAGAAGUAAAUAGUAUUAUAAUUUUUGAAAAUAGAAAAGAGAAAUUGUCGUAACACUUAUAUUUCAUAAAAUAGGCUGUUAUUCCUUCAAAAUCCUUAUUGAUCCUACAAACAGGGUAAUGGAAGUUGAUACUUGAUAUUCAAGUUAAUGAUUUUUCUAUGUAAAGUUGAUAAUCACAUAUUCAUAUCACUUUCACUUUAACAUGAUCAAUUUUAAAAACCCUUCAAAAUAAAUAUAUGUUAUUAAAAUAACUAAUGGCAUAGGUGCCAAAGUAAUAUUCAAAAUUAACCAAUCAAAAUGAAUGAUGUCAAUGCAAUUAAGAAAUAUACCCUUAGGAAUAUCCCAAUAUGCUCAUUGUCAUCAGGACCUAUCUCAAGGACGUGGCAACCUUUUGUGAUGGCGCUAAGUCUUCACUUAGCCAAUCACUCAACAAUGUCUAGUGGAAACAAAUAAAGUAACAAGCACGCAAAGAUCCACAAUAGAGGUUUACAUAAGAGACUAAUUCCACCAACAACAAUGAACUAAAACAACAAGGAUUAAAGUACACAAAAAUACACACUUAUUGCUUUUUACAUAGGUCCCAGCACUGAAUUUUCUAUUUCUGCAAAUAAGAAAAGAUAACAAAUAGCUUAGGGUUUUGUAUGCUCAAUGACACCACUCUCUUUACCAAAAUCCAAGAUCCGCAAAACAUGCAUUACCUUUACUGUAUAUGUAAGUUUUCAAAUGACACCUCUAUUUGAUAAGGCUAGGUGGCACGCUGCCCUUGUGCCAUCUCAAUUCUUUCUCCUAAUGUUUAGGCACCACUAAGCAUGUUAUGAGGAGGCACAUCUCCACUCCCCCUUGAAUAAAAUAAUUGCUGCCCACUUAGCCUAGAAGCAAGGAUGUUAUAGAUUGUAACCAUUGCUGCCCACCUUUCUUGAUGAGUAACCGUCACAGCCCACUUCUGUUGCCCCCAUUUUCCAGGCAUGUUAUCCAAUUCCAUGCUCUCUCAUUAGUUACACCCACAACUACCUACUUCAUGCUUGAUUUUUAGGUCUCAUUUUUAUUUGUAGCCAAUGAUAACUCUAUGAAAUGAGAGUUAUCAUGGCACUUUUAGACUUAAAUCAAUACUACUUAGAGAGUAAAUUAUGUGUUUCUAUUGCAUUUUUGUUACAUUUUGCAUAAAUAAUCAUUUUAGUCAACCUUAAUAAGUUUUGCUCGAUUUAAAGUAAUUUGUGCUUAAAUUGUGUGCAUAAUUAUAGGUUUCCAGAAGCUUGUAAUUCAUGGAAGGAAUGCUAUGCAAUAGGCUUGCAAAAAUAAGGAAAGAACAUGGCUACAAAAGAGUUUAAACAAAUUUGGAACAGUGCAGUUGCUGUAGAUAUUGUUGUAGCAACCAUUGUUGUAGCCGUUGCUGUAGCAAUCCUGGAACAACGACAGAGAAAAUUCUGCUCAGGAUAACUGUAGAAUUGCGAUCUGCAGUUUCCUAAUCUGACUUAUGCGCGACUUAGGCUUGCGUUUACCUUAAUUUUCAACUAUAAAAGAAGUACACAUCAUAAGAGAGAGAUUGAAGGCUACACAAGAGAAAAAAUUGCAGAGAUCAAUUGAGAGCUCAAUCCUUCUUAUCUUUCUCUUAUUUUCAUGUUUUCUAUUUAUUCAUGGGGAUGUGUUUCAUGGCUAAAACUUUGUUCUUUAUUUUUCUUUUGUAAAUCAUGAACUAAUUUAUUUGUAGUUGAGUGAUAAACAAUCUUAAUGGUUUAUUGACUGGAAAUAUGUGUUGCUGCAUGUUUGCUGUAGCAGUUUGUUUUGAUAGUAUUUAUUUUAUUCAUUAUUUCAAUUGAUCACUCAUUUAAUGAUACUAGCUAAUGAAGAGCCGCAAAAGGGCCUAUCUUAGUGGAACAUAUCAGAACAAUACUUGAUCUUAAAUUGAGUUUCCCGGAUUUAGUUUUAACUUGAGUCCCAAAAGGGCCAUGCUUGAUUUAAGAUUAGUAAUGAACUAGACAUAGGGAUUCGCCUUGUAGGGUAAAUAGAACUUAAGCGUGUAAUGUUAUAUCUUAUGUUGUCAUAACAAUUGAUCACUAUUAGGUUGCAUAUAGAUAUAAGAUAUCCAACAUGCGACGGCUGAUGAUGCAUAAGGAUUAUGCCCAGUGCUGGAGCAAAUACUGCAGCAACCGAUCCAACCAUUAGAAAAUAAUCAAGACCAUUAGGAGAGUUUAUUCACUCAACUACUAUAUAUUCCCAUUAGUUUUAUCCUUGAGCUUGACGUGAUAGUUUACUUUGUUGCAUUUAUUUAUUGCGUUUUUAUUUUAAUUAGUACAUUAGUUUCAUUAAUUGUUUAUUUUAUUUGAACACAAAAUCUGCACUGUUAAGAUUGCUGUAGCAAAUCUGAUAACAUCAAUCCAUGUGGAGACGAUCUUGAAUACUCAUCCCUUUAUUACUUGUUGUGUACACUUGCACAUUGACACCAAUAGCAUUAGUAUUUAUACACCAACAGCCAACAUGCUCUACAUUCAAUUGUCAUUGUUCGCACACAGAGUGCAUGCCAACGCCUCUAAUCUUUGUAGAGUUUGGCCCCUGUGCAUUCCUCAUUGUGAUGCACGUUUAUGUGCUACGCCUACAUACAUUUGCACUAUUGUAAUGCAUCGUCCUAUGCGUCCUUUGAGCCCUAUACAAUCCAAGCCCCCGCACCAUAUGCGUCCUACAUUCGUGGCCUACACGUCCACACACUUAUGAGAUGUUGCGUGCAUUGUCCAUGGCGUCAAACUUGAUAUAAAGUUGAAGAGCAUGUCCUCAUCUAAUUUUUUUUUAUGUACAACAUUAAUGAACUGAAUUCCUUGAUGUAAUCCCUCAUUAAUCUAGUCUGCUUUAGCUUAUUCUUCAAUAUUUCCCUCGUGAGUUAGCUAGCAUUUCUUCGUAAGAACUGGCCCUUUAGUUCUUAUUUGAAUUUGUCCUAUGUUUGUAUUGCGGAUCAAUGCACUUCAGCAUCCUCUUAAAGUCUGCUCCAUAUCCCACAAAAAAAUCUCUAACUCUUUGGCAUUCUGAGUCCCAUUAUAAGCCUUAGGUUUAGGCACCUUAACUUUCAAAGGCCCAUCCUCCGCACGAGAAGUGUUGUUUGCUGCCCGUUUCAACAACCUAACUUUUUUUUCAAGAUCCUUAAUGUCAUAUUUUACCACCUCUGCUAAUGCAGCAACAUCCUCAUCAUCUUAUUCAGCUUGUCCAAAAACUCAUUCACAAACUCUAUGCAAGUAGUUUCACACUCGCUAUCUCGAUGCAGUUGAUUUCUUUGUUCUCAACCAAACUCUCUAAGUCAAGUUGUAAAAUACCCAUAAUUGCCUCUAAGUGUAUUGGCUUGUCCUUUGUUCAUGGCCUCGUCAUAUUGGUUUCCAUUGUUGUUAAUUUCUCUAAAAAUGUACAACUUUGCUAUUGCACCGUAGCUUCCAUGAAACCACGCAAUCAGGUGUCUGCAAACUGAUUGUAAUUGAAGCUUGCAAUCAAUUGCCACAUACAACCAGUUCUAAUAUGCUCUGUAACUGAAUUAUGCAAACCCAACUAUGCAUUCUAAUACUAGUUUCUUCUCAAAAUGAAGCAACCUUUGCUCUGAUACCAGUUGUCACCAAGGUUUAUCUUAAGGAUGUGGCAACCCCGCGUGAUGAUGUUAAGUCUCCGCUUAACUAGUCACUCAACAAUCCUAGUGAAAGCAAAUAAAGCAACAAGCAUGCAAAAACCCAUAAUGGAGGUUUUAUAUGAAAGAUUGAUUCCACCAACAAAAGGGAACAAAAAUAGUGAGGAUUAAAGUUCACAAAAAUGCAUACUAUUUGCUUUUUACGAAGGUCCCAACCCCCAAAUUUUUUAUUUUCACAAAUAAGAAAAGAUUACAAAUAGCUCAAGGGUUUUGUAUGCUCAACAACACCACUUUCUCUACCAAGACCUAAGAUCACCAAAACAUACAUUCUCAUCACUAUAUCUACUAGUUUGCAAAUGAUACCCCUGUCUGCUAAGGCAAGGUGGGGUGCGACCCUCGCACCACCUUAAUUCUUCUCCUAAGUUUAGGCACCAUUAAACAUGUUGUGAGGAAGCACAUCUCUAUUCCCUCUCGAAUAAAGCAACCAUUACCCGCUUAGCUUAGCAGUAAGGAUGUUAUAGAGUGUAACCAGCAUUGCCCACCUUUCUUGAUGAGAAACCACCACUGCCUACUUGUUUUGCCCUUAUUCUCUAGGCAUGUGAUCCAAGGACAUGUUCUCCCAUUAGUUGCACCUACAACUACCCACUUCAUGCUUGAUUUUAGGUCCCACUUUUGAAGAAUUUGUAGCUAACAUGCUCUGCAUUCAGCCACCACUGUCCCAGCACAGCAAGCAUGCGAACGCCUUUCAUCUUCUUGUAGUUUAGCCCCAGUGUAUGCCCUACGGUACUGCGUGUUUGUGCGCUACACUCGCAUGCAUUUACGCUACUGCCUUGCACCAUCCUACAUUCUACCCACAUGGCCGGUGUGCGUGCCAUAUGUUCUGCAUGCCUCAUCUAUCCUCUGUCUGCAUGCCCUAUGCAUAGCUCAUUUGCAUCAUCAUAUCUCAUAAGUAUCAUCUUUAUCUCAAUAUUUGUAUCUUUGUAAUCAUCAUACUGCAUUCAUAUGCCCCCAAAAGGUAAAAGUGCCCAAACACACGGCCCAAAACCUCUAUGUGUUUCAGGCGAGCCCCAAAGGCCUCUCAUCUCAUAUCAUUUGUAUCACUGUAUCUGGAGGGGAAGGGUACUGUCCAAUGAUUUUGCAAAUAACCUUUUAUACACAUGUACAUAAACAUAUAAUCACAUAUGAAAUUUCAUUUCCUUUUUAUUUAACAUAUCUCAAAUCCACUCAAUUUUAUUAUCAUGCAUUUACUCAAAAACGCUAAUAAAAUCAUUAAUCAAACUCAUUUUUAAUAAUAAUAAAUAUCAGCACGUAGAUAAAAAUCUAUUUUCUAGGAAAUCAUCAAAUCGAAGCAUCAAAUACUUAUUAUCAAAACAUGUUGUACUGCAUCGUAAAAUCAAAAUAUACUAUGAAAAUAGGUUUUGGAUAUUCCACUCACAGUAACGAUGUCCAAACUCGGUAUCAACAACGUUCACGGGUCCUCCUAAUCAAGUAAACGACAUAAUUAUUAUUUGUAACAUGAAAUACGGUUAACAAUACAAAAUAAAGCUCGAAAUGAAACUCCCUGAUACAUAAAAUUUUAAAAUUACCCUUAUAUCAAAAAAUUACCAAAAUGCCCCUAACAUCGAAAUUUACCGAAUUUCUGUCGGAACCAUAAUUUAUCGAAUUAUCCUCAAAAUCCUAAAUUACCUGAUUGCUCUUAAUUCAAAUCACAAAAUUAACCACAAGUUUUGCAUACACGGAAUUACCCUUAGAAUGUGAAAUUACUAAAAUGCCCUCAACAACAUAAAUUAGGGAAUUACGCCUGAAAUCUUAAAUUACCUCAUUGUCCUAGUCUGGAAUUACCAAAUCAUCCACCAAUUUCAGAAAAUUAUGAAUUAAUCCCCAGAUUUUGUAAAAUUAUCGAAUUGCCCAUGCCGGUCAACGGUGACCGAAGUUCAGUCAACGGCGACGGGAAGUUUACUACCAAUUAAGCUAAUGCGGGACCCGUGUUGAAAUAAAAAUCCGACUACACAGCCAUUAAAUCGUGUUCGAAUUGUCUCAAUUUUAUGUCAUGACAAAUUUAAAAUAAUCCAAACACGAUUUAUUUAAUAAACGUAUAACAUUUAACAGUCACUACUCAUAAUGUCGGAUAAUCAUGUUGUAUCAACUUCAUCGUAAUAAUUCGGAACAAGUCCAACAAAUUUAAAAUUAAUGUCGAAGGGAAAAAAUUAAAUAAUACACUUAAUUAAGAAAAUUAAAGUGCAUAUGUUAAAAUCCUCCCCACUUAUAAAAAUUUGGUCCUCGAAAUUUACACAUAUGAUGAGAACAGAUGAGGGUAUUGGGCUCGCAUUAAGUCUUCACGUUCCCAAGUAUCCUCUUCCCUUGUGUGAUUCCUCCACAUCACUUUUACUAAAGGAAUGGCUUUAGAACGCAACACUUAGUGUUUCCGUUCAAGUAUCUCCACAUGCUCCUUUUAGUACGUCAAGUCUUCCUUCAACUCAAUUAGUUGUCUCGAUAACACAUGAUUGAGAUCAUAUAUGUACUUUCAAAGCAUCGAGACAUGAAACACAUUGUGGAUUAUGGAUAACUCAGUUGGUAGAGCUAAUCAGUACGCCAAUGGACCAAUACACUCUACGAUCUCAUAUGGUCCAAUGUAACGUGGGCUUAGCUUUCCGCACUUCCCAAAUCGAAGUACUCAUUUCUAAGGAGGUAUCCGUAUGAAAACCUUAUCACCCACUUCGAAUUCAAGUUCCCUCCUACGCUUAUCUGCAUCGCUCUUUUGUCUGUUUUGGGCUACCUUUAAUCUAUCCCGAAUAAGUUGUAUAUUCUCAUUAGUAUUCUAAACCAAUUCGGGGCCAAAAAGCUUCCGCUCGCCAACCUCAUCCCAACAUACCGAAGUUCUACAUUUCCUACUAUACAAAGCCUCAUAAGGUGCCAUCUCGAUGCUAGCUUGAUAAUUGUUAUUAUAAGAAAACUCUAUCAAAGGUAAAUAAAUGUUCUAACUACCCUAAAACUCCAAAACACAAGUUCGCAACAUACCUUCCAAUGUCUGAAUAGUACGCUCUAACUGUCCAUCAGUCUGAGGAUUAAAACAUAUACUAAAAUUCAACUUUGUGCUUAAAGCCUUUUGCAACCUAGUACAAAACUUAAAAGUGAACUGGGAAUCUCUAUCUGAAACAAUAGACACAGGUGCUUCGUGAAGUCGAACAAUCUCAGCCACAUAAAUACUCUCCAACUUAUCCAUCGAAUAAGUGGUCUUGAAAGGUAAAAAGUGAGCAGAUUUCGUGAGUCGGUCAACAACCACCUAAACAUUAUCAUGUCCACUCUGGAAAUAUGGAAGUCCCGCCAUAAAAUCUAUCGUGAUAUGCUCCCACUUCCACUCAAAAAUAGGAAGCGGCUGAGAAGGAAGAGAAACAAAAGCAAAAAGGUAGUCGCACAAAUUGAGAAGACAAAAAGGGAGCAGCCGCGAAAAUUGGAGAGAAAAACGGGGAGAGAAGGAAGAAAAAGAACGAAGCAGCCAUAAGAGAUUUAGAGGGAUGAGGGAAUUAAUUCUUGAGUUUUUCUUUUCCUCUUCUCAAUUCUCUUACUUGAAUGUUUCCAAUUAAAUUCAUGGAUUCUCUUUAUAUUCCCAUGAACUAAUUUAUUUUGCUAGCGCUACGACGUAACCUAACUAUGAAGAUAAUAAGACCUAGAUGAGAUUUAUGUAUUUUUGCUCUGUGUAAUGUAUGUCAUGAAUUGAACGAAAGACAGAGAUGUGCCAACGUGAUUCAUGCAGUUUUUCUAAGAGUUUCCAUAGAGCUUAAUGAAUCUUUGCAUAUUUAAAUUCACAUAGAGAUAUAGUGGGUUAAUAUGUGAAGGUAUUUUUGAUAUUACUCGAAAGAGGAUAUUGAAUAGACUAGGGAAAUUCACUGUAACCAUGGACAAUAAAUUUUAAUAGCAUAGAUGGAGGAUUAAAUUGGAUUAGUUAUGGUGAAAUCAGAUGUCCUAAUGUCUUAAUCUCUUGGUCAUUUCUAUUACUACCUGCAUCUUUUUUAAUUUUUAGUUAUUUUCUUUUAUUUUAAUUUUUAAUCUAAAUUCGCUUAUUCGAUUAUUCAAAUAAUUUAGAGUUAAAAUAAUUUCGGUAGCUAAUAGGAUAUACGAUCUCUAUGGGACGAUACUCUACUCUUCAUUAUAUUAUUUGUGCCGACUAGUACACUUGCUAAUUUAUGCAUCAAGUUUUUGGCACUGUUGCCGAGGAUUAUUUGGAUUAGUAUCGAUACCAACUAACCUUAGUUUAAUUUGAAUUUGAAUUUUAUUUUUUUUGUUUAAUUUUAUGAGAUGUUUAAAAAGCUUUGAUUUAUUGCCUUUUGAUCCAGAGAUUGAACAUACGUGCAGAAGGCUUAAUAGAGAAAGGAGAUAAGCUUUACAGGAGCUACAACUAGUCAUGACUGAGAAGCAUUACACAUAAAUGAGGAUGCGAGACCUUUAAGAGAUUAUGUUGUGCCUAUAAUUAAUGGUGCUCGCUCAAGCAUUGCACGCCCUGCCAUUCAAGCCAAUAAUUUUGAAAUUAAGCCAGCUAUAAUCUAGAUGAUUUAGACGUCAGUACAAUUUACUGAGAUGCCGAAUGAUGAUCCAAAUGCUCAUAUUGCAAAUUUAUUGGAAAUUUGUGACACAUUUAAGCAAAAUGGUGUUUCAGAAAAUGCUAUCAGGCUAAGGCUUUUCCUGUUCUCACUAAGGGAUAAAGCAAAACAAUGGUUAAACUCACUCCCUGCUGGAAUAAUCACUACAUGGGAUGGUUUAGCGCAUAAGUUUUUAGCAAAGUACUUUCCUCCAACAAAAACAGCCAAGUUGAGAAAUGACAUCACAACAUUUGCUCAAUUCGAGAUGGAAUCAUAUAUGAAGCAUGGGAGAGAUACAAAGACCUACUAAGAAAAUGCCCAUAUCACGGUCUACUAGUUUGGCUUCAGGUACAUACAUUUUACAAUGGUUUGGGAUCCAAUACCAGAACAAUGAUUGAUGUUGUAGCAGGAGGAACAUUAAUGGGAAAAACACUAGAAGCAGCUUAUGAAUUAUUGGAGGAGAUGGCCUCUAAUAAUUACCAGUGGUCUUUAGAGCGACUAAUAUCAAAGGGAGCUAUAGGAGUCCAUAAUAUUGAUGUGGUCACCGCUUUAUACGCACAGAUAAUUGCAAUUCGUAACAAGUUGGACAAUCUGAAUAUUCAAACUCAACCGCAAGUAUGUGAAUUAUGUGGAGGGAAUCAUACUAGCGUCAAUUGCCAAGUUAGAAGUCCUUUUGCACCAUCAUCUACUAAACAAGCUCAUUAUGUGUCAAACUUUUAGAGGCAACAAAAUAACCCAUAUUCUAAUACCUACAAUCCAAGCUAGAGAAACCAUCCAAAUCUAUCAUGGAACAACACCCAAAAUGCAUUGGCACCACUUCCAGGGUUCCAACCACAAGAAAAAAAGUCAAACUUAGAAGAUGCUCUUACCCAGCUUACAACAAAUAUGUCUCAAUUCAUGACCAAAACAAAGACAACUUUUCAGAAUCAAGCUGCAUCAAUUCGGAACCUCAAGGUACAAGUGGGUCAAAUUGCAAACUUACUAUCCAGUAGACAACAAGGCUCUCUGCCACGCAACACCGAGACAAAUCCAAGGGAGCAAGUUAAUGCAAUUGUACUUUGGAGUGGUAAACAACUUGAUGAGCCGCAAAAAGAAGCAAAGAAAGUUAAUGAAGGACAAGCUAAAAACACCACCAAGGUUUCAAAGGCAAUAAAUUUAGAAAUACCACAACCUAAACCAGCAGCACAAGUCAAGGCCUAUGUUCCUCCAAUCUCUUUUCCUCAGCGUCUCAGGAAAAAUAACAUAGAUAAGCAAUUUUUAAAAUUUCUUGAUGUGUUUAAGAAAUUGCAUAUUAACAUUCCUUUUGCAGAUGCUUUGGAACAAAUACUACUUUAUGUCAAAUUUAUGAAGGAAAUAUUGUCCAACAAAAGGAAAUUUAAGGAGCAUGAAACUAUAAUGUUGACUGAGGAUUGCACUGCCAUCUUGCAAAAUAAAUUGCCACCAAAGCUGAAAGAUCCAAGGAGUUUUAAUAUUCCAUGCACUAUUGGAAAUACUUAUUUUGAAAAAGCUUUGUGUGAUUUAGGUGCAAGCAUUAAUUUGAUGCCUUUUUCUGUUUUCAAGAAAUUAGGUUUGGGUGAACCUAAGGCAACAACUGUUACCCUCCAAUUAGCAGAUAAAUCUAUAAAGUACCCAAGAGAAAUAGUUGAGGACGGGCUUGUGAAAGUUGAUAAGUUUAUAUUCCCUGUAGAUUUUAUUGUCUUGGAUAUGACUGAAGAUAUAGAGUUACCUCUUAUUCUAGGCCGACCAUUCUUAGCUACAAGAAGAGUUUUGAUUGAUGUUCAGGAAGGGAAAUUGAUUUUGAGAGUUCAAAAUGAGCAAGCCAUUUUUAAUGUGUACACACCUAUCAAGUAUCCAACUGAACUCAAAGAAUGUUUCCAAGAAAGUACCCAAGAGACAUAGUUGAGGACGCGCUUGUGAAAGUUGAUAAGUUUAUAUUCCCUGCAGAUUUUAUUGUCUUGGAUAUGGCUGAAGAUAUAGAGUUACCUCUUAUUCUAGGCCGACCAUUCUUAGCUACAAGAAGAGCUUUGAUUGAUGUUCAGGAAGGGAAAUUGAUUUUAAGAGUUCAAAAUGAGCAAGCCAUUUUUAAUGUGUACACACCUAUCAAGUAUCCAACUGAACUCAAAGAAUGUUUCCAAGAAAGUACCCAAGAGACAUAGUUGAGGACGCGCUUGUGAAAGUUGAUAAGUUUAUAUUCCCUGCAGAUUUUAUUGUCUUGGAUAUGGCUGAAGAUAUAGAGUUACCUCUUAUUCUAGGCCGACCAUUCUUAGCUACAAGAAGAGCUUUGAUUGAUGUUCAGGAAGGGAAAUUGAUUUUAAGAGUUCAAAAUGAGCAAGCCAUUUUUAAUGUGUACACACCUAUCAAGUAUCCAACUGAACUCAAAAAAUGUUUCCAAGAAGACACCAUGGAUAGAAAAAUAGCCAAACAAUUUAAGGAUAAGCAUCUAUCUAACCCUCCUGACAUUUAUACAAUACGUAAGCAGUCUAUUAAUGAAUAUCCAUCUCCUCAUUUUCGUGGGAAGAGAUCUAAUUGCAAGCAACUUGGGCGAGAUCCAUCCAGAUCAUCUCUUUCCAUCCAUGAGCCUCCUUGAACGAUCUCUCCAAAGAUAGUCAAGCUAAUGACUAUAAAUUAAGCACUUCUUGGGAGGCAACCCAAGCUUUCUAAACCUUAUUAUUGUCAUUUUUGUCUUUUCUUAUUUUUUUUGUCUUUUCUUAUUUCUUAUGUCUUUUCUUAUUUCUUAUGUCUUUUCUUUUACUUAUUUUAUUUUGUUUUGUUCUAGGUUUUUGCAUAAGUUUGGGGGUGGGAAUAUUUGCUUUCAAUUUUUUCUUAAAAAAAAAAAGAAAAAAAAUCUAAAAAAAUUAAAUUUUUUUUUAUGCCUUUGAUGAGUAUAUUGUUGAAAAUGAAUAUGGUUCUUAGAAAGGGAUGAAUAUUGUCUUAAUUUAUACUUGAUUCUUGUGUUAUUUUCGUCUUGAUUAUGAUUCUUUAAAUAUUUUGCGCACUUAUAUCAAUUUUUUUAGAAUUUCGACUUAAGAUUUGAGAUUGAUACAGCCUGAGUUGAGAAUUUUAGAUUGAGUAAAUGAUUGUUUGCCUCGAUUCUACAUUACUUAAGUACCCAGGCAUCAUAGUCAGAAAUAACUACCUAUAACCCUUAAGAGUGAAGCUAUCAUUGAGUAAUUUGGGCCUAUGUACCACCGAUAUGUAGAGGAUAAUCUACCAUGAGAAGAAGACUACCUUAAGGGGUAGAGUGAAAGCUCCUGACUACGAAAAAUCAAAAGAAAAUGCAAAUUAUGCUUGUGAAAAAAAAAGAGAGAGAUCAAGAUGAUGAGGUUAGUUUGACCUACUCUGUUUACUAUUCAAUACAAGGGCUAUUGAUAAUGAAGAUUUUGAGAAUGAGUUUUGAUUGAAUUGAUUCACACACAACACAGGAAUCCAAUAUGAGAUGAGGCUGACCAUUGAAUUAAAGUUAGAAGUUUGCCAAUACUUUUAAUUUUCUUUGAGAUGUAUACUUUAUGCAAUCUUUGAGGCAUUUUUAAUGAUGUUUGUGGGUAUCAUCGCUGAAAACCCUCACGAGACUAUAACUUGUCCACUAGGGCCGCCUAGGGGUUUACAGGCUUGUUGUAUACGUUAAAUGCAAUCGCGAUCACCUGGGAAAGUUGUUUAGUUAGGAUUUUCUUUUCAUAGUUUUUAUUUUAAUUUUUGCUCGAGGACUAGCAAAAUGUUAAGUUUGGGGGUAUUUGAUGUGCCAAUCAUUUUCAUAUUAUUUUAAUGCUUCCAUAACUUAAUUUUAUGUUAAAUUAUAUUUUAUUUCAUUAAUUUUUAUCUUAAUUUUUAUAUUUUGUCAUUGUAGGAAUAUUGGGAAUAUUCAUGAGAAAGGAAGCUUAAAGAGGAAACAAAUUGGAGCUUAAUGGAAAUAAUUGCAGAUUGUGAGAGAAAAGAGGAAAGAAUAAUGCUUAAAGAAUAAUUAUUAGAUUUAUUACCAAAUAAUUUUAGAAAUUUAUUGGCUAUUUGUACAAGUCACGUGGAUGAUUACAUAAAGCAUUGGCAUUUGUCAAGUGGGCUCACAUAAGCAUGGGCUUAAAAGGGUGGCUAGGUUUGUUUUGUUUUAAAAUCCUUUUGAUUUAAGGAUUUGGGGACUGAGCAAUAAUAUAAAAAGGAGGAGAAACAAAAGCAAGAGGGUAGCCGCACAAAUUGAGAAGACAAAAAGGGAGCAGCCGCGAAAAUUGGAGAGAAAAACCGAGAGAGAAGGAAGAAAAAGAACGAAGCAACCAUAAGAGAUUCAGGGGGAGGCUGGAAUUAAUUCUUGAGUUUUUCUUUUCCUCUUCUCAAUUGUCUUGCUUGAAUGUUCCCAAUUAAAUUAAUGGAUUCUCUUUAUAUUCCCAUGAACUAAUUUAUUUUUCUAAGGCUACGACGUAGCCUAACUAUGAAGAUUUAAUUCCAUAAAUCUAUGUUAUUUUUAGUUUAUUAUUCCAUCGGUGAGUGUUCAUUAUUGUGUUUAAUGCUUUUAAAUAUCUGGCUAAUAUUUAAAUGAUUUGAGGAUACAUAAUGAGACCGGGAGAAGAUUUAUAUAUUUUUGCUCUAUGUAAUGUAUGCCAUGAAUUGAACGAAAGACAGAGAUGUGCCAACGUGAUUCAUGAAGUUUUUCUAAGAGUUUUCAUAGAGCUUAAUGAAUCUUUGCAUAUUUAAAUUCACCUAGAGAUAUAGUGGGUUAAUAUAUAAAGGUAUUUUUUAUAUUGCUCGAGAAAGGAUAUUGAAUAGACUAGGGAAAUUCACUGUCAACAUGGAUAAUAAAUUUUAAUAGCAUAGAUGGAGGAUUAAAUUGGAUUAGUUAUUGUGAAAUUAGAUGUCCUAGUGUUUUAAUCUCUUGGUGAUUUCUAUUACUGUCGCAUCUUUAUUUAAUUUUUAGUUAUUUUAUUUUAUUUUAAUUUUUAGUCUAAAUUUACUUAUUCGAUUGUUCAAAUAAAUUAGGGUUAGAAUAAUUUCGAUAGCUAAUAGGAUAUAUAAUCUCUGUAGGACAAUACUCUACUCUUCAUUAUAUUACUUGUACUGACUAGUACACUUGCUAAUUUACGCAUCAAGUUUUUGGUUAUUAGCUUUCAACUUAACUCCUAAAGAUCUCAGCUCGAUCAACAAAGUCAUAUAUAUCACUCAUAAAUGAGCUAUAGAGCUGGAGGACUUCCUACUUAACGCAUCAACUACCACAUUUGCUUUGCCCAGAUGAUAAUCAAUAGUGCAAUCGUAGUCCAUAAUCAGCUCGAUCCAUCUCCUCUGUCUCAAAUGUAACUCUUUCUAAGUAAAUAAAUACUUCAGGCUCUUAUAAUCGAUGAAAAUCCGACGCGUUGCCCCGUAUAAAUAGUACCUUCAUGUCUUGAGUGCAAACACCACUGCUACUAGCUCUAAAUCAUGAGUUGGAUAGUUUUGCUCAUGCUUCUUAAGUUUUCUAGAAGCAUAGGCCACUACUUUCCCAUGUUGCAUUAGCACACAUCCCAAUCCUUGUCUAAAGGCAUCACUGCAUACCACAAAUCCUUCAUUACCCAAUGGAAGUGUAAGAACUAGGGCUGAAGUAAGACAUGUCUUAAGUUCUUGAAAACUCUUUUCACAGUCAUCAUCCCAUUGGAACUUAACAUUCUUUCUGGUUAAUCGUAUCAAAGGAAUAACAAUCUUGGAAAAUCCCUCCACAAAUCUACGAUAGUAGCCAGCUACUUCGAGGAAACUCUGAAUCUCUGUGACAUUUAUAGGUCGUUCCCAAUUUACAACUGCUUUGAUCUUUUGAGGAUCGACAUAAAUUCAUUCAGCUAAUAUCAUAUGGCCCAGAAAUACUAGUUUAUCCAACCAGAACUCACACUUGUUGAACUUGGCAUACAACUGCUUUUGCCUUAAAGUCUGUAAAACAGUUCGCAAAUAUUCUGCAUGUUCCUCCUGGUUCCGAGAAUACACCAAAAUAUCAUCAAUGAACACAAUCAUAAACCGAUAUAGAUAAGGGUGAAAUACUUUAUUCAUAAAAUCCAUAAAAGCUGCUGGAGCAUUAGUCAACGCAAAUGGCAUCACCAAGAACUCAUAAUGUCCAUAACAGGUUCUGAAUGUUGUUUUAAGAACAUUGACCUCUUUAAUUCUAAGCUGAUGAUAUCCUGAGUGUAAAUCAAUCUUAGAAAAUACUUUCACUCCAUGAAGUUGAUCAAACAAGUCAUCAAUAUAUGGAAGUGGAUACUUAUUGCGUAUUGUAACUUUGUUUAAUUAUCUGUAGUCAAUGCAGAGUCUAAAAGCACCAUUCUUUUUCUUAACAAACAAAACCGGAGCACCCACGGAGACACAUUAGGUCUAAUAAAUCACUUAUCCACCAAUUCUUGCAGUUGAAACUUAAGUUCCUUUAGUUCAACUAGAGCCAUCCUGUACGGUGCUAUAGAUAUAAGAGUUGUUCCAGGGACUAAAUCAAUAGAAAACUCAACCUCCCUAUUAGGUGGCAUCCUUGGAAGUUCAUCUGGAAACUGUUGGACUACUAGAAUAUCCUCCAAUCUCAACUCCCGAACUUUAGUGUCUAUCACGUGCGAUAUAAGCUGAGCAACCUUUUCUUAGUAACCGUCUAGCACCAAUGGCUAAUAUGACAUAUGACGGUAAAACUCUACACUCACCACAAAAUUUCACCUCAGUUUUCCCUGACUUUUCUAAACAUAACUUCCUUUUUGAAACAAUCCAUAGUAUCAUAAUGAGAUGCAAGUCAAACCAUGCCCAAAAUGUUAAUGAAAUCUCGAAUGUCUAAAAUAAUCAAAUUCGCCCUAAAUUCUUGCUCACCCAAUUUAAUCAUACAAUCUUAAUACACACUCUCGGCAAGCAUUGACCCCCUAUAGGUGUAUUAACAACUAAACCAUAAUCCAGUGGUUCAUGCUCUCUCUCUCAAAUGCAUAGCAAAAACAUGAGAAACAAAAGAAUGCGUGGAUCCAGGAUCAAUAAGAAUAUAAGCCUAAGUAAUUGCAACAUGUCAUUGAUAUUGAUGUUCUACUAUUUGCCACCAAUGAUAAGCUUUAUCCUCAAGUAGAAAAGUGGCAAAGGAAAGUCCAUCCUCCUCUGAGCAACUCAUCAUAUUAAAAAUACGUUCUAACUUGACAAACCACGACUCUGCCUCAGGUGGAUCUCCAAAACCAUUAAAACUCUUUGCCCCUAAAUUUUGUACACGCUCGAUAGUGUAUACAUGACCGGCAUACAGAUGAGUCUGAUUAUGUACCAUUGUAGUCACAAUCUCAGCUAGUUUAUCAAUUGACUGCUCAAGGUUGGGUACAUUUCCUGGUGCCUGUUGUGCAACCUCGUGCGUUGAAGACUCAACUACUCUCUCGUUUACAGCAUUAUUUUCCGCCGCAGGUACAUCUCCUGGAGUCAACCCAUCUACUGAUUUAGUACAGCUACAACCACCCCUAUUGCUACAACGAAUCAUGAUAGUGCUCACAAAAUAUCAAUUACGACUUUGACAACAGCAAAACUUAUUCUAAUCACAACAACAAAGUCUACAUAAUCUAAAACUGUGCUCUGAUACCAACUGAAACGACCCGCCCCGAGUCCCCAGGACGAGUCUAUCUAACUCGCCUAACCAAAUUAAUAAUAAUUCUAAUGUCUAAGAAUUCUACCAAAAUUUCGGCAAAGUCUCCUAUAUAAUUAUGACAUCCCCAAACUGCAAUUUAUAAAAUUAACACUCCAAAAAAUGAUACAAUAUUCAAUCAACCUCCACAACUAACUUCCUCAAUCAAAUACCAGUAUCCUUCAAACAUAUAAUGUCAAGAAUAUAAUAAUUUGUCCUUAAUCACAAAUAAAUAAUAAAUUAUAUAAUUCAAAAUAUCUCAACAAAACAUCUAGGAUUAACACCAUCACGUGGCCAUAGUUUCAAAUCUAACUAUUGUUGCUGGGUCGACUGAUGCAUCUGCAAAUCUCCUGUGGCGGGAAAAAUAUAAUAAAAAUGGGGUGAGUAUAAAACUCAAUGAGUGGAUAGUAGUUUUUGAAAAAUAAUUUUUUUUAAAAUGAUUUAAUCUUUCCCAAAUCAAUUUCAUUAAAAUAUCAUAAGAACUUAAAUUAACAUAUUUAAUUAAAAUCAUGCACUGAAAUAACAAUAUUACAUAAAUCUGCAUAACAUCAAUGAAAUCAUAACAUUCAUAAUAUCAAAUACUAAAUACCAAAAACUAUCACCAAACAAGAACCCAAGGGAAUAAACCCAUCAUAUCCGGACCUCGACGGACGGACAAUCAAGGAACUAUCAUGCCUUGGAGCUACAACGGAUAGACGUGGAAAUGCCAUUUCAUAUCUCAUAUAUCUCAUCAUAUAUGUGCAUGUAUAAUCUGGUCCCCAAAGGAUAAGGUGCCCAAGUAUACGGCCCAAAACCUCUAUGUGUACUCAAACGGGCCCCAAAGGCUUCUCAUCUCAUCUGUAUCAUCAUAUCCCAUCUAUAUCAUCUGUAUCUCAAUAUCCGUAUCUUUGUAAUCAUUAUACUGGAGGCAUAUACCCCCAAAAGGCAAAAGCGCCCAAGCACACGGCCCAAAGCCUCUAUGUAUAUUCAGACGGGCCCCAAAGACCCAUCAUCUCAUAUCAUUUGUAUCAUUGUAUCUAGAGGGAAAGGGUAUUGUCCAAUAAUUUUGCAAACAACCUUUUAUACACAUGUACAUAAACAUAUAAUCACAUCUGAAAUCUCAUUUCCUUUUUAUUUAACAUAUCUCAAAUCCACUCAAUUCUAUUAUCAUGCAUUUACUCAAAAACGAUAAUAAAAUCAUUAAUCAAACUCAUUUUUAAUAAUAAUAAAUAUCAUCACGUAAAUAAAAAUCCAUUUUCUAGGAAAUCAUCAAAUCGAAGCAUCAAAUACUUAUUAUCAAAACAUGUUGUAUUGUAUCGUAAAAUUAGAAUAUACUAUGAAAAUAGGUUUUGUAUAUUUCACUCACAGUGACGAUGUUCAGACUCGGUAUCAACAACGUCCGUGGGUUGAUUCUCAUUCACGGGUUGUUGGUGAAUUACUCAAUUGCUAUUGAUGCCAAUGUGCAAGUGUACACAACAAGUAAUAAAGUGAUGAAUAUUCUAGAUCAUCUCCACAGAGACUGAUGUUACUAGAAAUGCUACAGCAAUCACAAUAGUGCAAUCUACCUUUAUUUCAUGAUGAACCUAGUUAAAGUUGAUUACUACCGAAAUUAAAAAUUGUAAAGAAAUAAAUCAAAUAAUUGCAUUAAUGAAAUAAAUUAGAUAAAUUGCGUAAAAAAAUGAAAUGAGAAUGAGGUAGUUGAAUGAUCAAACUCUCUUCAUGGGUUGACUGCUUUUCAUCAAAUUAGCACAAGUUGCUACAACAAUUCCUACAGCACUGGGCAUAAUUAUUUUGCAUCCUCAGCUGUCGCGUGUUGGACUUCUCAUACCCUUAAGUAUCUUAACAAUGACCAGUUACUAUUCUACCUACGGCAUGGCAUUAUGAACAUCUAUUCUCUCCACCCUACAAGAUGAGUGUCUAUGUCUAGUUCUUCACAAAUCUUAACUUCAAGUAUAGCCCUUAUGGGAUUCAAGAUAAACUUAAUCCAGGAAACUCAAAUUAAGAUCAAGUAUUACUCUAAUAAUAUCCACUAAGACAGGCCUUUUGCGACUCUAUCUUAACUUGAACCAUUAAAUGGGUGAUCAACCGAAAUAACAGUUAUAAUAAUAGCUACUAGAGUAAAAUGCUACAACAAUUAUAUAGCAACUCAUAAGAAUAGUCAAAAACCCAUUGAGAUUGUUUGUCACUCAACUACAAGCAAGUUUAGUUCAUACUUUGAAAAAGAAAAACACAUAGCAAACUAUUGGUCACGAAAUACAUCGGUUCAAUCAAAGAGUAACGAAAAGAACAAUGAAGAUUGAAUCCAAAUAACUAUGCUGGAUUCUUCACUGAUACAGCUUGGUUCUCUUGAAUUCAUAUUGUUUUCUUCUUUUCCUCUUGAUUUUUCCAAUGUUAAUUCCUUUCCGCCGUUUUAUGUGAUGCGCGCCCCUUUUUAUAACUGAAACUUAGGGUAAACAAAAGCCUAGGGCGAGCAUGAGUCAAAUUAGAAAACUGUAGAUUGCAAUUCUGCAGAUAUCCCGUGCUAAGUUUUCUCUGUCGUUGUUCCAGGAUUGCUACAGCAAUGGUUGCUCCAGCAACAGCUAUAACACUGCACUGAUCUAGGUUUUGUUUCCCUUAUUUUUUGGUCAUAUUCUUCCUCCUUUUUGCCAACCUAUUGCAUCAGCAUCCCUUCCAUGAAUUAUAAACUUCUGAAAACCUACAAUUAUGCACAUGUUUUGAGCACAAAUUACUUUAAAUCAAGCAAAACUUAUUAAGACUAAACUAAAAUGAAUGUUUAUGCAAAACGUAACAAAAAUGUAAUAAAAACACAUCAUUACUUUCUAAGUGAUCUUGAUUUAAGUCUAGAAUUGCCAUAAUAACUCUCAUUUCAUGAAGUUAUCACGGGUCCUCCUAAUCAAGUAAACGACAUAAUUAUUAUCUGUAACAUGAAAUACAUCUAACAAUACAAAAUAAAGCUUGAAAGGAAACUCUCAGAUACAUAAAUUUCAAAAUUACCCUUAUAUCCAAAAAUUACCAAAAUCCCCCUGACAUCGAAAUUUACUGAAUUGCUAUCGGAACCAUAAUUUAUCAAAUUAUCCUCCAAAUCCUAAAUUACCUAAUUGCUCUCAAUUCAAAUCACAAAAUUAACCACAAGUUCUGGAUUUAUGAAAUUACCCUUAGAAUGCAAAAUUACUAAAAUGCCCUCAACAACAUAAAUUAGCGAAUUUCCCCCGAAAUCUUAAAUUACCUCACUGCCCUAGUCUGAAAUUACCAAAUCAUCCACCAAUUUCAGAAAUUACGAAAUAAUCCCAGAGUUUGCAAAAUUACCAAAUUGCCCAUGCCGGUCAACGAUACCGAAGUUCAGUCAACGGCGACGAGAAGCUCAGGUCUGAUAGUUCUUACCUCGAUCAGUCCAAUGGUGCCAAUGAUGACCCCCCAGGCGUAGCGACAAUGGCGGAUCGAACUUCCCAAACCGCAAGAUUUCUGACAGUUGUUCGCAGCCAAAACGGCAGUUAUAGAUGGCGGGGUUGGUUGGAAAACGACGAGGGUGAGCUGAGGAUCAAGAUCUAAGUGGUGAUGCGGCCUAAAUUCGGCGAAAUCAACUGCGACAAAAGCGAGUUGAGUCGCGGUCCUUGAAGCUUCGAUCACCCGUGUUCUGGCUGUUUUUCGGCGACGAUGACAGCGGGGAUAUGACCGGCAUCGCUCAAACUUCAGAUCGAUACCAAACUUGACUGGAACGGUGGCCGAAAACAAGAGUUGGAGUCGGGUCGGCUUCGCUAGUCAGGUUGGGUCAAAUGGGUCAAUUUCUCUUUCUCUCACGCGCCCCCUCUCUUUCCAUUUUUGGAAACCAACUCCCCUCUUUCUAUUUAUAGAAACUAGCUUCCAUUUUUUUUUAAAGCUUACUACCAAUUAAGCUAAUGCGAGACCCGUGUUGAAAUAAAAAUCCAACGACACAGCCAUUGAAUUGUGUUCGAAUUGUCUCAAUUUUAUGUCGUGACAAAUUUAAAAUAAUCCAAACAUGAUUUAUUUAAGAAAUGCAUAACAUUUAACAAUCACCACUCAUAAUGUCAGAUAAUCGUGUUGUAUCAACUUCACCGUAAUAAUUUGGAACAAGUCCGACAAAUUUAAAAUUAAUGUCGAAGGGAAAAAAUUAAAUAAUACACUUAAUUAGGAAAAUUAAAGUGCAUAUGUUACAGUUUUAUUAUUAAUUAUUGACUUAUUAUUUUUUGCAAUUUAUUGUGACACAUAAAAAAUCAUAUUAUUGAAAUUCCCAAUUGAAUAUAUAAAGUGAGUAAGUAUAACGUUACUCUUUCCAUAAUUGAUAAGGAUGGCAAAAAGACUAGACCAUGUUCUUGUCUGAUUGACCUAACUUUAAUUUUUAGGGUUUUUAAUUGAAUUUAAAGGGUCAAGGAUCAAGUUUCGACCGGAUUACAUUCAAGUCUGGGUUAGGACUUUAUAAAAAAUCCUAACUCAACCUUUGACCCUUAAAUUAAUUUUCAAAAUUAAAAAAAUAAUACUUAAAAAUUAGAACACAUACACUACAAAUGUGGUCAAAACUCACUCCUCAAACUGAUAGUAUUUUGUAUUCGAUUUAUUUACUUGCUAAUUUGGUUAGAUUUUUACAUGUUGGAUUUUCAAUAAAGCUAAAUAAAAAGUUAAUUUAUUAAAUGCCUUACAACCAAAUUUAUCAUAAAAUGGAACAAUAAUAGUACAAUAUAAUUAAUAAAGAAUGAAGAGUUGGAGUCCUACUAAAGUAUCUAAAAAUUAAAAGGUUAUUGCAAAGUGUGGAUAAAGCUCGAGCCUGAACUUGACUUGAAAAAGGCCGACCCUAGUCCAACCCUUACUUUUGAGGAUCAAACUUUUGAAAGUUAAGACCCUUUAUUUUUAAUUAUAAGGGCAAGGCUAGGGGUUGGCCAAGCCUGAGCUCAACUAGAUCAAUUGCCAAACUUAUUGAUAAGAAAAUAAUUAAUAGAGUUGUGAUAUUUGACCCCCUCGUUGUACCUCACCAGCCCCCACUAAUUACUUUUAUACUAAUAUUUAUUUUAUCUUUGUAUGAAAUGAUUUAAAAGAGUAAAUAGCUUUUAAGUGCACCCACAUGAUAAUUUCCAUUAAUAUAUAAUUUAACUAAUUUAUUUUCUUAAACCUUAAUUUUUUUAAACUUUUUAAUUCUUUCUUAAAUAUUGUAUACUUUACUUUUGGAAGAAAUUAAUUUAUAGCACGCAAUAGAAGAUGAUGAAGAAAUAUUAAUUUUUUUAUGGUUAUGGUAAUGAUGGAUAAAUCUUUAAAAAGAGAGAGAGAGAUUAUAGUGAUUUUGAGAUUUUUUUUUCUUUUUGAAAUAGAUUUUAUAAGUUUCAGUGCUUGGAAAAAAGAUAAAAAAUCGUAAUAAAGCUAAGUUCGCGAUUCAAUGAGGUAUGUUGAUAUAUAAAGUUUAGUUUAAAAUUUUUAAUAGCGUUAACUGAAAGGGGUUGGUAAAAUAUAAUAAGUGGGUCAAAUCUACCACCCUAAUUAGUAUCAUUUUACUCGAAAGUUUUACUUAUAAAUUUUGGAUUUUGACCAGCUUUAAAUCUAUAAAAAAAAUUCAGAAAAAGUUACUUUAAAAAAUCUAUACAUUAUCCCAAAAGUUGUACCCAAAAAAAAUAAAUAAAAAUCGGCCCGUUCUGGUUAAAUUCAAAAUGAAAAAACCCGGCCCGUUUCCCUACUUAAGACCCUCCUAGCAGUUUUAAAAAAAAUUUCCCAGCGAAGAAUAGAAGUGAUAGCAGCUGCUCUGUCUUGCGACCCAUCGCAAUGGGAAUUUAGCUGGUUUUAAUUCUCUCUCUUAGCUGUUUCUGUUUCUUUAAUUUAACAUUGUGAUAUAUAUUUAUUAUGCUAGAGGUUCAACUAAGUCUCCAUUUACUGGGACUUUUCUCAUCUUGGGAAAUGUUAAUUUUGCCUUAUUUAUUCAAUAUUGUUAUCUUCCUCUGUCAAUAAAUUUUAUGCUUCGGUUGGUUAUUCAAUGUGGGUUUGUUCCAUUUUGUUCUUACGCUGUUUGUAUAAAUAUUAAAGGUUUGUUUUUUAAAAUGGCUUUCAGUCAAUUGCCUUCAAAGCUUUAUUUCCUAAAAGAGGAAAGAAAAAUAUACCAAAAUGUUUAAUUUCUACUGCUAUAUGUUUGCGUUUUUAGCUUCUGCUAUGCUUUGUAUUGUGUUGUUUGUGUUGGUAUUAAUGCUAGAAAGAUGUUUUCUUCUCAAAUCUGAUUGCUUAGAAUGAAUAUGAGGUGGUUAUUGAGUUGCAAUAUAUCGAAUAAAUUGAAGACGUCUGCUUCAUAGGUUUUGAUUCUAUUAAUUGUUUUCAUUUCAAGCAUGACACAAUUGCAUGGGUGUUCGAGGAGGCUAACGAUGAUUUCUUAGGGUUGAAGCUAUAACUUUCUUUUAUUAUUGUCUAGUAUCAAAACUUGAAAACAAAGUUUAAAGAUAAUACUUAUGAUACAAACACAAAUGAUUGGAAAGGUAACUUGAACAAAAUAGAAGGAAAUCAAUAAGAAUAGGUUAAUUCGAGGAACUCUAGACCUUCAAAAUAAUAUUGGUUAUUUGAGAAACCAAUAAACUCACAAAAUUUAAUUUACAAGUUGCGAAAAUAAUAGCACUCAAGACACUCUUUUAUUGAACAACAUCAAGCUUUAAAUAGAGCUUUACUUCAAAGCUACAAGUAUAAAAAUAAGCAAGCAUUAAGCUUGUUCUCCAUCAUUCUCCAUGAAUCCACAAAAUAAGGAACCAACUAACAACUUGAUUUUGACUUAUUAAAAACCAGCGACACUUAAAAUAUAAAGUAAAUAAUUAAAACCAAUAUUAAAAUGGAAAGAUUGUAAAAUGUUAUAGUGUUUACUUUAAUCAAUGGGCCGUGGCGCAUAUUGUUAAAUUGUGGAUCGGAUAGUUUACUGGACACGCGAACUAAUUUGUAAUUUAGUUAUAAGUUGUGUGAACCAUAAAAAAAUAAAGUCAGUGGUACUAUUAUCAGAAUGUUGGAUAGUUCUGAAAGAUUUUUGAAUAAGCUGGCAUUGAGGAUAAUAUACUAUUGGAAGUUGAGGAACAGGACAGAGCAUCUGUAAUUCCUCUGUUAUUUACGAGUUAUCUAUUUUUAUCCCAUGACAGUGUAGUGCUCUUUCUCCCCCUUUCAGAAAGUUUUUAGAGGAACUGUACCUGAAAUGUUUUGUUGUUUCUUAGAAAAUGGUUUUUCCCAUGCAGUGACUUUGAAGUGGAUUACGAGUCCAAUGAGAAUGCAUCAAUUGUGUAUGCAGCAUUAGCUAUUGAUAAGGAGGUGAUCCACCACGAUCCUAUUCCCAAGAUCAUACUUUGCUCCUUUAACUUUAUUGCUUGUUCAAUAAAUUCCUACUUGAAUUCAAUUUCCAAGUGCAGUUGCAACCAGACAAAUUGAAAAGGCAGAUAUCUGUGAUUAAUGGGAAACUUUUAGUGUAAGUUUCUAUUCUUUGGUCAUUCUUGUAACUGAUUUUUCAUUCUUGUCCAAUAUUUAUUCAAUUUGCAUCUAUCAGUUUAUCCUAUGAGACAAUAUUCAUUUGGAACUUUUGUGUGGCUCGUUCAAUAAUCAUUUUUCCCCUUUUCCUGAAAAAUUUUCAAAUAUGUUACUUCAGAAGAGUUCUUCCUCUAAGAUACCAUUGUUCUUUAGUAUAUCAACUUUUCUUGGACAUUUUGUUUAUUUUCUCAUCUGAUUCAGGCACUUUGAGGCAGUUGAGGCAGGGUUUCUUCGUGCAUCAUUUUCUGCUUUUGUAGAUGUGCUUACACUUGCGACAAAAACAAUCGAACAGUUUGGUCAUGGAACGGAAUUGUAACAUCAUACUAUCUUUGGCAGUUGGAGAAUCAUUCAUAGUAGGAACUGUAUUACUUUAAUUCGCCAUCUUGUUUCGGAUUAGUUGACGUGUUUGUAACAAGAGAAUCUAUAGUGUUCGUUUUAUAAUGUAAACCUUCAAAUUAUCGGAAAGCUGAAAUCUUCAAAGCUGUGAAUUAUAAUUUUUUUUUUUCAAUCAUUGGGUUUUAGCAAGAGGUUGCAGCUGUAAAUGUUACAAUCCUCCCUUAGACCUUUUCAAUAAAGUUAUUGGCAAGCUAUCUCCAACUCUUUCAGUUUGGGCCUAACUAGAUUGCCAGACCUCACUUCUAGGGCUUUUCUGUUUACCCUCAAAACAGUUCAAUCUGAUAUUGAUUUCGUAAAGUGAAUAGAAUGAAGAAUUCAUUAGUGCUAAUAUUCUUCCAGCCAUUGAUGCAAUUCUUUACCAUUGUGUGACGCAGGAGGUACCUACUUGGCUACCAAGUGGCCCUCAGCUUAACGUGCCUCGAUAGCCUUCAAGCUUUUAGAAUUCAUCUAGCUGGUGGAAUCCUAUCAGGCGUCUCUCUAUAAGUUCGAAAAUCAAGAUUUUUCUAUAGCAAGCGUCAAGGGAUUUCUUGUCACCCAAAAGGAACCCAGAAAAGAUAAAAUCGUAGACAGCACUGUUUCACAUGCUGGAAUUCUCGGGAGGGUGCUUAUCAUGUGCUUGUGGCUAUAAAUAUGCUCGAAAAAAAUUGGAAAUUGAUGCUGCAAUCCCUCUGCCUGAAGCCUCAAAGAAAAAAAAAAUGCAUUUUUAUAGCAUUGCUAAGAUGAAAGAUUACAGACUUAGCAACGCUGACAUUGAGCAACAAUUUUCUGCAUACACUUUAUCUUGGGCAGAAUCACCAAAAGUCGAUGCAUCUUUAAAUUUAGAAUAAAAGCAGAUUCGACUUGUAUUAUAAGAAAUUCAAAUGGGGUGUCACGGCUGCUUCCAUCUCUAGGAAAACUUGCUUAGAAAAAAUGCUGAAUGCUUUGGCAAUUCUUGAUGGCAUCAAAAUGGCAGUUGACUCUGGACUGCACCCACCACUAACUUGAAUCUGACUAUUUUAAUGCAGUGAAAUCAAUCUUAAAGAAGAGACUUCGGAUGGAUGAUCAAAGGAAUGCUCGGUUAUGUAAGAAAAGGAAAACAAUUUAUAGUUGCAAUACACUCAUCAAUAAUCUCAGGAACCUCUGAUGAUUGAAUUACAAGCAUACCUGUUCAUGCAAGAUAUUCGAUGCUCUGCAUCCGAAACUUCGUCGACCUUUGCAUCUAAGAGAUCAUUAACCUUACAAGUCACAGAACCCAAAUGGUCCACAGUAUUCACAACAGCUUUGCUGGCAUGAUCUUUCAAUGUUUCCACCACUUUGCGUAAAUGUGAAGAUGGUUUGUUUUCUCAAUAGAAAAUUGAAAUUAUCAGCAGUAAUUAGAGCAACUUACAUUUGUUUUUGGUCAUCACUGGUGUUUGUGGGAUAUUCUUCAACGAAGACCAACACUAAUGAGCAGACAUCUGGUAGCAGGGCUCCUCGAACAUGUAUAUCUGGUAAGAAUCUGGUAUCCGGGGGAGCAGGAGCAGGAAUAUCCGGCUCGUCCACGAGUACGCCAUCCACAAGGCCAAUCUUCGGCUGGAAGCAUAAAGCCAUUCCUACUGCAUUCCUGCUAAGGGCUGAGUAGAGGAGACCCGGUCAACGACAGUUGGUGAGACAUGCUCUCCAGUCCGAUAAUCAAGGCACAAAGGCCACGCAACCAUCCACGACUACGGAAAUGGGGCAUCCACUUACGAGAGGUGGGGAGAUAACAACCGCGAAUGGAGGGAAGGCUUGAGUUCAGAGGUGGCCUAUAAAAAGGUAGCCAACGAAGGUAAAAGGGUUAGCAUUUUUGAGAUUAUAACUGAGAAAAGAGAGCUCUAAAGAACGGGUACUAGAGAAAAGCCAUAAGAUUCGUGGCAAACAUUCCCAGAACCUUCAUAUCUGACUUGAGCAUCGGAGGGUUUACGCCGGGGAAACAACCGGCGUACUCUGACCUGCUUCUGUGUACGCAGGAACUUUCGGAGAAGAAGCCUUAUGAGGAGAGAACCUGAUCUGGUAGAGUUGGUCGAGCAGAGGUCCUAGUCUUGGUAGAAAAGGCAACCAGAAUCUCGCAUCAACAUUUUGGCGCCGUCUGUGGGGAGCUGAUCAAAAAGCUUCUAUUGAUAGUAAGAAGAGGAGUAAAGCAAGUGGAAAAAACAAUGGAGGCAGGAGGAAGUAGUGCGCAAAGGGGUGAUUUGCGGCUUAAUGAUUCCGUGACGUUGAGGGAGAUAGCCAGUGAAGCACGGGAAAAAGCCAUGUCUGACCGGAUGGAACGGAUGGAAAAGCAGAUGGAGACCCUGACAACCAUCCUACAUGAGCUGCGGAGUGAACGAAGGGGAACCCAGGAGGAAAGGGUGAGAAAUGGUGGAGUGGCACCAGGUCACGAUAGUAUAAGGAGAAGUCAAACCACCAGGAGAUUUGGUGGUGAGAGAGGUAACCUAUCUCUGCAGGGAGAAAUUCACAGAGAGGAAGAGCAAUCCCCAGCAAGAUAGAUUUUUGAUGAGGAUGAUGGGGUGGCAAAUGCAGAGGAAACAGAGCUCAGGCAACACUUACAUGAUGUAGAGCAAGAGCAGGAUCAAGUUGCAGCACGUGACCCUGGUCGUGUAGUGCAGCUGGAGGAGGAAGUGCGCAGAUUGGCGUAGGCAAUUGAUGACAUGCAAGGAAAGAGCAGAGCUCCUGGUUGGAGGAUAAUGCUGGACGGAGAAUCAUCGCUCGCAGCAGAGAUCAUGAGGGCAAUCAUUCCAAGAGAUUUCCGCCUCCCAGACCUUAGAUAUUCGGGACGAACUGACCCGCUGGUACACAUAGAGCGCUUCAACGAUAUAACCGGGGUACAAGGAUUAUCUCAAGCCCAAAGGUGCAGGGUGUUCCCACUAUCCCUAGAGGGACGUGCACGCGAGUGGUACAGGAAACUGCUUCAGGGGAGCAUUAAAACCUUAGAGCAGAUGUGCCAGGAAUUUACAGAGCAGUUUCGUGAGGCAAUGGCACCAGAAGAUGACAUGAUGGAGUUGAAAAGCAUGAAGCAAGGGGAGCAAGAAACCCUUUAGGAAUUCAUCAAAAGGUUUCAUUGUGUUGUCCUCGAUUUGGGAGCCUUCAACCAUCCUCAGGCACAAAGGGGAUUGAAAGAGGGAGUGAAGAUAGGAAGGCUGUGGUACAACUUGAGAAGCCCAACUAUUCAGACGUAUGCAGCUGCAUACGAGCAGGCUAAAAGAGACAUAGAGAUCGAGGAAGAAAAGGCAGCUCGGAUUAAGACAGACCAGCUGGAAGGGUUGGGAAAGAAAGAGAAGAGAGCAUUACCAAGAAAUGGGCCGAUCAGGAGGAAGGACCACCAGACCGCAGGUAGUGGUGCAGGAGGUCGGAUAACCGCUUACUAGCCUUAUCAAAGGCCACCAUAGUAUCAGCGCAGCAGGGCACAACCUCUUCGCUCACCAGCUAGGGAGCCUUGGAGAAGGCAUGACUCGGCAUUAGGUGGUCUUCAUCCACACUCCCACGGUAGUAGAGGGAGCAGACCAGAAGCACUGCCACCGCCUCCAACUCAGAACAGCGCAAAUAGUGAAAGGGCAGUGCACAUGAUCGACCAAAACCAGGACUAUGGACGGUAUACCUCCUUAAAGAUGCCCCUGGACGAGGUGUACGAGGCUAUAAAGGACUGGGGACUACUGUACCUCCCUGCCCCAAUAACAAAACUACCCAGCAUGAGGGAUAGAGGACGCUAUUGUAAGUUCCAUGGCACUCAUGGCCAUACCACUGCAGAAUGCAGAGAUCUCAAAACCCAGGUUGAAGAUUUGGUGAGAAAUCAGUACCUGGAUGAGUUCAUAGAUGGGACUUUCCCGAUGGUUGCCUCGACAUGUGAAGGCGAGCAAAAUCCCCAAGUAUCGAAAUAUUCACUAAGGCAUGCAAAGGCUCACCAAGUCUCAAAGCCUGUUUUACAGCGAGACAGAAGCCAAGCGUGCCAAGAUUUGCUGGACCGAACGAAGGCGAGCAGAAUCCCCAAGCAUCGAAAUAUUUACUAAGGCAUGCAAAGGCUCACCAAGUCUCAAAGCCUAUUUUAUGGCGAGACAGAAGCCAAGCGUGCCACGAUCUGCUCGACCGAACGAAGGCGAGCAGAAUCCCCAAGCAUCGAAAUAUUCACUAAGGCAUGCAAAGGCUCACCAAGUCUCAAAGCCUGUUUUAUGGCGAGACAGAAGCCAAGCGUGCCAGGAUCUGCUUGACCACGCGAAGGCAAGCAAAAUCCCCAAGCAUCGAAAUAUUUACUAAGGCAUACAAAGGCUCACCAAGUCUCAAAGCCUGUUUAUGGUGAGAUCAGAAGCCAAGCGUGCCAGGAUCUGCUCGACCGAACGAAGGCAAGCAGAAUCCCUAGACAUGCAAAAAACUAAGUCUAAAAGCCAGUCAUGUGGCAAAACCAUAUGCCAAGCCUAAGCCCGCUCGACCGAGUGAAGGCGAGCAGACUCUCAAAUGGAAAAAUAGCUCGUAAUUACAAACAUAAGAAAGUAAUCAAAAACAUUUUUCAUUAAUUUGUUAAUAACUAACAAAGCCGAUAAUCAAUACACAUAUUGUUCAUUACAAUACAAGAAACAUAUUUAAGAAGACGGUAGGUCAGUAAGCCGAGCAGCCUCAGUUGGCUGGUCCACCUCAGGUGCUGGGGGAGUAUCACCAGUUGCGUCCGGGGGGGUGCUCGCCUCACCCACAUCAAUAAGAACGGCACGAGGGGGAGAGUUUUCCUCCUCAACUACGAUUGGUUCCACCCAUUCGGCAUCUUCCUUUGGCUCCUUGUCCAUAUGUUGAGCAACACCAACUGCAAGAUCAUCCAUCUUCAGAUCAGGAUGCUGCUUUCCGAGGACGGCCAUGAUGCAGCGAUAGAAAUGCCGGAGUCCCUGGUCGUACUGGUUGUCGGCUUCCCUCUCCAAGUUCUCGACCUGAACUCGGUGAGAAUCGCGGAGAGAUUCGAGCUGAGCCUCGUACAUAGCCUUCUGCCUUUGAAGAUCCUCAUUGACCUUGAUCAGCUCUUCCUCGAGGGUAAUGGCUUUUGCUUGAGCAAGAGAUUCCUGCUCUAUCAGCUUCAGAUUCUCGACAUUCAGCUCCCCUACUUUCUUCUCGGCAGCGUCAGCUCUGGUCAUCGCCGACUGAAUGUCCUCCUUCAUCUUUCUGUCAUAACGGCCAACCUUGGCCUUAUAGUAGGUGGUUAUGCAGCUGAAAUGGAAAGCGCUAUACUACAUGGCCCCCACCAACUCGCCUAGGGUGCAGCCAUCAAAGUCCUCCAGGUCCUUUUUGCUCACAAGUUUAGAAAGCUCGUUUAGAUAGGGGACCAAGUGUUCUGCUCGAUUGUCAGGCAAACGAGAUCUGGGCCCGAUAGGGGGAGAAGAGGAAACAGGAUCAGUGGCUGCUCCACUAGUUUCCCCGACUUUGGCAGAAGGAGGAGGUAAAGUGUUCAAGAGAGAGACCUACUGCACGAUGUUGGCCCGCUUUGCAGUAGGGGCGUCUUUGUUCUGGUCCCUCUUCGCGGUUUGAGCUAGAGAACGUUUCUGGUUCAGAGCCCCGAUCACAGCAUCCUCCAUCUUAUGGUCGGGAAGCACCAAGUCAGAUUCGAUCAGGUUGUAAGUGGUUAGUAGCUCUCGUUGCGAGCAGGAAUUGGCCAGUACAGCCUUGACCCGUUUGAGCUGGUCAGGUUUGAGUGGGAGGUGAACACCCUAAGAACCUGUAAACGAGCAGACAUUUGGUUAAAGACAAAACAACAAAGUAAGAACAAUUAUGAAGACAAGACAUCUAAAACGAGCAGGCAACCUAGGACCACGAAACGGAGUGGGACACGACAAUCUUUCCCGUCAAUUUGUGCAACUUGACCCCAAGAACCCCCAGCGAAAAAUAUUUUUUUCUUCCAAGUCCCACCACCACCAGUUGGAAGAUCAGUUAUGGGUUUUUUGCUCUUGGUACUAGAUUGGAAGUAGUACCAGCUGGCAUCUUUGGGGCUGCUCUUUAGCUGGUACAGGUGCUUCACCUCAUCAAUUGUGGGCUCGCUUUGGCAACAUCUGUCCCACAAUAUGAACAGACCAGAGAGCAAUCUCCACCCGUUGGAGUUCAGCUGACCAGGAGCUAGAUUUAGCCCGUUGAGUAUCCGGGCAAAAUAGGGUUGCAAGGGGCACCUCAGCCCAUACUUAAAACUCUCCAGAAACAGGGUAACAUAUCCCCUAGGAGGUUUGCUAGGAGUAUCCUUUUUUCUUGGGAUCCUAAGGGGUAUUUCACUAGGAAUAUGGUACCUAAGCCAGAGGUCAUCGAGCUCAUUGAAUGUGGUCGUGCACGUUAUGUAAUCAAUAGCAUAAUCCCGUGACAGGGCUCUACCUCCUACUGUAUCCCGCCCUUCUGGUCGCGAUGUUCCCGGUGAGGAUCCCUCACCAGAGUCACCUCCUUGAUCUUCACUUUGAAAUACUAACUAGGCAACCCAAGAGGGGGGUGAAUUGGGAUUUUAAAAAUUAUCUUAGGCAAACCACACAACAAUUUAAUCUAAUGCCUUAAUAAAUUCGAAAACAAUAAAUUCAAUAAAAGCACAAUAAUAAAUUAGUAGGGGAAGAGAAAGCAAACUCAAGGAUUUUUACGUGGUUCGACAAUCCCCGCCUACGUCCACGCCUCCAAGCACCCCGGGCUUGAGGAUUCCACUAAGCAAGCCUCCAAGGCUUCAAACGCUUACAAUUGACUUCCAAGGUGUCAAUGGACCUUUACAACAAGAGAUUAUCCCCAAUCUCUUAACCCAAGUGUAUCCCAACACUUACAAUCUUUUAACUUGAUUUUACAAAAAAGAUUACAAAUGAAUCUCUCUCACACAAUGUGUUUGAUCACAAGUGAAAGCUCAAUGUGUGAAUGAAUAAGAUGAAUACAAAGAUUUAAAGCUCAAUGAAAGUUGUAUUCUCAAUAUUUUGCUCAAUGAUGAUUGUUGGAAUUCUACUUGUUUGAAUUGGAUUGAGCUUAUUUAUAGUUGGAGCUGAAAAACUAGCCGUUAUAGACUGUCGGACAGAAAAUGGUUCGCCGUUAACCCUAAACGGUUAACCGUUUCGGUCGGUCAAAGUUACCGUUGGGCUAAUUUUCAAAUAAACGGUUAGCCGUUUAGGCUUACCCUUUCGCCGUUAAUUUCCAGAGACCUGCAAAACAAAUUUGGUUUAACCGUUCUUACUAAACGGUUCAAGGUUAGCAAACUGGAAAUAAUCGGUUAACCGUUUUCAAUAAACGGUUCACCGUUAGUUUCCAGAAUCAUCAUAUUAACAAUACUUUAAAGAACAUGCUUUCUGGAAAUUAUCGGUUAGCCUUUUUAAAUAAACGGUUAGCCGUUUUUAAAUAAACGGUUAGCCGUUUGCUACAGUGAUUGCUACAGUAACCUGCACAGUGCACUAUUUUUUAAAAUUACCGUUUGACCCCAAAACUUUACAAAACUAUACCAUAGCCCAACACGUCAUGAAACUUUGCAAAUAGGUCCAAUUUCAAAAUUUCUAAAUAAUGCUUUGUUAAUCCCAAAACUUUCUGAAAUUAUGUUAUAGCCCAAAAUGCUAUGACACUUUUCAAAUAAGUCCUUCACCAAAAUUUCAAGCAAUACUUGUUUGUUUCAAAGUUUUCAAAAUGCUUUCAAUUAAACCAUAAACUUUGAAAAACAACAAAUUUCAUAAAAUCAUUUUUCCAUUAAAUAUGAAACAUUUAUAAUGUGAAAAUAAUGAUUUAUUAUUUAAAAAGAAUAAAAACAAUCAAUUUCAUAAAAUCAUUUUUCCAUUAAAUACAAAACAUUUAUAAUGUGAAAAUAAUGAUUUAUUUAAAAAGAAUAUUAAAUAAUUUGAGCUUAAAAGAUUAAUCAUUCUUAACUUUGUUUGUUAUCAUCAAAAUCAAUAUUAUGGAAACAUAUAUGUUAACAAUCUCCCCCUUUUUGAUGAUGACAAACAUUUCAUGUAUUUAAAGAAUGAUUCCACAAAUUGCUCCCCCUAAAUAUAAUCUUCUUUUACAACUUGCCAAUUAGCUAAAUUAAUGAUUUAAAUACAUGGAUUUUUCUCCCCCUCAUCAUCAAAAAGAAAAACUUAAUUGGCAAAGACAAAAGUAGCAAAUUUUUAUAGAUUUGAAAACAUGUAUUCUUCUCCCCUUUCAUCAUAAAAAAGAAAACGUAAAGGAAAAGAAUAAAAGUAGCAAAUUUGUUACCCAUGUUGUUUGAGUAGAAAUUUUGAAAGAAUCUCCCCCUAACAACAAGCAUUACCUCAAAUACAAGAUUAGUAAUAUUACUCCCAAAUUAUUAUAGAUCAUGAUAAAAGCCAACUCCAUACACAAAUCAUCACACCAAAAUAUCAUGAACCAUUAUUCCAUUAAUCACCAAAUCAACAACUCAUAACAUGAAAUUUAUCAUAUAAAACACCCAUGAAAUCAAAUCGUCAUUAUAUCUCAAAAUCAUCACCAUAAUCAAAUAUCAUCAAAAUGAUCACCAUAAUCAAAUAUCAAUUAUCAAAAGAAUACUCAAAGUGCAUAUUAUUCUCCUCCCUUUUGAUAACAUUGAAAUGAUAUAUUAGUUUAUCUCCCCCUUUGGACAACAAAAAAAUUCAAAAUGCAUAUUAUCCAAAAUCAUAUUAUAUGCUCCCCCUAAAUAUAUGGCCAAUUUUAAAUUUUAACCACAAUGAUUUUAUCCAAAAACAUAUCAUAUUUAUCUCCCCUUAAAGAUGAGCAAAUUCUCAAAUACUCAACGUGAUUAAAAAAUAUUUCCAUAUAAGCUUCAACAAUUAUAACAAACCAAUAACUCCUUCAAUUCAUCAAGCAACGCACAUCUAAUCAUCAAUUACCAAAAUCAUCAAGAAAUCAAAUCAUUCCAAGUUUAUGCCGAAUUUUUGAAAAUUCUUCUUCGCAAAGAGGUUUUGAUUUCUUUACCAAAUUGGCAUGCAUAUUAUCAAAUAUUCAAGCUCCAUAAUUAUCAAUCACAUUUUAUAAAUAAAGACAACUAAACUCAUCAAAUAUCUAAUGUGACAUUCAAUAUAACAAAAAAAUCUCAUAUACUUAAAACUCUCGAAGUAUAUGUAUUUCUCCCUUUUUCGAUAUCAUUUAAAAUAAGUAAGACAUAUUCAACAAUACAUCGAUAAAGUACAAAAAAUGCAUUCAUUCACUGAUCAUAGAUUGCAUAAGAUCAAAGCUUCAUCAAAUACAAUGUAAUCAUCAAUGCACAAACUUUAUCAUCAAAACUUAAGCAAAGCAUAAGUACAUAAUGACAAUGUAUAAAUCAUCAAAAUCAACAUAUGCCAAUAUAUGGAUCAUCAAAAUUAACAUAACUAUUAAGAAAAGCCAUAAUUAUGAGUUAAAUAACAAGUGAUCAAAUCCAUACUUACAUAUAUUUUUAAAUGAUGAUCUAGUAAUUACAUCUUGUGAUGGAUCUUUCAAAAUUAAGUCAUUAGGGUGAGAAGAAACAUACCUCCACUCUUUAGGGAGUGUUUGAGAAGUACUUUCAUUUUACUCCGCGUGUUGCUCCUCUUGAUUUUCAAGUGGUGUGUUCUUUUGGCUAUCAUUUGAUAAUCUUCUUGUAGCUUUUCAUCUACAUUAUCAUCAACAACAACUUUCUCCAUAGAGGAAGAAUUAGACUCAUCAAAUAUAACAUGUAUAAAUUCUUCCACAAUCAAAGUUCUUUUGUCAUACACUCUAUAAAUUUUGCUUGUGAUUGAAUAACCAAGAAAAAUACCAACAUCAAAUUUUGGAUCAAAUUUGCCAAGAUUAUCUUUUGUGCUCAAAAUAAAACAUUUGCAUCCAAAAAACUUUGCAAUAACUAAUGUUGGGUUUUCUAUAAUUCCAAAGCUCAUAGAGAGUAUUACUGAGAUGAAGUCUAAUCAAUGUGGUCCUAGCCAUUUUUAUUUUUUUUAAUAGACCUAUUCUUUCUCUCUACAACUCCAUUUUGUUGUGGAGUCCUAAGUGAUGAAAAUUUAUGCUUAAUGGAAAAUCAUUAAAAAAAAUCUCAAAUGCAUGAUUUUCAAAUUCUCCACCAUGAUCAUUUAUAAUACAAGAAAUAACAUAUAACUCAUCUAUCAUGCAUAUACCUCACACAAUCAUGAAAUAUGUAAGUAUUCAAAGAUUGAGAAUUAAAGCAUAUCACUUAUUUUUCAUGCUUAGGCAUUAAAUAAUCAUUAAAAUCAAAACAAAUUCAUCAUGAUGAGUUGACAAGCUAUCAUCUUAUAUAUAACCAUGCAUCAUGAUAAAGCACUAAAUGUUAAACACAAUGAUAAUUCCAUCAUGUAAACAUACAAGCAUACUUUCGUAAAUUCAUUUGUCAUGAUUCACUCAAUAUAGUAAAUAGGCAAGAUAAACUUAUCCACUUCAUGUUAAUGCACUCAAUGUUAUGAUACCAAAUGAAAUGUUAAAUAUUUACUAAGAUUAAAAGACCAUAACUUAUAAUCAAUAAGGCAAUAAUAGUUACCAAAACAAUUAAAUCAUUUUGCCUCAUUAUUUUUGCUUAGACCAUGAUCAAGUGAUUAUCCUCAUAAGCUUCAUCAAGGAACUCUCCACCAUUCCUUGAUUGUGGUUCCUACAAAGAGAACAUUCACGUUGUGCCCUUUGGUACCCAAAUACUCUUGGGUCCUUGAGUGUUAGAUUUAGUUCCUUUCGGAACCCAAAUACAUUUAACUCCAUAAUACACAUUUCUUUUAAUUUGACAUCUAUUCUUCAUAUGACCAUUUUGAUUGCAAUAAUGACAUACAAUUUGAUCAUUUGUGGAGGUAGCCUUAACAAAAUAAUUCUUAUAAUAUUUUGUUUCAAGUAAGGCUUAUACCCAAGUCCUCCUUUAUCAAACACACAUUUUUGUGAAUUAAGCAUGUUAUCCAACAUCUUUUGCCCAUUUGUGAAUUUCAAAACAAUCUCAUUCAACUCAUUGCUCCUUUUCUUAAGCGUUUCAUUUUCAUUUAUUAAUUCAUCAACAUGUGAUUUCUCAUGCUCAUACAAAGUACUUUGUUUACAUGUGAAUGAUGCAAUUCUAUCAUGUAACAUUUCAUUAUCUAAUUCCAAUUCUUUGAUCUUUUCAUUUAAUGAAACAUUGGAUUUUUGCAAGGCAUCUUUUUCAUUUUUCAAGUCAUUUACAUGUGAUUCUAGAUGCUUGUGUGAAAUGUUAGGUUUCUCAUUUGAUAAUGCAACUCUAUCAUACAAUGUUUUAUUCUCUAAUUCUAGGCAUGUAAUCUUUGCACAUAGAGAUUCAUUUUCAUUUUUGAGCUCUACCAUUUUCUUUUUAAGACAUGCAUUCUUUUUACCAAUUUUCAUCCACUCAUCAUACAAUUCUUUAAACGCAUCAUGUAAUUCAUCAUAAGUAAGAAGAUCAUUUACCUCAUCAAGUCCAUCAUCCGAGUCAUCUCCAAUUGCCAUAAGUGCCAAAUUCGACACUUCAUGAAAUUCCUCCUCCUUUGUAGUCUCCUCAUACACAAUUUCAAGUUUUCUCCAAAUUUCAUAAGCAUUAGAACAAUUUGAAACUUUAUGAAAUUCCUUUUUAUCUAAGGCACAAAAUAAAGCAUUCAUAGCCUUGGAAUUUAAUGACAUCUUUUUCUUAUCCAAUUCACUUAAAACAUUCUUCCUAGGAAUGAAUGAAUCAUCACAAACUAUUUCCCAUAGUUCAUAAUCUAAGGCUUGUAAAAACACUCUCAUCCUAGUUUUCCAAUAAGGAUAGUCAUUACCAUCAAAGAACGGUGGUCUAAUUGUGGAUUGUCCUUCCCUAAAAAUUGAGUCAUUAUGGGUUGCCAUGGAUCUUUAACUCUAGACGGUUAAGUCUACACAAGAGCACCUCUCUCUGAUACCAAAUGAAAUACUAACUAGGCAACCCAAGAGGGGGGUGAAUUGGGAUUUUAAAAAUUAUCUUAGGCAAACCACACAACAAUUUAAUCUAAUGCCUUAAUAAAUUCGAAAACAAUAAAUUCAAUAAAAGCACAAUAAUAAAUGAGUAGGGGAAGAGAAAGCAAACUCAAGGAUUUUUACGUGGUUCAGCAAUCCCCGCCUACGUCCACGCCUCCAAGCACACCGGGCUUGAGGAUUCCACUAAGCAAGCCUCCAAGGCUUCAAACGCUUACAAUUGACUUCCAAGGUGUCAAUGGACCUUUACAACAAGAGAUUAUCCCCAAUCUCUUAACCCAAGUGUAUCCCAACACUUACAAUCUUUUAACUUGAUUUUACAAAAAAGAUUACAAAUGAAUCUCUCUCACACAAUGUGUUUGAUCACAAGUGAAAGCUCAAUGUGUGAAUGAAUAAGAUGAAUACAAAGAUUUAAAGCUCAAUGAAAGUUGUAUUCUCAAUAUUUUGCUCAAUGAUGAUCGUUGGAAUUCUACUUGUUUGAAUUGGAUUGAGCUUAUUUAUAGUUGGAGCUGAAAAACUAGCCGUUAUAGACUGUCGGACAGAAAAUGGUUCGCCGUUAACCCUAAACGGUUAACCGUUUCGGUCGGUCAAAGUUACCGUUGGGCUAAUUUUCAAAUAAACGGUUAGCCGUUUAGGCUUACCCUUUCGCCGUUAAUUUUCAGAGACCUGCAAAACAAAUUUGGUUUAACCGUUCUUACUAAACGGUUCAAGGUUAGCAAACUGGAAAUAAUCGGUUAACCGUUUUCAAUAAACGGUUCACCGUUAGUUUCCAGAAUCAUCAUAUUAACAAUACUUUAAAGAAUAUGCUUUCUGAAAAUUAUCGGUUAGCCUUUUUAAAUAAACGGUUAGCCGUUUUUAAAUAAACGGUUAGCCGUUUGCUACAGUGAUUGCUACAGUAACCUGCACAGUGCACUAUUUUCUAAAAUUACAGUUUGACCCCAAAACUUUACAAAACUGUACCAUAGCCCAACACGUCAUGAAACUUUGCAAAUAGGUCCAAUUUCAGAAUUUCUAAGUAAUGCUUUGUUAAUCCCAAAACUUUCUGAAAUUAUGUUAUAGCCCAAAAUGCUAUGACACUUUUCAAAUAAGUCCUUCACCAAAAUUUCAAGCAAUACUUGUUUGUUUCAAAGUUUUCAAAAUGCUUUCAAUUAAACCAUAAACUUUGAAAAACAACCAAUUUCAUAAAAUCAUUUUUCCAUUAAAUAUGAAACAUUUAUAAUGUGAAAAUAAUGAUUUAUUAUUUAAAAAGAAUAAAAACAAUCAAUUUCAUAAAAUCAUUUUUCCAUUAAAUACAAAACAUUUAUAAUGUGAAAAUAAUGAUUUAUUUAAAAAGAAUAUUAAAUAAUUUGAGCUUAAAAGAUUAAUCAUUCUUAACUUUGUUUGUUAUCAUCAAAAUCAAUAUUAUGGAAACAUAUAUGUUAACACACUUAGGGUGUUUUCCGAGCCAGAAGAUCCCUCCUCACCGCUACUUCCGCUCGUGGAGGUUGUUUGGGGAGACAUCCUCCUAGCACUAGUCCCGACACUAGACCUAAUGGGUUCUAAGGGGAUCCCGGGGUCAAAAGCAGGAUCGAUGAGCAGACUAGGCAAGAAACCUAGUUCGUCGUCAUCAAUCUCAACGACUUUCUCUUUGCCUUUCGACAUUCCCUAAAUUAUAACCAGAGCACCACCACCAACCACUACCCAAACAAAGCACAGAGAAAAGAAAUUAUCUACAACUAACCAAGACCGAGAAAAUAGAAGAAAUACCUGAAGUAGGGACUCGGUCAAAGAGAGACAGGGAUGAAAGCUUUAAUGCCGAGGUUCAUUCGCCGGAGAGACAAGAAGGGAGAAAAUGCAUAUUUUGGGUUAUCCUAAUUGUUGAGUGUUAGAAAAUGCAUAUUUAUAAAGGAGAAAACCGUCAUUUUACCUUUCAAGCCUUACUAACAACCCUUACUUUUAUAUAUUUAACCUUCUUGUAAUUUAAUUACGUGUCUGUUAUUUUAAUUAAGUAUUUUAUGUAUUUUAGGGGCAUUAUAGUCAUUUCACAAUAAAGGAGAGAUCAGACGGCAAAACGGACAUCACUUUUGAACUUAGGACAGUCGAAAACCUUAAGAGGAGCAUAAAAGGAAAAAUGACACUAUUCACAUGUACGGUACUAUUCACGUAUACGGUACUGUAUACGUUACUGUUCACGGCAUUGUUUACCCUCGUCAACUAACGGUCAAACCGUAUGUAUACUAACGGUAGGGGAGGUAAGUGAGAAUACAAUCAAACUCGCCAUCUAAGUGAAAUUAUAUCAAACCUCAGGGGAGGUUUCUGAAAAUUGCCCUUUGUAUGAAUUGACGACCUGUCCGGUGUCCCCUGGCCUACUUAUCAUAAAAAUAAAAAUUGAAGCCCAAUAACAAAUACAUCCGCAAAAUAUUCAUCAAAGAUAUUUCAACAAGCCAGUCAAGUACUGGGACAGGGAAUGGCUCUGUUCCUCAUAAUGAAUUGACGUCCGGUCCAGUACCCCAGUGUCCCUCCUUGGCUUCUCAUCACAGAGAUGAAAAUUGAAAUUAGGCCAAUUAGAUUAAAGGCAAGACGGAAUGGAAAUAUGGAACCGUUAAUUAUUAUACCCAUGACCCCUCUAAUUAAUGGCUCUUUGCCUUUCAAUAUUAUUGUAGGUAUUUGCAAGGAAACCUCCUCUAUCUUUCUUCCAAUUAAGACUUCUUGUGUCCAAUUACUGUCGAUUCUUUUUGAACGUGUAAAGGAUAGCAACUUGAAGACUUGAGAGGGCCGGCGUUUAUUCAAAGUCAAGUACAGGGACUGGGAAUGGCCCUGUUCCUGAAGUAUGAACUGACGUCCCGUCCGGUGUCCCCUUGCCUACUCAUUAUACAAACAAAAAUUGAAAUUAGGCCAUUUAGAUUAAAGAUAAGACGGAGUGGAAAUAUGGGAUCGUUAAUUAUUAUAGCUCUGACCCAUCUAAUUUGCAAAUGGUUCUUUCCCUUUCAAUAUUAUCGUACGUAUUUGCAAGGAACCCUCCUCUCUCUCUUCUUGCAAUCAAGACUUUUGCGUAUCCAAUUACUGUCAACUGUUUUUGAACGUGUAGAAGAAAACAACUUGAAGACUUGAGAGAGGGCCGCGUUAAUUCAAAGUCAAGACAAGCUUAUUCUUGCAGGAUUCUUGAUGAUGAGGGUAAAAAAGGGUUGACAGAUGCUGGUAUAACGUCUAUAAAACUUUAAUUAUUUCAUAAAAUUGUUUUAUUUUUUAUUCGCCAUCACGUUUGAGAUUCCCCCCCCCAUGGCCCAUUUUAUUUUCAUUUUUUUUUUUAUGUAGGUCAGUACUCAGUAGUGUUACUGGAGUCUGGAAAUCAACCAUUGCCUCUUUUUUCUUAUGGAGAAUUAAACAAAACUCACCAAUGACCUAAAAUAGGACAUGGCUACGGUACAGAGGCUGCAAGUAACAGCUUCGAACUUUCCCAUUUCCAUCACCUUGCAUUGGGACCUCUUUCUCUCUUCUCUAGCACCCGUGGAAGUUCUCCAUUGGCUGCUGUUACUUACAGAAGCCGUAACAUAGACUUGUCCCCUAAAAUAAAUAUAUAAUGAAUAUUUAUUAACAGAUUCUAGACAAAAUUAAUUUUUCAACCGAUUGAAGCUUCCAAAAACUCAAAUUUCGAAUUUUUAUAUAAAUAUAAUCUAUUUUAAGUAUCAUUAUUAAAUCCUCCUCUAUAGCACAUUAGCAAAUAUGCAACUUUUCUAGCUUAAAAUCUAGGUUCAAAUCUUGCCAGCAGAGUUGAUUUUCGUUAUUUUUUAAGUCAUAGUUAAUUUUGUUAUAUAAUUUCGAUCACAUAUAAUUUUGAAAAUAUUACGAGUAAUUGUGUAAUUCACUCAAACCUUAGAGACUAAAGGAACAUUUACUAAAGAUUAAAAAAAAAAAAUUUUUAAAGCUACAUUUUGUUUCAUCCAAAUGAAGCUACUCAAUCCAUAUUUUAUUCCGAUAAAACUAUGGCUUCGUUUCAUAUCUUAAUUAAAUUAUAUAAUGAUGAAAUAUUAUAUUCUGAACUUAACUGAAUCCAAUAUCGUUUCACCAAUUGGUCAUAUGAGAUGAAGGAAAAAAAUCUGUUGAAAUUAAUUUUAAAUUAAAGUUGAAGAAUGGCGAUAUGAUACAUACACAUACAUGACUCUAAUUUUAUUAAAUUGAAGACGUACUCAUCGUCUUGACGAUGUGACCAAAUACUGGAACGUGAGAAGGGUCUUUGGACUUUGGAGAAGACUUGAGAGGGCCCGGAGUAAUUAAAAGUCAAGAUUGGCAUGCCGAAAUUAAUCUCUGGCUUUAACUUGCAGCACUUUCGUGUCGGUGAGAGUUUUAUGAGGAGCUAAUAUAUGCACUUUCUGAACUAAAGAAAACUGAUUUUAAGCGGCGAAUGGCUGUGCAUCUUUGUCUGGUGUUGUUGCAGAUUAUUGUUUUGCACCUAAGGCCGAUCAAAGCAUCAAAAAGACUCCCCUGUCCAACUGAAUGUGGAAAUGUCAGCAUCAGCUACCCCUUCGGAAUCGGAAAAGGGUGCCACUUUGACAAGGGUUACGAAGUUAUCUGCGAUCACUCUUCUGGCUCUCCCAAAGCUUUUCUUCCUGGCGUCAACAGGCUAGAAUUAUUGGAUAUUCUCCCUUAUCCAAAUCCCGCGGCGGUUAGAGUCAACGUUCCUACAAUUUCUUUAAACAGCAGUAGUAAGCGAACAAGCAAUAUUGCUAAAGGCGUCAACUUAUCAGGUACCCCUUUCGCCUUUUCGACUGACAAUAAAUUCGCUGCGGUAGGCUGCAGCAUGAGAUAUCACCAAGGGAACGGUUCAUCUGUGUUUGUUGGGUGUCUGUCGAUUUGUACUUGUGAUCCCACUCUCUACCCUGCUUGCUAUGAUUUCCUAUGCCCCCUUGGUCCAAAUAUUACUCAUCUGUUCAAUGUAAAUACAUCAUACUUGUUUUCUCCAAGUAUUCCUCAGAAAUGUCAGUCUGUUUUCCUGGUUGAUGAAGAUUGGGUCAACAGCAAGUACCUUGGAGAUCCUCAUGAUUUGAAAGAUCAACAAGAAUUUCCUGCAGCGUUGAAGUGGGGAGAAAAGAUAGGCAGUUGUUUUGAAGAGAAUAACUCAUAUUCUAUUUCUUGUAAUUCGGAUAACACAAGUUGUUUAAAACAAUUAAGCCCAGGCCAUUUAUGUCUUUGCUCUUCCACCUACUACCUACUGAAAGGAUACUGCGCAGGUACAUAUUGGAUUAUGAGUUAAAGAGUAAUUUUAUUUUUUUCAAAGAAAAUAUCCGAACGAGAAGAAGAAAAGGGAAAAUUCUUGGUGCUCCACGAGCGUUAUGAAAUUAUUGAUUUCAUAAGUGUGAAUGAGAAACAGAAAAUGCUAUUGGAGCACCCUAGACUUUACUAGCAAGAGUUAAAUGUCAAAUGAUGUAACAUUCCUCUAUUGGAUGGUAAGAUGAUCAGAAAAGAGUUGUAAAAUUUAUCAUCAAAUAGAUGAUUGAAAUUAUUGAUUUUUAAAAUAUCCACCGGAUUACUUGUAAAUGAGUAAAGUUUUCCAAUUACUGUAACUAUCUAUGUAAACAGAGAAUCAGAGACUAAAAAUGGUGGAGUUUUAUUUAGUUGUAGCCAUGAUUUAGUUUGAUCUUCUCUUUGAUUUAUUUUUUUAUUUAUUAUUUCCUGGGCAGGCGACUUGAUCUGUAAUAUCUCAAGCGGCUACAAUUGCUCCAACUGUCCUGACGGUUAUAAUCGUCUCUCAUAUGGUUGCGAUAAAGUUUCAACAAAUCUCGGGUUAAAUUCAUUAUUAUAGGUAUGCAUGUCGAUCCGUUAAUUUACAUCAUAACAAAUUAAUAAUGUUUUUUAACAUAUAUUUCAAAUGAAAAUACUAAGUGUUCAUACGUUCAUUUGAUGAUAUCUUUCAUUAUUGUCCUCGAGAGCCGCAGGCUGCGGUGGUGGGCUUGCGUUAUUCUUUCUGCUCAUUGGAAUAUGGUGGUUGUACAAGUUUGUAAAAAGAAGAAGGGAAAUCAAGCUCAAGCAUAAGUUCUUUAAAAAAAAUGGUGGUUUAUUAUUGCAACAAGAAUUGUCUUCCAAUGAAGGUAAUAUUGAGAAAAUGAAGUUAUUUACUUCAAAAGAUUUGGAGACGGCCACCGACAACUACAACGCCAAUCGGAUCCUUGGUCAAGGAGGCCAAGGUAUUGUAUACAAAGGAAUGUUAGCAGAUGGAGAAAUUGUGGCUAUUAAAAAAUCCAAAAUAUUGGAUGAGAAUAAUCUCGAGCAAUUCAUCAAUGAGGUAGUAAUUUUGUCUCAAAUAAACCACAGAAAUGUUGUUAAGUUGUUGGGAUGUUGCUUGGAGACAGAAGUUCCUCUUUUGGUGUAUGAAUUUAUUCUAAAUGGAAGCCUCGAUCAAUACAUACACUACGAAUCAGAAGAGUUUCCAAUCACAUGGGAAAUGCGUUUACGCAUUGCUGUUGAAGUUUCAGGUGCUCUAUCUUAUCUGCAUUCAGCUGCAUCUAUUCCUAUUUAUCAUCGAGACAUCAAAUCUGCAAACAUACUUUUGGACGAUAAAUAUCGAGCUAAAGUUUCAGAUUUUGGGGCUUCUAGAUCUAUCACAGUUGAUCAAACUCACUUGACCACUCAAGUACAAGGAAGUUUUGGAUAUCUAGAUCCAGAAUACUUUCGAUCAAGUCAUUUUACUGACAAAAGUGAUGUUUACAGUUUCGGAGUAGUUCUUGUUGAGCUUCUAACUGGACAAAAACCUAUCCGUUCAACUGUAGCUGAAGAAGAUAAAAGUUUAGCAAGAUAUUUUAUCCUAGCAAUGAAAGAGAACCGUCUGUUUGAAGUCCUUGAUGAUCGAGUUCUUAAGGAAGCUGAGAAAGAAGAAAUUAUUACUGUUGCUACACUCACCAAAAGAUGCUUGAACUUGAAUGGGAAGAAAAGACCUACGAUGAAAGAAGUGGCAUUUGAAUUACGGGGUAUAAGAGAAUCAGUUGGAGCUUCUAUUUUGCAGCAAAAUUGUGAAGAGACUGAUUUUGUGGAUGGUGACAUUACCGGACAUGAUUUCGAAAGGGAUUCAUCUUCCAGUGGUUCAACUUUAAAUAGUGUCUCAGUUUCUGUGGAUGCCGACCCUUUAAUUUCAAACGAAUGGUGACAAACAGAAGAAUGGCCUUGAAACUGUUUCGUAUUUCAUAAAUAAGAUUUUUAGGCUUUUCCGAUACUAUCAUUCUUGUAUCCUUACAGUUUCUUUGGGCACCAUCAUUUGUAAUUAAACACUUCCAAGUCAUUUCAAACAAAAUUUCCACUAUUUCAUUGCAUGCGCUGCAUCUUUCUCUUUUUUUUUGGGGGGGGGGGGGGAUGGAGGAGAUGAAGGAAAAAUCUGUUGAAAUUAAUUUCGUAGUUGAAGUUUAUAAAUGCACGAUGAUAUGAUCUCAGUCUAUUAAAUACUGAUGUGCAAGAACUUUAGCACUAUGUGACCUUCUCAGAGUCUAUUAAAUACUGAUGUGCAAGAACUUUAGCACUAUGUGACCUAAUAUCUCUAGUAAACAGGAGAGAACAACUUGAGCACUUAAAGAGGGCCAACGUUAAAUAAACUCCAGAGUGGCAUGUCGGAAUUGUUGGCUUAUUGUGAUGCAGGACUUUCCCGGUAGCGAAAUAAAGUCGAAAGGAAGAUGGGAGGAAAUAAAGAUCAAUGCGCCUUCUUGUAUUUCAUGGGUUAAAAAUCUUUUUAUCUGAUUACAAACUGAUAGAUAAAAUACCCUUGUAUCAUUUGUGAGUGAAUCUCUUAGGUCAAAAAUAUAAAGUUAGAACAAUCCUCAACUCUUUAGUUAGAUUUUGAGUAUGGCUUAAACCCAUGAACUUUUAUAUUUUAUUAGAGAUAAACUCACCCACGAUUAUGCCCGCACUACCUCCCACAGUACCUUACCACUAGACGCCCUUCACAUGGAGGCUUGGGUACCACUCGAAAAGUCAUUUGAAAGAAAAGUCUGUUUAAAAUUACGUUCCAAUUCUGUACUCUCAACUCUCCCAAGUUAUAAAUUGAUAUUCACUCAUGUUAUAAAAGAGUAAUGCUAGAGGAUCCCAUAUUGGGUACCAAUGGAUGUGGCAUUCAUUCAGUGGAUAGUAAAAUAUUUAUGUUAUCAGUUAUUAUUCAUAGAUAAACGAUAUAUAAUAGUUGGGACUCAAAUCGGGACUUAAUUGGUGGGUCACAAUCAUUAUUGGUUAAAAAAAAUAUACAGAGAUAACUAGCGUAAGAGGUAAAUCAAAAACUCUUUCUCUCUCUCUGCUAAGACCCUUUCUGCCACCAGCUAAAAUUCACUAGUUUUGAUCAAUCAACGUGCCUGAAUUACACGGCCACCACAUUUUCGAACCUCUAAACUUUCAAAUCUAUUUUUCAACUCUGUUUUUCCAACCACUGCAGCCUCGAACCAACCGAAACUCCCUGCUGCUACCUCUAGUUACCACGUCGCCAAUUGCCCAUCACACAGCAAAAAAUUAUACUAAAGGAGUUUCAGUCGGGGGAGAGAACCAGUAGGUCUAUCCUUUUUUCUUAUUUUCUAUUUUUCUUCUAUAUUUCUUUUAUUUUUAUUUUUGUCUCUGCUUCUGUUAUUGUGCUUGUUUUUAUGUUUUUAUGUUUUCUAAGAUUUUAUACUGCUCCUAAGGUGGUUCUGGUGGUCUCUACAUAGAUGGUGUUGUUUCAAUGUCCAAAUCGAGAUUGUGUCAGUGUUCGGAUUGGAACGGUAUGCCUAUAUCGAAGCUGUUGAGGACUUUAAUAGUGGUACAUCAAGGUUCUAAUAACCUAAGGGGAGGUUCUGAUGGCCUAGGUCAAGGGCUCAUUGAGAGGCUUUCUAGUGAACCGUAAGGUUGGUUUUUUUUUGGUUGCAUUUUGUGGUUUUUUUUAUUGUUAUUUGUUUGCAUUCUGUUGUUACAAUUGUAUUUUCUUGUGCUCUGUUGUAUUAUCAAACACGAGGGGGAUUUCAGCUAUAGUAGCUAAGAUUGGUUCCUCUAGUUUUUCUUUGGAUUUUAAUUUGAGCUUAUUGUUAUCUUAUGUAUUGUACUUAAGCCUGUUAUUAUUAUUACAGGUCCGUCAUACUUCCUUUAAAAUAAAAAGAAAAAAAGAAUAUAUACGGAGGAGAACAACUUGUAGACUUGAGAGGGCCAUGGUUAAUUAAAAGUCAAGUUGACUUGCACGACUUUCUUGGUAUUGGGAUAAAAGCUAAAAGGAAGCUAGAAGGAAUUUAAUUAAAGAUCAACGCAUGCAAUUGCUCUGUUAAAUCUUCAUUUUUCCGAGUAAAAAUAUUGAGAAUGGUUGUUCAUCAUUAUCUGGCGUUGUUGCAAUUGAUGUUUUUGCUAUUAUGGCCAAACAAAGCUUCGAAAGAUUUAUGUCAAUAUGAUUGUGGGAAUGUCACUAUCGAUUACCCCUUCGGAAUCGGAGACGGUUGCUACUUUGAUAAGAGUUUUGAAGUAUUCUGCGAUUACUCCUCUGGCUCCCCAAAAGCUUUUCUUGCGGGCAUCAACAACCUGCAAGUAUUGGACGGUUAUGUUUAUGAUUCAUAUACUUCUUUUGAUGUAUACAUGAUGAGGGUAUACAUUCCUGUAAUUUCUUUGAACAGCAGUAACCUGACAAGCAAUGAUAAAGGGGUCAGUCUAUCAGGUAGCCCUUUUACAUUUUCCCGGUCGCGCAAUAGAUUCACUGCCAUAGGUUGCAACAACUAUUCAACGAUUAUUAAGCGACAGAAUGAUUCAUCCGUUUUUGGUGGGUGCCUUUCGAUUAGCACUUGUGAUCCUGCUCUUAACCCCAGUUGCUACGAUUUCCUAUGCACCCUUCCUCAAAACAUUACUCAGGUUUUCAAUGCAGAAAUAUCUAAUUUUUAUUCUAAAAGUAUUCCUCAGAAAUGCCACUCUGUUUCCAUGGUUGAAGAAGAUUGGAUCAACUCAAAGUACCUGAAGAAUCCUCACGAUUUGAAAGAUCACGGACAAGUUCCUGCAGUGUUGGAGUGGGCUGAGUAUAGAGGAGAUUGUUAUGAAGAAUAUAAUUCGAAAACUACUUGUAACAAGGACAAUAGAUGUUUAAUACAAUUAAGCUCAGGCUACCUUUGCCUUUGCUUUAGGGAAACAAGGUUUGACCGACACCACCAUGGAUAUUGCUCAGGUACAAUUUCGAAUACUAAUUAAAUUAAUUUCAUAUAUGAAGUGUGUACUGCAUUUCCUUGAACCAACUACGUAUCUAACACAAAAUUAGUGAAAGUAAUUGCAGAAUUCGCAUAUGUAAAAAGGGCAAGAUAUAUAUAUAUAUAUAGCCGUAAUUUAUUUUGAUAUUCUAUUUCAUCUUUUGGGUUUGUUCAGGUUACUUGCUCUGUAAUAUCACAAGCCCCUACAAUUGCUCAUCAGGAUGUCCCAAAGGUUACAACUCUUCAAAUCCCCCCUUCAGUGACUGCCGAAAUGAACUUCUUCCAAUUUUGCACAAAAAUUCUCAUGUCAAAUUCAUUAUUAUAGGUAUGUUUUGGAAUUGCAGAUUUCGUCGACAGAAUUAACUGUUCUUUUUUUUUGUUAAUUUCAGUAUAUAUAGGCUAACAAACGCAAAAACUUCUGCACCUGAAAUUUGCAAUAGCUUAUACAUUUAUGAUCUCCUAUUCUAAACAGUUCCUUGCCAUAAAUCCCCUCGAACGCGUAUUAAAUAUUCUUGUCCUGGAGCGUUGCAGGUUGCACUAGUGGGCUUGGAAUGUUGUUCCUACUAAUCGGAACAUGGUGGUUGUACAAGUUCAUUAAAAGAAGAAGAGAAAUCAAGCUUAAGCAGAAGUUCUUUAAAAGAAACGGUGGUUUAUUGUUGCAACAACAAUCGUCAUCAAAUGAAGGUAAUACCGAGAAAAAAAAAUUGUUUACUUCAAUGGAAUUGGAAAUGGCUACUGACAACUUCAAUACCAAUCGAAUCCUUGGUCAAGGAGGCCAAGGCACAGUGUACAAAGGAAUGUUGACAGAUGGAAGAAUUGCGGCUGUGAAAAAGUCGAAAUUAGUGGAUGAGAGUAAUAUUGAGCAAUUCAUCAAUGAGGUGGUAAUUUUAACUCAAAUUAACCACAGAAAUGUUGUUAAAUUGCUCGGAUGUUGCUUGGAGACAGAGGUUCCUCUUUUGGUGUAUGAAUUUAUUCCAAAUGGAACUCUCUAUCAAUAUAUACAUGAAAUUGAGGAGUUCUCAAUCACAUGGGAAAUGCGUUUACUCAUUGCCAUAGAAGUUUCAAGUGCUCUAUCCUAUUUGCAUUCAACUACUUCUAUUCCAAUUUAUCAUCGAGACAUCAAGUCUGCAAAUAUACUAUUGGAUGAUAAAUUUCGAGCAAAAGUUUCAGAUUUUGGGACUUCUAGAUCUGUCACGAUUGAUCAAACUCACUUGACCACACGAGUACUAGGAACUUUUGGAUAUCUAGAUCCAGAGUACUUUCGGUCAAGUCAAUUUACAGAGAAAAGUGAUGUUUAUAGUUUUGGAGUUGUCCUUGUUGAGCUUUUAACUGGACAAAAACCUAUUCGUUCAACCGACGCUGAAGAAGAUAAAAGUUUAGCAGGGUAUUUUCUCCUAGCAAUGAAAGAGAACCGUUUGUUUGAUGUGCUUGAUGCUCAAGUUCUGAGGGAAGCCAAGGAAGAAGAGAUUAUUACCGUUGGCAUGCUUGCAAAAAGAUGCUUGAAUUUGAAUGGGAGGAAGAGACCUACUAUGAAAGAAGUCGCAUUUGAAUUAGGGGCGAUUAGAGCUCAAAAGUGUGAAGACAUUGAUCUUGUGGGUGGAAAUUUUGAAACUGGUUCAUCUUCAACUGGAGCAAUUUUAAAUGCUGUUGCUUUUUCUGUAGAUGCUAGCCCUUUGCUUUCAAACAAGUGGUGAUUAAAGGGAAGAAUUUUCCCUUGAAAUCUAAAGAAUUUUCUUUUGAAAUCCAAGUAUUUCAUUUCAUAUAUAAAUAAAUUAAGUUGUGGAUUUUUGCAUUAUGCUUCUCUUAUGGCUAAAAUUUUUCAUCUCUAGAAUAAAAUAUACAGAGUUUGAUGUUCAGUUUGUAAGCGGAGAAAUAAAUUUAUAAGGUAGAUUCCAACAAAGCAUCUGUGGCAAACAUAUUUAAAUAUCUAAGAAGCAAGCUUCUAAUGCUACCAAUAUUUAGUGCACUAGAACUUUGAAGCUGACAGAGUGAGGCAUCUCGGCAUCUGAAUCUGCAUACAAGUGGAACAGGAGAUGCUGACAUGAUAUCCUACGUGGAGCUUAUGUGACACAUAUAAUGAGUCCAGUUCGUUCCUAAUUCACACGCUUACAUUGUAGCCCCGUUCUUUGUGUUUCGAGUACCAUUGGUGAACCAUCACUUGGUGCCAUUGUAUUGCUAAUAGCACCUUUGCCUUGAUUGAUUUUGCUGACAAUAUAUAGGGUGUGUUUGGGAGUAAAGUCCUACAACUUUUAUGUUGCGUUUACUUUCCGGACUUGGGAAUCAAAAUUAUUAACAGUGUUUUUUUCCCAAAAUAAAUUCAAGAAUAAGAAUCGGAAUCAUGGAGCACACCACAAUUUUAGAAUGAGGAAUGGGAGACUCAUUCCUAAGAGGGACGUGGGAAUGAGUCUCCCAUUUUCAGGAUUGACUAUUUUACCUUCCUCAAAUUUUUGUCCUCAGUUAUAAUUAAUUAAUGUAUUAUUAUUAAUUAAUUAAUAUACUACUAUAAUAAUUAUUAUAAUUAGUUCAAAUAUUAUUAAUUAAUUAAUUAUAAUUGUUACUAUUAAUUAAUAUAUUAAUAUAUUAUAAACCAUAAUUAUUAAUAAUUUUAAUUUUUGAUAAAUAAUCACAAUAAUUAAUAUACUUUUAUUAUAACUAAUUAAUUAGUAUACUAUGAUAAUAAUUACUAAUAUACUUAUUAUAAUUAAUUCAUAUAUAUUAUUAAUUAAUUUAUAUAAUUAUUACUAUUAAUUAAUAUAUUAGUAUAUUAUUAACAAUGAUAUAUUAAUAAUUAUAGUUUUGGAUAAAUAAUCACAACAAUUAAUAUAUUUUUAUAAUAAUAAUAAUAAUUAUUAGUUAAAAAUUUGUACAAUUAAUUAAUAUAUUAAUAUAUUCUUGUCAAUACUAAUUAAUAAUAAUACUUUUUGAAUAAAUAAUCACUAUAAUUAAAAUAUAAAAUAAUAAUUGUGACAAUAAUUCAUUAAGUGCUUUUUAGUAAUUUUUUACAAUAUAACUCAUUCUGAUUCUGAUUACAAGAUAAAAUAAAUACAUCAAUAAGAUUCUAACCCAUUUCUAUUCUGAUUCAUGUAGAUCAAGUAAACAACUUAUUCUGAUUCCUAUUCCUCAUUCUCAUUCCAGCUCAUAAUGAUUUCAACUCAUUCUGAUUACAGUCCAUUUCGAUUACUAACAAGUAAACACAACAUUAAGAUGCAGCUGUUGUGGAGCAAAAAUCAUAGUUGUGGGAUAGAAGCUGCUGGGGUUUAGCAAAUUUUAAUAGUUGUAGAGUCAAAAUUGAUGGUAUUUGGUAAAUUUUAAUUGUUGUAUAGUGAAAGUUGAUGAAUAUUUGUAAUAAUUAAUUUUAAAUAACAUUAUUUUUAAUUAGUAAUUAGUCAAAUUAUUUUUCAUAUUUUGAAUUAUCAUAUUAACAUAUGAUUAUUGUUUAUUACUUUGACAAAUCAAAUUAAUAUUUAAUUAAUCGAAGUUAUUUUUCUUCACAAGUUGUAAUAAAUAUUUUUUAAAACAAAAUAAUUUAAAAUUGAAAGUACAUAAAUUCUAAUUUUACUCAUUGAUUGAAGAAAUAAAUUAUACCAAAUAUGUCUAAUAAAGAUUGUACAACAUAACAUUAUAAAAUUAAAAUGUAACUAAUUACAAAAUUCUUAUAAAUAUUUACAUUGUCAUGCCUCCAUUAAACUUGCAGCAAUGCCAUCUCCCAAGAUUAUCAUAUUUUGAGCUAUGUUAUUAGUUGUAUCAUAACUUUCUUUAGGAGACGCAAUCCUGCUUAUAUGUUCGCUAUUACUAUGACUUGGUUCAUCCAUUGUUUCAUCAAAAUGAUCAUGAUUUUAUGAAUGUCUUCUUAUGUAAUUAUGUAAGGCCAUGGUAGUAAUAACUCUCUCCACCUGCUUCUUGAAUGUGUAGCUUGGCAUAUUUCGUAAAAUCUUCCAUGUGUUCUUUCAAACCCUAAAAGUACUCAUUAGAGUUAGCAUUACUCUCAACACUAAGAUAUUCAAAUGCUUCAUUACUCUCUAAAGGAAAACCAGAUGAGGGAAGCCAAACAUGCUCACUCAUAGCCACUGUGUUUGAACAUUAAAUUUAGGUUUUUUUUCUAACUCUAGAUCAAUACCAUUUUUUUUCGAAAUCUACUCAUUUGCAAAUUUUCCUUUAUUUUCUUUUUCCACCAAUCUUCACUUGCAUCAACUAUCCAUAACCUAUGAUUCCACCUUAGACCAAUUUCCAAGCUAAUCAAAUUCUUUCACAAUUUCCAAUCAGUUCUAAGAGAAUCCCAUUUGUUUUUCUUUUGAGUUCUAUUGUAAUCCGAUCCAGUUUCUUUAGUGGAUUCCUUAAUUAAAUUUUCAUAUGCUUCGGAAGUCACAUGAGUCCUAGGACGAUGUUCGGAUCCACCACCUUAAUACAUAACUCACAAAAUACAUAUGAAGUCUGAGGGUUCCAAAUAGCCUUACUAGUUGAGUUACUAGACAUAAUUGCGUACACUUAAACCUAGAAAAUAGAGUAAUAUUUCUUCAUCAAACAGCAAUAUAGGAAAGAGAUUAAUUAAGAGCAAUACCCAAUUUUCUUUUUAAAACAAAUAACAUUAAUUAAGGAUGAAUUAUGUCUAGCAGCAAGGAUGAAUUAUGUCUAACAUUACAUAACUUGUUUCAAAAUGAGUUGUUAGUUUAAUAAACUUGCGGGUUCCUCUAAUUACAUAACCUGUUUCGAAGAAAUUAAAAUAAUUUUUCUCAAUAGUUUAAAUUUUCUUUAGUUACCUUUAAGUGAAUCCUUUCAAAUUUGUGUGAAGCUGAAAUGAUUUGUUCAAAAACAUGUAUUGUUGGAAUCUAUAGGAAUUGAUUACUUGUUUGUUCACUACUAGAAAAAUGGGCUUUACUGACACUAAAUUAGUGUCAGUAAUUACUUUUCCUGACACUUGUUAAUUGUGUCAGUAAUGCUCCAGCCAGAACACACUGACACUAAUUUUUAGUGUCAGCGAUUUUUGUGUCAGUAAUUCAUGUCAUUAUGGUAUCACUAAAAUAAUGACACGAUAGCAUUAGUAUUUAAUGAUACUAUUUAGAUGUCAGUAAUUUAUGAGACUACAGUAUCAAGAGCACACUGACUCAAUAACAUCAAAAAUUAUUACUGUCAUUUUAAACAUUUAGUGUCAGUAUUUAGUGAUGUUAUGAUUCUUUUGGUUAAUAGUAUACUUUGAUUUUAAUUAUAUUUUCCUAUUUGUUUUACAACUGAAAGAAAACUCAAAAUAUAUUAAAUAUACAAAAUCUCGCAACACAAUUGCAUAAGAAACAUCUCAAAUACAUCACUUAAAUUCAUAUAAUUCAACUACAUCAUUGUUUGGAAAAGAAAAAUAUAAGUACUAAAUUAAGUCUUGGACAAGCUCUUAACAACCAAGUACUAAGUUAAGAUUCAACAAAUAUUAACCAACAGAAAGAAGCACAUAAUGUCAUUGAACAUCCACAAGCAGCUUCAUUGUUCUUUUCCCACCUACAAGUACAUAAAAUCAAUUAGUAUACCACAAAAAAUAAUUCUUGGAUUUUUGGGAGAAAAAACAAUCAGGCCAAUUUCAGUGUUCAAAGAGACUAACAAAGAAUGGGGCAAAAACAAUACAUAGCUCUCUUAGUGCAAGCUAAUUGUAAUAGGUAGUAUUGUGAAGAAUAUUUAUCUGCUAAGAAUUGAAUUUGAGUGGAUUUUCCUACAGAUCUAUACACAACUCAACUUAAGUAGAAUACAAAAAUAAAAAAUAAAAAAUCCUAAGGAUUAAGAAAGAUAAAUGGAGAUUUAUUAGUAUACAUCCAAAAUUAAAAACUCAUUAAACAAUCCAGGGGUAAAAAUUGAGGAAUAAGAAUAUAGCGUAUCUCAGGAUAAGACCAAAGACAUAAUAACAGAAACAUUUGAGGCAAACCACUACAAAGUUUUUACAUAAUAACCCAAAGCAAAGCAAACCAUUAUAAAAUUUUUACAUAAUAACCUAGAAACAAAACAGACGAAAAUUGGGCAAGUCCAUAUCCCAAACCUCUGUUAGGAAAAAUGUGUUCAGCAGACUCAUGGCUCCAACAAUAGAAAUUAACCCGCACACAAUGAAACAAAUUAAUUGAUAUAAAAAACAGUCAAAGACAAAGCCAACUAAGAAGAUUAACUAAUUUGGAGAUUGAAUUACAUAGUUAUUUUUACAAAAAUAUAGCAUAAGCCCAUUGUAUUUCAUAGUAAGCAACUGCAAAAAUGCCUAGAGGUAAAUUCAUAAAGAAACAGUAGAUAGAAGAAAAAAAAGACGAGGAAAUAAACAGCAUGAAACAAACAAAUCACCUAACACAUCAUGGGAAUUGACUUGUUAACGUUAAAGAGCAAAAUAAAACUUGGCACCUUCAUCCAAACAAGAACAGACGCUUACCCCUUACAGAGAAUGGCUUAGGUUUUUCGUUGGAGUUUGAGGCUGAUUUAUAAGAAUAUGAAGAAGAAAUGAUUGUUGAAGUUUGAUAGUGAUCAAGGAUUGAGUAUUGGGCUUAAAAUACAAAUUGGCAGUGAGGGCUAGUUUUCGAUCAUAAUGUUGAGAGACCACUAAUCCCCAAUACUUGUACCGUCUCACAUAAAAAUCCACAUUUAAUAAACAUGAACUAAAUCCAGUGUAUUGAGUGUUAUUAUUUAAUGGAACAUAAAAUCUCUGGGUCAAAUAAUUCUAAAGUUAAACCAACAAUAAUCCCAAAAGCUAAAGUUGAUAAGAAAGGCCCAACAGUAUACUUCUAUCACACAAAAUUUGAAGAUAGAAAAAAGAAGGGCCUUUUUUUUUUUAACUGAAACUGAAAAAAGAUUCAGUAUUAACAAUUCAAUAAUUUUAACAUUGAAAACUUGGUGUUUAUAUAUCCGAAUAUAAUUAAGCCAAAAAUUUUAAUUUAUCACUAAAUAGGAAAACAACUAAAUAAGCUGCAUAGUUUUAUUUUCCAAUAAAUGCUUAUAAUAUUUAUACCUAUCCUUCAUUAUUUAUUUAUUUUUUAUAGGAAACAGAGAAAUUAGUAUUAAUAUGAACAAUAAUUACAAAAUGUCAAAAAGGAGUCCACAAAAAAAGGCUAUUGAAGUAUCACACACCAAGAGAAGAAUAAAUAGAAAAAUAGAAAACACUGAGGCAUUCAAACCCUCAACAAUAAACUCAACAUAUCAACUUUAAACAAAUAGAUUCUUGGCUGUUCUUAGUGACAUUAAGAAACAAAUCAAAAGAAGGAAACUCCCCAGAAGAAUUAUAAUAAGUGAGAAGACAUAUUGUAAUUCUAUCAUCAAAGAAAGAUAAGCUUAAUCAUUUUUAAUUUUUUCUCAAAUAUCCAGUAGUACCUUAAGGUAAUAGGACAAGAUCGCUGAAGUUGUCAUGAAGAGUGUAAAGCACUAAAUAACAAAAAUUAUGCUAAUAAAUAAAACUCAAUUUAUUUUCUCCCUCAAUCAAUUGCUUUGAGCUUACUAUGAAUUCAACUAUGAAUUUGAGGAAAAAAUAUAGACCGCAGUUUGCCAACUUCUUGUUCAUGAGAUUCAGCCGCAGUAAAUGCAAACCUCCAUUUCUCGUCAAGCAUUGUUAACCUCUACGACAAAUUGAAGGUAAGAAGAUGAACAAAAUAAGUGUAAUGUGCAGGAAAAAAAUGAAGUCUAUGGGUACAACAACACUUCAAGAUUUUUCAAGUUCUAGUUCAUUUAAAUAGACAUUCCUUGAACUUCAGCAGCAAAGAAAGUACAUUAUAGCAACAAUUUCAAUUCAUUCCAAUCUUUAGAAUUUUUUAUUUUAAAAAAAUAAAUUCCUUCAAACUAGUGAAAGGAAAAUAAAAGUGUGUUUACAGAAGAAAAAUUAUGGAAUGAAUUAAUGACCAUGCAAGUGAGGAAACACAUAAAUUUCUGAAUAAGAGCGAAACUAACCGUGCAAAUGAACAAAGAAAAUGUAAGUCUUCAAGUGCUACAACAAGCAAAACUACCUAAAAACAAGCAUUUUCUUCUUGAAUUAAAGACAAAUCAUGAACUUUGUGCAAUCUCAAAACAUUCAGACAAGCAUGAACUUAGUUAAUUCAUAUCAUAGUCAUUGUCUCUAUUAAAAAUCUUCCAACUGAAAAAAAUAAAAAAAUAAACAUGUUGGUUUCUAUAACAUAAUUUCCUAUCUUUACAUGAAACAGAGCAAUAAAUAACACGUAAUAAUUAUGAAAUACACAGCCAUUCAAUCUAUAUAAUAUAGAAAUAUAGGAAAAAAAGAAAAAAAAAUUCAAAUUACAAUUAAAUAAACAAAAAAUAGAUAUGGAAAAGAAAUCCCACCAAGACUGCACUACUGGGAGAAUUUCUCAACAUCUGCAACAACCCAAAAAAUUAAAUUAACAAAAAACCCCAAUAAUCAUAAGCUAAAAUAAAACAAAUCUAUUAAUUAAUUUGACAAAGAAAAUAAAAUAUUAAGCCAUUACUAGCAGUUAAGCCUUAAUCAAGGCAACAUGUUUGCCCUUAAAGUCAUUGAAAAUCUCCUUCACAGGUCUACGUAUAAGGUGUGGUAUCCCUUCCAUAGCAAGAAAAUUAACUAAUUUCUCAAUAAUUUUAUUCAAAUUCAAGAAAAUGGGUUUUGAAUAUUGAACAAAAAAAAGAGAAAUUUGACCAUAAAAAGAAAAAAAAUUGAUGAAAGAAGCCUCGAUUACGGUUUUGGUCCGUUUUUCAAUUUGGGAAAAAAAAAGGAAAAAGGGAAUAAAAGCCUCACUUAGGGUUUUAGCUUUAUAUUAUCUAUUUGAGUUAAAUGAACGAAUUUGUGAAUGGACAGAAAAAAAAGGAAAGAGAUCGAGAAGAGAAAAAGGAAAGAGAAAGAGAAAGAGAAAGGCAAGAGACAGUUUUGGGUUUGAGUUUGGGUUAGAGAUUUGUGUGUAUAAAAGACAACGAGACGGGGACAAUUGCUAAGUUUGGGAUAUGUUUUACUUUCGUUUUACAUGUUUUAAAUUCUUAAUUUAGUACCUGCAGUGUCGAACCACUUGAACGGAAGUGACAGUGGCAACGGCGUGGGGGUGGGUGCAGCCGUGGGGGUUGGGCGCGGCCGUGGACGUGGGCGUUUGGGCCUUGUCAUUCGGCAUCUUUCACGAUAGAGAAGAAGAAGUCAAGAAAGGCAAGGAUAUUAUGCAGCAGCUGCAGCAUGGGCUCUAUUGCACAAUGGAAAAGGGGAAUUAGGGUUUGGUUUUUUAUAUGUUAAUAUUUUAUAUAACAUUGUAAUUCUAACUCAAUUUUAUGGGGUCCAGUGGUUUGCAAUCUAAACGUAAAAGUUUUGAGUUUUAGAAGUCGCAGGUUCGAGUUAAAAUCAAAACACAUUUUAAUGAUUUUUUUUAGAUCUCUGAUGCUGAAGUAUCAGUAAUCUCUAAUAUUUAAUUUACUGAUACAUUAGUAUUAAUAAUUUGUGACAUUUAUUUGUUAAAAGCAGAAAAUGGUGCAUAGUUAGGUAAUUACUGACAUUUUUUUCAAAGUGUCAGAAACAAAGUGUCAGUAAAAGUCAUUUUUGUAGUAGUGUCGUUGCUGCCUUUAAUGAUUUUUAUUAGGGAAAUUUCAUCAGAUAGGGAUUGUGCAUGUCUAUAAAACCAACUAAAAAAAUUAAAAAUGCAAUAAAGAUAGUGACUUCAAAGCAAAUAAAUCACACGUGACCAAUCACCUAUUAAUUUAUUCCAAGCAAAAGGCCCAGCACAUUCUGAACAAAAGGGAAGAAAAUGAAAAAUUACAUGUAACAAAGUAAAGGAAAACGCACCUUUCUUAGAUAUUUUGAAAACAAAGAUAGAAGAACAGAGGUGUAUGAAUAUGAUUGGUGUCAAAAUCGCGUCGAUGAGAAUAGCCGCUUUUGGAAUUGCAUCGAUGAGAACUGUCGAUGUUGGAAUCAUGCUAAUAAGAUCGGUGUUUAGAGUUUGUUUUAUGGAAAAAUCGAUUUGAGAUUAAGUUUAAAAAUGAGGUGGGUAAAAUUGAAAUUAAAUAAUAUGUAAGGAUAAUUUAGUAAUUUAAUACACAACUGAGAAAAAUUUCUGUUGAACUGCCAAAGCCCAACUACAAAGUGUUACUACUAAAAAUGAGGGGAUGAUAUAUGGAAAAAAAGAAGCUUCAUUUUAAAUUAAUGAACAAAAACAAUUUAAAGAUUUAAGAGAUCUGAUUUGUCGUUUCAUUUCACUAAAAUGUGGAUAGAUAAAAUUAGUUAUUGGGUGUGUCUUAUCCUAAAAUUAAUCUUUCACGAAGUCCUUAGAAACAAGAAAAUACUAUUACAUAGCUCGGAAAGUGUUAAUAGUUAUAGAAUUAGGCGUCUCUUACACAUAUGUCUUCCCAUGUAUAAAAGCGUUCGUAUGAAGUUAUGAAAUGGUGGAUUAUUAUACUAAACAAACGGCUCUUUCCCUUUCAAAAUUAUUGUACGUAUUUUGCAAGGAAACCUCCUCUACUUUGUUUCUUCCAAUUAAUGUCCGGUUAAGACUUCCGUGUGUCCAAUUAAUGCCAAUCGUUUUCGAAUGUGUACAGGAUAACAACUUGAAGACUUGAGAGGGCCAGCGUUAAUUCAAAGUCAAGACUCAAGACUAGGUUGUUACCCUGCAGGAUUCUUGAUAGUGAGGUGAAAAAACAAAAAGUUGAAGGAGAUUAGGAUUUAAUGCUGAGUUUAGUUUUUAUUGACCACUAAGUUAAUGAUUAUAAUUUAUUUUGUACUUUUUCUUUUAUUUAUCUUAGUUAAUAAUUAUUUAUUGAGAUUCUUGUCCAAUUGAAAGAUACUAGAGAAAAGGGUUUUAAAACUUUAGUUAUUUUUAUGUAUAAAACAAAAAAUUUAAAUUAUUAAAAGAAAAAAAAAUGUAAUUUUAAGAGACAUCUUUUAAGGUUUGACAUAUUAAUAUUUAGAUAAAAAAUAUGCCUCUAAUUACAGAGAUCUUCCCGCCGUCUAUACUCAGUUUCGUAUAUUGUCAGCUAGGAGGGUAAAUUAGUAAAAGCGCAUUUAAAAUUGAAAUAAGUAAAAAGCUAAUUUGAAGAUAAGCCCACUGAAACACUCAAAAAAUCCCGAUGAAAAUCAGUUACCACUAACUAGAGGAUGGAUGAAUGCUUGCUCUCUUUCAUCAACCUAACUCAUCACAAAACCAUUUUCUCUUUCAAUCAACCGAGGCCCACAUGCACUCCUCAUCUCUAAAUGCUUUGAAGAUGAAAAAAAUCAGAUUUUUAUUGCCAAGUUCCGCAACUUUAGCUUAGAUUUAUUAACAAGAAAAGCAUCGAUGGUGGCCUAAGGGUGGUGUCAGGUGAAAAUAGCUGACUAUUCGGCGUCGGACAUGACUGUUAUUGACUUGAAUUCAAAGAAGGUUAGUCUUUGAAACAAUUUUGGAUUUAAUUUUUUUUUUGUUUUAAUAUGUUUUAUAUUUUAAAAUAAAAUUGAAAUUUUAUUUCAUUUUAAUCAUAGAUUGUUUUUUUUUUGUUUGAAAAUGAAAAUGGGCUGAAGUGUUGGAGAACAGUUGGCAUUGUGUUGUUCAUAAAAAAAAAAGAUAUCAAAUUGUUGAUGUAUUAGAGAAGAUGCAUGUUGUUUGUUACUUUCAGACCGUAGCUAUUUGGAUUUUUCAAGUUAAGAGCUAAUCAUAACAUAUGUGUUGGAAAUUAGUGAUUUUUAUGUGACUUCUUUGUCAAAUGAAAAUGGGUUAGCACUGUUAUGAAGAAUAUGGAUGCUAUUUGGAGGAAUUAACUUCUUAACAUGUGCUUGAACUAAAAAUACCAAUGCAUAUUAGAAAUUAGUGAAGUUAUAUGCAUUAAUAAUAUUGGAAAUAAGGGUUUGUUUGUGAUGCUUUAAAGAAGCUGAAAAGGGUAUUGCUUGUGCUCCUUAAUAUGGAGAAUUUUUAGUUGCUUGAUAAAAAAAGCAUUAGUGACAAAUAAAAUGAAGAAAUUUUGGAUGAUGUUUGUGUAAAAGAUUUAAAUUAUUUAUUUUAUUGAAGCUGUACUGUGUUUUUAUUUGUGAUUUAACCAUUAAAACGGCUCUGUAACAUUGAUUAGAGGCUGCAUGUGCUCUUUUUAUAAAAAAAGUAGUGGCAUUCCUAAGUGGAGUAAUGAGAUGCUAAGAUGGGAAUGUAUGAAUAUUUAAUUUUGUUCUUGCUUUAAACUAUGACUAUAAAUCCUAAGUCUUCUAAAAUGAAACUCAAUUAUGCUUUUAAGAUGUAAAAAGGCAUCAUUGCCAUUUUUAAGUGACUUUGAUAAUGCUUCAAAUGGAAGUUCGCAUUGGUUUGUCAAAAUCUUUUGUUAAGCAGGGUGAAAUGAUUCAAUUUGCAUUGAAUAUGCGAAAGUUUCUAAGCGAAUAACUUGUGGUCUCAUGUUAUUUUUUUUCAGAUGAUGCUCUAGUGGAGGUCGAAAAGGAAAAGAGAGUCUUUGUUAAAAAAAAAAAAAGCAGGGAACAAAUAUGCCUUUCUAUAAUUGUCUUCCUUUUAACAUGUAUGUCAGGAUUGGUGUGCAUAAAUGGCCUUUAUUGACUAAAUAAUAUAAUCAUGAACAAGUAAAAAUAUAAUUUUUUUUAGUACUUUUCCUACUGAUCAUAUGUGAAUUGAAUCAAUUGUGUUGAAAAUGUUGAUCAAGGCAAAAAAGCUCUCAGCCUUUGCUACAUUCGAAAAUAGCAAGAAGGAAUUUUGUAAGCCCAAUUGAAAAAGAUUGAGGUAACCUGUCUCUUCUUAUUCUAGAUUCUUUUUUUUUUCUUUGUUUUACUUCCCAUUUCAUCUUCAACAAAUCUAGUAAUUGGCAGGAAAUAAUUGGAAGGAAAGAAGGCUGAAUAUGCUGAAAAUCUAAAAAAUAAGGCAGCUAUACGUCACAAAGAAAUAGAAGAGAAAAGGGCAACGGUUGAAGUUAGUGGUGGAGAUUGAAUUCUUAAGUUAAAGGAGAUGGUUGAAAAAAUCGGUGUAACUAAGAGCAUUUUAAUGAUCAAUGGAAUUAAACAAAUGUUAACAAUAGGUUGUUGUCUAUUAGAUAUACCAAAUUUGACUUUGAACUGUUGUAUUAUGUUAAAUUUCUAAAUUUUAUUUCACUGUAUAGUAUCGCUAGCCCUAGUUUCCCUACGAUAUUUUUUUUUUACAAUUGAUGAAUAUUUGAUGUCAAAUUUUUAUUUCCCAAGAGUGGUAAAGUGUAAUGAUUAAUUUGAUAUUUAGUACUACUAAAUUUUUAAAUUUUAGUUCACUGUAUACUAUCGCUAGCCCUAGUUUCCUAGUAAUUUUUUUUACUUUUAACAAUUGAUGAAUAUUUGAUGUCAAAUCUUUGUUUCCCAAGUGUGUUAAAGUGUGAUGAUUAAUUUGAUAGUUAGCAAUAAGGCUGUUUAGGUCUUUUCUCAAAUCAAGGGUAAUUUUUACAUAUCACUAGUCAACUAACAUUCAAGGAAACUGAGUACAGACAGUAGGGGAGGUCUCUGUAAUUAUGAUUAUACUUUCUAUUUAAGUGUCAAUAUGUCAAAUCUCCGAGGAGGUCCCUAAAAAUUAUCCAAAAGAAAUCGAGACUUUGAGCUGGUUUGGAACAAAUUAUAUUUUCAAUUGAAAUUGAAAAGAAGAAAAAAAAAUAUAUAAGAGAGGUUUUAUAAGAUUAAUGAAGGGGUUCCAAUAAUCCAAUAUUUUCACAAUUUUUUCUUUUAAGUUUUAUUCAUCACCCCAUAGGCCCAAUUUAUUUUCGUUAUUAUGUAGGUGUGGUGUUACUAGAAAUCAAAUGUUGCCUUUUUUUCUUUUUCUUUUUUUCCUCUCCUCUCCUCACUUAUGGUGGAAUGUGGAGAAUUAAACAAAACCAAUAUCCUAAUAUAUAAUUAAUAUUUUGAAAUGACCCGCCCCGAAUCCCCCUAAGCAAGUCUAUCUAGUCUCAUCAAAACAGACUUGAUAAAAAUUCUAUUAGUAAAGAUUCUGCCAAAAAUUCGGCAGAAUCUCCUUUAUAUAUAUAACACUCCCAAUCUAUAAAUAUGAAUAUAACACUCCCAAUACAAUUCAAUAUACAACAAACUCCAGUGAUUAACAUCCUCAACUAAAAUGCUGAGUUUUAUAUCUCCAGAGUCUCAAAAGAUAAUAUUAUAACUAAUAUUAAUAUAUCAGUUUAUUCUUAAUCCCAAAAGAAUAGUAUAACAAAAUUAUACAAUCCCAACAGAACGAGAUAACCAAGAUGUCCUAACAAAAACAUUUAUAUCUUCUAACACCAUCACGUGGCCAAGACUCAAAAUAUAUUUACAGUCGCUGGGUCGGUCUGGUGUACCUGCAACCUCCUGGUGAGGGAGGGAAAAUAUAAUAAAAACGAGGUGAGUUUAAAACUUAGUGAGAUCAGUGAGUGGAUAGUAGUUUUGAAAAUUAAUUCUUACUUUAAAAGAAAUAAUCAUAUCAUUUCCAAACACGAUUUCAUUAAACCAUAAGCGAGAAACCAGUAAUAAAUCAUUAAACAUUUAAAUCAGAUUACUAACCAUGGAAAUCAUAUCACAAUAUCAUAUAGAAUUCACAAAUCUGAAAAUCAUCGCCAAACAAGUACCCAGGGAAAUAAUCUCGUCAUAUCCGAAUCUCAACGGAUGGGCAAUGAUGUACUAUCUGGGUAACGUCACGCCCCGGAGCUACACGGAUAGAUAGGGAAAUCUCAUAUCUCAUCAUAUCUGUGCAUGCAUAAUCUAGUCCCCAAGGGACAAAAGCGCCCAAGCACACGGCCCAAAACCUCUGUGUGUACUCAGACGGGCCCCAAAGGCCUAUAUCUCAUUUGUAUCAUAUGUAUUAUUUGUAUCAUAUGUAUUAUUUGUAUCUCAAUAUCUGUCUGUAUCUCAUAUCAGUAUAUCUGUAAUCAUCAUACCGCAUGCAUAUGGCCCCAAAAGGCAAAAGCACCCAAACACACGGCCUAAAGCCUCUAUGUGUCAAAGGCCUCUCAUCUCAUCUCAUCUGUAUCACUGUAUCUGGAGGGAAGGGUACUGUCUAAUGAUUUCAAAAACAAUCAUUAUACUCAUUCACAUACCUCUUAACCAUAUUUUAAAUCAUACCACAUUUGAAUCCACUUUUCUUAUCUUUAAAAUACUAUCAUGCUUAUUCAAAGUCGAUACGCAAAAUCAUUAACCAAACAUUUUAAUAAAAUAUCAAUGCGUGAAUAAAAUCCAUUUCGAGAAAUCAUUAAAUCAGAACAUUUAAAAUACUUAUUUCGCAAACAUGCUUUACUAUCAUCGCUAACUAUGAAAAUAAGUUUUGUAUAUUCCACUCACAGUGACGGUGUUCACGGUCGGUUAUCGUCCACGUCCGCGGACCGGUUCUCGCUCGCAAAUCCUCCUAAAUUAAGGAAACGACAUAAUUAUUUUCCGUAAAUCGGAAUUAUGACUAAAUUUUAUGCAAUAAACUCGAAACGAACAUCUAUCCAUAAUUUACAACUCCUGUGUCCAUAAAAUUUCUAAAAUGCCCUUGAGUCCGUAGAUCAUUAACAUGCUCUGAAAUCGUAAAUCACCGAAUUACCCUCGGAAUCGUAAUUACACCCAAUCCUCAAUUCUAGGAAUUACUAAAAUAUCCACAGGCUCAGAAAUUACAAAAUUGCCCUCAUAGUGUGAAAUUACCAAAAUGCCCUUGCCGAUCAACGGUCACCGGAAUUUGGUCAACACUGGCUAGGAAGCUCAAAUCUUAAAGUUCCAAUCACGCUGAGUUCAAUGGUACCGACGGUGAGCUCCAACGCGCGGCAACGACGCCGGAAUCUAGCUCGGCAGCCGUGAAUUCCAAGAAUCGACCGGCGGCAAAACAGUGACUCUCGGUGCCUAUGAAUGGUCGGAAAUGGAAGAGGGAAUCGUGGGGAACAAAAUCCAACUGGUGGUGUCACCCAAAACCGGCGAAAAUCCCGGCGGAGUAAAGUGAAACAGUCGCGGGUUUCAAGCUUCGAUCUCCGGUGUUCCGGUUGGUUUUCGGCGGAGAGGAUGGCAUGGGAACGACGGUCGGCUUCUAAGCUUCAGAUUGGUACCAAGCUCGGCCAAAACGGUGGCCGGAAAUGGGAGAUAUGGCCGGGUCACGUUCGCAGGUCAGGUCGGGUUUUUUCGGGUCUGUAGUUGGGUUGGUUUGGUAGCUUCUCUCUCACUCUCUGUUACACGUGCAUAUGUUUCCUUUGUUUCUAGCUUAUUCUUUUACUUAUAAAAUCCUUAACCGCCUCAUUUUCAUUUUAAAUUCACAUAUGUUACAUAUUUAUUAACAGAUUUCAGAAAAAAUUAAUAUUUUAAAAUAUUGCAAACUGCCAAAAAGUCAAACUUUUAUUUGCUACAUAAAUAUAAUCUAUUUUAGAUAUCAAUAUCAAAUUUGUUAGGUUAAAUUCUAGGUUCAAAUCUUAGCAGGCAGAAGUUUGAGUUAAAUUGGUAAAUGAAUUAUUUUUUAAUUAAUUUCUUCUUUUUGAUUUUGAAAAAAACAUUCGAGAGAAAGAGAGGAAGUUGAAACUGAAGCCGAAUCAACUGGAGCAGCAUCAAGCAUCUUUUGAAAUUCUUCUACAUGCUGCUUUUUUUCAGCUUUUGUUUUCAAAUGUUAUUGAGGGCAAAUAAAGUCUGUAUGCUUGAUAUUGAACAUAAUUUUUAACAAAUAAAAACUAACACUGACGUUGUGCCAAAGAAUUUGUUUCUAGCUUAACUGGGCCCAUUUAGGAUAGCUAAGAUAGCUGCGCUGCCAAACAGGGCUUUGAUUUCAUUGCUAUAAGUAUUUAUCAAGUAUUUUUAAUAGAUUUUUUUGGGUGGGCUGAAUGGUUAAGUAAAUUAAUUAAAUGGUUUAAAUAAGGAUAUUUUUUUAUAUUUUAAAAAAUGUACGUAUUAAAAUUUUAUAUAUUAAAUAUACAAAAUAAUAGAAUGUUUAGAAUAAUUUUUAGACAGCAAGCAGCCCUACUCAUUUUAUUAAUCAAGACUUAAGUGUCACUAAACUAAACCUCCAUAUUCCAAAUCUAUAGAAAAAAACGAGAAAAGGUACCGAAUGCAAGCGAUCUGCUGUUCAUCAAUAUUAUCUGGUGCUGUUGCAGAUCAUUUUGUUAUUCUGGUCCAUCAAAGCAUCAAAACAAUUUGUCUGUGAAAACGAUUGUGGAAACGUGUAGAUGAUAUUCCCCUUUGGAAUUGGAGAAGGGUGCCACUUUGGUAAGAGUUAUCACGUAAUAUUCACUCUUCUGGCUCUCCCAAAGGUUUUCAUCCUAGUAUCAAGACGGAAUAUCGUACCGUUACUCCGUAACUAAAACUGGAGCAACAUUCCUAUAGUUUCUAUACACAGUGCUAUUGCCACAAGCAAUAAUAUUGCUAGAGCAGUCAAUAUAUAUGGUAGUCCUUUUACCUUUCCCUGGGGGCUCAAUAAAUUUACAGCCAUAGGCUGUGACAAUUAUGCAAUUAACCUGGACAAUGAUAAUGAUUCAGCUGUGCCUGUAUGUCUGCACUUGCGAUCCUUCUCAGAAAAGUGGUUGCUUUAUUUGUUCAGAGUAAAAUUUGGAAUGUAAAAAAUUCCAUCCAAAACUUUAUCAUCGAACAAUUUGUAUGAAUUCCUGUAAGGAAUACGUUGGCAUAUCACAGAAGCCCAAUUACAAAUACAUCCGCAAAAUAUCUACCAAAGAUAUUUCAGCAAGCUUGUCAAGUAGUGGGACAGGGAAUGGCUCUCUGUUCCUGAGGCAUGAAUUGACGUCCUGCCCAUCGUCCCCCUUUGCCUCCCCACCAUACAAAUAACAAAUGAAAAUUAGGCCAAUUAAAUUAAAGGCAAGACGGGAUGGAAAUAUGGAAUCGUUGAUUAUUAUACCCAUGACCCCUCUAAUUAAUGGUUCUUUCCCUUCGAUAUUAUUGUACGUGUUUGGAAGGAAACCUCCUCUAUCUUUUUUUCCAAUUAAGACUAUUGAAUGUCCAAUUAAUGUAAAUUGUUUUUGAACGUGUAGAGGAUAACAUGACAAUGCGGAGACAUUUAAAGUUGAUUGACAGAAUGAACAAAAUAUCCUAAAUAAUGAGGCUAAUUGAAAAAUUUUUAAAUUAACAAAACUAGAGUUUUAGAUCUUUUUAUAUAAUAACUUUAAAUAUAAUAAAAUUCUCUUAAUCUGAAUAAAAAAUCCAAAACAAAUAGUGCUCAAAUCUAUUAUUUAGGGAAAAAAAGAAAUUAGAAAAAAUAGAAGAAUAUCUUAAAAAUCGAAAAAUGAUAAGGAAAGAAAUAAUUUUUCAGGCUCAAGCAAGGCCCAAAAUGGCAUAAGCUUUGUAGGCUUGAUUUGUCUUCUCGCAAACUUUAAAACGAUAUAUUAUACACUCAAAACAGACACAUGUAGCCUAAGUUAUACCCUUUGGAAAGUACCCUUCUCAUCCCACACACCCAUCAUACAGUAGUCCCUCUCACUUGGAAAAGAACUUGCCCUCGAGUUUGACUUGUACAAUGCCUCAUCAUCUAGAUGAUAUUUAAAUAGAUUAGCCAUAUUGAAUGUGUAAGAGAUCUUCUAGUUGUCCGGCAGUUAGAGCACAUAAGCAUUAUUAUUAAUCUUCCUUGCCACACGAAACGGUCCAUACUUGAUGUGGACAUGCAUCACUUUCCCGUGUCGAUGCAUGUUCACAUCGACCUUGUACAUAGCGUUUGCAGCCUCCAAAUGAGCUCGUUCCUUGACAUGAAUCUGUAGAGCUCUUUUUACCACAUUAUUCACUAUUUUACUCCCUCCAGUUGCUAUGGGCAUGAUAGCUAAAUCAUAAACAUGGGGUAGGGAACAAGUGUAGACAAUCUCAAAAAGGGUCUUACCACCAUGUUAUUGAAAGCAAACUUGACUUGAGGCAAGAUAGUUUCCCAAUUCCGUUGCUUGUCACCACAAACAUAGUGCAACAUGUUAACCAGAGUGCGAUUAACCACAUCCAUUUGACCAUUUGUUUGCUAAUGAAAAGCACUACUAAAUUGUACUGAACUUAUCCUAGAGAUGAUGCCAAAACUUACUGAUAAACUUCACAUUCAUGUCAGAAGUAAUAGUCUUUAGCAUACCAUACAAACUUACCACUUCUUCAGAGAACAAAUGCGCAGCUAAAGCAGCAUCUUUAGUAUUCUUGCAAGCAAUAAAAUGCAUGAUCUUUGAAAACCUGUUGAUCACAACCUAUCAAUUUGUUCCCUUAGAAUUUCGAGGCAUAUAUAACUAAUUAGAAUUGAACAGAUACCCAUCUUGAAUAAGGAAAUCUUUUACAUUUUGAUGAUUAAUGCAUCGAUCUUAAAUAUGCGCAAAGUCUUCAUCCUUAGCGUACAACUCCUUCAAGCAUUCAAAACCAGUACCUUUAAUGACGAGAGUAGUAAAGUUGCUCGCCUACUGAGUGCAUCUGCUAUCUUAUUAUGUUGCCCAAAUUUAUACUUAACAAUAAAAGUGAACUUUUACGUAUAGCGCACCCAUCUUGCAUGCAUCUUGCUCAGAUAUUGCUGGUUAUUAAAGUACUUGAAUGCUUGAUGAUCACUAUAAAGUACGAACUCUUUAUGAAUCAAGUAAUGCUCCUAUGACUUCAACACCCUAAGGAUUUGAUAAAAUUCUUAGUCGUAAGUAGACCAUUUCUGUUAUAUUUUAUUUAACUUCUCACUCAUAUACCUAAGUAGUCGUCCCUCUUGAGAAAUAACAGCCCAAUACUAUUACCAUAAGCAUCACAUUCAACCUCAAACAACUUGAUGAAGUUUAGUAAGGCUAACACAGGAGUAGUAAAAAAAUUCUCUUUUAAUAAAACAAAACUGCACUCUGUAAUAAGUGGGGCUAUGUUACUAAAACUAUAAAUAAAUCUCUUAUAAAACAUCGUCAACCCAUGAAAACUCCUAACUUCACCCACUAUCUUCGGCAUAGGCCAUUCAUUAAUGGCUUGUAUCCUCGACUCAAUAACUCGAAUCCUAUCUACAUCAGUUAUAAAACUAUAAAUUCCACAUUACUCUACAGAAAGCUACACUUCUUUAGAUUAAUAUAAAGUUUAUUUUUUUUUUGCAACAUCUUUAUAAUCAUUCUCAAAUGUUCUAGGUGUGCCACUGCAUUAACAAAAUAAACUAAGAUAUUGUCAAAAUUCACCACAAUAAAUUUGCAGGAAAAAGACUUAAGAACUUGAUUCAUUAAGUGCAUAAAAGUGCUUAACACAUUAGACAACCGGAAUGGCAUAAAAUACCACUCAUACAGCCCUUUUUUUAAUUUUAAAUGUUGUCUUCCACUCACCAUCAGGCCUAAUUAUGAUAUUAUGAUAUUAUGAUAUCCAUUACACAAAUCUAUCUUUGAGAAAACCCGAGCAUCAUUUAGUUGAUCUAAUAACUCUUAAAACGUGGAAUAAGAAAUCGAUUCUUCACUAUAAUAUGGUUAAUUAGCAUACUAUCUGUAUAUAUAUGCCAACUCUCAUCCUUUUUCGAUACCAACAAAGCUAGUAUAGUACAUUAACUCAUGCUCUCAUGAAUGAAACCUUUCCCUAACAAUUCAUCAACCUACCCUUGUAAGAUCACAUGCUCGUGAGGGCUCAUACGAUAAUGAAGCAAGUUAGGUAAACUCGCACCAUAUCUCAUAAAGGUGGCAGCCCAUCCAACAACUUUAAUGGUCUAAUAUCAACAAACUCAAUUAAUAAUGGCUAUACUUUUUUCAAGAACAAUCUUCACCUUUAAUUCUUCUUUUUUCUCUAGCUUCUAGCAAUCAUCGCAAUCAUCCUCUUGAUGAUUUUUAACAACCUUAGUAUUCUUCUUGUUGUUCGUUAAAGGCAUCAACGAACCUUCUUGUUAUUUCACUAAAACUCAUACACAUUAUCCUCUCUUCUAUACUGUAUCAACAUCAAAUUACUAAAGUCUACCAAAUAAUAGAUGGCACACAUCCAUAUUCUUUACAUCGCUCAACACAUCACUCUUAUAAAUCUUCCCAAUGGAGAAAAGAACACGACGGUCCUUUAUUACUUGCAUUUUUGUCUCUCUAUUUAUCAAUCAUAUUCUGUUAGAUACUGGAUUUUUUUGGUUGAAAGUCCUAUCAUGUCAAAUAGCACCUUUGAAAAUAUGUUCUCGCUAUUGCCACUAUUAAUUAUAAUGUUGUACACCUUAUCGUUGAUAGUGCCACAUGUUUUAAAAAUCUUAUUGCGCUGAUUAUCCUCUUUAAAUUUUCAAUGAUAAUAAAAUCUUCUAUAUAAUACAAUUUAGUUUCUCCUUCAUUUGCUUUCAACUCUAAAGCUUCUUUGGCAUCCCCAUUCUCAACGUCGUUCAGCUCUGUCUUGCUGACUUUACCCUCUACUAAAUUCAAAAUUUUAAAAUGAUAGUUACUCGAUCGAUGGCCUAGCUCCCUACACUUCAAACACUUGUCCAGCAUAGGCUUCACUAUAAGUGAUUGUAUCUACUAUCUCAUCUUAUAUCUCUUGUUUUAAUCUGCCAAUAUAUUUCGUAACUAUUCAAAAUUCUGGCUCAUCCAUAUUAUUUUGAGUGUGUAGACAAUAAAAUUCGUUUAUAUAUUCAUUGACACUAUGAUUUCCUUACCUGCAGUUCUGAUAUUUAAAACUGCUGCCAGUAUUCUACUGGCAGGAAAUACUCUCUCAUCAUCCUUUGCAUUCCAGGCCACUAUUUGAUAAUUUUUUUUGCAACUUUUCUUUAAUUAUGUAUGUAUUGCCAUUAUGCAGAAGCUGGACAAGCUUAAUUCACUUCUCUUGAGGAAUCUCCAUAUACUCGAGAAAAUUAUCCACUUGUGAUAUCCAGUCUAAAAAUUUUUCAACAUGCAUCCCACCAAAAAAAUUCAGAAUAUUAACAUUAAUCUUGUAAUCUAAACUCUUUUUGGGCCCCUAUCAUCCUCCAUAUAUUUUUCUUCUUCUAAAUCGUUUCUUAGCUCCUUACGCACGUGUACUGGUAUUCAUCACGUAGGACCUAAAUUUUGAGGUACUACUUCAUGAUUGAUGCCUUGAGGUUUUAUUUCAUGACCGACCCCUUGAGGUAUCUCCAUGUAGUUGUAAUCUUCAGGUUGUACACCACGAUUGACUCUUUGAAGUUCUUCCUCGUGAUUAACUUUUUGUUGUUGACCUCUCUUUCUGUUUUUGUUCAAGGAAAACUUAAGACUCAUAAUUGUCUUGCUCUAUCACCACUAAUCCCGAGUUAUAAGCUUCCUCAAUUGCUUCCAAGGUUGCUUCUCGAGCCGCCCGUUUCACAGCCUCCACAGUCUUUGGCUACAUCCCUUUGUUAACAUGUAUGUGUCUAUAAUAAUGAUUUUGAUGAUAACAAACAAGAUUAAGAAUGAUUAAGUUUUUAAAAGCUCAAGUUAUUUUUCAUACAUUUUAAAUAAAUCAUUAUUUUCAUAUAAUAAAGGUUUUUUUUUCAAAGAAAACGUGAUUUCAUGAAAUUGGUUGUUUUUCAAGCUCAUGGUCUAAUUGAAAAAAUUUUGAGAACUUUGAAAUCAACAAGUAUUGCUUAAAAUUCUAAAAAUGGACUUGUUUGAAAAGUAUCAUAAAGUUUUGGGCCAUAGUACAAGUAUAUAAAAUUUUGGGGCAAAAAUAUAAUUUUAGAAAAUAGUUUCAUUGUAGCAGUCGCUGUAGCAAAUAGCUAGCUGUUUGGAAGAUAACAGCUAACUUACAUUGAACAGAAUUGAAGAUUAGUGUUUGUAUACUAACGGCAAACCGACUUCUUGAAAAUGGUAAAUCGACAUCUUCUUUGCAAGUUACUGGACGAUAAUGGCGAUCCGACAUUUCAAUAACGGUGAUCUGACAAUUUGAAAUUCUGUCUAAUGGUAACUUGCUCAAGUCAAAACGGCAAUCCAACUUCUAUUUAACGUUGAUCCAACUUCGAGUAAAUUAUCUCUAACGACUAUUCUUCAGCUCAAACUAUAAAAAGGCUCAUUUAAACACAAAUAAUAGUGAUUGCAACUACUAUCAAUGAGCCAUGUAGAUGCUGUGGUUCAAAACGAAAAUAGAAGAGUGUGGAGAUGUACCAGUAUUUAUGGCCAUCCAAAAUUGACCUAAAAGCACCAUACUUGAACUCUCUUGAAAAGGUUAGCAGCUCUCUCUUUUCACCCCUGGUGUUGCUUUGGAGACUUCAAUGAGAUUUUGUAUUUGCAUGAGAAAAAAAGAGGGAAUGAUAGAAACCGAAAUGUGAUAGCUGAUUUUAGAGAAGCUGUCCAAGCUUAGAAUUUGGUUGAUAUUGGGUAUCACGAGUAUCCUUAUACAUGGUUGAAUAGGAGAUUUGGCCCUCACCACAUAGAAGAGAGGCUAGAUAGAUUCCUGUGCAACAAGGAUUGGUGUGAUAAUUUUCAAGCGUCAACAACAAUUAAUCUGGUGAAUUGGGUUUCAGAUCACUACGCAGUUGUUUUUUAUUGUAAUGAGAGAGGUAGAAACAAAAGCUAGAGGAAACAACAUCCCACUCGAGAGCAUUACGAAGACACGUGGAGUCCCUAUAAAGACUGUAAGAGAAUAGUUAGUGAAGAAUGGGCUCACUAUGGAGAGAAAUCUUGGGAGAAUCUGGCGCAACAAUUCCAAAGGGUAGCUAAAAAUUCUUUAGCUCAGCUCAAGUUGUGGAGUAAAGAUGAGUUUGAAGGCAACCAAAAAAAAACAAGAAAAGCUUAUCAAACAGCUGGAGAACCUCAGACAGAGCAACGAUCAAAUGAGGGAAGGGCUGAAAUUAGAAGAAUUGAGAAUCAAAUUAAUAACAUGCUGAUUGAUAAAGAAGUCUAUUGGAAGUAAAGAUCAAGGGCUGAUUUGCUUAGAUAGGGAGAUAAAAACACCAAGUUCUUCCACUCCAAUGCUUCAGAUCGGGGGGUAGAAAACAAUCAAGGCCAAUGGACAGCGAAGCAGGAUGAAGUCGAGAGGGAGUUCUGCAAUUAGUUCCAAAGCUUAUUGACAUCAUCCAGCCCAACCUACAACCAAAUUUAAGCUGCCUUAGAGAAACUUCCAGCAAAGGUCACCCCAGAGAUAAACGCCUAUCUGGAAGAGCCUUUCAGUCUUGAGGAGAUUGUCAAAUCUCUAUCUCAGAUGCCGCCCACAAAAGCUCCAGGCCCUGAUGGACUUCCUGCUGCUUUUUUCCAAAAGCACUGGAAAUCAGUUCAUAAAGGAGUGGAAGAGACUUGUUUAUACAUCCUUAAUGAGCAAGGUAACCUCGCUCCUCUAAAUCAUACUUUCAUUGCUCUUAUUCCUAAGACAAACAAGCCAAGGAAAGUCUCUGAGUUUAGGCUAAUCAAUCUCUGCAAUGUAGUGUACAGAAUAGUUGCCAAAGUUAUUGCAAAUAGACUGAAACCAAUACUCUCCCAAAUUAUCUUCCCCACCCAGAAUGCCUUUAUUCCAAAUCGGAUAAUUACGGACAAUGUGAUAAUUGGCUAUGAAUGCAUGCAUAAGAUCAGAAGCAGUAGAGGGAAAAGAAAGGGUUUGGUAGCUCUAAAGUUGGAUAUGAGUAAGGCAUACGAUAGGAUUGAGUGGCCUUUUCUGAAGCUCACAAUGGCUAAGCUCGGCUUCUCUCAAAAGUGGGCAAAGUUGAUAAUGAACUACAUACAACAACAGCCACCUUCUCAGUCUUAAUCAACGGCAGUCCCAAAGGUUUUAUCCAACCUGAGAGAGGUCUGAGAUAGGGCUGUCCCCUUUCCUAUUAUUUAUUUAUUUUGUGUGCUGAGGUUUUCUCAAAUUUAUUGCUCCAAGCAGAGAAAAAUCAGCUGAUCAGGGGCUUGAGGUUUGCCAAAGAAGUCACAAUUUCUCACAUACUGUUUGCAUAUGAUAGCCUUAUCUUCUCAAGGGCUACAAAAUCCGAUUGCAGGCACUUGAAGAGAAUAUUUGACUGUUAUGCUAAAGCCUCUGGGCAGAUCUUUAAUUUUGAAAAGUCAUCUAUGGUGUUUAGUGGCAAAGUGCCGAACAACCAGAUUACAGCAAUCAAAGAUAUCCUCAACUUAAAGGUAGUCUUCAGCCAUGAAAAAUAUCUCGGCCUCCUAUCCAUGAUAGGCAGAAAGAAAACCAAUUUUUUCAAGGACAUCAAGCUGAAAAUCCUGAGUAAAAUUUCAAGCUGGUAUCACAAGAUGUUCUCAAGUGGUGGGAAUGAAACUCUUAUUAAAGCGGUAGCCCAAGCAGUCCCAGCCUAUGCCAUGAGCACAUUUAAGCUUCCAAAGAGCUUAUGUGAAGACAUACAAAGAGCCAUUGCAAAGUUCUGGUGGGGAUCUAAGGAGGAAAAACAAGGCAUCCAUUAGGCAAAAUAGAGCAGACUCAGCCGUGCAAAGAGUAGAGGGGGUAUGGGAUUUAGAGAUCUCUUCAGCUUUAAUCAAGCUUUGGUGGCCAAACAAGGCUAGAGGUUGAUGCAGUAUCCUAACUCUCUGGUUUCCAAAGUGCUGCAGGCACGAUAUUACAAAAACUCCACCUUCUUAAAUGCAAGCAUAUGAUCCAACCCAUCUUAUAUAUGGAGGAGUAUCAUAUGGGGGCGGCAAAUCAUCAAGGAAUGAGCUAGAUGGAGAAUAGGUAAUGGUAAAAAUAUUCGGAUUUACAAGAUUGCUGGAUUCCAAGACCAACCUCUUUCAAGCCGAUAUCUCUACCAAGCUUGUCUACAGAUGCUAUCGUGGCAGACUUGAUAAACGCAGAAAACCAAUGGGAUGUGGAAACAUUAAACCAGCACUUCAUGCCAUCAGAUGCCGAUUUGAUCUUGAAGAUCCAUUUGCCACAUAGGCAAUCCGAAGAUGAAUUAAUGUGGCAUUUUGAUAAGAAAUGAGAUUAUUCAGUGAAAAACGGCUACCAAAUAGCUUUAAAAAUAAAUCUUCCAGAAGAGCCUGGCUGCUCAGGAAGCAAUUCAAACCAAUGGAAAGGAAUAUGGUCUCUUGCUUUGUCCGAAAAGAUUAAAAUUUUCUUAUGGAGAGCUUCAAUAACCUGCUGCCAACAGCUGAGAAUUUGUGGAGGAGAAAAAUCAUUCAAGAUCCAAUUUUUCAAAGGUGCAGAAGGUCCAUUGAAUCAAUAAGUCAUGCGCUCCUAAUCUGUAAAUCAGCAAAGAAAAUCUGGAACCAUGCCCCUUUUCCAGUGAACAAACAUGAAUUUUAUUCCCAGGACAUCUUCACUAUCAUCCAGGACAUGAGCAUCAGAUUUAGGAAGGCUGAUAUAGAGCUAAUGGCAGCAUACUUGUGGGUUUCAUGGUAUGCAAGAAACAAGUUCUUGUUCGAUGGGAAGAACCUGAAGCCAAGCAUCUUAACAGCUAAGGCAUAAUCAACAGUGGAAGCAUACCAGAGGGUAAGGAAGAUAGGGCUUUCUCAUAUUAGCAAUACCAUCAACAAGAAGCAGGAAAGAUAGAUCCCCAUCCAGACAACUCUUUCAAAGUCAACGUUGAUGCAGCCAUAAACAGCAAGAACCAAACAGUGGGCAUAGGUGCAGUUAUCAGGGAUUCAAAAGGCAUUGUGAUAGUAGCAGGCAUCCAGUAGACCACGCUAAAAGGAGAAGUCAGCUUUGCCAAAGCAGAGGCUAUGAGGUGGGGUUUGCAGAUUGCAAAGGAAGCAGCCUUAUCGAAUCUAAUAGUUGAGACAGAUUGUCAAGAGGUGGCUGAGUUGGUUAACAACACAAAGGGCAGCAAAACUGAAAUUUUCUGGAUUGUGUCUGAUAUCCAAGACCAGAGAAAGUAUUUCCAGAAGACUACAGUGCAAUAUGUUCCUAGAUAUUGUAAUGCUUAUGCCCAUUCCUUAGCAAAAUUUGCGUUAGGAAGAAAAACAUCUGCGAUCUAGUUUUAUCCAUUACCAGCAGAGAUAAUGAAUGUAUUUGACAGUGUUGUUUGAAGUAAUGAAAGUCUUUACUUUCUUUUAAAAAAAAAAACUACUAUCAUUGAGCAAACUAUUGAGCAUACAACUUUCAUUGAGUUUUAAAUUCUUAUAUUCAUCUCAUUUACUAACAUUUUAAGAUUUCAUUUGUAAUCGAACACAAUGUGUGAGAGGGAUUUAUUUGUAAUCCCUUUUGUAAAAUUAAGUUGAGAGGUUAUAAGUAUUGGGAUACACUUGGGUUAAGAAAUUGGGGAUAAUCUCUUGUUGUAAAGGUCUAUUGGUAUCUUGGAAGUCAAUUGUAAAAAGUUAUUGAAGCCUUGGAGGCUUACUUAGUGAAAUCUUCAAGUCCGAUGAGCUUAGAGGCAUGGACAUAGGCACGGGUGGCCAAACCAAGUAAAAAUCACGUGUUUGCUCUCUCUUACCCUAUUUCCUUAUUUUUUAUUACACAUUAAUUUGUUUAUUUCAAAUUUGAUUGCCUUGUUUAAAUUGCAUUAAGUUUCUUAGUUGCUUAAAUUUUUUAGAAACUCAAUUCACCAUCCCUUUUGGGUUGUCUAGUUAGUAUUUCACCAUUGAUUAUCGUCUUCCGGGCAAUUGCUCCUAUGAUCGUGUGGUUGCACCAUAAUGAUAAGCGAACUUGCUUUGAUACUAAUUAAAGAUGCGGAAAUGUUUAAAUUUGAUUGAUAGAAGAAACAAAAGUUUCUAAAUGAUAAAAUUUAAAUGUCUGAAAUUAAUAAAAUUAGGGUUUUGGGCCCCUUUAUAUAAUAAUCCAAAAAAUUUUGAAUUUACCAAAUAGGUAAAUCUAAAAAAUUAUUUUAUAAUAAAAUUCUCCUAAUCUGAAUAAAAAAAUCUAAAACAAAUGGUGCCCAAAUCUAAGAUCUUAAAAAAAGAUAAAAAUCAUAAAAGAAAUAGAAAAAAAAAUAAGAAAAUAUCUUAAAACUAAAAAAACGACAAGGAAAGAAAUGGAUUUUUAGGCUCGAACACUGCCCAUGCAACAAUUCUAGUUUUGAUUCGUCUCGUCACAAGCUUCAAAAUAAUAUAUAAUAGGCCUAAUAUCUCAUUCGUCCUAUGCAUCCAUCCUACAUCAUAACAGCUUGAAGACUUGGGAGGGCCAACUUAAUUCAAAGUCAACACUAGCUUAUUACCUUGCGGGAUUUUUAAUUGUGAGGGGAAAAAACUGUUGAAAGAUGUUGGGUUUAAAGUUUAUAAAACUUUAAUUAUUUCAUAAAAUUGUUUUAUUUUUUAUUCGUCAUCACGUUGGGAUUAUCCCCAAUGGCCAAUUUUAUUUUCAUUUUUUUAUAGGUCAAUAAAUGCUACUAGAAAUUGAUUAUUACCUCUCUUUUUCUCAUUUAUUGAUGACUAUGAAGAAUUAGAUAAAACUCAUAAAUGACCUAAUAUAUAUAAUGAAUAUUUAGAUUUUGUUUCAUAUCCAUACGAUAUCUGGGAGUAUGACAUAGUCUCCAAAAAUAGCCAAAUAUUUCACAUCUAUCACAAGUGCUUUCUUGAAUAUUAUCUUGUGGCAGGUGUUUCAUCCUCAAUUUUUUUCCUUUUCUAUGGUUCUUAUAACCACCGUGAGGUCGACAAUAAUUUUUUUUUUCAUGACCUCAAUCUUAAUAAUAGCCAUGACCACAACCAUGACUACAUCUACGGGCAUAGUUAUGCCCACGACCAUGCCCAUUUUCAUCAUGAUCACAUAGACAACAUUUGCUCCAAGAACUUGUUUUGUAUCAAUAGGAUGGGCUUAAUAAUUGAAUAUUCUUUUCUACCAAAAGAAAGCAUGCAAUCAAAUCAGAAUAUUUUGUAUACCGACGAGCUCUAUAUUGUUGUUAUAGAACUGUAUUGGAAGGAUGAAAUUUUAUAAUUUUUUUUCAACAUAUCCCCAUCAGUAAUAUUUUCCCCACAUAGUUUUAAUUAUUUAGUAAUUUUGUACAAUGUAGAAUUAUAUGUGUUGGAGAAAAAUCAGUUUUUUAAAUUUUUAUAAAACAUUUUAAGAUCGCUCUCAUACAAUAUAUAAGAAUUUGUAAUCUAGAAAUCGUACCUUGAAAAUCCGAUUUGGCUUUUUCCACUGAAUUGAUUUAGGCUCCCAGAUCACGAUCCGUCACCACCACUCCUGUUAGAUCACGAUCCGUCACCACCACGCUUGUUAGAUCACGAACUGUUACCAAUGAUCUUCCAGGUUAUGAUUCAGGUUUGAUCUGCACUUGACGUGUGGGUGCCUUUAUCACUACCAAAGCAGCUAGCACGAGAAAAUUUUUCUCUCAACAAUAGAGAGAAAAAUCUUUUUCUCUGAUCUGUAUAAAGUAGCUGCUCCCCUUUUCUUUAGAGAAAAUAAACCUUUUUAUAUCUCCCUUUAGUGAAAACCCUAGACUCCAAAUAAUGAAAAUCAAAACUCACGUUACUUGCUUUUUCUAUAGGGGAUCCACCUUGUAAAAUAACAUAAGGCCCCUUACACACAAGCUAAUAAAAUAGAGCCUCCCACUAAAUGAUAUAUUUAGGUUUUUGACCCAAAUAACCAGUUAUCUUUUUUAUUAAUCCAGUAGUGGUGCAGUCAAUUAAAUGAGCUAACCAGGGGAUCAUUUGGGAACAUACAAUAGUGGCUAUAACAAUUAAGCAUGUAAUUAAAAUAGCCUAAUUUUUUAAUUCCAAAUCUACUCCACUAAAAGAUUGGAAUUGACCUCCAUAAUUGUAUACUCGAAUAAUAAUUCGUCCCAAGCCACAUUGAUUUCUUUACUGCACAAUCCUUUGUACCACAUCAUUAAUUAAAUCGAUAUCUCAACUGUCCAAUCAAUUUAAUUACAUCUUGUUCCUUAAUACUUACUGGUUUUCUCUAAUGAUCAUUUUCAACAUACUAAAUAUGUUGACACACUCUGGCUAGAGAAUUCUAUGAUCAAGUACCGAAAACCCAUCAAGAGAUAUGUUGUACAAAUUAUUGUUAAUUCAUAACUCCAAUCCUCAUAAUUGCUCCCACCAAGAUACCGGGUAAUCUUGACCACAAGUAUUUGUCGUGCCCAUUGGUAACUCAAAUGGAAUAACAAUUACAAUCAUGAAAUCGUAAUUAACUCAAGAUUAAGAUUACAGUAAAAUCAAUGCCUAUGAGAUUUAAUAAGUAUGACAGUUAUUACAAAGUUAAUUAAAUCUCAUAUGUGAUCAUGUUCAAUGUAGGCGUACUACAUCAAUAAAUUCAUACAUGAUUAAGACAAAUCAUUCAAUGAAUUCAUUACAGUCUAUACCUAAAUAAAGUGCCCAACUUUAUUUAUCAACUGCGAACUAAAUUUAUUUAAUCAUAAGAUAACUUGUAUUUAUGUCUUCUGUGAAUCCACAUAGUGAUCACAUAAAUACAUAUACUAUGAUUAAAUAGAUUUUAAUCAAAAUAUUAAUUUAAUUAAGAUAUUUGAAUAAAAUACCUCAUUUAUUUUAUUAAUUAGAAAAAUUAUUUAUUACAAUUAAAUAAACACAUAUGUUUUUAAAGAGCACAUUUUCCCAACAAUCUCCUAAUAGCUCUCAAAGCAUAUUUGGCAUCUCACGCAUGCCCAUGGAUUCUAAGUGCAAGUUAAAAGGUUUCCCAGGUAUGGCCUUAGUAAAAGGAUUUGCCAAGUUUUGCUCUGACGCAAUCUGAGUAACCUCCACAUCACCUCUCUGCACUAUAUCCCUUAUAAGAUGAUACUUCCUCUCAAUAUGUUUUGUUUCUUGUGGUUCCUUGGUUCCUUAGAUUGAGCUACUGUACCACUAUUAUCGCAAAGUAGUUUAAGGGGUGCAGUUAUAACAGGUACCACCUCAAGAUCUUGUAGGAACUUGCGGAGCCAUACAACUUCUUUUGCAGCUUCGGAUGCAGCCAUAUAUUCAGCUUCAGUUGUGGGGUCUGCGAUACAAGAUUGUUUCACACUCCUCCAACUAAUAGCUCCACUUCCCAAUGUAAACACAUAGCCGGAAGUUGAUUUUCUGGAAUCCUUAUCUGACAUAAAGUCAGAAUCAGUAUAACCCAUUGGAAUGAGUUCAUCACCAGAAUACACAAGCAUAUAAUUUUUAAUUCUUUUCAGAUACUUCAUUAUAUGCUUGACCGCAGACCAGUGUUUAGGUCCAGGAUUAGAUUGAUAUCUACUAACCAUCCUUAUUGCAAAACAAAUGUCUGGCCUAGUGCAAAGCAUGGCAUACAUGAGACUUCCCACAGCUUCUGCAUAGGGAGCUUGUCUCAUUUUCUCUAUCUCUUCAGAUGUUUUAGGUGAUUAAUCCUUAGAGAAUGUAAUUCCAUGUCUGAAUGGUAAUAAACCAGUCUUGGAAUUUUCCAUGCUAAAUCUAGCUAAUAUCUUAUCGAUAUAGACCGCUUGAGACAAGGCUAAAGUUUUAUUCUUCCGGUCUCGUACUAACUUGAUAUCAAGAAUAUAACUUGCCUCUCCUAGGUCUUUCAUAUCAAAUUGUUUUGCUAACCAACUCUUUGUUGUAGUCAAUACUCCUAUAUCAUUUCCAAUUAGGAGAAUAUCGUCUAUAUAAAGAAUUAGGAAGGCUACAUAUUUUUCUUGAAUCUUCUUGUACACACAUGGUUCAUCAAUGUUCUGAAUGAAUCCAAACGAUUUAAUCGCUUGAUCAAAUAUGAUGUUCCAUGACCGGGAUGCUUGCUUCAAUCUAUAAAUGGAUCUCUGCAACUUACAUACCAUGUGUUCUUGGCCUUUUUGUAUAAAUCCAUCUGGUUGCUGCAUAUAGAUGUUUUUUUCAAGAUGCCCGUUAAGAAAGGCAGUCUUGACAUCCAUUUGCCAAAUUUCAUAAUCUAGCACUGCAGCAAUAGAGAGCAGAAUCCUGAUGGAUUUAAGCAUAGCAACCGGAGAAAAAGUUUCCUCAUAAUCGAUUCCCUCUUUCUGAGUAAACCUUUUGGCUACCAAUCUUACUUUAAAUGUUUCCACCCUUCUGUCUACUUCUCUUUUUCUCUUGUAGAUCCACUUGCACCCUAUAGGUUUUACCCCAUUUGGUGCCUCAACAAGUUCCCAGACUUUAUUGGAAUACAUAGAUUCCAUUUCUUGAUUCAUGGCCUUUUUCCAAAAUUCAACAUCUCUAUCUAUUAGAGCUUCAUUGUAACUAGUGAGAUCUUGUACAUGUUCAUAUGAGAUAGCUGUAUAGGUUUCUCCCAAAAGUAUGUAUCUCAUAGGUAACCUAGUUACCCUCCCACUACGACGAGGUUCUAAAAGUGAUGGUUGUUCAGGGAUAAUCCUGUAUUGAUCAUCUGGUUGUUGAUGUUCUUCCUGUUCUGUAACAGGCGUUGAAAGCUGACCAUCAACUUGAUCACCUGACAGUUCUUCAAGUAUUACCUUACUCUUAGGUUUAAAGUUAUUCAUAUAGUCUUCCUCGAGGGAAGUGAAAUGUGUGCUCACGAUCACUUUCCUAUCUUGAUGACUAUAAAAUAAACCUCUCCUUGUUCCUUUGGGAUACCCCACAAACAUACAAAUCUCAGAACGUGAAUCCAUUUUGUCUGCCUUUGGUUUCAGUACAUGUGCUGGUGAUCCCUAAAUACGAACAUGUCGUAAACUUAGUUUGCGACCUGACCAUAAUUCUAUUAGGGUUUUAGGCACUAACUUAGAUGGAACUAAGUUCAAGAGGUAAACUGCAGUUUCUAGUGCUAGUCCCCAAAAAGAGAUUGGUAAUAACGAAUAACUAAGCAUAGAUCUCACCAUAUCCAAAAGAGUUCUAUUUCUUCUUUCAACUACCCCAUUUUGUUGUGGUGUUCCCGGGGCAAUCAACUGAGAUAUAAUCUCAUUUUCAACCAGAUACUCUUUGAAAUCUCCUGAGAGAAAUUCACCACCUCGAUCAAAUCGAAGUUUCUUUAUGUUCUUAUCUAAUUGCUUUUCUGUCUCAGCCUUAUACUCUUUGAAUUUCUCAAGAGCUUCAGACUUAUGAUGCAUCAGAUAAACAUAAUCGUAUCUCGAGUAAUCAUCAGUGAAAGUGAUGAAAUACUCAUAACCUCCUCGAACUUGUACAUUGAUUGGUCCAUAUACAUCUGUAUGAACUAAGUCAAGUGGUACUGUUGCACGUACUCCUUUGGCCGAGAAUGGCCUUUUGGUCAUUUUCCCUUCUAAAUAGGAUUCACAGAGUGGAAAUGAUUCAUUUUCUAAUGGACCCAAAAUCCCAUCUUUGAUCAUUCUCUGUAUCCUAUUUUGGUUUAUAUGACCCAAACGUAAAUGCCAGAGGUAACAUUGGUUGGAAGAAAUAUUUAUUUUCUUAGAUAAAUGUGUAUGCUCAUCAUUAUUUAUCACUGUGUCGUGCAUAGAAUGGAUCAUUGGACUUAAAUGAUAUAAAUUAUCUUCCAAUGUACCAGAACAAAUAAGUCUUUUAUUAUAAAAAAUAAAAACAGAGGAUCCAAAAUUUACAGUGUACCAUUGCUUUGACAAACAAGCUACUGAAAUUAAAUUCUUCUUUAUGUCUGGAACAUAAAGAAAAUUAUUCAAAAUUAAAGUCUCAUUAUUAAAAGAUAAUAAAACAGAUCCGGUCUUCACUGCUGACACGAACUAUCUUGUCCCUAACUGCAGCUUGACGCUUCCUUCACUUAUUUUCCUGGUUUCCUGAAACCAAUAAAGUGAAUUACAAAUAUGAUUAGUUGCUCCUGAAUCCAACACCCAAGUGUCAAUAGGAUUCUGAACUAAACAUGCCUCAAUUACAAAAAGAUUUCCCAUACCUGAUUUCACAAUCGUAGGGCAAUCCUUUUUCCAGUGACCUUUCUGUCCACACUUGAAGCAUUUGCCUUUUGGAAUUGACCUCCAUAAUUGUAUGCUCGAAUAAUAAUUCGUCCCAAGCCAUAUUGAUUUCUUUACUGCACAAUCAUUUGUACCACAUCAUUAAUUAAAUCGCUAUCUCAACUGUCCAAUCAAUUUAAUUACAUUUUGUUCCUUAAUACUUACUGGUUUUCUCUAAUGAUCAUUUUCAACAUACUAAAUAUGUUGCACACUCUGGCCAGAGAAUUCUAUGGUCAAGUGCCGAAAGUCCAUCAAUAGAUGUGUUGUACAAAUUCUAUAUUGUUAAUCCAUAACUCCAAUACUCAUAAUUGCUCCCACCAAGAUACCGGGUAAUCUUGACCACAAGUAUGUGUCGUGCCCAUUGGUAACUCAAAUGGAAUAACAAUUACAAUCAUGAAAUCAUAAUUAACUCAAGAUUAAGAUUACAGUAAAAUUAAUGCCUAUGAGAUUUAAUAAGUCUGACAGUUAUUACAAAGUUAAUUAAAUCUCAUAUGUGAUCCUAUUCAAUGUAGUCGUACUACAUCAAUAAAUUCAUACAUGAUUAAGACAAAUCAUUCACUGAAUUCAUUACAGUCUAUACCUAAAUAAAGUGCCCAACUUGAUUUAUCAACUGCGAGCUAAAUUUAUUUAAUCAUAAGAUAACUUGUAUUUAUGUCUUCUGUGAAUCCACAUGGUGAUCACAUAAAUACAUAUAAUAUGAUUAAAUGGAUUUUAGUCAAAAUAUUAAUUCAAUUAAGAUAUUUGAAUAAAAUACCUCAUUUAUUUUAUUAAUUAGAAAAAUUAUUUAUUACAAUUAAAUAAACACAUAUGCUUUUAAAGAGCACAUUUUCCCAACAAUAUGUUGGAUCAUAAACUUGAUCCAUACAACUUUGAAACGCAAAUGACUCUUGAUCUAGUUCAUGCAAGCUUCUUUGGGUAGUUAAGAUUUGGGGUGUUAAAUGUGGUAAUAUGGGAAGUAGAAUUUGUGGUGUUGAGUAUGUUGUUAGGUUUGGUUUGUGGUUAUGAUUUAUGUGGUAGUUAAGUCAACGUAUGGUUGUGAUUAAAUUGUAACAAGUAUAAAUAUCUACUCUCUCAGUUGGUUUAAGUAACAAGAAGUAGUAAAGCUUAUUAAUUGCAAAAGAGUCGUAAUUAAGGAGUUAUAUUGAGUUAAUAAGAAAAGAGUGUUUUGAGUGUUUGAUUAUUCAAAUUCUCUACUAUUAUGUUCAUGAACUGACUUAAAAUCCUACAACUUAAGGGCAUUCCAUUCAUUACAAGUAUUUGGAAGAAUUACUAACCUUAAAUUACUAUAUCUCUCAUCAAGCUAUUUCAUAUGACAUAUAUGUCCUUUAUAGGAAGAUAUCUUGUUUUGAGUGCUAGAUGGAGAUGGUGACAUUGAUAAAUCGUGGUCUUCUCUUGAUCUUGAAGAGAUGAGUCAUUAUUAUUUUUCAUUGUAUCACUAAGCAUCAAGAUAAAUUUCAGCAACAUCAAGUAUUUUUGGAAAUCCUUCUUGUUCUUGUUUUUUUAUUUCUUUUUUUUGUCAAGAUGACCAUUUUUUCCCCGAAUGUUAUCGAGGGCAAAUAAAGCAUAUAUGCUUAACAUUGAAUAUAUUUUUAUAAAUAAAAGCUAACACGAACGUUAUGCCAAAGAAUCUGUUUAUAGGUAAACUAGGCCCAUUUAGGAUAGUAGCGUUGCCGAACAAGGCUUUGAUUUGAUUACUGUAAGUAUAUACUAAAUAUUUUUAAUAGAAUUUUUGGUUGGGCUGAAUGGUUGAGUAAAAUAAUUCAAAUGGUUUAAGUAACGAUUUUUUUAAUAUUUUAAAGAGUGCACAUGUUUUUUUUUUUGAAAAGAAACUUCCAUUAAAUCGAAGAAGAGAAUAAAUACAUCAAUUGUGAAGGGUAAGAACCCAUCCAAACAACAUUUUCACAUUUCUCUAAUGCUAACUUAGAUAGAGAAUGGGCAAUGGCAUUACAAGAUCUAUGAGUAUAUUUAAUGCUAACUAGCUCAAAAUUCCUCAUUAAGUUUUGAAUCUUCAAAAUUAUCCAAAAGAUCUCAGAAUUGCCGCCUUGCUUGUUGUUAACUAACUUGACUACGCUUUGAGCGUCUGAUUCAACAAUUAAAGCCUUUGCACUUGCAUUCCUAGCAAUCUGUAAUCCCUAUUCCAAGGCUUCUGCUUCAGCAAAGGAAACAUCUCCAUGAAAUUUCCAAAUCUUGAUUGCAGCUGCUAUGACAUUCCCCCGAUCAUCUCGGAUUAUAGCUCCGAGCCCUGCAAGGUGCUUUUCUGAGUUUGUAGCAGCAUCCACAUUGACUUUAACAAAUCCACUUCGGGGGGGAUUCCAAAUUCACUAAGCCUGAACCUACUGAAUUUCAUUUUGAGCUUGCUCUGGUUUUUGAACUCUUUUGUAAGCCUCCAUUACUGCUUCAGCUUUAGCAACCAGAGCCUGGGGGUAAAGAGUGCACAUGUUAAAAUUUAAUAGAUUAGUGUACAAAAUAAUAGAAAAUGGAACUAUCGUACUCUUACUCCGAAACUGCAAUUAGAGUCAACAUUCCAGUAAUUUCUUUACACAGUACUAUAUUACAACAAGCAAUAAUAGAGCAAUAAUAGAGUAAUAAUAUAGUUACAAAUUCUUGUAUAAAUAUUUUUGUAUACAAAUUGAUGUAGCAUGAUUUAAUUGGUUGGAUUAAAUAUCUAUUAGUUUGAAUGAUUUGUUUUUAUUAUUUUCUAUUUUCACUUAACCAAUGAGUUAAUGUCAAAUUAAUUUAUGCAAAAUAAGUUUGUGUAAGAGUUUAUAACUAUAUCAACGCUCACAAUAAUAUUGCUAGAGGAGUUGACUAUUACUUUUCCCUGGAGGCAUAAUAAGUUUACAGCCAUAGGUUGUGACAAUUACGCAAUUAACCUGGAGAAUGUUAAUGAUUCAACUGUGCCUAUGUUUGCACUUGGGAUCCCACUCAGAAAAGUGGUUGCUACGAUUUCCUGUGCUCUAUUCCUCCAAGUAUUAGUAAAUUUUUCAAUGCAAAAUAUGAAUUUCUAUGAAGAAUCCGUUGGCAUUUCACAGAAGCCCAAUAACAAAUACAUCCUCAAAAUAUCCAUCAAAGAUAUUUCAACAAGCUAGUCAAGUAAUGGGACAGGGAAUGGCUCUGUUCCUCAGAAUGAAUUGACGUCCUGUCCAGUGUCCCCCGUUGGCUUCUCAUCACAGAGAUGAAAAUUGAAAUUAGGCCAAUUAGAUUAAAGGCAAGACGGAAUGGAAAUAUUGAACCGUUAAUUAUUAUAGCCAUGACCCCUCUAAUUAAUGGCCCUUUGCCUUUCAAUAUUAUUGUAGGUAUUUGCAAGGAAACCUCCUCUAUCUUUCUUCCAAUUAAGACUUCUUGUGUCCAAUUACUGUCGAUUCUUUUUGAACGUGUAAAGGAUAGCAUCUUGAAGACUUGAGAGGGCCAGCGUUUAUUCAAAGUCAAGUACAGGGACAGGAAAUGGCCCUGUUCCUGAAGUAUGAACUGACGUCCCGUCCGGUGUCCCCUUGCCUACUCAUCAUACAAACAAAAAUUGAAAUUAGGCCAUUUAGAAUAAAGAUAAGACGGAAUGGAAAUAUGGGAUCGUUAAUUAUUAUAGCUAUGACCCAUCUAAUUUGCAAAUGGUUCUUUCCCUUUCAAUAUUAUCGUACGUAUUUGCAAGGAAACCUCCUCUCCCUUUCUUCCAAUUAAGACUUCUUCUGUCCAAUUACUGUCAAUUCUUUUUGAACGUGUAGAGAGGAUAAUAACUUGAAGACUUGAGGGCGCCGGCGUUUAUUCAAAGUCAAGACUUAAUUAGCCUGCAGGACUCUUGAUGGUGAGGGGAAGAGAAAAAGAUGAAAGGCGCUGGGUAUAAGACAUAUAAAACUUCAAUUACUUCAUAAAAUUGUUUUAUUUUUCAUUCGUCGUCACGUUGGGGAUUACCGCAAAUGACCCAUUUUAUUUUCAUCUCUAUGUAGGUCAGUAGGGUCACUGGAAAUCAACUGUUGUCUCUUUUUUCUCACUUACUGAGGAAUUUGGACAAUUAAACAAAACACAUCAAUUACCUCAAAUAUAUGAUGAAUAUCUAGAUUUUUUCGAAUCCACAUGAAGUGUGGAAAUACGACAUUCUCUCCAAAAAUAACCAGAUAUUUCACAUCUAUUACAAAUAUUUUCUUGAAUAUUAUGUUGGCCAGAUAUUUUCUCCUCAUUUUUCUCUUUUCCAUCGAUAAUAAUUUUUUUCAUAACCUCAACCUUGAUAAAAGCCACGACCAUGGUUACAACUAUGUCCACAGUCAAUAAUAAUCUUGCUGAGAAAUUAUUUCUAAUUAAUUUUUUUGUGGUGCUUUUAAUGACACAACAUAAUAACCUUUUUUUAUCUUUAUUUUGUUCCCAAUAAAUCUCAAAACUCACAAAUUUGCACCAUUAUACAUAUGAUAUCUUUUUUCUUCCGUUUAUUAGCUUUAUAGAAUUUUGAUAUAAUACGUGCGUCGCACUCAUAACAUGUACGGCCUGGCGCAUUAGAUUAUUUUUCUAACUUUAUAUAAGUAAAGUAUCUCUCUUAGCGUACAAAUAUAAUUUGAUGCGACGUGGCGCACUGGUCGCACUAGAUGAGUGCUCUAACUUUGUUUAAGUAAAAGCGUCUCCCUUAUUGUGCAAGCAUAAUUUGUAGUGGUUCGGCCCCAAAAUGGCAAAAUUUAUCACUCCAUCGCCUCAAAUUUUAAAAUCCGCAACUAUUGGGCUGUGUGGCGGGCUCGCCAAAGUCACAACCCAACCUUUAUCAUGGGCCCUUUCCAAAGCUAACUUGCACUCUCCAUAUUCUUCCUCUAUUAAAUAAAACCGAAUAUGAUGCAUAUUAACAGACUCUCACCAUUCACGUAUUUUAUAAUGAAUCUCGCACCAAUUCUAAGUUUUCAUUUUUUUCCUACAAAGAAGAAACUUUGGAGUCUUAGGCCCCGUUUGGUACUGUUUUGCAAGUUAUGUUUUCGUUUUCAUUUUUAUAAUACACACAUAAAUCAUGUUUGGUGGAUUUAUUUCACAAAAUAAAUUACAAAACACAAAAUCCGGAUUCAAUAUUAUAACUAUACAACUGAAAACAAGUUAAACAUGUUCUCCAAAUUUUACAAACUAAAUCCAAAAAUGAAUUAAAAAACAACAAAAAAAUCGUGACCCUGCAGCCCUCACUUUUCUCUUCACUGCAGCCCUCACUCUCAAUCCAGUUCACUGCAGCUCCCUCUUUCCCCUCAAUUUUCUCAAUCUAGUUGCAGCAAAUCUCUCUCUUGGUCGCUCUUGGUGUGCUAGCCACUGCCGCAGCUCUUUCUCCGCCGUAACCGCUGCUGCUCCGACUCCGUCCAGCUGCUGCUACUUCGUCUUUGCUCUCUCGGAUCUGCACUUGCUCUCUUGGUUCUUUGCUCUCUCGGAUCUUCGUCUACUGCUACUUCGUUGUUGCUCACUCGGAUCUGCACUUGCCCAACCAUUGUUGCUCUCCCGGAUCUGUCACUUGCUGGUGGGCAGUUGAAGCAUGUUAUCGGAAGGCCAAUAUUUAAAACUGAUCAGAAAGAAGAUUGCAUUUCAAUGGCAGUUCUGUAUUCACCUCCAAGCAUCACUAGCAGCAGCAGCAGCAGCAUCACCUACAUUCCUGAGAAGGGAAAAACUAUUUCCCUUGGCCAACAAUUUAUGAUUGCAAUAUUUUUAACUCUUUUGUAUCACUUUUUGGUUUAUGUUUACAAAAAAUUCUGAUUCUGUCAAGAUUUUUAUUUUUUAUUUUUUCCUUUCAAUUGAUGAAAAUCACACACAUUCACGUCCAUCAAUCAUGAUCCACAUUGUCUAUUGCCCUUUUUUUUUUAAAAAAAAAGUAAAGCUUUCAUUAUCAUUUAGAAUAAAUUUGUAAACAUACUUUGCUCAUUAUAAAAUUAUUGUUAUUAAAUAAUUUAUUUUUUCAUUGUUUUAAAAUUAUUUUCAUUUUAUCAAUAGAAUUGAUUAUAUCAAAUAUUAGGAUUAAAAUAUAGUUAGGGUCCAUAAUUAAUAAAGACAUUUUAGUGGGGAUAAUAUAAGGAUCUUAAAGGAGUGUGAAAAGCAUUACUCUAAUUUUUUUAAAAGAAUAUAUACAGUAUAUGAAUAGGCAUAUAAAAUUAAAGCCAACACCAAAUACACAAUUAAAGCCCAAAUUAAAAAAAAAUGAAAAGACUCAAAUUCUCCACCAAUCCGCCUAAAAAGAUAAGAAAAUAAGGUCUUAAUCAAAAACACUACACUAGCAUACCAAAUAUCUGGGUGGGUAUUUCCGUGGUAAAUGAUUCCCAAAUCUUCAAGUUGUAAGCUGUCCGCAUUGAGUAACAAAUAACCAAGUUCAAAAAGCAAGUUCAGGCUUUUAGUUAUCAAUAUUAAUGCAAAAAGUCAUAGCAAUGCAACCUUUAUGCUGAUUACAUUACUGAAAUUGAGUGGGGGAUUAAUAGCAUGUACUGAAAAUUGUAUGUUAUAAUAUUGAAUCCGGAUUUUGUGUUUAUUAGCUAAAUAAUUAAUGUUAAUUCUUAAAAUUUAUUAUCGUGUAAUUUUUUUAUAUUAAAUUUGGUUAAAUUAUUUUGUUGUAUUUGUGUGUAUUAGGUAAAUAAUUAUUUUAUGACUAUAAAUAUAAUGUAAAUGAUUAGUAAAAACUGUUUUUAAAAAAAGCAUUACCAAACGCAUAUUCUCUGUUUUAAUCAUUUUCAACUGUGUCUACCAAACGCAUAUUACUGUUUUCAGUUUUAAAAUAUAGGAUACAGAAAAUGAUACCAGACGCAUAUUUAAAUUCGAAAUACAGUAACUGCAAAACACCAUUUUCAUUUUCGUUUUUAUUCUCAGAAAAUACAAAUUCAAAAACAAUACCAAACAGACCCUUAGUGACUGCCUAUUUUUUUUUCUUAUCUCGAGGAAAAGAAAAAUGCUAUAAUAACCUAUCAAAUUAUCCAUUAAACCUAUUUAUUAAAUAAAUCACCGAUUAAAAUUUAAAAAUUCAAAUUUUUAUCUAAACUUACGUAUUUCAUUUCAUCAAUAAAUAAAAUUGUGGACUUUUGCCUCUAGUGUCUUAUUUGGUAACAAUUUUUGACUCUAGAACCAAACAUGCAGAGUUUGAUGUUCAUUUUAUAAGGUAUAAAGUACUCAAUGGAGAAAUGGAAGUGGUAGAUAUAUACCAACAAAGCAUAAUAAGAUGGGAAACAUGUUGUGCGCAAAAUGCGGAAUCAAACGCACCGAAUAAUCACAGAAAGGACACAAGAAUUAUGUGGUUCAACAAUAUGCCUACGUCCACGGGAGUAAGAGAAAAAAUAAUUGUAUUAUUAACAAUUAUUUGAAUACAAAUUUGAGUAAAGAAACCUCACUUUCCCAGAACCCAAAUACACCCAAUACUCUCACACACACUCUACAAUUGCUCACACUCUCAGAACUCUCAAAAGCUUAGAAACUUAUAAGCUUAACAAAUUUUUAGGAUGCAAAAACCUCUAUGAAUGAAGCUCUAUUUAUAGUUAAGCUUCAUUGCAAAAAGUCUUAAAGUAGUUGGCAAAAGUCCUAUAAUUUGGUGCCGACUUGAAAAACAAAAGAAAUGCAUGUGGGUCACCUUUUCUUUUUCAACCAAUUUGAAUAAACUCACCAAAAAUCUUUGACUUUUUAACAAUUCUCCACCUCGUCAAAGAUUUGUCCAAAUAUGAGUCGACUACCAAUAAACCAUCAUUCUCAAAGUGAUCAUUCAAUAAGGAUCCAGAAUGGCUGUGUCGCUUUGACUGCCUACGUACCCAAAAUUUGGGAUCAAGCCAACCGUAGUUCAAAAUUCCCGAAUGACAUAACUUAAUACAAUCGAAGGAUUUGAAUUAGUUUUAAGCAAUGUUGAAACUUAACUCUAGAAACUACCUUCGUCAACAUAUCUGAUGGAUUAUCUUUGGUAUCGAUCUUUCUCAACAACACAACACCGCUCUCGAUAAUCUCCCUCACAUAAUGAUAUUUCACAUCUAUGUGCUUUGACCGAGCGUGAUAUGUUUGAUUAUUCGCAAGGAAUAUCGCACUUUGAUUAUCGCAGAAGACCGCAAUGUUCUCUUGGAUUAUUCCUAAUUCACCUAACAAGCUUUUCAACCAGAUAGCUUCUUUUACAGCUUCAGUUGCUACCAUAUACUCUGCUUCCGUAGUGGACAGAGCAAUUGUCGAUUGUAAAAUCGACCUCCAGCUAACCGGACCUCCAUCCAAUGUGAAUAAGUAGCCCGUUGUUGAUCUUCGCUUAUCUAGGUCUUCGGCGAAAUCAGAAUCACAAUACCCAACACAUUGUUGACCACAAUCCUUCUUGAACAAUAACCCAACAUCAACUGUCCCAUACAGAUAUCAGAGAAUCCACUUUACCACAAGCCAGUAAUUUUUACCCGAAUUGUGCAUGUAUCUACUAACUAUGCUCACUAAUUGAGAUAUAUCGGGCCUUGUGCAUACCAUAGCAUACAUAAGACUACUCACAACACUAGCAUAUGGAACACGAGCCAUGUAAUCACGCUCUUUUUGAGAUCUAGGAUAUGAAGAAGAGCUUAAUUUGAAAUGAGGAGCUAGAGGUGUACAUACUGGUUUAGUUUUGUCAUCCAUACCGAAUCUUUCUAGCACUUUUUUCAAAUAAGACUUUUAAGUCAACCAUACGCUCCCAUUCUUCUUGUCUCUACGAAUCUCCAUCCCAAGUAUUCUCUGUGCAUCACCCAAGUCUUUCAUCUCGAACUCAAAAGCCAGCUGCUUCUUUAAUCUUUCGAUCUCAUCUCUAUUCUUCGAAGCUAUAAGUAUAUUGUCGACAUAGAGUAACAAAUAGAUGAAAGCUCCAUCUAGUAGUUUUCUGAAGUAAACACAAUGAUCGUGUUCACUUCUGGUGAAUUUCUGCCCUUGUAUAAAUUGAUCAAAUCUUUUGUACCACUGCCUUGGCAAUUGCUUCAGUCCGUACAAAAAUUUAAUCAACUUACACAAAUGAUUCUCCUUUCCAGCAACUCUAAAACCACAAAGCUGAGUCAUAUAGAUUUCCUCCUCCAAAUCUCCAUGUAAGAACGUUGUCUUAACAUCUAAUUGAGCCAACUCUAACUCAUAUUCUGCAAUUAAGGCAAGUAGGAUACGAAUGCACGUAUGUUUUAUAAUUGGAGAGAAAACUUCAUUGUAGUCAAUACAUUCCUUUUGAGCAAAACCUUUUGCAAGGAGCCUUGCCUUGUAUUGAAGAGUUGAUUGAUUUAGAGAUCCUUGCUUCUUGGUGUAGACCCAUUUAUUGCCAAUACCCUUUUUCCCCUUUGGUAACUCCACAAGUUCCCAAGUCUGGUUUUGAUGGAGAGAUUUCAUCUCUUCUUCCACGGCUAACUUCCAUUGAUCACUUUCACUGCUGCAUAAUGCUUCACCGAAAGUGUUGGGGAUGUCAUCAUUAAUAACUGGAAGUGCAUAGGCUACUACCAUAUCUUUAAUAAGCCAUCCAGAUUUUUUUAUCUCUCUUUUUAGCCUCCUUGUUGCUAUAAAAUCAUCGUUUUCUACAUCAUCAAUUGUUUCUUCAUUUUGGGGGACAUCAGAAGAAAUAACCUCUUCUUCAACUCUAAGUGUCACCUCCAUAGUUGAACCAUUCUUUGAUGUAGAACUAACUGGUACAUAUGAAGUUACAUCAAACUCUACCUGCUGCAAUACCUCUUUGGUCUUGUUCUCCACUUGCUGAGAACUUGAAGCUUCAUCAAACGUGACAUCUCUACUACACACAAACUUUUUAUCUUCGAGAUCCCAAAGCUUGAAGCCCUUUACUCCAUCUUUGAAUCCCACAAAGAUAACUUUUCUAGCACGAGGAUCGAAUUUACCAUUUUUGACAUGAUAAUAAGUUGGACACUCGAAUAUACGAAGGGAAUCAUAGUUUUGUGCAUGUUUUCCAGACCACAUUUCCAUAGGAUUUUUACCUCCAAUUACAGCAGAAGGAAACCGGUUUAUUAAGUGACUUGCGUAGCUCACAGCUUCAGCCCAAAACUUUUUAUCUAAACCAGCAUUAGAUAACAUACACUGUACUUUCUCCAGCAAAGUACGAUUCAUACACUCAACCACACCGUUCUGUUGCGGAGUAUGUCUCACCGUGAAAUGUCUUUUAAUACCCUUAUUCUGGCAUACUUGCAAGAAUAGAUCAGAAGUAUAUUCACCCCCAUUAUCAGAUCGUAAUACUUUGAUCUUUCUAUCAGUUUGAGUCUCCACCAAUUUCUUCCAUUUCACAAAAAUCUCUAGAACCUCAUCCUUUGCUCGCAUGGUAUACACCCACACACGUCUAGAGAAAUCAUCAACAAAUGUAACAAAAUAAUAGUUUCCACCAAUUGAUGCAGUCUUGGUUGGUCCCCAUACAUCACUGUGAACAUAUUCAAAGAUCUCACGAGUAUCGUGAUUAGCCGUACCAAACUUGACCCUUAUUUUCUUGCCUACUACACCAUGCUCACAGAAAUUUAAUUUACAGGUUUUGGUACCUUUUAGAAGUUCAUACCUCAUCAGAGUUUUCAAAGACUUCUCUCAAGCAUGUCCUAGUAGAACAUGCCAUAACUUGGUGGUGUCACUGUGGGCCUCAGCAACAUUUGCUUCAUCAGUUGUACCUCCCUUCAAAUAGUACAAAUUGUGACGCCAAACUCCCUGCAGAAUGACUAUAGCCCUAUGUGCAAACUUCAUUGUGCCAUCUUCAAUAGUAACCUUGUAGCCUUUAGCUUCCAACGCACCCACAUAAAUUAGAUUUUUCUUUAAAGCUGGAACAAAUCUAAUCUCUUUAAGUUCUCUAAUCGUUCCAUCAAACAUUUUGAGCCGAAUUGUUCCUAUCCCCAUUGUACGACAAUGUUGAUCAUUCCUCAUCACAACAGCACCGGAUUCCAGAUUACGAAAAUCCGUAAACUAUUCUUUAAUAGGACACAAAUGAUAGGUUGCCCCAGUAUCAAGUAUCCACUCGCUCGAACUAGCCACGUAUGCUGCAGGAGUAAUAAUUAGUGAAUAAUCAAAGUCCUCAUCUUUUCGUGCCAUGUUUGUUGAUGCGGGUUUCUUCCCAUCUCUCUUUUGAGCUUUUGGACAAUUUUUCCUCCAAUGGCUUUUUUCAUGACAAAAGCCACACUCGUCUCGAGCUAUAUUUCUACUUCUCGAUUUAGAUCGAAAAUUCUUUCCACCAUGCUUAUUCUUUUUCUCCAUCGCCUAAUCUCUGCUCACCAAAGCUUCAGACGAUGCAUGUUCAUAAUUUUUAUCAUUAUUUCAAAUCUCUAAGUUAGUCAAUGCUGUGCAAACAUCUUUGAAGAUGAUCACACUUUUCCCAUAUAUCAAGGUAGUCACAAAAUGGCUAUAUUCCUCUGGUAGUGAGUGUAACAAAAUCAUAACCUUGACUUCAUCCUUAAUAUCUUCAUCAAGAUUCUUCAAAUCAGCAAGUAACUCUGGUAGUGUGUGAUGGUGCUAAGUCUUCACUUAGCCAGUCACUCAACAAUAUCUAGCGGAAGCAAAUAAAGUAACAAGCAUGCAAAGAUCCACAAUGGAGGUUUACGUAAGAGACUAAUUGAUGGUAUUCGAAGUCAGCAAAAAUAAAUACAUACUCUAAAUAAAUUGUGUAUAGUGAUUGAGUAGGGUCGUGUCCACAGAGAUUGGUAAUUAUUUAAAUCUUUUUAAAAUGAAAAAUGCAAAAUGGGGGAAUUGUUGACAAUAAUAAAAAUCAAAUUAAAAUAACAAGAAUGCAAAUUAAAAUUGUAAUUCAAAUUGGGAAAAGCUUUGGUUGAAGGAAUUAACUCAGCUUGAUUCGACUACUGAUCAUUGAUUCAAAUAUAAAUCAUUACUAUUAUGAAUAGACCAGUUAUAGCUACUGAGACCCUCUAAUAGCCAAUCUCUCCUUAACUAGUCGAUAACCAAGGUACGACCAUUGGUUAUUUCCCUAAUCAAUAGACAACCCUAGAUACGAUCAUAGGGUUUAAUCAAUUGACAGCCUGAAAAACCAGAGAGACCCAAAUCCUAAUCAACAAACGCAUACGAUGGUUCAUUUAAAUUAGAUUGUUUAUUCUCAUAACACAACGCACUGCUAUGCUAUUUUGUCACAAACAUUAAAAUCUUCAUACGAUGAAUCUUUUAAUUGACAAUAGAUUAAGUUGAUAAUUAAAUAGUGGCCAAUUAUCUAAUUAACAAACAUAAUCAUGACAAUAAUUUAGAGAAUGAACAAAUAUCCAAAAAGUAAUAAAACAAUUAAAGCAUAAGAAAGAUCUCACAGUAAUGAUGAAUCAAAGCUUUAUUAACCUUCAACCAGAAUAAUAGAUUUAGUUCUUCAUAGAGAGAAGAGAAAAAUUUAGAUCUAGAGUUUCUUUUUCUUCCCUCCUCUUGAAAAAUUCUCCUCCCCUUUGUUUUUCAUGUCUCCUUUCUCUUAUAGAGUUUUUCCAAAAAUAAAAUACUAAUAUCUAAAAUAUUAUCUAAAUAUUAAAUUCAAAAUUACAAAAAUAACCAAAAAGGUAAAACACGUUAAAAUAAAAACUGCAGGUCCUUAGUCGACAGCACGCGCCCAUGCCUUAUCAACAAAGUUCUUCUGAAGCUCAUAAUUUCUCUAGGAAAACAAUCAUCUUCAAACAUCAUCUUGUAGCUCAAUUUUAGCACCAAUCAAUAGAAUUGUACCUACAAAAAUAAAACAGAAGUAAAUCACUAUUAUUAAGUGCAAAACAUCGAUAUUAAAGGAAGUAAACAAUGCAAAAUUAGUGCAUAGAUUGCACUCUAACAAAUUCCCCCACACCAAGAUAAUGCUUGUCCUCAAGCAUAUAACUCAAGACUAAUCUCAAAUCUCCACUCAAUUCUCAUCUCAACUCAUCCAAAAACAAUCUUAAGCAAAUAUAUCUUAAGAAUUUAAGUCAAUCAACAUUCGAGAGACAAGGAUUUUAAAGCAUAGGAUCUCAUAAGCUAGUAUAAAAACAUUCAACCACCCAGAAAAUCCAUUCAAAAUUCAAGUGCAACAAGUUUUAAUAGCCCUCUCAUUGACUUCACUCCAUCUCAAAGUGUUUAGGGUAUCAUUUAUGCACUCCAAUCAAAUCAAAGAAUGCUAUUACCGUAAGCUUGCUCAUAUAUCACAUCUCAAUCCACAAAACAAGAAUUAAAUGCAAAAAUUUAAGGGUCUUAAAAAGGUUGUAACGGGGUUAAAUGGGUUGAAUGAAAAAUAAAGGUCUAUGAAAGAAAAAGAGGUCAAAAUGAGAAGAAUGAACUCAUUGAAUGAACCUUAUGAUAUCAAAAUGCUUAUUUCUACUCAAGUCGCCAAGAAUGUAAACACUUUUUUUUUCAUUCAUUUUUUUUUCAGUAAUGGUGAACCAAACAAAAGAAAUGAACCUUGCAUAAUUUAAUUCAAGCAUAAUGCUUGUUGAUCUAAUUGAGAAACUUUAAUUCAAGGUAGCAAGAGCAACAAAAUAUAUACAAAAUAUAUCCAAACAAUGAGUCCAAAAAUCUCCUUAAAUUGAGGCUCAAAAAGAAGGAAAAUGGGUAAGUAGUUGGAGAGAAUUAGAUGGGUAAAAAUAAUAAUAAUAAUAAAACAAGUGAAGAGAAUGCUUAAGGCUCAAACAAAGAUAACAAAUAAAGGUCUUCGGGUGGAGAAAAAGAAGAAAAAUGCGAAAAUAGAAAAAUGGAAAUUGGUUUGCCCUUAUCAUUUUAGUGCAUAAAAUCCCGUAAUGCAGCUUCAACAUGCAUAACAAAGCAAGUUCUAGCAUAAACAAACUAAGAUUGAUAUUCACAUAACAAAAAUAAUUAGAGCAAAGUGGUUGCUCAUAGGCUCAAAUCCUCACAAAGUUGGUAAAUUUGCCAUCAAAUCAUGUACACUCUUCAAAUGAAUCAACCAUCAAUAGUGGUGUAGAAUGAAAAGAAGAUAUGAGUGAUAUAUAAAAGGAAAGGUAAAAAGGAUAAGAAGCGAGAAAGAUAUAUGUAGUAAUAUAAAAAAUAAAAAUAGAUGUAAAUAAUUUGAAAUAGAUGGGAAAAGAGUAGUGAGAAAGAAAAGAAAAUUAAAAAUAAUAUAUGAAGCAUACUAACUCCAAAAUCAUUUAAGGAUGAACAGAGUGAAAAUAAUACUUUCAGACAUCAAUAUUGCAAAAAUCCCUCCCCCACACCAUGAACUCACAUUGUCCUCAAUGUAUGAUAAUCAAAGCUCACAUAAAGAAAUAAAGCGUAAGGAUACAAGAUUAAAGGCAAAACGUCCCUGAAUUGUGAGCUUUGAUCCACAUAACGUAUAUGGGCUUGGCGGAAAUGGUGGGAUAAAUCCCACACUCUCGAAGUAUGCGGCCAAAUUCUGCUCCAUCUUGUUCAGCUUGUGCUCCAUUUUCUCUAACUAAAUGCUCAAAGGUGGUGCAGAUGUAGAAGGAAUAGUUGGUGGGGCAGCAGUUUCGUCGUCAAACUUGUCAUCAGAGGUAGCACCACUCCUAGCAUAAAGCUUCUUUAGAAGUUGAGUGGGUCCUGGUUCAGUAAACUGAAAUCUCCCCUCCUUGAAUUCGACCACACCUGUUUUUUCAAACAAAGACAUAUCCAAAAAUUCCUUUUUGCAAGCAGGAUGUAAAUCAUUAUUGUUAGGAUCAAGCACACAUAAGUUUAUAGCUAACAGAGUAAUGUAUGGACCAAGAAAUAAAGUCCUAUACCUUUUAAGCACACUCUGAAAUUGAUCUGCUAACCAAAAACCUAGAUUAGGCCUCACAUAAUUUAACAUGCACCAGAUAAAAUAAAACUCAGUUUGAGAGAAAACUUCAGAGUAAUCUUUCUUUCAUAAAAAGUUAUAUGCUAAGAACCGAUGCACACAUUUCAAAAUAUGAUCACGUAAGAAAGAGCUCUUUGAUUUACUCGGGUCAUAGGCAUUGUGAUCAAAAGAUAAAUUACGCCAAAGACCAUAAGGCUCAAAAUUUUCUCUAAAAUCACAAGUUGUCCCUAAAGAUGCAUCAUUAGAAGAAUAAUCAUCAUCAAUGAAUCCUAAAGCUAGGUUAAAAUCUGUGAUAGAUUAUGAAAAAUUUCGUCCCAUUAACCUAAACUUUAUAACAUUCGGAGUAUGCAAAGUAAAAUUAUUUGGUAUAUUAAAUUGAAAAGUAGCAUAGAACUCCCUAAUCAACUCAACAUAACCGAAACAAUCAACAUCAACAAAAUUACGCAAACCAAUCUUAUCUAUCAAAGAAUUAAAAUUAUCUUUAACAUUCAAUUAUUCAAGAGUCGGGUAAUGAAUAUACUUAGCUGGAAGUAUUUUUCGCUUGGAAAUAUCUUUGUACUUUUCUUUCUUUUGUUGAGCCGUGAAUGUGAGGCACCCUCCGAGGUUGGAUUUAGCAAGUGGCAAAACACUCAUGCCUUUUCCAUGUUUCGAUCUUUGUCUCACGGCUCGGCGUGAAUUUGAAACUGUGUUCCAUGGGACCGUAGUGGGAGCAGCAGUCUUGGAUUUCUUUGCGACGGGUUUUGUUUUAGACGUUGAUGACUUGGAAGUUGAUGCUUUCCUCUUCGGCAUUGUUACAGUAAUUUCACUCACGGGUUUUGUUUGAAUGCGAAAAGCGGCGGUUCUUUGAACAGAGGAGAGUGAGGCUGUGCGAGUUGCUGGACGCGGCAAGGAUGUGCUGGAAACCGAUUGCAACGCGCUGGAAACACUGGUACAGUUGGUUGCUGGACUGGUUGUGCUGCUGGAGUGAGGAGAUGCGGCUGGUGCUGCGCUGCUGGUUGCUGGAGAUGCGGCUGCUGGAGUGAGGAGACGCGGCUGGGGACGCGAGACGUGGCUACUGACGGGAUGUUGGAUGCGGCUGCUGCUGGGAUGCCAGUCAUACGUUAGGGAUUAAAACCCUGAAAAAAAAACCUUUUUUCCGAUUAAUUUUUCAAAUAAAAUAAAAAAAAACCUUUUUUUUUCGAUUUUUUUGUAUCAAAUAAAAUAAAAAAAUAAAAUAUAUAAAAAAAACCUUUUUUAUUUUUUUAUUAUUGAAACUAAAAACUAAAAGAGACUUGAGACAUAAAAAAAAAUUCCAGAAGUACUUUUUUAAUAAGCAUAUGGGCAGCCCUUAAAACUAUUUUACUUUAAAAUCACAAAACUACUUAUUAGUAAAAACAUGGGCACGCCUAACCAAAAAUUUUCUUCUGGCCAAAAUAAGAAAAAACAUUAUUUAAACAAUCUGAAUCAAAAUUAAAACAAAUGAUAUAACAAAAAUCAAAAUAAAUAAAUCAUUUGGGUUGCCUUCCAAAAAGCGCAUUUGUUUUAUGUCUUUGGCUAGACACAUUCAUGCAUCAAUCUUCAUAAAUUGGACUCUCGAGAGCCACUUCCUCCACAAUAUACACCAAAAAACCUUUAUAAAAAGGUUUUAAGCGAUGUCCAUUAACCUUAAAAACUUUGUCAGAGGUUGGACUCCGAAUCUCAACUGCACCAUGAGGAAAAAUAUUAGUAACAAUAAAAGGUCCUACCCAACAAGAGCGUAAUUUACCAGGAAAAAGUUUAAGCUUAGAAUGAAAAAGAAGAACUUUUUGACCAACAAAGAACUCCUUUCUCAAAAUCAUUCUGUCAUGAAAUGUCUUCGUCUUUUCCUUGUAAAAUCGCGAACUCUCAUACGAUUUGUUUCGAAUCUCCUCCAACUCUUGCAGCUGCAACUUUCUCUGCUUUCCCGCUUCAUCCAUCCGCAUAUUGCAUUGUUUAACCGCCCAGUAUGCUCUGUGCUCAAGCUCUACAGGUAAAUGACAAGGAUUACCAAAUACUAAACGAUAAGGAGACAUACCUAUGAGAGUUUUGUACGUGGUGCGAUACACCCACAAUGCAUCAUCUAAUCGUAAGCUCCAAUCCUUUCGAUUUAGACCAACCGUCUUUUCAAGAAUAGACUUGAUUUCUUUGUUUGAUAUCUCAGCUUGUCCACUUGUUUGUGGAUGAUAGGCGGUAGUCACUCGGUGGGUAACAUGAUAUCUCUUAAACAAAGCCUCCACCACCCGAUUACAGAAAUGAGUGUCUCUAUCACUUAUCACUGCUCUCGGUACACCAAACCUGAGAAAAAUAUUAGACUCGACAAAAUCUACAACUUCAUCAUUGUUAGUCCGGGUGGCCUUAGCCUCUACCCACUUAGAAACGUAAUCCACUGCUAAAAGAAUGUAAGCAUUGCCAAAAGAUGAGAGAAAAGGUCCCAUAAAAUCAAUGCCCCACACAUCGAAUAUUUCACACACAAGAAUAAGGGUAAGUGGCAUUUGAUUCUUAUGACUUAAAUUGCCAGCCUUUUAACAAUUCUCACACGACUUACAAAACAUGUAUGAAUCAUAAAAUAAAGUAGGCCAAAAUAUACCACAUUCUAACACCUUAGAUGCUGUCCUUUUGGGACCAAAAUGACCACCACAUGCAUAUGAGUGACAAAACUGAAGAAUAAAAGUUAUUUCAAACUCAGAUACGCACCUUCUGAUGACUUGGUCAGAGCAAUGUUUCCACAAGUAAGGGUCAUCCCAAACAUAGUACUUAGCAUCGCUUUUAAUCUUAUCUUUUUGAGCCCUCGUCAGAUCACUAGGUAGAGUUCUUGUAACUAAGUAAUUGACAAUGUCAGCGUACCAAGGAACCAUACCUUGAGUUACAAAGAGAUGCUCAUUUGGAAAAUCAUCCUUCAAAGGUGUUACUUCUUCACUCGUGGUCAAUCUACUAAGGUGGUCUGCAACCAAGUUUUCUGCUCCUUUCUUGUCACGGAUCUCCAAGUUGAACUCUUGAAGUAGUAGGAUCUAGCGGACGAGUCUCGGUUUCGCUUCCUUCUUGGCGAGCAAAUAUUUGAGAGCUGCAUGGUCAGAAAAAAUAAUCACUUUAGUGCCCAAUAAAUAUGAACGGAAAUUUUCUAAAGCAAAAACCAUAGCCAAAAUUUCUUUUUCCGUUGUUGCGUAAUAUAUCACAUGAGCAGCUCUUCCAACCAUUUGUCGGAGAACAACACCAACAGCAUAGUUACUGGCGUCGCACAUUAUCUCACAAGGGAGGCUCCAGUCGGGUGGCUGUAUAAUUGGAGCUGAAGUCAAUAACUCCUUGAGCUUAUCAAAUACUACCUUGCAUGCUUCAUUAAAAUCAAACGUCACAUCUUUCUGAAGCAGCUUGCAUAGAGGCUGAGCUAUCUUCGAAAAAUCCUUGAUAAAACGUCGAUAGAAACUUGCGUGACCAAGGAAAAAACGAACUUCCCGCACACAUGUGGGAUAGGGUAAAGAUUUAAUAACAUUUAUCUUACCUUUAUCUAUCUCAAUUCUUCUAGCAGAGACUACAUGACUUAAAAUAAUGCCUUGAUCUACCAUAAAAUGACAUUUUUCAUAAUUCAAGAUAAGGUUUGUUUCAAUGCAUCUUUCAAGCACUUUCUUCAGAUUAUAGAGACAAUCAUCAAAAGAAUCAGCAUAGACAGUAAAAUCAUCCAUAAAUACCUCUAUAAUGUUCUCUACAUAGUCUAAAAAAAUACUGACCAUGCACCUCUGAAAAGUGGCGGGAGCGUUACAAAGACCCAAUGGCAUACGUCAGUAUGCAAAGGUUCCGAAAGGACAUGUAAAGGUAGUCUUCUUCUGAUCCUCAAGGGCAACUGGUAUCUGAUGAAAACCUGAAUAGCCAUCAAGACAACAAAAGUGAGAUUUUCUGCCAACCUUUCAAGCAUCUGAUGAAUAAAAGAAAUAGGAAAAUGAUCAUUCCUUGUGAGUGAAUUAAGCUUUCUAAAAUCAAUACAAACCCUCCACCCAUUCUGAACUCGGGUGGGUACUAACUCACCAUAAGAAUUCUCAACAAUUGUUAUAUCAGUUUUCUUCGGUACCACUUGUACCGAACUUACCCAUUUGCUAUCCGAAAUUGGAUAGAUUAUACCUGCAUUAAGAACUUUCAGAAUUUCUUUCUUCACUACUUCCAUCAUGAGUGGAUUCAAACGGCGUUGAGCUUGAAUCGAAGGUUUGGCAUCUUCCUCCAGCAGUAUUCUAUGCAUGCACGUGGAUGGACUUAUCCCUUUAAUAUCAGCAAUUGUCCACCCAAUAGCCUUUUUGUAAUCCUUCAACACUCUAAUAAGCUUUUCUUCCUCUAAAGUAUUAAGCUUUGAAGAGAUGAUCACCAGAAGUGUCUCACUAUCUCCUAGAAACAUGUACUUUAGAUGACUCGGCAGUGGUUUAAGCUCUAUUUUCGGUGCCUGCAAAAUAGAUGGAAGAAGUUUUACAUGAGAUAAAAGUAAUUCAAUAUAAGACAUAUGAUGAGUUAAAGUUCUCAAAGAAUUUAAUUCAUAAAUUGUCUCUUGCAAUACAGAAUUUAAAACAAACUCAUUUUCAUCAUUUUGCAAUCCUUUGAGGCCUAAACUGUUAUUUAAAGCAGCUAUCAAUGAAUCUUCAACAUCCAAAUAAAAAACUUCCUGCACUAUAGGGUUAAUAACAUCCACAGAAAAUACCGAAUGUUCCUCACGAGGAUAUUUCAUGGCAUAAUUCAUAUUGAACUCUAUAACCUCUCUAUCAAACUCCAUAGUGAGAGUGCCUUUAUGUACAUCCAUUUUAGUCCUAGCAGUCUUAAGAAAAGGUCUUCCUAGCAAAAUUAGGACAUAAUUAGAAGAGUUAUCCUCUUCCAUAUCAAGUACAUAAAAAUCAGUAGGAAAAACCAACUCAUUAACUUGUACUAAGACAUCUUCUAAUACCCCAUCAUGAUAUGCAUUAGACUUAUUAGCUAGUUGAAUUAUCACGCCAGUUUCUUUUAAUGGACCAACAUUCAAAGAUGAAUAAAUAGAAUGAGACAUGACAUUAAUAGAAGCUCCUAGAUCUAACAUAGCCUUUUCAACUCUAACACUACCAAUUUUGCAAGGGAUAGUAAACAUACCUAGAUCCUUGCACUUAGGAGGUAGUUUCUUUUGGAGAACUGCUGAAACAUUCUCCCCCAUGUGAACUCUUUCAUCUCCUCUUAAUUUUCUCUUGGAGGUGCACAGCUCCUUAAGGAAUUUAGCAUAUCGAGGUAUUUUUUUAUAGCAUCUAAUAAAGGAAUAUUUACCUCAACCUUGCGAAAUGUCUCAAGAAUGUCUUUCUCUUGUUCCUCCUUCUUGGAUUUUGCAAACUGGCUUGGAAAAAGAAGAGGUAUCACCACAAGUAGGGGUUUUGCUCUGGUGGGUUGAGCAUCUUGAGAUUUAGGCAUCAAUUCAUUCUUCUCAAGCUCAUCUUCUACAUGCUUUGUCACUUUCUUACUAGGCUCUUGCAACUCCUUCCCACUUUUAAGGAUGACAGCACUAGCGUUUUGCUUUGGAUUCACCUAAGAUUGUGAAGGCAAUCUCCCUGAUGCUUGAGACUCCAGGCGGCUUAUUGUAGUCGCCAAUUGACUAAUUUGGUUCUCCAAAUUCUAAAUGCUUGUUGUAGUUGCCUGAUAAAAUUGUUGAGUAUUAGUCCAAGUGAUUUAAUAAUUUCUUCAAGAGAUAUACCUGACUUGGAGUUUGACUGUGGAGGGGCUGGUUGUCUUGGUGAGUAUUGUUGUGGGAAUCCUGAUGGUCUAACUCCAUAGCUGAAGUUGGGAUGAUCCUUCCAUCCCGGAUUGUAUGUUUGUGCAUAAGGAUCAUACCUCCUCUGAGGCAUGCCUGGAAAUCCUCCAACUACAUUGGCUUGUUCAACGAGUUCUUCUUGAAGUGUCGGACACAUAUCAGUUGAAUGACCAUAUUAGAACAAAUGCCACAAGUCUUCACCUGUUGCACAUUACCUACAAUAAACUUUUUCACAAGAGAAGUAAGUUUAUCUAAACGUUGUUCAAUAGAAGAAAUAUUUACCUCAUUCACCUUCCUUAAAGUGGGAUCUUGCAUGCUGCCAAACUGUUGUGCAUUGGCAGCCAUAUUUAAGAUCAACUCCCUUACUUGAGUAGGGGUCUUGUUCACCAAUACACCUCCACUAGCAGCAUCUAUCAUACUCCUAUCCAUCAAUGACAGUCCUUCGUAAAAGUAUUGAAUAAGAAGUUGAUAAAAAAUCUGAUGCUGAGGACAACUAGCACACAAUUGUUUGAAUCGCUCCCAAUACUCAUACAAAGUCUCCCUAGGAAGUUGUCUGAUCCUAAAAAUAUCUUUUCUGAUGUUAGCAGCUCUUGAAGCAGAAAAGUACUUCUUAAGGAACUGCUUCUUCAAACCAUUCCACAUUGUAAUCGAUCCAGGAGGCAAGUAGUACAACCAGUCUUUAGCUAGCCCAUCUAAAAAGAAAGGAAAAUCACGCAGCUUAAUCUGCUCUUCAGUCACGCCUUGUGGCCUCAUACUUGAAUAGACAACAUGAAACUCCUUGAGAUGUUUAUGAGAAUCUUCACCGGCAAAACCAUGAAACUUGGGUAACAAAUGAAUAAGACCAGACUUUAAUUCAAAAUUUACCUCCAAGUCUACAUAUUGAAUGCAGAGUGGUUGCUGAUUCAAGUUUGGUUCAGCUAACUCUCUAAGAGUUCUUUCUACAAGUGUAACUCUAUCCAUCACUUGUUCUUCUGAAUCGCUAGAUGAUUCAACCAAAUCAGGCACCGUAUCUGUUUCAUAAAGCAAAGGCGACGAGGAUUGUUACUUAGCUCACUUCGUCUGCUGUCUCAGCUGGUGAGCUGUCUUCUUAAUUUCAGGAUCAAACGAAAGUGUACCUGUACGAGAAGUACGAACCAUACACCAAGUAAAACGUAAAAAGGAUUAAAUAAACGACACCAAUCCCCGGCAACGGCGCCAAAAUUUGAUGGUUGUCGAAGCCUGCAAAAAUAAAUAACUACUCUAAAUAAAUUGUGUAUAGUGAUUGAGCAGGGUCGUGUCCACAGAGAUUGAUAAUUAUUUAAAUCCUUUUAAAAUGAAAAAUGCAAAAUGGGGGAAUUGUUGACAAUAAUAAAAAUCAAAUUAAAAUAACAAGAAUGCAAAUUAAAAUUGUAAUUCAAAUUGGGAAAAGCUCUAGUUGAAGGAAUUAACUCAGCUUGAUUCGACUACUGAUCAUUGAUUCAAAUAUAAAUCAUUACUACUUAUGAAUAGACCGGUUAUAGCUACUGAGACCCUCUAAUAGCCAAUCUCUCCUUAACUAGUUGAUAGCCAAGGUACGACCAUUGGUUAUUUCCCUAAUCAAUAGACAACCCUAGAUACGAUCAUAGGGUUUAAUCAAUUGACAGUCUGAAAAACCAGAGAGACCCAAAUCUUAAUCAACAAACGCAUACGAUGAUUCAUUUAAAUUAGAUUAUUUAUUCUCAUAACACAACGCACUGCUAUGCUAUUUGUCACAAACAUUAAAAUCUUCAUACGAUGAAUCUUUUAAUUGACAAUAGAUUAAGCUGAUAAUUAAAUAGUGGCCAAUUAUCUAAUUAACAAACAUAAUCAUGACAAUAAUUUAGAGAAUAAACAAAUACCCAAAAAGUAAUAAAACAAUUAAAGCAUAAGAAAGAUCUCACAGUAAUGAUGAAUCAAAGCUUUAUUAACCUUCAACCAGAAUAAUAAGUUUAGUUCUUCAUAGAGAGAAGAGAAAAAUUUAGAUCUAGGGUUUCUUUUUCUUUCCUCCUCUAGAAAAAUUCUCAUCCCCUUUGUGUUUCAUGUCUCCUUUCUCUUAUAGAGUUUUUCCAAAAAUAAAAUACUAAUAUCUAAAAUAUUAUCUAAAUAUUAAAUUCAAAAUUACAAAAAUAACCAAAAAGGUAAAACACGUUAAAAUAAAAACUGCAGGUCCUUAGUCGACAGCACGCGUCCAUGCCUUAUCAACAAAGUUCUUCUGAAGCUCAUAAUUUCUCCAGGAAAACAAUCAUCCUCAAACAUCAUCUUAUAGCUUAAUUUUAGCACCAAUCAAUAGAAUUGCACCUACAAAAAUAAAAUACAAGUAAAUCACUAUUAUUAAGUGCAAAACAUUGAUAUUAAAGGAAGUAAACAAUGCAAAAGUAGUGCAUAGAUUGCACUCUAACACUAAUUCCACCAACAACAAAGAACUAAAACCACAAGGAUUAAAAUACACAAAAAUACACACAUUUGCUUUUUACGGAGGUCCCAACAGUGAAUUUUCUAUUUCUGUAAAUUUGAAAAGAUAACAAAUAACUCAGGGUUUUGCAUGCUCAAGGACACCACUCUAUUUACCAAAACUCAGGAUCCCCAAAACAUACUUUCCCAUCACUAUAUAUAAGGCGAGGAGGCACACUGCCCUCGUUCCAUCUCAAUUAUUUCUUCUAAUGUUUAGGCACUACUAAGCAUGUUGUGAGGAAGCACAUCUCCACUCCCCCUUGAGUAAAACAACCGCUACCCACUUAGCCUAGAAGUAAGGAUGUCAUGGAGUGUAACCGUCGCUGCCCACCUUUCUUGAUGAGUAACCGUCACAGCCUACUUCCUUUGCCCCCAUUUUCUAGGCAUGUUAUCCAAGGUCAUGCUCUCUCAUUAGUUACACCCACAACUACCUACUUCAUGCUUAAUUUUAGGUCUCAUUUUUAUUUAUAGCCAAUAAGCUCCACAUUCAACUGCCAUUGUUUGCACACAGAGUGCGUGCAAACGCCUCUUAUCUUUGCAUAGUUUGGCCCCUGUGCAUUCCCUAUUGUGAUACGCUACCUCUACAUACGUUUGCGCUACUGCCACGCGUCAUCCCGUGCGUCCUUUGGGCCCUAUGCGUCCUGCGGUCCUGCACCAUAUGCGUCCUACGUUCACGACCUACACGUCCACACACUUAUGAGAUGUUGCGUGCGUUGUCGAUGGCUUCAAACCCGACAUAAAUUUGAAGAGCUUGUCCUCAUCUAACUCGUUCUUAAUGUACAACAUUAGUGAACUGAAUUCCUUAAUGUAAUACCUCAUUAAUUCAUUAUGCCUUAGCUUUUUCUUCAAGCUUUCUCUCGCGAGCCAGCUAGUAUAUCCUGGUAGGAACUGACCCUUUAGUUUUCAUUUGAGUUUGUCCUAUAUUUCUAUUGCUGAUCACUGCACUUCAACAUCUUCUUAAAGUCUGCUCCAUAUCCCACAUAAAACUCUUCAACUCUUUGGCAUUCCGAGUCCCAUUAUAAGUCUUAGGUUUGGGCACCUUAACUUUCAAAAGUCCAUCCUUCGAACGAGAAGUGUUGUUUGCUGCCCGCUUCAACAACCCAACUUCCGUUUCGAGAUCCCCAAUGUCAACUUUCAGCACCUUCGCUAAUGCAGCAACAUCCUUAUCAUCUUAUUUAGCUUGUCCAAAAACUCAUUCACAAACUCUGUGCAAGUUAGUCUCACACUUGGUAUCUUGAUGGAGUUGAUUUCUUUGUUCUCAGCCAAACUCUCCAAGUCAGGUUGUAAAAUACCUACAAUUGCCUCCAAGUGCACUGACUUGUCCUUUGUUGAUGGCCUCAUCAUUUUGGUUUCUGUCAUUGUUAAUUUCUCCGAAAUUAUACAACUUUACUAUUGCACCGUAGCUUCCCUAAAACCACACAAUCAGCUGUUUGCAAACUAAUUUUAAUUGAAGCUUGCAAUCAAUUGCCACCUACAACAAGUUAUAAUCGUGCUUUGUAACUGAAUUCUGCAAACCCAACUAUGCCUUCUAAUAUUAGUUUCUUCUCAAAAUGAAGCAACCUUUUCUUUGAUACUAGUUGUCACCGAGACUUAUCUUAAGGAUGUGGCAACCCCACGUGAUGGUGUUAAGUCUCUGUUUAGCCAGCCACUCAACAAUGCUAACGAAAGCAAAUAAAGCAACAAGCAUGCAAAGACUCAUAAUGGAGGUCUUACAUGAAAGAUUGAUUCCACCAACAAAAGGAAACUAAAAUAGCGAGUAUUAAAGUUCACAAAAAUGCAUACUAUUUGCUUUUUACGAAGGUCCCAACCCCUAAAUUUUCUAUUUCUGCAAAUAAGAAAAGAUUACAAAUAGCUCAAGGGUUUUGUAUGCUCAACAACACUACUCUCUCUACCAAGACCUGGGAUCGCCAAGACAUACAUUCCCAUCACUAUAUAUACUAGUUUGCAAAUGACGCCCCCGUUUGCUAAGGCAAGGUGGAGCACAACCCUCGCACUACCUCAAUUCUUCUCCUAAAGUUUAGGCAUCAUUAAACAUGUUGUGAGGAAGCACAUCUCUACUCCCUCUCGAAUAAAGCAACCACUACUCGCUUAGCCUAGUUGUAAGGAUAUUAUAGAGUGUAACCAGCAGUGCCCACCUCUCUUGAUAAGUAACCACCACUGCCUACUUCUUUUACCCCUAUUUUCUACGCAUGUGAUCCAAGGCCAUGUUCUCCCAUUAGUUGCACCCACAACUACCCACUUCAUGUUUGAUUUUAGGUCCUACUUUCGAAGAAUUUGUAGCUAACAUGCUCUGCAUUCAACCACCACUGUCCCCACACAGUGAGUGCGCGAACGCCUCUUAUCUUCGCAUAGUUUGGCCCCCGUAUAUGUCCCACUGUGCUGCAAGUUUGUACGCAACCCCCGCAUGCAUUUGCGCUACUGCCUCGCGCCAUCCUGCAUUCUACCCACAUGGCCUGUGCGUGUCCUAUACGUCCCGCACGCCCCAUGCAUCCCCUGCCCGCAUGCCCCAUGCUUCCAGUGCUCGCACACCUGCAUUUCCAUGCGCUUAUGAGAUAUUGUGUGCAUUGCCACUGCAUGCCCUUGCGCACGCUUUCUCACUCUCUCUGUGCUUUUCCUUUAGCUUACGCUUGUUACCGUGCCCCAAUCUACGCAUUAGCCUUGCCUUACUUUCGUGUUUGCCUAGGAGCAUGCUCAUGUUGCUUCCACGCUUGGCAUAAGGCGACAAGCCAAGCCUAGGCAUUUGGUCAUCAUGACUCACGACAACGACACUCACCUACUAUACAAUGCAAAACCAAACAAACAAGUUACACCUCUCUAGUCACUAGUCUUGACGUACAAGUCUUUCAAUUCAUGUCUCAACUCUCCCUCAAACACUCCAUUCCAUACGUCAGUGUGUUUGAAAAAUAUGAGUUAUUUAAUGUUGUAUGAUAUUAAUUGGUUUUAUUAUUAAUUAUCAACUUAUUAUUUUUGCAAUUUGUUAUGACACAUAAAAGAUCAUAUUAUUCAAUAUCUCAAUUGAAUAUAUGAAGUGAGUAAGUAUAAUAUUACUCUUUCCAUAAUUGAUAAGUAAGGAUGGCAAAAAGACCAGACCCCGUCCUUGUCUGAUUAACCUAAUUUAAUUUUUAGGAUCUUUAAUUGAAUUUAAAGGGUCAAGGAUUAGGUUUCGGCCCGAUUACAUUCAAGUCUAGGUUAGGACUUUACUAAAAAUUCCUAACUCAACCUUUGACCCUUCAAUUAAUUUUCAAAAUUAAAAAAUAUAAUACUUAAAAAUUAAAGCACAUACACUACAAAUAUGGUCAGAACUCACUCCUCAAAUUAAUAGUAUUUUGUAUUCGAUUUAUUUACUUGUUAAUUUGGUUAGAUUUUUACAUGUUGUAUUUUCGUUAAAGCUAAAUAAAAAGUUAAUUUAUUAAAUUCCUUACAACCAAAUUUAUCAUAAAAUGGAACAAUAAUAGUACAAUAUAAUUAAUAAAGAAUGAAGAGUUGGAGUCUUACUCUAAAAAAGUAUCUAAAAAUUAAAAAGGUUAUUGCAAGGUGCGGAUAAAGCCCAAGGCUGAACCUGACCUGAAAAAGGUUGACCCUGGCCCAACCCUCAGUUUUGAGGAUCAAACUUUUGAAAACUAAGACCCUUUAUUUUUAAUCAUAGGGGCAAGGCUAGGGGUUGGCCAAGCUUGAGCUCAACUAGAUCGAUUGCCAAACUUAUUGAUAAGAAAAUAAUUAAUAGAGUUGUGAUAUUUGACCCUUCGUUGUAUCUCACCAGCCCCCACUAAUUACUUUUAUAUAAUAUUAUUUUAUCUUUGUAUGAAAUAAUUUAAAAGGGUAAAUGACUUUUAAGUGCACCCACAUGAUAAUUUUCAUUAAUAUAUAAUUUAAGUAAUCUAUUUUCUUAAACCUUAAUUUCUUUAAAUUUUUUAAAUUAUUAUUUCUUCUUAAAUAUUGUAUACUUUACUUUUGGAAGAAAUUAAUUUAUAGCACUCAAUAGAAGAUGAUGAAGAAAUAUUUUUUUUUAUGGUUAUGGUAAUGAUGGAUAAAUCUUUAAAGAGAGAGAGAGAGAAAGAGAAAGAGAUUAUAGUGAUUUUGAGAUUUUGAGAUUUUUUUUUCUUUUUGAAGUAGAUUUUAUAAAUUUCAUUCGGUGGGUGCUUGGAAAAAAAGAUAAAAAAAUCAUAAUAAAGAUAAAUUUGCGAUUCAAUGGAGUAAUAGACAAAAAUUAGUUUAAAAUUUUUAAUAACGUUAACUGAAAAGGGAUUGGUAAAAGGGUCAGGCUACAGUGCAACGGGUGGUACCGUGCCACAGUUUCACCAGCCGUUGGGUUCACUCAAAUGCGUGGGGUCUACUUGAAUAAGUGGGAAUCCAACGGUUGGGUGCAACUGUGGCACGGUACCACAGUUGCACCACAAUUUUAUCCUUGGUAAAAUAUAAUAAGAGGGUCAAAUCUACCACUCUAAUUAGUAUCGUUUUACUCAAAAGUUUUGCUUAAAAGUUUUACUUAUAAAUUUUGGAUUUUGACCAGCUUUAAAUAUAAAAAAAAAAUUGAGAAAAAGUUACUUUAAAAUAUCCAUACAUCAUCCCAAAAAGUUGUACCCAAAAAAAAAAAAAGGCCCAUUCUGGUUAAAUUCAAAAUUAAAAACCCGGCCCGUUUCCCCACUUAAGACCCUCCUAGCAGUUUUAAAAUUUUUUCCCAGCGAAGAAUAGAAGUGAUGGCAGCUGCUCUAGCUUCCGACGCAUCGCAAUGGGAAUUUAGCUGGUUUUAAUUCUCUCUCUUAGCUAUUUCUGUUUCUUUAUUUAACAUUGUGAUAUAUAUUUAUUAUGCUAGAGGUUCUACUAAGUCUCCCUUUACUGGGACUUUUCUCAUCUUGGGAAAUGUUAAUUUUGCCUUAUUUAUUCAAUAUUGUUAUCUUCCACUGUCAAUAAAUUUUAUGCUUUGGUUGGUUAUUCAAUGUGGGUUUGUUCCAUUUUGUUCUUACGCUGUUUGUAUAAAUAUUGAAGGUUUGUUUUUGAAGAUGGCUUUCAGUUAAUUGCCUUCAAAGCUUUAUUUCCUAAAAGAGGAAAGAAAAAUAUACCAAAAUGUUUAAUUUCUACUGCUAUAUGUUUGCGUUUUUAGCUUCUGCUAUGCUUUGUAUUGUGUUGUUUGUGUUGGUAUUAAUGCUAGAAAGAUGUUUUCUUUUCUAAUCUGAUUGCCUAGAAUGAAUAUGAGGUGGUUAUUGAGUUGCAAUAUAUCAAAUCAAUUGAAGUCAUCUGCUUCGUAGGUUUUGAUUCUAUAAAUUGUUUUCAUUUCAGUUACGACACAAUUGCAUGGGUGUUCGAGGAAAUCUAGUACUUCAAAAUAGUAUUGAUUAUUUGAGAAACCAAUAAACUCCCAAAAUACAAUUUACAAGUUGCGAAAAUAAUAGUACUCAAGACACUCUUUUAUUGAAGGAAAAUUAUCAGUCAUAUAUUUUUAAAUGACACCUGUAUCAAAUAUGUGUGAACAUUUUUCAAGUGUAUAACUCGUAUAUCCUAAGUUGAUAAAACACUUCUGCCGUCCACUAAUCCAUUAACUUCUGUUAGAAAAUGAAUAGAAUUAUGGUAAAUUGACUAUUUCGCCCUUGAAACUCAAAAUGAGGUAAAAAAAAAAUUUACCCCAAAAAUUAACAUAAAUUUUUAAUACACAUUUUUUUUUAUUUUGUUAUUAACAAUACAUUUUUUUGAUUAAAAAAAUGAAUUAUUAAUGGUACAUAUUAUUAACAAUUAUCCGUCAAAAUAUCUAUAUUAUACCAUAAAAAUUAUUAACAACAUAUAAUUUACAAUUAUACAUAUUAUACCAUAAAAAAUUCCAGUUGGAGCUUGGAGGAGUAGAUCUUCAAAAAUUUAGAUUAAAUUUUGGAGUAGAUUCGGUUGUAAAGUAAUAUUUUUUUAGCAAUUAUUAACAAUUAUCCAAUAAAGGGAAUGACAUGUCAUUUUUAUCAAUAUAUAUCAUAUGACAUGUCAUUUUUUACUAGGUAAAUGGGAUGACAUGUCUUUUUUUAAUCAAAGUUUCGUCCAUCUUAAAAGACUAGAUUACCCUUAUGAUGUCAGCGUUUACAAACGGCAGUUAACGGAUUGGUGGACGACAGAGGUAUUUUGUCAACUUAGGGUAUACGAGUGAUAUACCUUAAAAGUGUUCACACACGUUUGAUACAUGUGUCAUUUAAGAGUAUAUGACUGAUAAUUUCCCUUUAUUGAAUAACAUCAAACUUUAAAUAGAACUUUAGUUCAAAGUUACAAGCAUAAAAAUAGCAAGCAUUAAGCAUGUUCUCCAUCAUUCUUUAUGAAUCCACAAAAUAAGGGACCAACUAACAACUUAAUUUUGACUUAUUAAAAAACAGCUACACUUAAAAUAUAAAGUAAAUAAUUAAAACCAAUAUUAAAAUAGAAAGAUUGUAACAGCUUUUCUAUUUUUCUGUUAUUGUGUUUACUUUAAUCAAUGGGCCGUGGCACAUAUUGUUAAAUUGUGGAUCGGGUAGUUUACUGGACACGUGAACUAAUUUGUAAUUUAGUUAUAAGUUGUGUGAACCAUAAAAAAAUAAAGUCAGUGGUACUAUUAUUGGAAUAUUGGAUAGUUCUGAAAGGUUUUUGAAUAAGCUGGCAUUGAGGAUAAUAUACUAUUGGAAGUUGAGGGGGUGAACUGUUCUCAGUUCUGUUUGUUGAGGAACAGGACAGAGCAUCUGUGUAGAAAAUAUAAAUUGAACAAAGAAUUGCUGUUUGGCAGCUAGGAAAAUGAAAGGAAAAUUUCUUAUUUCAUUUGAUGAACUGAUAUUUUGCACAUACUGAAAAAUCCAGAAUAUGUAGCUAUUUAUAUAUGCAUUACACACGCUAACUAAUUGAGAACUAACUAACUAUUAGUAAAACUAACUUUCACUCAGCUCACACUCAACACAUAUACAGAGGCUGUAUAAUAGAGUUAGUUAGGCUGUUAGCUGCUGCUGAUUUGGAUUCUCUGACGUGGCACUAAUGACAGCUGGCAACUUGACAUUCUUGAUACGAGACUUGAAAACAGACUGAUUCUUCUUCUUCACUUCUGCAUAAUGAGCUAUCUUCACAAUCUGUAAUUCCUCUGUUGUUUACGAGUUAUCUAUUUUUUUCCCAUGACAGUGUAGUGCUCUUUGUCCACCUUUCAGAAAGUUUUUAGAGGAACUGUACCUGAAAUGUUUUGUUGUUUCUUAGAAAAUGGUUUUUCCCAUGCAGUGACUUUGAAGUGGAUUACGAGUCCAAUGAGAAUGCAUCAAUUGUGCAUGCAGCAUUAGCUAUUGAUAAGGAGGUGAUCCACCACGAUCAUAUUCCUAAGAUCAUACUUUGCUCCUUUAACUUUAUUGCUUGUUCAAUAAAUUCUUACUUGAUAAGGAGGUGAUCCACCACGAUCCUAUUCCUAAGAUCAUACUUUGCUCCUUUAACUUUAUUGCUUGUUCAAUAAAUUCUUACUUGAAUUCAAUUUCCAAGUGCAGUUGCAACCAGACAAAGUGAAAAGGCAGAUAUCUGUGAUUAAUGGGAAACUUUUAGUGUAAAUUUCUAUUCUUUGGUCAUUCUUAUAACUGAUUUUUCAUUCUUGUCCAAUAUUUAUUCAAUUUGCAUCUAUCAGUUUAUCCUAUGAGACAAUAUUCAUUUGGAACUUUUGUGUGGCCCGUUCAACAAUCAUUUUUCCCCUUUUCCUGAAAAAUUUUCAAAUAUGUUACUUCAGAAGAGUUCUUCCUCUAAGAUACCAUUGUUCUUUAGUAUCUCAACUUUGCUUGGACUUUGCAGUUUACAAGUUUCUACAUUUUGUUUAUUUUCUCAUCUGAUUCAGGCACUUUGAGGCAGUUGAGGCCAGGAUUCUUCGUGCAUCAUUUUCUGCUUUUGUAGAUGUGCUUACACUUGCGACAAAAACUAUCGUACAGUUUGGUCAUGGAACGGAAUUGUAACAUCAUACUAUCUUUGGCAGUUGGAGAAUCAUUCUUAGUAGGAACUGUAUUACUUUAAUUCGCCUUCUUGUUUCGGAUUAGUUGACGUUUUUGUAACAAGAGAAUCUAUAGUGUUCGUUUUAUAAUGUAAAUCUUCAAAUUAUCGGAAACCUGUAACAAAUUCUUCAAAGCUGUGAAUUAUAAGUUUUUUUUUUUUUUUUUUUUUAAUCAUUGGGUUUUAUCAAGAGGUUGCAGCUGUAAAUGUUAUAAUCCUCCCUUAGACCUUUUCAAUAAAGUUAUUGACAAGCUAUCUCCAACUCUUUCAGUUUGGGCCAAGCUAGAUCGCCAGACCUCACUUCUAGGGCUUUUCUGUUUACCCCUCAAACAGUUCAAUCUGAUAUUGAUUUCGUAGAGUGAGUAGAAUGAAGAAUUCAUUUGUGCUAAUAUUCUUCCAGCCGUUGAUGCAAUUCUUUACCAUUGUGUGACACAGGAGGUACCUACUUGGCUACCAAGUGGCCCUCAGCUUAACGCACCUCGAUAGCCUUCAUGCUUUUAGAAUUCAUCUAGCUGGUGGAAUCCUAUCUGGAGUCUCUCUAUAAGUUCGAAAAUCAAGAUUUUUCUAUAGCAAGCGUCAAGGUCAAGGGAUUUCUUGUCACCCAAAAGGAACCCAGAAAAGAUAAAAUCGUAGACAGCACUGUUUCACAUGCUGGAAUUCUGGGGAGGGUGCUUAUCAUGUGCUUGUGGCUAUAAAUAUGCUCGAAAAAAUUGGAAAUUGAUGCUGCAAUCCCUCUGCCUGGAGCCUCAAAGAAAAAAAAAAAAAAAAAGCCCUUUUAUAGCUUUGCUAAGAUGAAAGAUUACAGACUUAGCAAGGCUGACACUCAGCAACAAUUUUCUGCAUACACUUUAUCUUGGGCAGAAUCACCAAAAGUCGAUGCAUCUUUAAAUUUAGAAUAAAAGCAGAUUCGACUUGUAUUAUAAGAAAUUCAAAUGGGGUGUCACGGCUGCUUCCAUCUCUAGGAAAACUUGCUUAGAAAAUAUGCUGAAUGCUUUGGCAAUUCUUGAUGGCGUCAAAAUGGCAGUUGAUUCUGGACUGCAACCACCACUAACUGUUGAAUCUGACUAUUUUAAUGCAGCGAAAUCAAUCUUAAAGAAGAGACUUCGGAUGGAUGAUCAAAGGAAUGCUCGGUUAUGUAAGAAAAGGAAAACAAUUUAUAGUUGCAAUACACUCAUCAAUAAUCUCAGGAACCUCUGAUGAUUGAAUUACAAUUUUUUUAAAUCCAUUCCAGAAUACAAGCAUACCUGCUCAUGCAAGAUAUUCGAUGCUCUGUUGGAAAAUUUUCAAAAUAAAUGGUGUCUUAUGGUAAAGAUAUGUCCUAUUAAUUGUGCCUUAUAGAAAAUGUAUCUUCACUAAAGACAUGUCUAAUUAAAUGAUGUCUUAUUGUAAGAACAUGUCAAUUUAAUUGUGUCUUAUAGAAAAUGUAUCUUUUUACUAAAUAAUCUAACUUUUCAUGGUAACAUUUCACUUAGAGAUGCAUCAUUUCAUGGUGACAUUUCAUUUGAAAUGGUGAUGGUUCAAUUUGGACCAUUGAUUAAAAUUAAAUCUAGAUCCAAUGGCCAUGAAUGAAAGGAUAUCAUGAAAGAUGACAACCCGAAUGAAGGGGCACAAGUAUAUCUAUAAAUAGGGGUCAUGUUUAAGCCAUUUAGACAUGAAAUUAAUGAUCCUACACCACUCUUUUCUUGGCAUUCCUUUCUAGUACGAAUUUCAACACAAAACACCCAUUUCUUUUGUGCAUUAAAAAUCCAAUAUAUUGUUUUCUGCAGGAACAAUAUAUUGUUUCUUGGCAGACUUGCAACAUUCAAGAGUAUUCUGGUUUGCUUUCGUCGAUGCAUAACGCAAGCAAACAAACAAGUGCUUCAUUGUAUCCUGAAGGCGUAUUUGCUUAACCCAUGUGCAUCACUCAAUUGGUGGGGGCAAAUAACGUCUUAAGGAAAGCGACAUUUGUAACGUGCCUUGAAACACACAAAUUUUCUGCAGUUUACUUAUUAAUAUUAUUUUUCUUCCUACAUACAGAGUUAGUUGUAAACACAUUACUUUACGUAAUAAAGUUCCACCAUUAUUGUUGCAUUUCUCUACAUUUGCCAUUCCCCACAAUUUCAACCACCAACAAUCUUAAGACGUUAUUUAUGCAACAAUGGCACCAAGUUCAUCUUUUCGACAAUUCGCAAUAGAUUUUGUUAAAUUGGAGCGAUUCGAUGGUGGCAACUUUAUUCGUUGGCAGAAAAAGUUGCAUUUCUUGUUGACAAGCCUCAAUGUGGUCUAUGUUCUCACAACACCAAAGCCUCAAGAACGUGAGGGUGAGACAUUAGCAUAAACCAGAGUGCGGUAGAAGUGGGAGCAAGAUGACUAUGUGUGCAAGGGACACAUUUGCAAUGCAAUGUCUGAUACUUUGUUUGAUCAAUAUCACAACAAAACUACAGCAAAAGAAAUAUGGGACUCAUUAGAGACUAAGUACAUGAUGGAAGAAGCCACAAGUAAGAAAUUCUUGGUUUCUAAAUUUUUUAAUUAUAGAAUGGUUGAUAAUAGACUUGUGGUUGAACAAUAUAAUGAGAUUUUGCAUAUUCUUGAUCAAUUCAACCAACAUAACAUGAAAAUGGAUGAGUCUAUUAUUGUCUCUUCAAUUAUUGAUAAACUUCCUCCCUCUUGGAAAGACUAUAAGAAAAGUCUUAAACAUAGCAAAGAGGAAAUUAGUCUGGAUGGCUUAGGCCAAAGUCUUCGUAUUGAAGAGGAACUCAAACUUAAUAGUCUUGAGGACCAGGCUACUAUGUCCUCUAAAAUUAAUGUUGUGGAGGAGAGGAAGGAGUUUAAGCAUUUUAAUCACCCUAAGAAUAAGCAAAAGAGAAAGUUUGAUUCCAACGAGAAUCAAAACAAUAAGAGGAAAAAGAAGGGUACAUGCCACCACUGCGGAAAACUUGGCCACUUCAAAAGAGAUUAUUGACUUCUGAAGAAACAAAAGGAAGUUUCGAACACAAAUUUUGUGGCCAUGAUAUUUGAGAUUAAUGUUUUCGAAGAUGAUAAUGCAUGGUGGAUAGAUUCUGGUGCAACUAAGCGUGUAUGCAAAGAUCGUAGCCUUUUCAAAUCUUAUAAAGCAAUGGAUGAUGGAAGUGUUCUUUACAUGGGAAAUUCCUCCAUUGCAAUAGUUAAAGGAAAAGGCAAUGUGCAACUACAGUUUACUUCUGGAAAAACUUUAACUCUUACUGAUGUUUAUCAUGUUCCUGAAGUUAGGAAAAACCUUGUAUCUAGUGGGCUUCUUGAUAAGUUUGGCUUCAAACUUAUUUUUGAGUCAAACAAAUUUAUAUUGUCUAAGGGUGGUACCUUUGUUGGGAAAGGAUACAUGUAUGAAGGAAUAUUUAAACUCAAUAUCAAUAAUAUGAAUGUUUCUUUUGCUUAUAUGGUUGAUUCAUUAUCUUUGUGGCAUAAUCGUCUAGGACAUGUGAAUGUUAGAAGAUUGCAUGAUAUGGCUAAUUUGGAGUUAUUUCCUAAGCAUGAAAAUGAUAUGCAUGAAAAAUGUAAAGUAUGUGCACAGACUAAAUCACAAGAUCUCCUUUUUCCAAAAAUUGAAAAAACAUCUUCUUUAUUGCAUUUAAUUCAUAGUGAUGUGUGUGAUAUGCAUAGUAAUCCUACUAAAGGUGGUAAAAAAUAUUUUGUAACAUUUAUUGAUGAUUUUUUAAAAUAUUGCUAUGUAUAUUUAUUACAUUCUAAAGAUCAAGUGUUAGAGAAAUUUAAAACUUAUAAAAUGAAGUUGAGAAUUUUUGUGACACUAAAAUUAAAUGCCUUAGAAGUGAUAAAGGAGGUGAAUAUGCUUUUUUUGAAUUUUGUGAAUCUGUUGGCAUUGUACAUGAAACUAGCACUGCAUAUACUCCACAACAAAAUGGCGUAGCUGAAAGGAAAAAUAGAACAUUAAUAGAAAUGGUUAAUGCUAUGCUUUUUACUGCUGGGCUUGGUAAAGGUUUUUGGGGUGAAGCUAUUUUAACUGCAUGUCAUAUCUUAAAUAGAGUGCCUAAUAACAAGACAAAGGUGACCCCAUAUGAAUUAUGGAAAAAGAGAAAGCCUAAUAUUUCUUAUCUAAGAGUUUGGGGUUGCCGAGCCAUUGUAAGACUACCUGAACCUAAGAUAAAGAAAUUAGGAGAAAGGGGCAUUGAAUGCAUAUUCUUGGGAUAUGCUAAGCAUAGUAAAGCUUAUAGGUUUCUUGUAAAAGAACCUAAUAACUUUGUUGAGAUCAAUACUAUAGUGGAAUCUAGAGAUGCAAUAUUCUAUGAAAAUAGAUUUUUCACUAUACCAAAAAGUAUUGAUUCUCAAGAGAAUGAUAAACAAAUAGAAAUUAGUCAAAAGUGUGAUGCUAAUAAUGAGCAAAAUCAUUUGAGAAGAAGUAAAAGAAUAAGGACUAUAAAAUCUUUUGGACCAGAUUUUAUAGUCUAUUUAGUGUAAGGGACAAGAGACUUACAAUCAAAACAGACCAUGAUCACACCUACUGUAAAGUCUGAUCCCCUCACCUAUGAAGAGGCAAUGAAGUCUCAAGAUGCUGCUUUUUGGAAAAAGGCCAUUAAUGAUGAAAUGGACUCUAUUAUGGGUAAUAAGACUUUGAAAUUAGUUGAUUUACCACCUGACUCUAAUCCUAUAGGUUGUAAAUGGAUUUUCAAAAAGAAGAAGAAAGUUGAUGGAACAAUUGAAGGAUUUAAAGCAAGACUAGUAGCAAAAGACUUUACACAAAAAGAAGGCCUUGAUUAUUUUGAUACUUAUGCACUUGUUGCAAGAAUUGCUACUAUUAGAGUCUUGAUUGCUUUGGCUUCAAUUUAUCAUUUUGAAAUCCAGCAAAUGGAUGUAAAAACAGCUUUCUUAAAUAGAGAAUUAGAUGAGGAAAUUUACAUGAAACAACUAGAAGGGUUUGUUAUGCCAGGACAAGAACAUAAAGUUUGUAAACUAGUCAAGUCUUUAUAUGGUCUUAAACAAGCUCCAAAGCAGUGGCACGAAAAGUUUGACAAAGUGAUUGUCUCAAAUGAAUUUAAUAUUUAUGAAUCUGAUAAAUGUGUCUAUAGCAGAUUCAAUGGAAAUAAAGGUGUGAUUAUUUGUUUAUAUGUAGAUGACAUGUUAAUUUUUAGUAUUGAUAGUGAGAGCAUUGAACUCACUAAAUCAUUAUUGUCAUCUAAUUUUGAUAUGAAAGACAUGGGACUUGCUGAUAUGAUUUUAGGGAUUAAAAUUAUAAAAAAUAAGAAUGGCCUAGUAUUGACCCAAUCACAUUAUAUUGAGAAAAUUUUAAAGAAAUUUAAUUAUUAUGAUUGUAAGCCUGUGUCAACACCUUUUGAUUCAAACAUAAGAUUGUAUCCUAACACUGGCAGAUCAGUAUCCCAAUUAGAAUAUGCACGUGUUAUUGGGUGUCUUAUGUAUGCGAUGACUUGUACUAGGCCUGAUAUUGCUUUCGCUGUUGGAAAACUGAGUAGAUAUACUAGUAAUCCAAGCCAAGCACACUGGCAAGCAGUGUACAAAAUUCUAAAAUAUUUAAAACAUGCAAUGGAUUAUGGUAUAUACUACAUUGGAUAUCCUUCUGUUUUGGAAGGAUUUUCGGAUGCUAGUUGGAUUACUGAUCGAGAUGAUCAUACAUCCACAAGUGGUUGGAUUUUUAAUCUUGUUGGAGGAUCUAUUUCAUGGGGCUCAAAGAAGCAAACUUGUAUAGCAGACUCCACCAUGGCUGCAGAAUUUGUAGCUUUGGCUUCAUGUUGCACGGAAGCUGAAUGGUUAAGGAAUUUGCUUAUAGAAAUUCCUAUUUGGCCUAAACCAAUGCCUCCUAUGUCCAUUCAUUGUGAUAGUGAGGCAACUUUGUCAAGGCCAUAUAGUAAAAAAGAAUUGUGUAUUUUUGAAAAAGUUAAAAAAAACAGGUGGACGGUGGAUAUUUUCCCAUGGAGUUAUCAUAAUUGACUUUGUGAAAUCAUGCCAAAAUUUGGUGGACCCCUUAACUAAAGGCCUUAUAAGGGAUAUUGUAUUUAAACCUUCUAAGGGGAUGGGACUGAAGCCAGCAUCAUCUUAUUACCAAUGAUGGAAACUCAACCAAACACUUGAAAUAUCAAGAUCUUGGGUUCAAUGAGCAAAAGUACAUCAUAUGUUGUGAUAGCAAAUACUAUAAUAUUUUUAGAUGUAUCCCAAAGGUUAGUGCUUGAUACCUGUAACAUAUGGGAAAGGUUAAGCUACUUAACUUUUAAUAGACUUAUAAAUGUUUUAGUUACAGGGACAUUUUAGAUAAGUCUACCUAUAUGAGUGUAGGAGAUGGUGCCACUUCCUAUGUAACUUGGCUGGUUACUAAAGCGCUCAUGAAAACAGGAUAUAGACACAGGGCCAAUCCACGUGUCGGCUAAAGAAUAGUUGAGAAUUUGAAAACUUAUGUGUGAGAUAUAUCCGGUUAGUCGAUUAAGGUCGCUGGUUCAAAGCUUUUCUACCAUGCCACCUUGAUUAACCUUGAUGUAUUGUCACUAAGUGAAGGUUCAAGUCCAAAAGACACCUUUAUCUAUGCAUAAGUUUUCCAAGCCUGUGCAAGAUAAUUUUUUAAAAUUCAUUUAUUUUGAAAAUGGUGGGGGAUUGUUGGAAAAUUUUCAAAAUAAAUGGUGUCUUAUGGUAAAGAUAUGUCCUAUUAAUUGUGCCUUAUAGAAAAGAUACCUUUCACUAAAGACAUGUCUAAUUAAAUGAUGUUUUGUUGUAAGGACAUGUCAAUUUAAUUGUGUCUUAUAGAAAAAAGGUAUCUUUUUACUAAAUGAUAUAACUUUUCAUGGUAACAUUUCACUUAGAGAUGCAUCAUUUCAUGGUGACAUUUCAUUUGAAAUGGUGAUGGUUCAAUUUGGACCAUUGAUUAAAAUUAAAUCUAGAUCCAAUGGCCAUGAAGAAAGGGGUAUCAUGAAAGAUGACAACCCAAAUGAAGGGGCACAAGUAUAUCUAUAAAUAGGGGUCAUGUUUAAGCCAUUUAGACAUGAAAUUAAUGAUCCUACACCACUCUUUUCUUAGCAUUCCUUUCUAGUACGAAUUUCAACACAAAACACCCAUUUCUUUUGUGCAUUAAAAAUCCAAUAUAUUGUUUUCUGCAAGAACAAUAUAUUGUUUCUUGGCAGGCUUGCAACAUUCAAGAGUAUUCUGGUUUGCUUUCGUCGAUGCACAACGCAAGCAAACAAACAAGUGCUUCAUUGUAUCCUGGAGGCGUAUUUGCUUAACCCAUGUGCAUCACUCAAUUGGUGGGGGCAAAUAACGUCUUAAGGAAAGCGACAUUUGUAAUGUGCCUUGAAGCACACAAAUUUUAUGCAGUUUACUUAUUACUAUUAUUUUUCUUCCUACAUAUAGAGUUAGUUGUAAACACAUUACUUUACGUAAUAAAGUUCCACCAUUAUUGUUGCAUUUCUCUACAUUUGCCAUUCCCCACAAUUUCAACCACCAACAUGCUCUGCAUCCGAAACUUCGUCGACCUUUGCAUCUAAGAGAUCAUUAACCUUACAGAACUCAAAUGGUCCACAGUAUUCACAAUGAUCUUUCAAUGUUUCCACCACUCUGCGUAAAUAUGAAGAUGGUUUGUUUUCUCAAUAGAAAAUUGAAAUUAUCAGCUGUAAUUAGAGCAACUCACAUUUGCUUUUGGUCAUCACUGGUGUACCAUAGUUCAAGAUAUUCGGUCGCUGAGUAUAACUGUGUUCUCAGGUUUUUCAAAUCUUGAAAGUAAAGUCGCUUGAGUUAAAAAAAAGACCACAGUAAAUAUUUCCAUAAGAACUUAAAUGUUUUACAAAUUGGUGCUUUUGUAUUUCCAUAACUGUGCUUUUGUAAGGCUAGUCGAAAAAUGAGUAAAAUUUGGAAAUUGACACACGAUCCACCGUUUAAAUCAUAUAAACAAGUAUCGCGCGAUGAAACAAGAGUUACCCUUGAAGACAUAUGCCCCUAUUUGCCACAAUCCUUUUUUUUUUUACUUUUUCUUUUCUUAAAAGUGAAUGUUGAGGUGGGUGCAACUUUUAGUAAUAGCUAUUAGUAGCAUAAAACAAAGAUUGCACGCUCUAAAACAAUUGUAAUAGGGAAACGGGUAUAGACAUACAAUCCAACAGAUUAAAACAAAAUAGAGAAACAGUAGUACCUUGAGACUAUCAGAGAAUAGCAAGCUCCGCUACCCUUUUCUUAAAAGUGAUUGAUUAUGAUGAAACAUUCAGCCUUGUAAUUAAGCUUGCUCCGGUUUGCUUUGUGUUUGGCAUUACUACAAGGAUGGUAUUUGCGACAACUUCGGUGUGAGCAAUGCUUUUUUACAUGGGCACCUAUCAAAGGAGGUAUUUAUGCCUCAGCUACCUCGUUUUAUUGAUCCCACGUAUCCUACUUAUGUUUGCUAACUUAAAAAGGCACUCUCUGGCCUUAAGCAAGCUCACGUUCUUGGAACAACACUGAGCUUCGAAACUUUUUUUCUAUCGACGGGAUUUUUCACUUUACUAUCAGAUUCUUCUUUAUGUAUCUAAUCUCAUGCUAGUGUGCAUGAGAUUAUCUUUGUGGGUAAAUAAACUUUCAUCUGUCGCCAUAAUGUAGCUAGGCACCAAUUAUCCUGUAUAUUACUGUCGCAUGAAACACAUAGCCAUUGACUUUCACUUUGUUCAUCACAAAAUUCAAAAUGGUGUUCUCCGGGUGUCUCAUUUAUCAUCUCAAGACCAAUUAGCAGAUGCCGUCACCAAAACUCCAUCUCAUCAACGAAUAAGUCUUCUUUGUUCCAAGCUCGGUGUCGCAAAUGGUAGCGCCAUCUUACAGGGGCAUAUUAGAGAUACUCUCAAAGGCACGGUGUAAUUGUACAACCUUUUUAUCAUUUGUAUAUACGACUUUCAUAACUUUAAACUGCAAUUGUGUACUUACUAUAAUUAACUAGCUUUAGUUGUGUAUAUAUUGAAAUCAUAUCAAUAGAAACAGUAAGCUGCGUUGUUAUUUCCUUUCUCUAUAUUAUUUAUUGUAUAAACCUAACUUUUUUCAGCCCUUUUUUUCCCCCAAAUCUGACACUUUUUUUUUAAUAAAUUUAUUUACCCACACCUGUGUCGUUUGUCUCACCUUUUUUUUUUUUUUUUCACUUAUUUCGUUACCCAGGCCACACUUUUAUAAACUUUGUCCUGGCCCCGCACUCUACUUUUGUUAGUUUUAUCAAAUGAGCAGCACUAGCAGCACCGUAUGAUUAUCUUUUCAGACCCCUUCUGGUAUAUCAAAGAAGCCCUAUAACAAAUACAUCCGUAAAAUAUCUACCAAAGAUACCUCAACAAGCUAGUGAAGCAGGGAAUGACUCCAUUCCUUAAGCCCAUGUUUGGUUGGGAGAAAUGAUAGAAGAGGAGAGGAAUAGAAAGGAAAGAAUGAGGGAAAAAUGAGUGUAAAUGAUGGUCAAAUUCAUUUGCAUUGUUUGGUUGGAUAUGGAAUUCAUCUUUUUUUCCUAUUUCUUUCCUCUCUCUUUUCCUCUCCUCUUCUCUCCUCAUAUUUCUUAAAACCAAACAUGCCAAUUGACGACCUGUCUGGUGUCCCCUUGCCUACAAUAAAAAUUGAAAUUAGGCCAUUUAGAUUAAAGAUAAGACGGAAUGGAAAUAUGGAAUCGUUAACAAUUAUAGCUAUGACCCAUCUAAUUUGCAAAUGGUUCUUUCCCUUUCAAUAUUAUUGUACGUAUUUGCAAGGAAACCUCUUCUAUCUUUCUUGCAAUUAAGACUUUUGCGUAUCCAAUUACUGUCAACUGUUUUUGAACGUGUAGAAGAUAACAACUUGAAGACUUGAGAGAGAGCCAGCGUUAAUUCAACGUCAAGAGUAGCUUAUUAGUUUGCAGGAUUCAAGAGUAGCUUACUGUCAACUGUUUUUGAACGUGUAGAAGAUAACAACUUGAAGACUUGAGUGAGAGCCAGAUGCUGGGUAUAAGGUCUAUAAAACUUUACUAUUAUUUCAUAAAAUUGUUUUAUUUUUUAUUCCUCAUCACAUUGGGGAUUACGCCCCCAAUGACCCAUUUGAUUUUCAUUUUUAUGUAGGUUAGUAGUGUUACUGAAAAUCAAAUAUUGUCUCUUUUUUUCCACUUAUUGAGGACUAUGGAAUUAAACAAAACUCACCAAUGGCAUAAAAUAUACACACUACUAGAAAAAUAAGCUACUAUGACAGAAUUUUUGUGAUAGAUAUUCAAAAAUUAGUCAUUUAUCACAAAAAUAUGAUAGAUUCGUGAUAGAAUUUUUAUAUAUCAUAAAGGCAUGAUAAAUUUGUGAUAGUUUAUUUAUUUAUCACAUACACAUGAUAGCAUAUUAAUAUUUAAUGAAACGAUGAGUUUUGAAUGGGUUAAUUUAGACAUAGAACGACACCGUAUCUUAAAAAAAAAAAUCAUAAGUGGUAGACUCUCCUUUCACUUCAAUUGGCAAACCCUAAUUUCCAAAUCAUACACAAAAACAAAAUCACGCUGCCGACAAAAAAUUUGGUCCUCUGCUGCGCUGCUUGCCGACAACAAAUUUCUACUCUUCGUCUUCGUCCUUACUCUUUAAUCUGCUGCUGCUACUACUUGCCGAUGAACAACACGCUCAAGUUCAGCUAGGUCUUUACUUCCUCUUUUUCUUAUAUUAUAUUCUUUUGAUUUGAUUUGAUUUUUCUGUGAUCUAAACGCCGUUCUUGCUGAUAUUGGUGAUGAACAGUCCUUGUCACAAUUUUGACCGAUCUGAUUGCUAUUCAUAUAAGUGAUUAUUCUACUAUUAUAUAACCUGCACUGGGUUACUCAAUAUGCAAGCCUUUACGUUUUAUCUUCAGAAUAUGCAAAGGUUCCUUGGUUUGAUUCAGUUCUUGCUGAUAUUGGUGAUGAACAGUCCUUGUCACAAUCUUUAUCUACCUUCUCUAGCCACUUGAAACAAAUAGGUGUAAGGAUAUUCACCUUUCAGAAGCAGUUAAUCAAGUUUGUUUGGAACAAAUGCCCCUUUUUCAACGCUAUUCUUUCUCAUUUUUGUAUUAUGUCAACAAUCUUUAUAAACUGCUUUGAUUCUUUGCAGAUAAUUUUGUUUUCUUAUAAAUUAUUAAGACAUUUAACAAGAAAAGGCACAAGCUCUUGUUGGGAUGUACUUAAUACGAUUUGCAACUUGUGUCAGUGAUGGAUCUCAUGAACUCCUAAGCUUAGUUACUAUAUUGUCAGUCCUGAAUCACUUAUGAUAAUGCUGGUUUUAUUUAUUUAUUUAGUUAUUUUUGGGAUAUUACUAGUUUGUAUUAUAAUACAUUCAUAGUACUGUUGUAGUUUUAUGAUUCCAAUUUAAGUUGACUGAAGCCAAAUUGCUCCUUUGGCAGUAACUACUUCUUCGAGAAUGCUUGUAUGGAGUUCGAUAAAGUUAAAUUAAAGCCAACUUACAAGGUCCUUUGGGGGUACCAGGUUACAUAAUUAUAACUUCUAUUUAUUUGAUGUCUGAAGUGUUAAUGAGUUUAUUAAUUUGGUUUUUUCAAGCCUUAGUGAUUAGAGCUGUAACUAUAAGUUGGCUUCUCCUAUAAAUUACUUCUUGUAGAUAUUAUAUGAAUUGCUAAGAACUUACUUAUGCAAUCUCUAGGUACGUAGAUAUUUGUUUACUUUUCUCCAGAUAAAUGCCAACUGAAACAACUAUUAAAUGCCCAGACUGAAUAUUAAAUGUUACUUAAACAAUUGAAAAUUUUUAUUCUCUUGUAAAUUUCGCUUUAGAAGUAUUGUAUAUUCCCUCUUUGAGCUAAUAAUACUAGUUGGUAGUCGUGCUCUGAACUUUUGGAAACUAAUAUUUUUCCCCGAGGAACUAGUGAUAGCCGGCUUUCUUUGAUGGUAUCAAAAUGAUUUAUUUUUUGUUUAUUUAUUUAUUUAUUCUUUUGUUUGGGCAGCAGCUUCAUGUAAAAUGACUUAAGAGUGUGGUACUGAUUGCAGGUUGUUCAAAAUGCAACUCUACGGUGCUGCUAGUGCUGAGAUUAAUAAGGUAAUAUGCCUUAGAGGUAAUGCAUGUGUAAAAACUUAGCAUCUUUUUUAGCUAAUAAAAAGUUUACAUGUUAUUUUUUCCUUUUGUAAACAGAAGCAAAAUUUUAGUUUUAAGUCUCACAUGUUGUGACUUAAGCAACAGACAACCAGUUUACCUGGUAGGCUAAUUAAUUACCUUUGGGAAUUAUAUGGUCAAAAGAAAAUUCAUACAUAAAACAAAUGUGAUCAGGUAAUAGUCAGUACAUGAUGAGCUUACAUGAUGGAAUUAUGGUCAAAAGAAAAUUCAUACAUAAAACAAAUGUGAUCAGGUAAUAGUCAGUACAUGAUGAGCUUACAUGAUGGAAUUAUGGGAAUCUAAUUUUUUGCCAGUAUAGCAAAGGCCACAGAUAACUUCUCAAGUUGCAAUAAACUGGGAGAAAUUAGAUUUGGGCCAAUGUCCAAGGUAAUAUUGUGGCAUUCUACUGAAAUUAGAUCAUAUUUUCUUUUUAUACUAACUAAUAGGCAGAUCUAUGGUACAUAAAUAGAAAGGCAAGAAAUUACAGUUAAAAGGCUGUCAAAAGGUUCCAGACAAGGAAUGGAAGAGUUCAAAAAUGAAGUUACAUUGAUUUUUGUUAGUAAUUAUAGGUUUUUGUUACACGUGUGAAAUUCUUCAUUAUUCUUGAUUAUUGAACUGUGUGAUGACACCUUAUGAAUUUGAUUAACUAUAAGUGGCCGAUAUGUUAAUUUGCAUUUUUUUGGUACUCAUCUUAAUGUCAUCUGCUUUUCAGGUGAUGUUGGUGGCUUUUGGGAAUUUACCAUCAAUGUUUUUUUUAUGGAUUAAUUAUUUUUCUAGGAUGGGUUGGUGAUUGGAUAUUUUAGGUGAUUAGAUAUUGUAAAUGAUUUAUGAGAUAUUAUUGUGGAUUUGAUUCACCAUGUAUUUUGAUGAUGCUAUUUGAUGGAAGUUUCCAGUGAUUAAAUAUAUGAUGCCCAAAAAGCUAAGUGGUAGUGAAUUUUUUGUAUGCUGGUAUUGUUCUAGAUGAUAGUGAAUCUUGAUAAAGUCUAAGUGGUAGUGAAAUUUGUAUGCUGAUAUUGUUUGAUAAAGUCUUAAGUAGUAGUGAAUCUUGAUCAGCCUGGUAGUGUUUCAGAUGAUAUAUAGUGUUGUGAUGUUUUUGUAUGCUGGUAAUGAUCCAGAUGGUAGUGUUGGGAUGUAGAUUUGUGAUAAUUGAAUAGAUGAUGUUUUGACAAUGUUAUGGUUAUUUCAAGUGAUGAUUUAGUGAUGUUUUGAUAAUAUCGUUGAGAUAAUUUGGAUGUAUUGAUUUUAUACAUAUUUUGAUUUUUAAAUUUCAAUGGAAUUUAUAAAAUAAUAAAAUAAUAAUAUUAUUAUUUAAAAUAUUAAAAAUUAUUUUCUAAUUUAACAAUAUUAAAAAUGAUUUAAAAUAUUAUUAUUAUUUAAAAUAUUAAAAAAUUUUGAUUUUAAAAAAAUUAAAAAGUCUUUUAAUAAUAUUAUUAUUUAAAAAAAAUUCUCAUCAUGACACCAUAUUAGCAUCAUAAAGCUGCGACACAUAAUUACACGCCAUAAUUUAAAAUUGAAUUCAUAAUACCCGCCAAAUGUUUUUUCACAAUAAAACAAAUUUACCACUAAAAUAUUAAAACGAUGUUGCUUUUGUUGUGACACAUUUGUGAUAGCUAUAAGCUGUCACAUACACCUGUGAUAAAUAAAUUAUUGUCACGGAUUUAUGAGAGGGGCUACAAUGAUAGAUAAAAACUCUGUCAUAAACAGGGUCGGAUGAUAGAUAUUCUCUGUCAUGGUAGCCCAUUUUUCUAGUAGUGACAAUGAAUAUUUAUUAACAGAUUUGACAUAAAAUUAAUUUUUGAACCGAUUGAAACUUCCAAAAACUAAAAUUUCGAAUUUGUUAUAAGAAUAUAAUCUAUUUUAAUUAUCAUUGUCAAGUCCUCCUCUAUGGAACAUUAGCAAAUUUGCAACCUUUCUAGCUUAAAUUCUAGGUUCAAAACCUCGCGGCGGAGUUAAAUUUUGUUAUAUUUAAAAGCUAAAUCUUGAAGAUGAAUUAUUUUCUAAUUAAUUUUUUUGUGGUUCUUUUAUAACGAUGGCAAAAUUCUCUACAGGUUUCGGACCCCACCCCAAAUGGCGUGAAUUUUGAAUAUUUUUUAGAAAUGGGGUGAGAAAUGGAUAAAAAUUAAUCCCUAAGUUUUUAAUGGGGUGAACUUUUAAUUAGAUAGAAACCUAUCCGUUCAAUUGAUGCUGAAAAAAUAAAAGUUUUGCAGGAUGUUUUCUCCUAGUAAUGAAAGAGAACCGUUUGUUUGAUGUACUUGAUGCUCCAGCAAUGAAAGAACCUUAGAAGAGAAUGAAAUGACAACAACAUCAGAGAAUCAAGGCAGAGAACAGCCUAUUGAUAAUAAAUAAUUUAAAAAAUAUAAUGACUAAUUGUGUAAUUCAAUCAAACCUUAUAGACCAAAGGAACAUUUGCCAAAGAUUAAAAUAUGUAUAUAUAUAUAUAUAUAUAUAUAUAUUAAGGCUACAUUUUGUUUAAUCCAAAUGAAGCUAAUCAAUCUAUAUUUUAUUCCAAUAAAACUAUGGCUUCGUUUCAUAUCUUAAUUAAAUUAUAUAAUGAUGAAAUAUUAUAUUCUGAACUUAACUGAAUCCAAUAUCAUUUCACCAAUCGGUCAUAUGAGAUGAAAGAAAAAAAUCUGUUGAAAUUAAUUUUAAAUUAAAGUUGAAGAAUGGUGAUAUGAUACAUACAUAUACAUGACUCUGAAUUUAUUAAAUUGAAGAUGUACUGAUCGUCUUGACGAUGUGACAAAAUACUGGAAUGUGAGAAUGGUCUUUGGACUUUGGUGAAGACUUGAGAGGGCCCAGAGUAAUUAAAAGUCAAGAUUGGCAAUCUGAAAUUAAUCUCUGGCUUUAACAUGCAGGACUUUCUAGUCGGUGAGAAAAGUUUCUGAAUUAAUAUAGGAGCUAAUACAUGCACUUUCUGAACUAAAGAAAACUGAGUUUAAGCGGCGAAUGGCUGUGCAUCUUUGUCUGGUGUUGCUGCAGAUUAUUGUUUUGCGCCUCAGGCCGAUCAUAGCAUCAGAAAGAUUUCCCUGUCCAACUGAAUGUGGAAAUGUCAGCAUCAGCUACCCCUUCGGAAUCGGAGAAGGGUGCUACUUUGACAAGGGUUACGAAGUUAUCUGCGAUCACCCUUCUGGCAUUCCCAAAGCUUUUCUUCCUGGCGUCAACAGGCUAGAAUUAGUGGAUAUUCUCUCUAAUGAUUCAAGAGCCGCGGUUAGAGUCAACGUUCCUGCGAUUUUUUUAAACAGCAGUAGUAAGCGAACAAGCAAUAUUGCUAAAGGCGUCAACUUAUCAGGUACCCCUUUCUCCUUUUCGACUGACAAUAAAUUCGCUGCCAUAGGCUGCAAAAUGAGAUAUCACCAAGGGAACGGUUCAUCUGUGUUUGAUGGGUGUCUGUCGAUUUGUACUUGUGAUCCUACUGUCUACCCUGCUUGCUAUGAUUUCCUAUGCCCCCUUCGUCCAAAUAUUACUCAUCUUUUCAAUCUAAAUAAAUCAUACUUGUUUUCUCAAAGUAUUCCUCAGAAAUGUCAGUCUGUUUUCCUGGUUGAUGAAGAUUGGGUCAACAGCAAGUACCUUGAAGAUCCUCAUGAUUUGGAAGAUCAACGAGAAGUUCCUGCAGUGUUGAAGUGGGGAGAAAAGAUAGGCAGUUGUUUUGAAGAAUAUAACUCAUAUUCUAUUUUUUGUAAUUCGGAUAAAACAGGUUGCUUAACACAAUUAAGCUCAGGCCAUUUAUGUCUUUGCUCUGCUGGCUACAACCUAGAGAAAGCAUACUGCUCAGGUACUUGUUGGAUUAUGUGUUAAAGAGAAUUUUUUUUUUUUUUCAAAGAAAAUAUCCGAACGACAAGACUUGGUGCUCCAGGAGCAUUUAGAUGCUAUUUCCGUAUGAACAUUAGCAAUAAGUGUGAUGAGAAACGGAAAAUGCUAUUGGAGAACCCUAGAGUUUACUAGAGUUAAAUGUCAAAUGAUGUAACAGUCCUCCGUUGGAUGGUAAGAUGAUCAGAAAAGAGUUGUAAAAUUUAUCAUCCAAUAGAUGAUUGAAAUUAUUGAUUUUUAAAAUAUCUAUCGAAUUACCUGUAAAUGAGUAAAGUUUUCCCAUUACUGUAACUAUCUUUGUAAACAGAGAAUUAGAGACUAAAAAUGGUGGAGUUUUAUUUAGUUGUAGCCAUGAUUUAGUUUGAUCUUCCCUUUGAUUUAUUUUUAUUUGUUAUUUUCCGGGCAUGUGACUUGAUCUGUAAUAUCUCAAGCGGCUACAGUUGCUCCAAUUGUCCCGAGGGUUGUAAUCGUCUCUCAUAUCGUUGCAUUAAAAUUUUCAACAAAUCUAACAGAUCUAACAAAUCUCGGGUUAAAUUCAUUAUUAUAGGUAUGCAUGGCGAUCGUUUAUUUUACAUCAUAAUAAAUUAAUAAUAUUUUUCAACAUAUAUUUCAAAUGAAAAUACUAAGUGUUCAUACGUUCAUUUAGAUUGAUGAUAUCUUUCCUAUCAUGAUAUCUUUCAUUAUUGUCCUCGAGAGCCGCAGGUUGCGGUGGUGGGCUUGCGUUAUUCUUUCUACUCAUUGGAAUAUGGUGGUUGUACAAGUUUACAAAAAGAAGAAGGGAAAUCAAGCUCAAGCAUAAGUUCUUUAAAAAAAAUGGUGGUUUAUUAUUACAACAAGAAUUGUCUUCCAAUGAAGGUAAUAUUGAGAAAAUGAAGUUAUUUACUUCAAAAGACUUGGAGAAAGCCACCGACAACUACAAUGCCAAUCGAAUCCUUGGUCAAGGAGGUCAAGGUAUUGUAUACAAAGGAAUGUUAGUAGAUGGACGAAUUGUGGCGGUUAAAAAAGCUAAAAUAUUGGAUGAGAGAAAUCUCGAGCAAUUCAUCAAUGAGGUAGUAAUUUUAUCUCAAAUUGACCCCAGAAAUGUUGUUAAGUUGUUGGGAUGUUGCUUGGAGACAGAAGUUCCUCUUUUGGUGUAUGAAUUUAUUCCAAAUGGAAGUCUCAAUCAAUACAUACACUAUCGAUCCGAGGAGUUUCCAAUCACAUGGGAAAUGUAUUUAUCCAUUGCUUUUGAAGUUUCAGGUGCUCUAUCUUAUCUGCAUUCAGCUGCAUCUAUUCCUAUUUAUCAUCGAGGCAUCAAGUCUGCAAACAUACUUUUGGACGAUAAAUAUCAAGCCAAAGUUUCAAAUUUUGGGGCUUCUAGAUCUAUAACAAUUGAUCAAACUCACUUGACCACUCAAGUACAAGGAACUUUUGGAUAUGUAGAUCCAGAAUACUUUCGGUCAAGUUAUUUUACAGAAAAAAGUGAUGUUUAUAGUUUUGGUGUAGUUCUUGUUGAGCUUUUAACUGGACAGAAACCUAUCCGUUCAACUGACGCUGAAGAAGAUAAGAGUUUAGCAAGAUAUUUUAUCCAAGCAAUGAAAGAGAACCGUCUGUUUGAAGUCCUUGAUGAUCGAGUUCUUAAGGAAGCUGAGAAAGAAGAGAUUAUUACCGUUGCUAUGCUUGCCAAAAGAUGCUUGAACUUGAAUGGGAGAAAGAGACCUACGAUGAAAGAAGUGGCAUUUGAAUUACGGGGUAUAAGAGAAUCAAUUGGAGCUUCCAUUUUGCAGCAAAAUUGUGAAGAGACUGAUUUUGUGGAUGGUGACAUUAUUGGACAUGAUUUCGGAAGAAAUUCAUCUUCUAGUGGGUCAAGUUUAAAUAGUGUCUCAGUUUCUGUAGAUGCCGACCCUUUAAUUUCAAACAAAUGGUGAUAAAGAGAAGAAUUGCCUUGAAACUGUUUGUCUUUCAUAAAUAAGAUUGUGAGACUUUUCCAAUAUUAUCAUUCUUGUAUCGCUAGAGUUUCUUUGGGUACCAUCAUUUGUAAUUAAAAACUUCCAAGUCAUUUCAAUCAAAUUUUCCACUAUUUCAUUGCAUGCGCUGCAUUUUCCUUUUUUUCUUUUUUAGGCAAAUAGAGGAGAUCAAGGAAAAAUCUUUUGAAAUUAAUUUCUUAGUUGAAGUUUACAAAUGCAAGAUGAUAUGAUCUCUCGGUCUAAAGUGCAAGCACUUUAGCACUAUGCCACCUAAUAUCUCUGAGUAAAUAGGAGAGAACAACUUGAGCACUUAAGAGGGCCAACGUUAAAUAAACUCCAGAGUAGCAUGUUGGAAUUUUUGGCUUAUUGUUAUGCAGGACUUUCUUGGUAGUGAAAUAAAGUCAAAAGGAAGAUGGGAGGAAAUAAAGAUCAAUGCAAAUUGAUAGAUAAAAUACCCUACAUCAUUUGUGAGUGCAUCUUAGGUCAAAUAUGUAAAGUUUGAACGAUCCUCAAUUUUUUAGUUAGAUUUUGAGUAUGGCUUAAACCCAUGAAUUUUCUAAUAUUUUAUUAGAGUUAAAUUUAUCUAGAUUAGGCCCAUGCUACUUCCCACAGUACCUUAUCACUUUACGCCCUUCACAUGGAGGCAUUAUAAAAGAGUAAUGCUAAGGGGAUCCCAACUUGAGUUCUAAUGGAUGUGAUAUUUAUCUAGUAGAUAGUAAAAUAUUUAUUUUAUCAAUUAUAAAAUUUAUUAUCCAAUACAUGAACUACAUAUAAAAUUUGAGAUUCAAAACUUAAUUGGUGGGUCACAAUCAUUAUUGGUUAAAAAUGAUAUCCAGAGAUAACUAGAGGUAAAUCAAAAACUCUCUCUCUCUCUCUGUGCUAAGACCCUUUCUGCCACAGGCUAAAAUUCACCAGCUUUGAUCAAUCAACCUGCCUGAAUUACACAGCCAUCACAUUUUCAAACCUCCAAUCUUUCAAAUCUAUUUUUCAACUCUUUGUUUCCAGCCACCGUAGCCGCGAACCAACGACACCUCUCCACUGCUACCUCUCGCCACCAUGUCGCCAAUUGCCCAUCACUAUAGCAAAAAAUUAUGCUAAAGGAGUUUAGGCCGGGGAGGGAACCAGUAGGUCUUUUCUUUUUUCUUAUUUUCUAUUUCUCUUCUAUAUUUCUUUUGUUUUAUUUUUGUAUUUGCUUCUGUUAUUGUACGUUUUUAUGUUUUGUUGUUUUGUAAGAUUUUAUACUGCUCGUACGGUGGUCUACAUAGGCGGUGUUGUUUCAAUGUCCAGAUCGGGAUUGUGUCAGUAUUUGGAUUGGAAUAGUAUGACUACAUUGAAGCUGUUGAGGGCUUUAAUAGUGGUACAUUGAGGUUCCGAUGACCUCAGGCGAAGUUCUGAUGGCCUAGGUCAAGGGCUUAUUGAGAGAUUUUCUAGUGAAUCGUAAGGUUGGUUUUUUUUGUUGCAUUUUGUGGAUUUUUUUUUUUGGUUGUUUGUUUGCAUUUUAUUGUUAGAAUUGUGUUUUCUUGUGUUUUGUUGUAUUAUCGGACACUAGGGGGUAUUUGAACUAUAGUAGCUAAGGUUUGUUCCUCUAGUGUUUCUUUAGAUUUUAAUUUGAGAAAAAGGACACCUACACCUUAAAGUUUGAGGAAAUGAUCGCAAAACUCCUAAGUUUUUAAAAAGGACACUAAAAUUCUUUUUUUACCAUAUUAUCCUUUGAAUUUAGUAAUUAGAAAAUUGACUUUAAAGUUUUUGUAAUUAAUACAAAUUUAAUAUAAAUAAUAUAAUCUAUCUAGUAGAUUAAUAAUAUUAAAUUAUUUUUAAAAUUUAAAAUAAUAUUAAAAUUUUAAAUUAUUAUAUUUAUUUUAAUAAUAUAUUUGUAUUUACUAUAAAGAUUUUAAAUAAAUCUUUGGGUUAAAUAAAUUUUUCAAUUAACAAAUAAUAUCCCUAUUAAUAAGAUCAAAAUUAUUUUUUACAUAAUAUUCAAAAUAAUUUUAAUUUUUAAUUUAUUUUUUUAAUAUUAUGUUUCUAUUUAUUAUUAAAAAUUACUUUAAUAUAAUAAAAUAAGUCUAAUAGAUUGUAAAAUAUUAAAAUAUUUUUUAAAUAUUAAAAUUAUUUUAAAAUGCAUAUAUUAUUACAUUUAUUUUGAUGCCAUAUUUCUAUUUAUUAUAAAAUUUUGGCGUCAAAAGUCAAAGGAUAUCACUGUCAAAAAGGAAUCUUGGCGUCAAUUAUUGAAAAUUUGGGGUUUUUUGUGACUAUUUCCUCGAACUUUGAGAACGUAGGUGUUCUUUUUCCCUUAAUUUGAGAAACAAAUUGGUCUCCUUUGAUUUUAAAAUUUGUUUUAUGUACUGUACUUAAACUUGAUAUAACUCUUAUUUAUAUUAUUAUUAUUAUUGGUCCUUAAUGAAAGUCACGUUUUCUUAAAGAAAGAAAAGAAAAGAAAAGAAAAGUUGGAAGAUAUACGGAGGAGAACUUGUNNNNNNNNNNNNNNNNNNNNNNNNNNNNNNNNNNNNNNNNNNNNNNNNNNNNNNNNNNNNNNNNNNNNNNNNNNNNNNNNNNNNNNNNNNNNNNNNNNNNNNNNNNNNNNNNNNNNNNNNNNNNNNNNNNNNNNNNNNNNNNNNNNNNNNNNNNNNNNNNNNNNNNNAUCAUUAUCUGGUGUUGUUGCAAUCGAUGUUUUUGCCAUUAUGGCCAAUCAAAGCAUCAAAAGAUUUAUGCCAAUAUGAUUGUGGGAAUGCCACUAUCAGGUACCCCUUCGGAAUCGGAGAGGGUUGCUAUUUUGAUAAGAGUUUUGAAGUAAUCUGCGAUUACUCUUCUGGCUCCCCAAAAGCUUUUCUUGCGAGCAUCAACAACCUGCAAGUAUUGGACAAUCAUGUUUAUGGUGUAUCCAACAUUAGGGUAAACAUUCCUGUAAUUUCUUUGAAGAGCAGCAACAUGACAAGCAAUGCUAAAGGGGUCAGUCUUUCAGUUAGCCCUUUUACAUUUUCUCCGUGGGACAAUAGAUUCACAGCCAUAGGUUGCAACAACUAUACUACGAUUAUUAAGCGACAGAAUGAUUCAUCCGUUUUUGGUGGGUGCCUUUCGAUUAGCACUUGUGAUCCUGCUCUCAACCCUGGUUGCUACGAUUUCCUGUGCGCCCUUCCUCAAAAUAUUACUCAGGUUUCCAAUGCAGAAAUAUCUAGUUUUUAUCCGAAAAGUAUUCCUCAGGAAUGUCACUCUGUUUCCCAUUGUUGAAGAAGAUUGGGUCAACUCAAAGUACAUGAAGAAUCCUCACGUUUUGAAAGAUCUCGGACAAGUUCCUGCACUGUUGAAGUGGGCUGAGUCUAGAGGAUAUUUGAUACACCUCUUUGCAACCAAGGAUGUAUCGAUAAGAUUUGCACUCUUCGAGUGAGGGCUGACUCCAAAAGAAAUUCGCGAAGAUGAGCAAGAAUGGAGAGAGAGAUUGAGAGUGAGAGAAGAGUAGAGAAAAGUUAAAAAGAAAUGAUUCAUUCUUGAUUUCCCUUACACGAAUUAGUUAUGCUAUACAUAUACUCCUCUGUCUUUUGGCGUUUAAAAGAAUACAGCUCAGCAUAACUUUGUAACAGAAAAUAUGACAGCAAUAUAUACCAGCAAAAUAUAAAGCCCUAUCAAUUUCACUAUACGACAUAAUCUUUAAACCACCCAGGGGGCCUUCUCACUCUUGUGCCUGUGUACCCUUCCUUACGAGCUACUUCUACUUCAACUUGUGAUGAGGCUUCCUUCAUGGGCUGCGCACAAUUAGACUCAUCGAUGGGCUGCCCUUCUCGUAAACAAUCCGGUUGAUCCAGCUGAAUGUGGGGGGUUGUAUCAUCCCCUCCAGCUUCAAAACUCACCUUGUCCUCAAGGUGAAAAUUAGGAUAAAGCUCACAGAAGGUUUCAAACUCUUCCCAAGUAGAAUCUUCAGGCGAAUUGUUCUGCCAUUGAACCAGAAUUUGGCGACAUCGCGUGCCUUAUUUAAGCACGGUUCUAAUAGCGCAAACUGCAGCAGGGAGAUAUAAUGGCUGAUUGUCCACACUAGUUGAUGGCAAGGAAUGGUGAUCAGGGGUAUGAGAACCAAGAAAGGGUUUGAGAAGUGAAAUGUGAAACACUGGAUGGAUCUUGGAACUGCUGGGCAAGGCAAGCUUAUAAGCUACAGGGCCAACUCGAGCUAGUACAGGAAAGGGGCCAUAAUACCGUUUAGCUAGCUUUUGACAAGAACGAGAUGCCACUGUCUUUUGGCGGUAUGGCUGAAGCUUCACUAGAACUUGGUCCCCAACAGCAAACUGAGCUUUGCGUCUAUGUGCAUUAGCCUUUUGAAUCAUGCGAUGUUGAGCUUGACGCAAAUUCUCUUUCAAGGAACGAAGUAAUGCAUCCUGUUCACUUAAAGCUUCAUCAAGAGCUUAGAUUGAAGUAGAGCCCUUUGAGUAAGGAGGAAUUGCUGGAGGUGGUCGCCUAAAAAGAGCUUGAAAAGGAGACAUUUUGAUGCUGCUGUGAUAAGUAGAAUUGUAGGAAAACUCAGCCCACCCAAGUAGAGAUACCCAUGAGUGUGGUUUGUCUUGGGUGAAAGUGCGAAGAUAUUGCUCCAAGCCGCGAUUGACAACCUCCGAUUGCCCAUCUGUUUGUGGGUGAUAGGCUGUACUGUGUCGAAGGGUAGUGCCACUUAACUCCAAAAAUUGCUUAAGAACACAAGGUCGCGAUCGGAAAUAAUAGAGGUCGGAAACCCAUGAAGCUUUAUUACCAUAUCCACGAACAAUUUGGCGGUCUUUAUGCUGUAAAUUGAGUGGGAAGGGAUCCAAAGUGUGCCGAUUUCGUAAGGCGAUCAACCACUACCAAUAUCACCGUGAAACCUCGCGAAACUGGAAGGCCAGUAAUGAAAUCCAUAGUGAGUUCGUCCCAAACUAAAGUGAGGAUAUGAAGAGGCUGCAGUGGACCUGCUGGUGCUUGAGUAGAAUAUUUAGUCUGUUGGCACACAAGGCAUUUGACCACAAAUCGCUCAACGUCCAUACGCAUUUUAGGUAAAAAAAAAUUAGAUGCCAAGCAGACCAGCGUGCGUUUGAUGCCUACAUGCUCUGCAAGUGGAGUAGAGUGGAAUUCAGCCAAUAGAACCGCUUUAAAGGAUGAUGAUGGACUGAUAUAGUAACGAUUGUGAUAAAAAAGGACCCCAUUAUGCCGCGAAUAAUCCCGUGAAAGAGAUCUCGUAGCAAACUGACGAUGAAGAUCAAUCAUUUCCGGAAGUGUGGAAUUCUCUAGUUUUAGAGUUGCUAACAACUCAAACGACGGGUGACUAAGGAGAGGCAAACAAGAAGCAGUCACUGUUGGUGUUUCCUCACUAGCCUCGUCAUGCAUUCGUGAUAAGGCGUCGGCUGCAAGAUUGGUACAGCCCGGUUUAUACUCAAUGCGGAAGUGAUAGCCUAGUAAUUUUCUGAUGUAGACUUGCCGAUCCGGAGUUUGAACUACCUGCUGGAGAAGUUCCUUAAUGCUCUUAUGGUCAGUUCAGAUUACAAAAAAUCUGCCUAAUAAGUAUUGUCGCCAUUUGUGCACCGCUUCAACAAUAGCGGUUAAUUCCUUGAUGUAGGUAGAAGAAGCACGAAGUCAAGGACCUAAUUUCUUACUGAAAUAAGAUAUGGGGUGCCCCGAUUGCAUAAGCAUAGCCCCGAUACCCACAUUAGAGGUAUCAGUCUCAAGAAUGAAGUCGGAGUCAAAAUCUGGUAGCUGCAACACAGGGGCUUCCACCAUUGCUCUUUUAAGAGCUUCAAAUGCCUCAGCUGCUGCUGGUGUCCACUGGAAGGCAUCUUUACAAAGAAAAUAAGUAAGUGGGGCUGCGAAAGACGCAUAUCCACGAAUAAACCGCCGGUAAUAACCCGUCAAACCCAAAAAAACCUCGAAGUUGUUUUGUAGUCUGAGGAGUUGGCCAACGAACCAUAGUUGUAAUUUUCUGAGGAUCGGCCCGCACACCAGAGGCCGAAACAAUGUGGCCUAGGUAAUCGAUAGCGUCUUGGCAAAACAAGCAUUUGGAUAGCUUGACAAAGAAGUGGUGAAAAUGAAGGCACCACAAGACUUGCUGAAGGUACCGCAAAUGUUCCUCUGCUGUAGCACUAUAAACCAAAAUGUCAUAAAAAAAAAUCACAAAUUUACGCAAAAAUGAAGCGAAAAUCUGGUUCAUAGUAGCUUGGAAGGUAGAAGGCGCGUUUGUUAACCCAAAUGGCAUGACGAGGAACUCAUAGUGGCCCUGAUGAGUGCGAAAAGCCAUUUUAUAAAUGUCGCGGUGGUGCACGCGAAUCUGAUGGUAACUAGCCUGCAAAUCCAACUUGCUAAAGAUUACUGCCCCACCUAAUUCAUCAAAUAAUUCGUCGAUAGUCGGAAUGGGGAAUUUAUCUUUAAUGGUGGCGGCAUUCAAAGCCCUGUAAUCAACACAGAAACGAUAGGUCCCAUCUUUUUUUUUUACCAACAAGACCGAUGAAGAAAAUGGACUUUGACUCGGUUGAAUGAUGCGUUGUUCUAACAUUUCACGGAUCAGUUUUUCCAUCUCAUUUUUUUGGAAGUGGGGGUAGCGAUAUGGGCGGACAUUUAUGGGAGUGGUGUUGGGGAGGAGAUGGAUUUUAUGAUCAAUUGUGCGAUGUGGCGGUAGGGUAGUAGGUGGAAGAAAUAAGUUGAGGUAGGUGUGUAGAAGGCCAACAAAGGGUGCGGUUAAAUGUGGAGGUAAUUCGAAGGAAGAACUCUUGGGAUUACUUUCUGAUUCCUCCCCGGGUACAGGUACCUGUUGCAGAGCGAACAAACUAUAAAUGUCAGCACUGUGGAUUAGAGAUUGCAACUGAUGAAAGGUGAUUAAGGAGGGAGUAGUGGAUAGUUCGCUGUGAAGAGUCACUGGUGCCCCAUUCCAACAAAAUUCCAUAGAGAGGGCAGAGUAAUCAUGAGAGACACGGCCCAAGAAUUGCAGCCAUUGUAUUCCCAACACCACAUCAGGCCCCUCAAUGGGCAGAACAAAGAGGUCCAAAGUGAAGAUCGUUCCCUGCAUCGUGAGAGCAACUUGAGGGCAAAAAUAUUUGCACACUAGAAAAUCCCCAUUGCCAAUAUAAACACGGAAAUGUGUUGUUGGCUGUAUCGGUAAGCCUAAACGCUCUAUCACUGUUGGUUUGAUAAAGUUGUGGGUACUUCUGCUAUCGAUCAAUACUUGAAAGCUGUGAGAACCAACUUCGCCAACCAAACGAAAUGAGUGGGGAUUUAUUUGACCCGCCAAAGCAUUCAAACUGGAAAUAUCCCCUGUUAUGAUCUCUUCGACAGAAUCCAGUGGCAAUUCUUGUUCACAAGAAACAAGCUCAUUAUCAUCAGUACCCAUAAGAAGCAAAAACUUACUACGACAGCGAUGAUUAGCGCUAUAUUUUUUAUCGCAGUUAUAACACAAUCCCUUCUCACGCUUGUCACGUAGCUCUGCUGGAGUAAGGCGGCGAAUCGGUAAGUUGGGUGUGGGUAGAAGUGGUGGUAACGUGUUUGGUUUCGGGGGUGGGGAAGUAUUGUGGGAAUGAGAUAUUGUUUGGGCCAUACCAGUGGAAUGGUGCGGUUGGGUUGAAGCAAGGGGAUAUGUGGUAGGCUGAAAUUUGUGUGACGGGGAGGUUGUGGUAGGAGUAGGUGACAUGGUGUUCCAUUUUGGCAAAAAAGGUGUCCUUGUUUGGCCUCCUCAGCACAGGCUUCAUACGCACGAGCUAGUGCAAAUGCUUCCAUUAGAGAAGAAGGCCGAUCAAAAAGCAGCUCACGACGAAUAUCGAGUUUCAAUCCCGUGAUAAAAAAACUUAUCAGAAGUGGUUCUAAAAUUCCAGUCACUCGAUUCAUUAAAUCUUCAAAAGAGGUCUGAAAUUCUGCCACUGUUGUGGUUUGGGAUAACUUAGACAAAUUUCCUUGAGGAUCUUCAUAGAGGGAGGCACCAAAACGAUGUUUAAGGUUCUGCAAAAAUUCUUUCCAGGUUGUCAACAAGCUGUUCAUUUUCAUCCAUUGAUACAACGCUGUCGCGCGUCCUUCCAUAUGAAAAGAAACAAUCCGCAAACGAAGAGUUUUCGGUGUACCGUGGAAAUCAAAGAACUCCUCAAUUCGAAAAACCCACCCGUUUGGGUAAGAUCCAUCAAACUUACGCACCUCCAUCCUCAUAGAACGGAGCACUGGGGACAACUCAAUACCACUGGAAUUUACCUCAUUAGAAGAAGAGGAUGGGUGUGGUGGAUUAGAAACCCGACCUAAGUGAUUGGAAGACCCAUGGAUCUAUGAACGCAAAUCAUCAAAGCGAGAAUCUACCGUGGCCAUAUAUUGUUGCAGCGUUUGAUGCAAGGACAAUGUUUGGCUCUCGAACUGUUCUUGGAUCGUCUUUAAAAGUUCAGAAUCCGUCAUUACGAUAGCAAUGAAAGCACCAAUGAUACACCUCUCUGCAACCAAGGAUGUAUGGAUAAGAUUUGCACUCUUCGAGUGAGGGCUGACUCCAAAAGAAACUCAUGAAGAUGAGCAAGAAUGGGGAGAGAGAUUGAGAGUGAGAGAAGAGUAGAGAAAGUUAAAAAGAAAUGAUUCAUUCUCGAUUCCCCUUACACGAAUUAGUUAUGCUAUACAUAUAUUCCUCUGUCUUUUGGCGUUUAAAAGAAUACAGCUCAGCAUAACUUUGUAACAGAAAAUAUGACAGCAACAUAUACCAGCAAAAUAUAAAGCCCUAUCAAUUUCACUAUACGACAUAAUCUUUAAACCACCUAGGGGGCCUUCUCACUCUUGUGCCUGUGUACCCUUUCUUACGAGCUACUUCUACUUCAACUUGUGAUGAGGCUUCCUUCAUGGGCUGCACACAAUUAGACUCAUCGAUGGGCUGCCCUUCUUGUAAACAAUCCGGUUGAUCCAACUGAAUAUGGGGGGUUGUAUCAAUAUUGUUAUGAAGAAUAUAAUUCGAAAACUACUCGUAACAAGGACAAUAUAUGUUUUAACACAAUUAAGCUCAGACCUCUUUUGCCUUUGCAAUAGGGAAACAAGCGUUGGCCCACACCGCCAUGGAUAUUGCUUAGGUACAGUUUCGACUACUAAUUAAAUUAAUUUCAUAUAUGAAGUGUAAUUACUUUAUUUCCUCGAACCAACUACGUAUCUAACACAAAAUUAGGGACGGUAAUUGCAGAAUUCGCAUAUGUAAAGAAGGCAAGAUUUAUGUAUAGCCGUGAUUUAAUUUGAUAUUCUAUUUCAUUUUUUUGGUUUGUUUAGGAGACUUGCUCUGUAAUACCACAAGCCGCGACAAUUGCUCAUUGGAAUGUCCCAAAGGUUACUUUUCAAAUCCGAGCGUUGGAUACUGCAACCAAAAUCUUAGUAUGCACAAAAAUUCUCUCAAAUUCAUUAUUAUAGGUAAGUAUUGGAAUUUGCAGAUUUUAUCGACAGAAUAACUUACCCCAUAUAUAUAGGCUCACAAACUUAACAGACUAAACAGUUCCUUGGCAUAAAUCACCUCGAAUGUGCAUUAAAUAUUCUUAGCCUGAAGUGUUGCAGGUUGCAGUAGUGGGCUUGGAAUGUUGUUCUUACUAAUUGGAACAUGGUGGUUAUACAAGUUCGUUAAAAGAAGAAGAGAAACCCAGCUCAAGCAAAAUUUCUUUAAAAGAAAUGGUGGUUUAUUAUUGCAACAACAGUCCUCAUCAAAUGAAGGUAAUACUGAGAAAACAAAAUUGUUUACUUCAAUGGAAUUAGAAAUAGCUGCUGACAACUUCAAUACCAAUCGAAUCCUUGGUCAAGGAGUCCAGGGCACAGUGUACAAAGGAAUGUUGGCAGAUGGAAGAAUUGCGGCUGUGAAAAAAUCCAAAUUAGUGGAUGAGGGUAAUGUUGAGCAAUUCAUCAAUGAGGUGGUAGUUUUAACUCAAAUUAACCACAUAAAUAUUGUUAAAUUGUUCAGAUGCUGCUUGGAGACAGAGGUUCCUCUUUUGGUGUAUGAAUUUAUUCCAAAUGGAACUCUCUAUCGAUAUAUACACGACCAAACUGAGGAGUUCACAAUCACAUGGGAACGUUUACGCAUUGAUGUAGAAGUUUCAGGUGCUUUGUCCUAUUUGCAUUCAACUACUUCUAUUCCUAUUUAUCAUCGAGACAUCAAGUCUGCAAAUAUACUUUUGGAUGAUAAAUUUCGAGCAAAAAUUUCAGAUUUUGGGGCUUCUAGAUAUGUCACGAUUGAUCAAACUCAUUUGACCACACGAGUACAAGGAACUUUUGGAUAUCUAGAUCUAGUGUACUUUCAGUCAAGUCAAUUUACAAAGAACGGUGAUGUUUAUAGUUUUGGAGUUGUUUUUGUUGGGCUUUUAACUGGACAAAAACCUAUCCGUUCAACUGACAUCGAAGAAGAUAAAAGUUUAGCAGGGUAUUUUCUCCGAGCAAUGAAAGAGAACUGUUUGUUUGAUAUGCUUGAUGCUUAAGUUCUUAAGGAAGCCAAGGAAGAAGAGAUUAUUACCAUUGCUAUGCUUGCAAAAAGAUGCUUGAACUUGAAUGGGAGGAAGAGACCUACAAUGAAAGAAGUAGCAUUUGAAUUAGGGGGCAUUAGAGCUUCAAUCGGACCUCAAAAUUGUGAAGGCAUUGAUUUUGUGGGUGGCAAUUUUAAAACUGGUUCAUCUUCCACAGGGGCAAUUUUAAAUGCUGUUGCUUUUUCUGUAGAUGCUGACCCUUUGUUUUCAAACAAGUGGUGAUUAAAGGGAAAUUCUUCCCUUUGAAAUGUAAUUAUUUCAUUUCAAAAUAAAUUUAGUUGUGGACUUUUGCAUUAUGCUUCUCUUAUGGUUAAAAUUUUUCACUCUAGAUCAAAAUAUACAGAGUUUGAUGUUCACUUUGUAAGUAGUCAGUGGAGAAAUAAAUUUACAAGGUAGAUUCCAAAAAAGCAUCUGGUGGCAGACAUAUUUAAAGAUUUAAGAAGUAAACCUCUAAUGCUACCAUUAUUUAGGGGCCCUGUGCAUCAAGAAACAGAGGACCCUGCACUCGAACUUUGAAGCUGAAGGAGUUGGACAUCUCAGCAUCUGAGUCUGCAUACAAGUGGAACAGGAGAUGCUGACAUGACAUCCUACGUGGAACUUAUGCGACACAUAUAAUGAGUCCAAUUCGUUCCUAGUUCAUACGCUUACAUUGUAACCCCGUUCUGUGUUUCCAGUACCAUUGGUGAAUCAUCACUUCGUGCCAUUGUAUUGCUAAUAGCACCUUUGCCUUGAUUGAUUUUGCUGACAAUAUGUAGGUUGCAUUUGGAACUGAGGUGCUAUAACUUUUAAUCUGCAGUUAUUGUGGAGUAAAAGUCAUAGUUGUGGUGUACAAGCUAAUGGUGUUGGGUAAAUUUUAAUAGUUGUGGAGUGGAAGCUAUAGUGUUUGGUAAAUUUUAAUACAUGUAGAGUGGAAAUUGAUGAAUAUUUGUAAUAAUUAAUUUUAAAUAAUAUUAUUUUUAAUUAUUAAUUAAUCAAAUUAGUUUUCAUAUUUUGAAUUAUUAGAUUAACAUAUGAUUGUGUUUAUUACUUUGACAAAUUAAAUUAAUAUUUAAUUAAUCAAAUUUAUUUUUCUAUACAAGUUGUAAUAAAUAUUUUUUAAAACAAAAUAAUUUAAAAUUGAAAAUAAAUAAAUUCUAAUUUUACACAUUGAUUGAAGAAAUAAAUUAUACUAAAUAUGUCUAAUAAAGAUCAUACAACAUAACAUUAUAAAAUUAAAAUGUAAUUAAUUACAAAAUUCUUAUAAACAUUUCCAUUGUCAUGCCUCCAUUAAACUUGCAGCAACGCCAUCUCUGAAGAUUAUUUUAUCUUGAGUUAUGUUAUCGACUGUAUCAUAACUUUUUGUGGGAGAUGCAAUAUAGCUUAUAUGUUCACUAUUAUUAUGAUUUAGCUUAUCCAUUGUUUCAUCAAAAUGAUCAUGAUUUUGUGAAUAUCCUUUGAUGUAAUUAUGUAAGGCCAUGGUAGUAAUAACUAUCUUCACCUGCUUCUUUAAUGUAUGGCUUGGCAUAUUUUGUAAAAUCUUCCUUAUUUGUUUUAAACCCCAAAAGAACUUGUUAGAAUGAACAAUACUCUCAACAUUAAGAGAUUCAAAUGCCUCAUUACUCUUUAAAGGAAAACUAGAUGAGGGAAACCAAACAAGGUCACUUGUAGCCACUGCAUUUGAAUAGUUAAUUUAGUUUUUUCUCCAACUAUGAAUCAAUACCAUUUUUUUGAAUUCUAUUGAAUUGCAAAUUUUCAUUUAUUUUCUUUUCCUACCGGUCCUCACUUGCAUCAACUAUACUUAACUAUGAUUCCACCUUAAAUAUGUUUCCUAGUCAAUCAUAUUCUUCCACAAUUUCCAAUUAGUUCUAAGAGAAUCCUAUUUGUUUUUCAUUUGAGUUCUAUUAUAAUCCAAUCCAAUUUCUUCAGUGAAUUCCUUAAUGAAAUAUUUAUAUGCUUGGAAAGUAGCCUUACUAGCUGAGCUACUAGACCUAAUUUCGUACACUUACACCUAGAAUAAAGAAUAAUAUUUCUUUGUCAAACAACAAUACCGGAAAGAGAUUAAUUAAGAGCAAUACCCAAUUUUUUUAAAAACAAAUAACACUAAUUAAGGAUGAAUUAUGUGUAGCAGCAAUGAACUAUGUCUAACGUUACACACCUGUAACACCCCAGCCCAACUUUGAGGACAAAUCUAACCACAACUCACCUAUGUACUUAAAUAUCUCUUUACAAUCAACAACAAUUCAAGUCUUAAAUACAAUAUUUAAAUAGCAGGAGACUUUAAAGAUUUUGCACAAUCAUCUACCAUCCUCAAUUUAAGUCUUCUCCUCACUCAUCACGAAUAAAUCUUGACUUCUGAAAACUGAAUCACAAUAAACUAUAAUGAGUACAAAACUCAAUAAGUAAACUGGUUUUUCAUAUACCAAAAUAGAUACAUACUUAUAUACAAUGUAAAUAGAUAAUAUGCCAUGAUAUUUUCAAAACACUAUAAAAUAAAUUCAUCAAAAUCUCUUUCUGUUGCUUUCAAACUUUCACAUUUUCUUUCAAUAAAAUACAUAUCAUGCAUAAGGCAUUUUGCGCAAUACUUGGCACUUUGCACUAUGCGUUGCACUUCACGACACUCUGACCCUCGAGAGGUGGCCCCUACAUAGUCUCAAAAGGUGGCCCCCACACGGCUUCAAGAGGUGGCCCCCAAUGCAAACUCUCAUAAAACUAAGUAUAAUAGCAAAAUUCAUGUACAAAUCAUAAAAUUAUAAAAUGCAAUAUUAUUAAACAUACUUUUUAUAAAAGCUUUGCAUGUUCAUGCUUAUGCCAAUGAACUUUCAUGCACACAUAUGCCCAUGCAUAUAAUCAUGUUCAACACAUAACAACACAUCACAUAAACACAUGGGUAGAAACAUAUAAAUCAUAUAUGUGCAUAUAAAAAAUAGGUUUUUCAAACAUGUCAAACAUAUACAUAUUAAUUUAUUGUGAUCCAUUUAGAAGUUUAGUUUACUUACCUCUUGGCAUCCACAUGUAACAAAUGCGUAUUGAUAUCAUCAACCUAAAAAUCAUUUAUAAACUCUCAUUAGAUAUAAUCAAGUCCUAAUCAUAAUUCUAAUGUCCUCAAAUUUCUCAUUUUAAACAUAUCCUAAACUCAACCUCAAAUACUCUCAAUAUUCGAUCCCAAAACAGAACAACCCAUGUUCUCUGAUUUUUGAUAAUUUAUUAUCUUAUUGGAAAAGUCCCAAAUUUUCAAGAGUAUAUGCUAACAUACUAGAAAUUCAUUGAUUAAAAUUUCAUAACUUAAUUCUUUCAAAAACUAUUGAAAAUAAUUUACGUUUCAGAUAUCAUUAAUUCUGUCAAACAACUUUCUAUUUUAAACAUACUUGUUUUAAAAAUACAAAACAAUUUAUUGUUUUAUCAUAAAAUCAUGAAAAUUUCCAAAAUCACACUAGACAAAUAUAAAAGUUGCUAAUCCAAGUUUCAUAAUUUUGGAAGAAAUCUAGCUAUGGUAAGAUAAAUUCGUAAUUCAUGUUCUUCAUUGAAAUUAGAAAUUUCCAUGUUUUCAAACUUGAGUUUAAAAAUUGUAAUUAAUUGAAAUCUUAUCCGGUUAGCUUGAAACAAGUUCCAAACAUUCUUCUAGUUUAAGAUAUUCAAAAUCUAGAAUCAAAAUCAAUUUGUACAAAUGGCUAUGAUUUUCGAAAUAACACUCUGUCAGCAUAUUUUCUGUGAAAUCUUAAGUUCUACUUCUAUUACUACUAUCUAACCAUGCUUCUCUAUAACAAUUAACACACUCUCAGCAUAGUUUCUGUGAAAUUUACCUCCAAUUCUCUCUCGACAUAAUAUCCAAUUCAAAAGCCACUACUUUGAUCUCAUGUGUCGCUCAUGGCUAACAAAGAAGAAGACUUUCUUUUUCUUCUUCUCUUCUUCUUUUUCAUGUGUUCUUUUUUUUUUUAACUCGCUCUCUCUCUCUCUCUCUCUCUCUCACAUUAAUAGCAAAGGAAGGCAUCUAUUGGGGUAUUACGCGUUUACCCCUUAAAAGAAUUUCGUCCUCGAAAUUCGCUUUUAGUUAUGCUCAAAAGAAUCUAAACCUCAAAAUCACUUAUGACCAAUAAAUCCUUAUAAAGACUAAAAAGAAACAUAUCAUGCUGUCGUUGCGCUACUCUGAUGCCUCAAUUAUAUAUUUCUUGGAAACAAAAUCACAAAGCGUAAAGGUGUGGUAUAGACCUAAUUCUAUUCAUCCUUACAACAUCCUUUCCAAGCGAUGUAGGAUGUCACAAAUGUCCACACAUUCUUGAUUGGGAAUGCUCUAAUACCAUUUGUAACAUCUCAACCUAAACUCUAAGGACAAAUUAAUCUAACAAUAACUCACAUAUGUACUUAAAUAUCUCUUUACAAUCAACAAUAAUUCAAGCCUCAAAUACAAUAUUUAAAUAGCGGGCGACUUUAAAAAUUUUGUCAAACCAUCUACCAUCCUUAAUUCAAGUAUUCUUCUCACUCAUCACGAAUAAAUCUUGACUUUUGGAAAUUGAAUCACAAUAAACUAUAAUGAGUACAAAACUUAAAAAGCAAACUAGUUUUUCAUAUACAUAGAUACUUAUAUAUAAUAUAAAUAGAUGAUAUGCCAUGAUCAAUUCAAAAUAUUGUAAAACAAAUUCAUCAAAAUCUCUUUCUGUCGUUUUCAAACUUUCACAUUUUCUUUCAAUAAAAUACAUAUCAUGCAUCUAGUAAUUUACGCAAUGUGUGGUACUUUGGACUAUGCGUAGCACUUCGCGGCACUCUAUCCCUCGAGAGGUGGUGCAACACCUUGGCAAAUCCUACAUUGACAAAGCAUAGAAGAGAUGUUGGGUUUAUAAGAGGUGUUUCAUGACACGACACAAAAGCGUAUUACUCACAAGUAUAAGAGUGUCUAGUUAUAAUAUAACCCGGUGAGUCUAGGGUCGAACCAUAGGGAAUUUUAAAAUCUAGUUGUCAAUUUGUUAAACAGAGAAAAUAAUUCUGGGGAAAUAAAUUAUUUGAAAACAAUUUAAAAAUAUGCUAAGGUUACGGGAUCCACUCUCAGUAUUCAAACUAUAAUUUUUAUACUCUCUCAUUUAUAUUUUGCCUCACUUUUACUAGUUAAUUAUUAUAUCACUUAAUUCUAUGUGUGAGGAUAAAUAUGGAAUAAAGUACCCAAAUUUUGACAUGGAAGAACUGGUUGGAAAGGCUGUGCAUGAUUGUCAUUUGUCCAACUGAAAUUUGGGUGGUUUCUCCAACCAAAGUUGUAAGUUUGGGAGUAUUGAUUUGAAUUUGGCCUUUUGAAAUUGUCAACGACAUUUACUUGUUCAUGCAAACUUUCUCUCAGAGCUGGCAAAGUUGGACAGUCCUGCAUAGAAUGGUCAGUAGAAUUGCAAACAUAACGUGAAAUAUUUUGAACAGACUUUACAUGAUCAUUCCUUUUCAACUCUAAUGCUUCGACUUUUCUAGCUAAGAAUGCAAAUGUGGCUUGAAAAUCACGGUCUUCCCUAAGGUUGUGCAUGCCUCCACUAAAUGGAGAUGACUGAGGCUUACUUGAUGACUCAUAAGAACCAACUGUAUCCCAGUGUUGUGCAUUCUCUGCUAUAUAGUUAAGAUAGUCUAAUGCAUUUUCAAGACUUUUAUCCCUAAACUCACCAUUACACAUCAUUUCAACGACUUGUCUGCCUUGGGAUGUUAAUCCCUCGUAGAAAUAAGACACUAAUCUCCAUGUUUCAAAAUCGUGGUGUGGGCAAAUGUUAAGUAGUUCUUUAAACCUAUCCCAACAUUGGUAGAGGGUUUCUCCUGGUUUUUGAGUGAAUGUGGUGAUUUGUCUUUUGAAAGAAUUUGUUAUGUGGGGUGGGAAUAAUGUUUUCAAAAAUUAUACUUGCAUUUCAUCCCAAGUUCUGAUAGAUCAUGACCUAAUGUUAGAGUGCAAUUUAUGCACUAGUUUUGUAUUGUUUACUUCCUUUAAUAUCGAUGUUUUGUACUUAAUGAUAGUGAUUUACUUGUCUUUUAUUUUUGUAGGUGCAAUUCUAUUGAUUGGUGCUAAAAUUGAGCUACAAGAUGAUGUUUGAGGAUGAUUGUUUUCCUGGAGAAAUUAUGAGCUUUAAAAGAACUUUGUUGAUAAGGCGUGGGCGCGUGCUGUCAACUAAGGACUUGCAGUUUUUAUUUUAACGUGUUUUAUAUUUUUGGUUAUUUUUGUAAUUUCAAAUUUAAUAUUUACAUAAUAUUUUAGAUAUUAGUAUUUUAUUUUGGGAGAAACGCUAGAAGAGGGGGGAGAGAGAUUUUUGGAAAAAGAAGAAAAAGUAACCCUAAAUCUAAUUUUUCUCUUCUCUCUAUGAAGAACUAAACCUAUUAUUCUGGUUAAAGGUUAAUAAAGCUUUGAUUCAUCAUUAUUGUGAGAUCUUUCUUAUGCUUUAAUUGUUUUAUUGCUUUUUGGGUAUUUGUUUAUUCUCUAAAUUAUUGUCAUGAUUAUGUUUGUUAAUUAGAUAAUUGGCCACUACUUAAUUAUCAACUUAAUCUAUUAUCAAUUAAAAGAUUCAUCGUAUGAAGAUUUUAAUGUUUAUGACAAAUAAUAUAGUAGUGCGUUGUGUUAUGAGAAUAAACAAUCUAAUUUAAAUGAAGUAUCGUAUGCGUUUGUUGAUUAGGAUUUGGGUCUCUCUGGUUUUUCAGGCUGUCAAUUGAUUAAAUCCUAUGAUCGUAUCUAGGGUUGUCUAUUGUUUAGGGAAAUAACCAAUGGUCGUACCUUGGUUAUAGACUAGUUAAGGAGAGAUUGACUAUUAGAGAGUCUCAGUAGCUAUAACCGGUCUAUUCAUAAGUAGUAGUGAUUUAUAUUUGAAUCAAUGAUUAGUAGUUGAAUUAAGCUGAGUUAAUUCCUUCAACCAGAGCUUUUCCUAAUUUGAAUUAAAAUUUGAAUUUGCAUUUUUGUUAUUUUAAUUUGAUUUUUAUUAUUGUCAACAAUCCCCCCCAUUUUGCAUUUUACAUUUUAAAAUAAUUUAAAUAAUUAUCGAUAUCUGUGGACACGACCUUAUGAAGGUUUUUCGGUGAAUAUUGUGGAGGAAGUGACUCUCGAGAGUCCCAUUUAUGCAGAUUGAUGCAUGAAUGUGUCUAACCAAAGAUAUAAAACAAAGGCGCUUUUUGGGAGGAAACCCAAAUGAUUUAUUUAUUUUGAAUUUUGUUAUAUCUUUUGUUUUUAAUUUUGAUUCAGAUUGUUUAAAUAAUGUUUUUGCUUAUUUUGGCCAGAAGAAAUUUUUUGGUUAGGCGUGCCCACGUUUUAACUAAUAAGAACUUCUAUGAUUUUAAAGUACAAUGGUUUUAAGGCUUGCCCAUAUGCUUAUUAAAAAAGUACUUCUGUAAAUUUUUUUGGUGUCUCAAGUGUCUCUUUUAGUUUUUAGUUUCAAUAAAAAAAAUAUUUGAAAAUAAAAAGGUUUUUUAAAAAAUUUUAUUUGAUAAAAAAAAUUGAAAUUUUUUUUUCAGGUUUUAAUCCCUAGCGCGCAGCUCUAGCCCGCGUCUCCAGUGCAAGCAGCCGCGUCUGCACCAGCCCAGCAUCCUGCGCGCAGUACCAGCCUUGAAACCAGCACCAGCGUCUCCAGCGCGCGUUUGCACCAGCCCUGCAAGCAGUCCAAGCCCAGCAACCCGCACAGCCUCACUCUCCUCUGUUCAAAGGACCGCCGCUUUUCGCAUUCAAACAAAACCCGUGAGUGAAAUUACUGUAACAAUGCCAAAGAGGAAAGCAUCAACUUCCAAGUUAUCAACGUCUAAAAAAAACUCGUUGCAAAGAAAUCCAAGAUUGCCGCUCCCACUACGGUCCCAUGGAACACAGUUUCAGAUUCACGCCAAGCCGUGAGACAAAGAUCGAAAUAUGGAAAAGGCAUGAGUGUUUUGCCACUUGCUGAAUCUAAUCUCAGAGGGUGCCUCACAUUCACGACUCAACAAGAGAAAGAAAUGUACAAAGAUAUUUCCAAGUGAAAAAUACUUCCAGCUAAGUAUAUUCAUUACCCGACUCUUGAAAAAUUGAAUGUUAAGGAUAAUUUUAAUUCUUUGAUAGAUAAGAUUGGUUUGCGUAAGUUUGUUGAUGUUGAUUGUUUGGGUUAUGUUGAGUUGAUUAGGGAGUUCUAUGCUACUUUUCAAUUUAAUAUACCGAAUGAUUUUACUUUGCAUACUCUGAAUGUUAUAAAGUUUAGGUUAAUGCGACGAAAUUUUUCACAAUCUAUUACAGAUUUUAACCUAGCUUUAGGAUUCAUUGAUGAUGAUUAUUCUUCUAGUGAUGCAUAUUUAGGGACAAAUUGUGACUUUAGCAAAAAUUUUGAGCCUUAUGGUCUUUGGCGUAAUUUAUUUUUUGAUCACAAUGCCUACGACCCGAGUAAAUCAAAGAGCUCUUUUUUACGUGAUCCUGUUUUGAAAUGUGUGCAUCGGUUCUUAGCAUUAGGAAAUAAAGAUCACUCGAGAGUUUUCUCUAAAAUUGAGUUUUAUUUUAUUUGGUGCAUGUUAAAUGAUGUGAGGCCUAAUCUAGGUUUUUAGUUAGCAGAUCAAUUUUAGAGUGUGCUUAAACGGUAUAGGACUUUAUUUCUUGGUCCAUACAUUACUCUGUUAGCUAUAAACUUAUGUGUACUUGAUCUUGACAAUAAUGAUUUACAUCUUGCUUGCAAAAAGGAAUUUUUGGAUAUGUCUUUGUUUGAAAGAGCAGGUUUGGUCUAAUUCGAGGGGAGAUUUCAGUUUACUGAACCAGGACCCACUCAAAUUCCAAAGAAGCUUUAUGCUAGGAGUCGUGCUACCUCUGAUGACGUGUUUGGCGACGAAAUUGCUGCCCCACCAACUAUUCCUGCUACAUCUGCACCACCUUUGAGCAUUUAGUUAGAGAAAAUGGAGCACAUGCUAAACAAGAUGAAGCAGAAUUUGGCCGCAUACUUCGAGAGUGUGGGAUUUAUCCCACCAUUUCCGUCAAGCCCAUAAACGUUAUGUGGAUCAAAGCUCACAAUUCAGAGAAGUUUUGCCUUUAAUCUUUUAUCCUUAUGCUUUAUUUCUUUAUGUGAGCUUUGAUUAUCAUACAUUGAGGACAAUGUAAGUUCUUGGUGUGGGGGAGGGAUUUUUGCAAUAUUGAUAUCUGGAAGUAUUAUUUUCACUCUGCUCAUCUUUAAAUGAUUUUGGAGUUAGUAUGCUUCAUAUAUUAUUCUUAAUUUUUUUCUUUUCUUUUCUUUCUCAAUACUCUUUUCCCAUCUAUCUCAAAUUAUUUACAUCUAUUUUUAUUUUAUCAUACUCUUUCAUCACUCACAUUUUAUAUUUCACUUUUUAUAUUACUACAUACAUCUUUCUCGCUUCUUAUCCUCUUGACCUUUCCUUUUAUAUAUCACUCAUACCUUCUUCUCAUUCUACACCACUAUUGAUGGUUGUUUCAUUUGAAGAGUGUACAUGAUUUGAUGGCAAAUUUACCAACUUUGUGAGGAUUUGAGCCUAUGAGCAACCAUUUUGCUCUAAUUAUUUUUGUUAUGUGAAUAUCAAUCUUAGUUUGUUUAUUCUAGAACUUGCUUUGUUAUGCAUGUUGAAGCCAUAUUACGGGAUUUUAUGCAUUAAAAUGAUAAGGGCAAACCACUUUCCAUUUCUCUAUUUUCGAAUUUUUCUUCUUUUUCUCCAUCCGAAGACCUUUAUUUGUUAUCUUUGUUUGAGCCUUAACCAUUCUCUUCACUUGUUUUAUUAUUAUUACUUUUGACCAUCUAAUUCUCUCCAUCUACUUACCCAUUUUCCUUUUUUUUGAGCUCCAAUUUAAGGAGAUUUUUGGACUCAUUGUUUGGAUAUAUUUUGUAUAUAUUCUGUUGCUUUUGCUACAUUGAAUUAAAGUUUCUCAAUUAGAUCAACAAGCAUUAUGCUUGAAUUAAAUUGUGCAAGGUUCAUUUCUUUUGUUUGGUUCACCAUUACUGUGAAAAAAGAAAAAAAAGAAAAAAAACAUUAAAAAAAAGUGUUUAUAUUCUUGGCGAUUUGAGUAGAAAUAAGUGUUUUGAUAUUAUAAGGUUCAUUCAAUGAGUUCAUUCUUCUCGGUUUGAUCUCUUUUUCUUUCAUAGACCUUUCUUUUUUAUUUAACCCAUUUAACCUUGUUACAACCUUUUUAAGACCCUUAGAUUUUUUCAUUUAAUUCAUGUUUUGUGGAUUGAGAUGUGAUAUAUGAGCAAUCUUAUGGUAAUAGCAUUCUUUGAUUUGAUUUGAGUGCAUAAAUGAUACCCUAAACACUUUGAGUGCAUGAAGUGAAGUCAAUGAGAGGGCUAUUAAAUCUUGUUGCACUUGAAUUUUGAAUGGAUCUUCUUGGUGGAUUGAAUGCUUUUAUACUAGCUUAUGAGAUCCUAUACUUUAAAAUCCUUGUCUCUCGAAUGUUGAUUGACUUAAAUUCUUGAGGUAUGCUUGCUUAAAUUUGUUUUUGGAUGAGUUGAGAUGAGAAUUGAGUGGAGAUUUGGGAUUAGUCUUGAGUUAUAUGCUUGAGGACAAGUAUUAUCUUGGUGUGGGGGAAUUUGUUAGAGUGCAAUUUAUGCACUAGUUUUGUAUUGUUUACUUCCUUUAAUAUCGAUGUUUUGCACUUAAUAAUAGUGAUUUACUUGUAUUUUAUUUUUGUAGGUGCAAUUCUAUUGAUUGAUGCUAAAAUUGAGCUACAAGAUGAUGUUUGAGGAUGAUUGUUUUCCUGGAGAAAUUAUGAGCUUCAGAAGAACUUUGUUGAUAAGGCGUGGGCAUGUGCAGUCAACUAAGGACCUGCGGUUUUUAUUUUAACGAGUUUUAUCUUUUUGGUUAUUUUUGUAAUUUUGAAUUUAAUAUUUAGAUAAUAUUUUAGAUAUUAGUAUUUUAUUUUGGGAGAAAUGCUAGAAGAGGGGGGAGAGAGAUUUUUGGAAAAAGAAGAAAAAGAAACCCUAAAUCUAAUUUGUCUCUUUUCUCUAUGAAGAACUAAACUUAUUAUUCUGGUUGAAGGUUAAUAAAGCUUUGAUUCAUCAUUACUGUGAGAACUUUUUUAUGCUUUAAUUGUUUUAUAGCUUUUUGGGUAUUUAUUUAUUCUCUAAAUUAUUGUCAUGAUUAUGUUUGUUAAUUAGAUAAUUGGCCACUACUUAAUUAUCAACAUAAUCUAUUGUCAAUUAAAAGAUUCAUCGUAUGAAGAUUUUAAUGUUUGUGACAAAUAGCAUAGCAGUGCGUUGUGUUAUGAGAAUAAACAAUCUAAUUGAAAUGAACCAUCGUAUGCAUUUGUUAAUUAGGAUUUGGAUCUCUCUGGUUUUUCAGGCUGUCAAUUGAUUAAACCCUAUGAUCGUAUCUAGGGUUGUCUAUUGAUUAGGGAAAUAACCAAUGGUCGUACCUUGGUUAUCGACUAGUUAAGGAGAGAUUGGCUAUUAGAGGGUCUCAGUAGCUAUAACCGGUCUAUUCAUAAGUAUUAGUGAUUCAUAUUUGAAUCAAUGAUCAGUAGUCGAAUCAAACUGAGUUAAUUCCUUCGACCAGAGCUUUUCACAAUUUGAAUUACAAUUUUAAUUUGCAUUCUUGUUAUUUUAAUUUGAUUUUUAUUAUUGUCAACAAUCCCCCCCCCAUUUUGCAUUUUACAUUUUAAAAUGAUUUAAAUAAUUACUGAUCUCUGUGGACACGACCCUGCUUAAUCACUAUACACAAUUUAUUUAGAGUAGGUAUUUAUUUUUGCUGGCUUCGACAACCAUCACCUAAGAUUUUGUAGCCAAGUUUUAUCUUUAUCCUUUAGUAAGAAAAGAAAAAACUUAAGCCUGAUUAUAUUCAUGCUACAAUUUUGAUCAGUACAUGUGUUACAGACUUCCUCAAAUUCCCUUAAAUGCAAAUAUGGAUUUUCAGACACAAAACCAUGAAAAAUAGGAAGAAGUUGAAUGAUACCAGGUUUGAAAUUAAAACGUGAUGCAUCAGGAGGGAAAACUAUGCAUGAUGGUGAUCUUGUUCUAGUGGGAUGCAUGAAGUCUUUAAGGGUCCUAGGCUGUUCAUGAAGAUUUUGCAAGACUUGGUCAUUUUCGUACUCCGAAAAUUUUUUAGCUCCUAUGUCAGCCAUAUCUAAGGGUGGUGAAGGUGAUCUCCUAAUUAAUCUGCCACUAUUUGUACGAGACCAACAAUGCAUGCAAUGCUAAUGAUGUGUGCUAAACCAAUGAUGCAUAAAAUGCUAAAUGAAAAUUGUAGAAAAUAAAAAUAAACUGGAAAUUAAAUAAGUAAAAAUGCGAAAUAAAAAUAAACAAAUUGAAAAUAAAUUAGGUGGUGAAACCAGCCAUAAACAAAGAAAUUACAAAAAUAAAUAAAUUUGGCAGUGAAACCAACCAUAAACAAAGAAAUUAAAAAAAACAGUUUAGGCGGUAUUUUAAAACCAGCCAUAUAAUAAAACAUAAAAUUAAAUUAAUUAAUGUACAAGAAUAAAUAAACUGAAAUUAAAAUGAUAGGCCGUAAAACCAACCAUAUCAAUAAAUUAACAAAUUGAAAUUAAAAUUCUAGGCGGUAGAACCGAACAUUUAAAAUAAAUGCGGAAAGUAAAUUGUAGAAAUUUGGGAACUGAUUUGCAAAGGUUUUUGGGCUAAAAUGAAGUUUCUCACAAAUUUUAUAGAUAAUGUUAAAGUUUGAAAAGAGGAGGGGCACUGACUGAAGUUUUACAAAAAGAGAAUAAAAUAGAAUCACAGAAAGAUAGUAACGACAAAAAAAUAUUAAAAUAAACUAAAGUAAAGAUAAACUGACACCAAAUUUAGAAAACUCCGCGGUAACGGCGCAAAAAACCUGACACGACUUAAAAGUGUAUUACUCCCAAGUAUGAAAAUGUCUAGUUAUAAUAUAACUCGGUGAGUUUGGGGUCGAACCACAGGAAAUUUUAAAAUCUAGUUGUCAAUUUGUUAAACAAAGAAAAUAAUUGUGGGGAAAAUAAAUUAUUUGAAAACAAUUUAAAAAUAUGCCAAGGUUAUGAGAUCCACUCUCAGUAUUCAAACUAUAAUUUUAAUACUUUCUCAUUUAUAUUUUGCCUCACUUUUACUAGUUAAUUAUUAUAUCAUUUAAUUUUAUGUGUGUGGAUAAAUAUUGAAUAAAGUACCUAAUGUGCCACACUAUAUUAAUGUGUCGACAUUAUGUCAAAAUACCAUACAAAUCCAAAGAAAUUUAUAAAUUAACAUGACAUAAAAAUAACUAGAAAAGAAUAAAAUAAACUUAAAAACUCAUUUGAGAAAAUAAUAAAUUUAAUAGUUUGAAAUAUUGAGUUUCACCCUUCACUUCAACUUAAUAAAAUUAGUCACUCAUAUUGAAAGAAAACACAAUACUCUUUUUAUUUCUUGUACUUUUGAAAUAUGUUACAAAGAAAAUUGAUACAGACGAAAACAAGAAAAGAAAAGAAAAGAAAAGAAAAGAAAAGAAAAGAAACAAAGAAACAAAGAAAUUCUUCAACUACACCCUUAGCUAUCACUCUCUCUCAGAACUCGGCUCCGUCCCCCAAUGGCUUGUAUCUCCUUGCAUUUUAUAGGCAAGGGAAGCAUCUUCUUUUCUUUUAUUUCAUUAAUAUUAAUAUUUUAUUUUAUUUUUAUAUUAUAAAUAUGUUAAUUGAAAUGUGUGAUGGCCUCCUGACCAUCACCAACAUGCUUGCCAAUCCUUUUUUUUAUUUGUUUUAUUUUUAAUAACAUCUCCUCGAUUGAUGAAUUCUAAAUUGCUCCAGCUGUCUUUCUUUAUUCUCGCUUUUAACUCCAAUUCCAUCUUUAUUCCUGAAAAAUAUUUAUAAGGUAAAAAUUAACAUAUUGCAAAUUAAUUUAACAAAAAAAUAUAUUUGGGGAAUAUUAAAAUAAUUUAAAAAUAAUGAGCGCAUUAAUUGACACAAUAAGUGAAAUACUAAUAAUUUUAUCCUUAUUAAAUGUGCACUUUUUAGUGUCAAUCACACCCCCCAACCAGCCCCAACCUGCUUAUUGCUAGGUAUUAGCAAUUUAAGCGAUAAAAGUUUAGUAAAAUUCAAACUCAAAUUGAAUUUUUUUUAAAAAAAUUGUAUUUACUUCUUUCAUCAGAUUAAUGACAACAAUCAAAUAAAAGUAUACUCAUUAUCUUUAACCUAAAGAAAAUCACACCUGCACAAAAAAGUUAAGUAAAAUCACGUAAAAUAAUCAAUUAUCAGAGCUAUAUUAAUCAAGUCACUUUUAAGAAUGAUACAUCAAAUCUCAAAACCUCACAAAUAAGAGUGACUCUCUCAAAAAAAAAUAUUCCCAAAAUUAAAUUGUCACUCUAAACAUGGUAGAUUUGAGAGAAUAAUAAAAUAAUAUCACACGCUCUCACUAAGAUGAAAAAAUAAUGUCUACAGCUUAAAAAUAAAAUGAUCUCAAGUCCAAGGAAUUACUAGCAAAAUUUAUUUUUAUUUUUAUGCAUCACCACAUCUUUUAGUCCAUAUUACCAGCUUUUACUUCAGACUAUAGUUCCGAAAAAUCGAGAAGGACUUUUAUUAGGACGUAACGUAGGCUAAGAUUAUCGCUAACAAAAAAGGUAAUAGGGAAAACAAAAAUAUAUGUUUAAAAAAUAAGGGACUUUUUGGAGAUUACAAGAUUCUUUUUUUUUCUUGGAUUUGUUUUCUCUUUUUUUGUUUUUUUUUUCAUUUUUAUUUUUAUAUACAUAUCCUCUCUUUUUUUUCAUAACACCAUUAUUAGAAAUACAUAAUCAUCCCUAUUUUCAAACAUAAUUGGGUGGUGGAAAACAUAAUAUAUAAGGUGAUACUCCACAUUGGAGUGGGAUAAUAUAAUAGGUUAUCAAAGGAAAAGUUUUUUUUUUUCAAAAGCUCAAAGGGGUUAACUAUGGACUCUUUAUAAUAGAGUUUGAUACAAAAGGCUUAAACAAAUCAAAGAUAGCCUUCUGUCAUUUUUUAGAGCUCUAAAUAAUCUUUCAUAUCUACUAGUUCAAUGGACUUUUAGAUGCAGCUGCACAAACUUUCUUUUUUUCACUCUUUUUUUUAAUAAAAAAUAUUGAGAUCUUGUACAAUAAAUUGUGAAGCUGUAUAGGCAAACAUGGUUACUCUCCAAGGAUAAUAGGCUCAAAAACUCGCUUGAACUUUUCAUAACAUGUACAUUCAUCCAAAUAGCUUAAUCAAAUUUACUCAUCAAAUUUCUCAAUUUAUGUUUCAACAUGCAACGGGGAAAACAUAGUGUAACAUAACUCCAGGCCAACGAUAAUACAAAUACCAAAAUUUGAAAAUCAUCAUGUUAUCCAAUGUUAAAAGAUCAUAUUGAAAAAGAAAACUCUUUUUUUUUUGUUAAAGAAACACUAAAAACAAUCUGGACUGAUUACAGAAACUUAAGGGAGAUGAUUAAGAGAAAAAGAGAAAAAGACAAAAAACAAAAAGUUAGAAAACAAUUUUUUUUUUAAGAACAAAACACUAAAAUUAAGAAGAUGCGUUUCUAGAGAUACUACAUUCUAUAUUUUGAUAUCUUCGACUCAAAUUUUUAUCUAAAGUUAGUCUUUACAACACAAAUUAGUAAAAACAUCACCAGGACUGAGACAUUCCACAAUUGUCGACUAUUCCCUCCCCCCAACCUGAAGGAGACAUUGUCCUCAAUGUCUAAAGAAAGAAGUAGAGUUUAGAAGAUAUCACCCGGCCACUGCUGAAAAUAUUUACAAACAGAGAGUUAAAUCUAAUUUAUAAUUUUUACGAGAGUUACUGCCAUCGUCAUCAGUUGCCCAAUCUAACGCCAAAGUCAUGGGAUCUGGCUCUAAUUUGUAAGCUUGCAAAAGAUCAAGUAACUCAUUAGCAGUAGGAGCACAAAUGAAGAGUUUUUUCGCUGAGGGUGGAAUGAAAUAAUUUUUAAUUGCAUGAUUAAGAAAUGUUAUUAAGCCAUCAUAAAAGUUAUUAACAUUUAACAAACCGAUGAGUUCAAGAAGCAAAUGUAAUUAGCGCCUCUAAAGUUGCAAGAUCUCCUGGCAAGAAAAUGAAAGCAUCAACAUGAUUUAACAUUUCAAAUAUUCUUUCUUGCAUACCUGAGACAACUAACUCUUCUCCAGUUGGUGGGUCUGGUAGACAUCCUAAAGGUUUUAAGGUUUUUGGAAUGAUUCCUAGCACUUGGCUUCCUCGAACGAAAGCAGCUUCAGAGACAAGCUUUGAUAACCCUCGGUCAUCUCCUCCAUAUAUAAGAUGUAGUUUCUUCUCUACUAUAACACGACCAAGAUCUAUCGCUGCCUGAACGAACUCCUUAUACUUUCCAUAGCGAAAUCCAGAAAGCACACAAAUGUUCUUUAAUUGUUUGCUUGAAGUUGUUGCCAUUAGAAAAAUUAUAAAAAGAAACAAUUUGUGAGUGCUUGAAAAGGAGGUCCUAUUUAAAGAUCUUGGUGACGGACAUAAUGAUAUACAUUUGUAAAUGGGGUGGUGUGUUUAUCAAAUGACGCGUGAAGCUUUUAGCUUAAUAAUUCAAAGGCAUAUAGUAAAAAGAAAAAGCAAACAGUGAUUAGAUAUAAAAAAGACACACAAUAAUAAUAAUAAUGCAAAAUAUAAAAGAACAAUAAAAUAAAAGGAUAUUUACUAGUAGUUGUGAUUGUGGCUUACAUCUUCCUCUGGUUUUACAUCCAGUAACGGCUUGAACGCCCUCUGUGGGUCGAGGAUAGGCUUCCCAUCCAGUUUUCUUAUAAACUGGCAAAUAGGGUCUUUUAGGAACAACUUCCACAAAUUUUGAAUUUCACAUUGAACAUAUCCGCUCGGAUGUGUCUCAAGAGAUCGUAAGAUAUCAUCCAACGAUUCUUUACUUAUGCCAUCCUUAACGAAUUUGAUUUUAUCUUCAUGAUUUACAGAAACCAUUCCUAAAGUUUUACAACAUGGUUUUCUACAAGCAAGUCUUACAUAGUUAGGACAUUUAGAGCCAAGUCUCUUAGCUCUUCUUUUCUUAGCAAAUGUACUUUUACCAAAACCAGGCAUGUAGGAAAUGAAUGGAUCAGAAAACUCACAUGCCAGUCGGACCUUUGCUUCAAUUAACCGGCGAAUGUCAGCAAGAAUCCCAUUGAUCAUUAACAAACGCAGUCGUUCACAACGAGUUUUGUAAAUCUUCUUAAGAGCAUUUUGAGGGAGAGAAGGAAAAUGUUGAUGCAAUUUUCGUUGUAUUUCUUCCAUGCUUGACAUUGAGGUUUCAGUUAUUGUGGAAAACUGAGAAUACCAACUUAAAAUGUCACAAAGUACUGUUAUCCGCCAUUUAUAUUGGAGAGUGAAUCAAAACAAAACGAAUCAAAUCUGCAAAAUCAAAUCAAAAGUGAAGAACAACAACAAAAUAAAACAAAAACCCACAAGGAAUAUUACUCACCUUCGUCCUUUUAUUGAAUUUACCUCCAGUUCCAAUUGCAGAUUAUAAAUACCAUCAUCUAUUUUCUUGAGUUGUCUUUCUAGAUCUUUCACGUGGUAUACCAACUCUGGUUGUUGUAGAUCCCAAAUGGGAUGUGAUUUACAAAAUCUGAGCAAUUUCCUCAAGUGAAAUUUUACAUGUAAAAGUUCUUUAAAAUGUUCGAAAAUGAUACUUCUCAUGGAGGUACUCAUGAUAAGUAUAACAAUUUGGUGAGCUAAAGCACAAUUGUCAAACAACACACAAUUAAAAACAAUGCAAUGCACUCCAUUCAAGACAUAAGGAAAAGGAAAAAAUCAACAAUUCAAACGAUAAAGUAACAGUAAAUCAAAUUCACAAAAAGUUGAAAUGAAAAAAGCUUAAUUAAAAUUUGGUGGGUCACUCAAAUUGAUUUCGGUAUCUGCUUCACGCGGUUGGUAUUCCAGAUAUGGUUUCAAUCUUUGACCAUUAACUUUAAAUAAGGCACCAUAAUUUGGAUUCUCAAUUUCUACGGCUCCAUAUGGAUAUACAUUUUUUACAACAAAUGGACCAUUCUACUUUGACUUUAAUUUUCCUGAAAAUAAAUGAAGACGAGAAUUAUAAAGCAACACUUUUUGACCAAUGUUUUCCGAAAAAUUCUUUUGCCAUGAAAAAAUUUGGUUCUUGCCUUAAUAAUUCUGGAAUUCUCAUAUGCAUUAUUCUUUAAUUCCUCAAGUUCAUUUAAUUGCAAUUUACGCACAUUACCAGCAUCAUCAAGAUUUGAAUUAAAAGCUUUAAUGGCCCAAAAUGAUUUAUGUUCAAGUUCAACUGGUAAGUGGCAAGAUUUUCCAUAAACAAGCCGAUAAGGUGACAUUCCUAAAGAUGUUUUAAAAACAGUACGAUAUGCCCAAAGUGUAUCAGUUAGUCGAAGAGACCAAUAUUUACGGUUUGGAUUAACUAUCUUUUCUAAAAUUUAUUUUAUCUCCCUAUUUGCUAAUUUAAGUUGACCACUUGUUUGAGGGUGAUAAGGGGUAGCAACUUUAUGUGUAAUUCUAUAUUUCUUCAUUAAGGACUAAAGUAGCUUAUUACAAAAAUGCUUACCCUAUCACUGAUAAUGACUCGAGGUAUUCCAAAUCUGCUCAAAAUAUUUUCUUUUAAAAAGCGAAUCACAAUCUUGUGAUCAUUGUGCCGACAAGGAAUUGCCUCGAUCCAUUUUGAAACAUAAUCAACAGCAACCAAAAUGUAUACAAAUCCAAAUGAUGAUGGAAAAGGGCCCAUAAAAUCAAUUCCCCAACAAUCAAAUAUUUCAAUGACAAGGAUGGGGUUUAAAGGCAUCAUGUUUCGCUUUGAAAUAGACCAUACCAUUUGACAAUUCUUACACACUUUACAGAAUGCAUGUGAAUCUUUAAAUAAUGUAGGCCAAUAAAAUCUACACUGUAAUAUUUUUACAGCUGUCUUUUUUCAAGAAAAAUGGCCACCGCAUGCUUCAGAAUGACAAAAUUGAAAGACCCUACUUACCUCGUCGUCUGGUAUGCAUCUUCAAAAAAUUUGAUCAGAGUAGUACUUAAACAGGUAUGGAUCAUCCCAGUAAAAGCUUCUCACUUUUGUUAAGAAUUUCUUCUUGUCCUGGGAACUCCAGUCACAUGGAAUUUCACCUGUUGAAAGAUAAUUAACAAUAUUAGCAUACUAAGGCAUUUUGUUUAUAGAAAAUAAAAAUUCAUCAAGGAAAGAAUCAUUGAUGGGUGUUGUUUCAAUUGAAGACUCAUUCGUAAGUAUUGAAAGAUGAUCUGUAACAACAUUUUCAACGCCUUUUUUGUCCUUGAUUGUCAAGUUAAAUUCUUGAAGUAGCAAAAUCUAUCGUAUCAACCUUGGUUUGACAUCCUGUUUUGACAUUAAAUAUCUCACAACAACAUGAUCAGAAUAAACAAUAGUGGAUGAACUAAUUAAAUACGAACGAAAUUUAUUCAAUGCAAAUAUUACAGCAAGUAGUUUUUUAUCAGUUGUAGUGUAAUUCAUUUGAUCACUAUUCAAAUACGAACGAAAUUUAUUCAAUGCAAAUAUUACAGCAAGUAGUUUUUUCUCAAUUGUAGUGUAAUUCAUUUUAUCACUAUUGAAAGUUCUACUUGCGUAAUAGAUGACAAAGGGCUUACCUUCCUUUUUUUUUUACCCCGAACAAUGCAAACGGUAUAACCACUAGCAUCACACAUUAGCUCAAAAGGUAAAGACCAAUCAGGGGGUUGCAUUAUUAGGGCUGAUGUCAAAAGAGUAGUUAUUCAUUUGAUCACUAUUCAAAUACGAACGAAAUUUAUUCAAUGCAAAUAUUACAGCAAGUAGUUUAAUUAAAUACGAACGAAAUUUAUUCAAUGCAAAUAUUACAGCAAGUAGUUUUUUCUCAAUUGUAGUGUAAUUCAUUUGAUCACUAUUGAAAGUUCUACUUGCGUAAUAGAUGACAAAUGGCUUACCUUCCUUUUUUUUUUACCCUGAACAAUGCAAACGGUAUAACCACUAGCAUCACACAUUAGCUCAAAAGGUAAAGACCAAUCAGGGGGUUGCAUUAUUAGGGCUGAUGUCAAAAGAGUAGUUAUUCAUUUGAUCACUAUUCAAAUACGAACGAAAUUUAUUCAAUGCAAAUAUUACAGCAAGUAGUUUUUUCUCAAUUAUAGUGUAAUUCAUUUGAUCACUAUUGAAAGUUCUACUUGCGUAAUAGAUGACAAAGGGCUUACCUUCUUUUUUUUUUUACCUCGAACAAUGCAAACGGUAUAAUCACUAGCAUCACACAUUAGCUCAAAAGGUAAAGACCAAUCAGGGGGUUGCAUUAUUAAAGCUGAUGUCAAAAGAGUAGUUAUUUUUUCAAAAACUUGUUGACAAUCUUUAGUCCAUUCAAAAGGUUUGUCUUUUAUUAUGAGGUUACAAAGUGGUCUAGAUAUGACACUAAAGUCUUUUAUAAACCUCCUAUAAAAUUCUGCGUGUCCUAAAAAUGAACGGACUUCUUUAAUUGUCUUUGGUGAGGGUAAUUUUGAAAUGACUUCAACUUUGUCUUUGUCAACUUCAAUUCCUUUUGAAGACACAACAUGGCCCAAGACAAUUCCAGAAGUGGUCAUGAAAUGACAUUUUUUCCAAUUUAAAAUUAGUCAUUUUUCUUUGUACCUUUCCAAAAUUUUUUCUAGAUUAUCAAGACAUGUAUCAAAAGAAUUACCAAAUACAGUUAAAUCAUCCAUAAAACCCUCUAGACAAUUUUCAACCAUAUUACUAAAAAUGCUUAGCAUGCACCUUUGAAAUGUUGCAGGAGCAUUACAAAGUCCAAAGGGCAUUCUCCUAAAUGCAAAUUUUCCAAAUGGGCAUGUGAAUGUGGUCUUUUCCUGGUCUUCUAAGUCUAUAGGGAUUUGAUAAUAGCCAGAGUAGCCAUCAAGAAAGCAAUAGUAAGGAUGUCCAACUACUCUUUCGAGAAUUUGGUCUAAAAAUGGAAUGGGAAAAUGAUAUUUUCUAGUGGCAUCAUUUAAUUUUCUAUAAUCAAUGCACAUGCGCCAACUAGAUGGAAUUUGUGUUGGGAUUGGUUCACCUUUUUCAUUUUUUACAACGGUUAUUCCAGAUUUCUUUGGCACUACUUGUGUUGGACUUACCCAUUUACUAUAAGAGAUAGGAUAGAUAAUUCCUACAUCUAGUAGUUUAAGGACCUCAUUCUUUACCACUUCUUCCAUAUGAGGGUUUAGUCUUCUUUGUGGUUGACGGGUUGUUUUGGCAUUUUCCUCUAAGUGUAUUCGGUGUGUACAAAUUAAAGGAUUAAUGUCUUUUAUGUCUUUUAAGGUCCAACCAAAUGCAGUUUUAUGCCUUUUGAGUACAAAUAACAACUUACUUUCUUGAUCAUGCAUGAGCUGGGAAGAAAUUACCACCAGAUUUGUCUUCUGCUCUCCAAGAUAAGCAUAUUUCAAUUCUUCUGGUAAGGGCUUUAAUUCGAGCUCUGGUGCUUCCUCUUCGUUUGAUUCUUCAGGUUGUACCGUAUCUUUAAAGUUCGAUUGGCCAUCGUCACCUGUAGGUACCUGCAUAGAAUCAAGUGUAGAACAUAUGUUAGCAGUAUUAUAAUUUAAUUCUUUACUUGAUCCAAAAGAACCAGCAAAAUAAAUUUCCAUAAAGUUUGUAAAAUUCUCAUCCUGAAUGUGUUCCUCAAUGAUUGGCUUGAUAAGAUCAAUCUUCUCAUUCUCAUUAUCAUCAUAUUCUUGGUGGUGGGGUUGUUUACACAUGUUGGACACAUUGAGUUCUAAUGUCAUGUUGCCGAAAGAUAAAUUCAUUACUUUAUAUUCCUGCAAUUAAUUAAAGUAUUAGUAGUAGUUAAAAAUGGUCGACCCAAUAUAAUAGGAAUUUGUUUGCAUUCAUUAGCAAUUGGUUCCGUUUCCAAAACAAUAAAAUCCAUAGGGUAUAUGAAUUUAUCGACUCGGACUAAUACAUCUUCAAUUAUUAUUCUUGGAACUUUAAUCGAUCUAUCAGCAAGUAAAAGAGUGGUAGAAGUUGGUUUUAACUCAUUGAGAUUGAGUUGUUGGUACAUUGAGUAAGGAAGCUAAUUAACACUAGCACCAAGAUCAAGUAGAGCAUGUCCAAUUUUAUGAUCCCCAAUAAUGCAAGAAAUAGUUGGACAACCAGGAUCCUUGUAUUUCAAAGCACUAUUGGUUGAGAGAAUGGAACUUUCCUGUACUACUAGAAACGCUUUCUUUUGCACUUUAUGUUUCCUUUUCACCGUGCACAAAUCUUUCAGAAAUUUAGCAUAAGAAGAUAUUUGUUUAAUGGUGUCCAGCAAAGGAAUGUUGACCUUCACUUGUUUAAAAACUUCAUAAAUUUCUAGACUGUGCUUUGAUUUCUUUGGCUUGAUUAGUGCUUGAGGAAAUAAGGGUAGAAGGGGAGAGUUGGUUAUUUCUUCAUGGGUUAAAGGUUCGAAAGACUCUUCCCUAUUUUUUGAAAUUAAAUCUUUACUAGUUUCAUGAGGGUCCACAAUGUGUUUUUCGACCACUUUACCACCACAAAGGGUUAUAACCGAUUUGACUUGAUUUAUAUUUUGGUUUCCUGAAUUUCCCAUUUGAGGAUGUUGUUGACUCUUGGGGUUUGGUUCAGGUUGAGCAGGAAACUUUCCUUUUUCAUGCAUGGUCAGAGCAAAUGUAAGUUUGGAGAUAGUUUCUGUCAAAUUGGUUAAGGUUUGCAUUGUUUGGUUAUUAAUCGACUCUUGUUUUUCAAUAAACAAAUGCAAUGUGUCUUUCAGAGUUUUUCUUGAUGGUGGGACAUAUGGUGAGUAACUCUGGGGGUUUUGGAAAUUUUGACAUUGAAGAACUGGUUGUGAAGGCUGUGCAUGAUUGUCAUUUCUCCAACUGAAAUUCGGGUGGUUUCUCUAACCAGAGUUGUAAGUUUGGGAGUAUGGAUUUGAAUUUGGCCUUUUGAAAUUGUCAACAACAUUUAGUUGUUCAUGCAAACUUUCUCUCAGAGCUGGCAAAGUUGGACAGUCCUGCAUAGAAUGGUCAGUAGAAUCGCAAACAUAACAUGAAAUAUUUUGAACAGACUUUACAUGAUCAUUCUUUUUCAACUCUAAUGCUUCGACUUUUCUAGCUAAUGAUGCAAAUUUGGCUUGAAAAUCAUGGUCUUCCCUAAGGUUGUGCAUGCCUCCACCAGAUGGAGAUGACUGAGGUUUACUUGAUGACUCAUAAGAACCAACUGUAUCCCAGUGUUGUGCAUUCUCUGCUAUAUAGUCAAGAUAGUCUAAUGCAUCUUCAGGACUGUUAUCCCUAAACUCACCAUUAAACAUCAUUUCAAUGACUUGUCUACCUUGGGAUGUUAAUUCCUCGUAGAAAUAAGACACUAAUCUCUAUGUUUCAAAACCGUGGUGUGGGCAAAUGUUAAGUAGUUCUUUAAACCUAUCCCAACAUUGGUAGAGGGUUUCUCCUAAUUUUUGAGUGAAUGUGGUGAUUUGUCUUUUGAAAGAAUUUGUUAUGUGGGGUGGGAAGAAUUUUUUCAAAAAUUGUACUUGCAUUUCAUCCCAAGUUUUGAUGGAUCCUGACCUAAGAAUUUUUAGCCAAGUUUUAGCUUUAUCCUUAAGUAAGAAAGGAAAAAACUUAAGCCUGAUUAUAUUCAUGCUACAAUUUUGAUCAGUACAUGUGUUACAGACUUCCUCAAAUUCCCUUAAAUGCAAAUAUGGAUUUUCAAACUCAAAACCAUGAAAAGUAGGAAGAAGUUGAAUGAUACAAGGUUUGAAAUUAAAACGUGAUGCAUCAGGAGGGAAAACUAUGCAUGAUGGUGAUCUUGUUCUAGUGGGAUGCAUGAAGUCUCUAAGGGUCCUAAGCUGUUCAUGAAGAUUUUGCAAGGCUUGGUCAUUUUCGUGCUCCGAAAAAUUUUCAGCUCCUAUAUCUAAGGGUGGUGAAGGUGAUCUACUAAUUAAUCUGCCACUAUUUGUACGAGACCAACAACACAUGCAAUGCUAAUGAUGUGUGCUAAACCAAUGAUACAUAAAACGCUAAAUGAAAAUUGUAGAACAUAAAAAUAAACUGGAAAUUAAAUAAGCAAAAAUAUGAAAUAAAAAUAAACAAACUGAAAAUAAAUAAAAUAAAUAAAUUAGGCAGUGAAACCAGCCAUAAACAAAUAAAUUAAAAGAAACAAUUUAGGUGGUAUUUUAAAACCAGCCAUAUAAUAAAACAUAAAAUUAAAUAAAUUAAUGUACAAAAAUAAAUAAACUGAAAUUAAAAUGAUAGGCAGUAAAACCGACCAUAUAAAUAAAUUAACAAACUGAAAUUAAAAUUCUAGGCGGUAGAACCGACCAUUUAAAAUAAAUGCGGAAAGUAAAUUGCAGAAAUUUAAAGAAAUAAAUUCGAUUUGGGGACUGAUUUGCAAGGUUUCUGGGCUAAAAUGAAGUUUCUCACAAAUUUUAUAGAUAAUGUUAAAGUUUAAAAAGAGGAGGGGCACUAACUAAAGUUUUAUAAAAAGAAAAUAAAAUAGAAUCACGGAAAGAUAGUAACAACAAAAAAAAUAUUUAAAUAAAAUAUAGUAACGAUAAACUAACAUGGCUUAAAAGCGUAUUACUCCCAAGUAUAAGAAUGUCUAGUUAUAAAAUAACCUGGUGAGUUUAGGGUUGAACCACAGGAAAUUUUAAAAUCUAGUUGUUAAUUUUUUAAACAAAGAAAACAAUUGUGGCGAAAAUAAAUUAUUUGAAAACAAUUUAAAAAUAUGUUAAGGUUACGGGAUCUACUCUCAGUAUUCAAACUAUAAUUUUAAUACUCUCUCAUUUAUAUUUUGCCUCACUUUUACUAGUUAAUUAUUAUAUCAUUUAAUUUUAUGUGUGUGGAUAAAUAUGGAAUAAAGUACUUAAUGUGCCACACUAUAUUAAUGUGUCGACAUUAUGUCAAAAUACCAUACAAAUUCAAAGAAAUUCAUAAAUUAACAUGACAUAAAAAUUACUAGAAAAUAAUAAAAUAAACCUAAAAACUCAUUUGAGAAAAUAAUAAAUUUAAUAGUUUGAAACAUUGAGCUUCACCCUUCACUUCAACUUAAUAAAAUUAGCCACUCAUAUUGAAAGAAAACACAACACUCUUUUUAUUUGAUAUACUUUUGAAAUAUGUUACAAAGAAAAUUGAUACAAACGGAAACAAGAAAAGAAAAGAAAUAAAGAAAGAAAGAAAUUCUUCAGCUACACUCUUGGCUAUCACUCUCUCUCAGAACUCGGCUCCGUCCCCAAUGGCUUGCAUCCCCUUGUAUUUUAUAGGCAAGGGAAGCAUAUUCUUUUAUUUUAUUUUAUUAAUAUUAAUAUUAAUAUUUUAUUUUUAUAUUAUAUAUAUGUUAAUUGAAAUGGAGGCCCAUCACCAACAUGCUUGCCAAUCCUUUUUUUUUCUUUAUUUUUUUAUUUUUAAUAACAUCUCCUCGAUUGAUGAAUUCUAAAUUACUCCAGCUGUCCUUCUUUGUUUCCGCUUUUAACUCCAAUUCCAUCUUUAUUCCUGAAAAAUAUUUACAAGAUAAAAAUUAACAUAUUGCAAAUUAAUUUAAUAUAAAAUAUAUUUGGGGAGUAUUAAAAUAAUUUAAAAAUAAUGAGUGCAUUAAUCGACACAAUUAGUGAAAAACUAAUAAUUUUAUCCUUAUUAAAUGUACACUUUUUAGUGUCAAUCAUUUCACAUCCUAAUUGGCAAGACAAGUUUUUGGGGUGUAUGGGCGCCUCAGAAACAAAACCGUGUGGGUCUUGUUAAGGCCCAAACCUGACAAUAUCUUGUCAGAUCUGGGUUGGGACAGAACAGAUGGUAUCAGAGUGGGUCCGUGUGUCCUCUUGAAUGAUGGAGGCAAACGGCAAACCUCAGUGAGAACGUUGAGUUCCUAAGGGAGGUGUAUGUAACACCCUAGGCAAAUCCCACAUUGACCAAACAUAUGAGAGAUGUUGCGUUUAUAAGGGGUGAUCCACACCCUAAUUGGCAAGAUGCGUUUUGGGGUGUAUGGUUGCCCUAGAAACAAAACCACGUGGGCCUUAAAGUAGAAAUAUCUUGCCAGGUCUGGGCUAGAUCAUGUAACAACCCAAUUCUCUUAAGGGUAGUUUAGUAUUUUUAAUUUAUUAAUAUUUUUGUACCCUAGUAUAAAAAGAAUAAGAUGGCUUUCCUCUAUUAUUAAUAAGAGAGAGAGAGAGAGAGAGAGAGAGAGAGAUCAGCUAAAAAAAAAAGAACGAAAGAAGAAAAAGAGAAAAGUAAAGGAGAAGAAGAAAAAGAGAAAAGUAAAGGAGAAGAAGAAAGUCUUUUUCUUCAUAUAGCUAUGAGCAAUAAAUGAGAUCAAAGUAGUGUCUUUUGUAUUGGAUUUGUGCCGAGAGAGAAUUGGAGAUAAAGUUCAAUUUUUUAUCCUUGUUAAUUGCUAUAGAGAAGCAUGAUUAGAUAGUGGUAAGAGAAGUAGAACUUAAGAUUUUAUAGAAAAUAUGUUAAUGGUAUGUUAUUUUGAAAAUCAUAGUAAUUUGUACAAAUUGAUUUUGAUUCUGGAUUUUGGAUAUGUUAAACUAUAUAUCUUCGAGAAUGUUUUGGAACUUGUUUCAAGCUAAUCGGAUAAGAUUUCAAUUAAUUACGAUUUUUUAAACUCAAGUUUGAAAACCUUGAAAUUUCUAAUUUCAGCGAAGAACAUGAAUUACAAAAUUAUUUUACCAUAACUAGACUUCUUCAAAAAUUAUGAAACUUGGAUCAACGAUUUUUAUAUAUGUCUAGUGUGAUUUUGGAAAUUUUCAUGAUUUUAUGAUAAAACAAUAAAUUGUUUGAUAGAAUUGAUGAUGUUUGAAACAUAAAUUAGUUUCAAUAUUUUUUGAAAGAAUUAAGCUAUGAAAUUUUAAUCAAUGAAUUUCUAGUAUGUCAGCAUAUGCUCUUGAAAAUUUGGGAUUUCUCCAAUAAGGUAAUAAUUUAUUAAAAAUCGGAGAACAUGGGUUGUUCUAUUUUGAGAUCAAAUAUUGAGAGUGUUUGAGGUUGACUUUAGAAGAUGUUUAAAAUGAGAAAUUUGAGGAUGUUGGAAUUAUGAUUAGGACUUGAUUAUAUCUUAUGAGAGUUAUAUUAAUGAUUUUUAGUUCGAUGAUAUCAAUACGCAUUUGUUACAUGUGGAUGUCAAGAGGUAAGUAAACUAGACUUCUAAAUAGAUCACAAUAAACAAUAUGUAUAUAUUUGACAUGUUUGAAAAACCUAUUUUUGAUAUGUACGGAUAUGAUUAUAUACAUGGGCAUAUGUAUGUGUGAAAGUUCAUUAGCAUAAGCAUGAUGAAUAUGCAAAGCUUUUAUAAAAAGUAUGUUCAUUAAUUUUGCAUUCUAUAAGUCUAUGAUUUGCACAUGAACUUUGCUAUUAUAUUAAUGGUGCGUUUACUUUCUGGAUUAGGGAAUCAAAAUCCGAAAUUGAAAUCAUUGACAGCGUUUUCCCCACAAAUAGAGUCGAGAACCGAAAUCAGAAUUGUGGGGCCCACCACAAUGUAAAUGAGGAAUGGGAGACUCAUUCCCAAAGAAGAGGGUGGGAAUCAGUCUCCCAAUCCUGGGGCUAACCAUUUUGCCCUCCCCCAAGAUGAAAAAUGCCACUUUGUCCUCAUUUAUAAUUAAUCAAUAUAUUGUUAUAAUUUAUUU
rnacentral:lncRNA from 1 species